GGAAAUAAAAAGAAAAAAGAAAAAAAAUGAAGUUAACAUCUUCACAUCCCUCGUCUCUACACCAAACACUUACAUCACUUGAUUAAGAAUAAAUUCGGUAGAGUUUUGGGGGGAGAAGGGGGGGGGGGGCAUGAAUGACAAUGGACCCAAAGAACGAAAGAGAAAAUGAUAUUGUACUUCCCCAAGCCAUUUCUUUUACCAACUCAAUCCUGAAAAUCAUGCAUAUGAUCUAAAAGGUAGUUGGCUGCAAGUUCCUCAUUCUUGUUGCACGCAAAGAACACUUGGAGCACAGUUGCACGGUCAAACCCCAUUGCUUCAAGCUAAGCUGCAAGAGAUGGGGAAUGAACAAGAGAAUAAGGAGACUACAAAAGUAUUUGUAGGCAAAAGAUCAAUGCAACAAAUUUGAGUUUAUUAAACAUCUAAAAGUAAAACCAUUGCCUAAAAGAAAGAUGUGAUGCAUAUUUCAUAACUCAGAUAAAGGCCAAGGAAAUGAAGGCAUUUCCAGAGGCAGUGCGGGAGAUAGCUAAAUAAUCCAUGAUUACAGAGAAUAGUGAACACAUCCAAGUCAGCCCUUAUGUAAAAGAUGACAUACCCGUUCUAUGGCUUCACGUUCCUCAGGUGUGACUUGCACAGCUUGUGGCAUCGCCUCAGCUAAUUGCCCCAAAAUGUUUCUUUACAACAGGAGAUGUCAAAUAAACACUUGAUAUACAUACACAGUAUAUAAGUUCAAGAAAUGAGCAACUAAAAACAAGACUCACCCCUCUCCACCUUCGGCAGGUUCAUUGAUCAAGCGAAGAAAGUCACCCUGAUGCUCUUGAAUAAGUCUCAUUAAAUUAGGAUUUUGUUUCCCCAACUCUUGUAGCAUAGGCUGCCAAAAUUUUAAAAAAGGGAGACAUUGAGGAAAGGUGAAAGAUAAAAAACAAAAAAUGAAAAGACAAUGAAAAACACACUAGGAUUGAAGAGGGGAAACAAGGGACCAGAGAAUAACCUGCAAUAUUUGUGGGUUGGCUUGCACCAUUGCUCGCAAAGCUUGAAACUGAAAAGAGAAUUGCAAACUGAGUGUAGUUCUAGGUAGGUAUUUACAUGACAGUCAUGCUAACAAGCCCAUAUACAACCAAAUGAGAAAGAGAGAGACCUGUGGACUGUUCCGUAAAAAAUCAAGAGUGCCAGCCCCAGCACCACUUGCACCCAUGUUGGGAAGGCCCUGUAUCAAUAAAAGGCCAUCAAGUCACUGGUUAAUUUGCCCGUCAUCAAAUUUAUCAAAUGUCUACCGCAUGACAAUUUUUACCUGGGGAAAGAGGUCUAAUGGAUUUGCAUUUGGUCCACUUGUAGGAAUAGCUGCCGUUUGCGCAGGCUGUUGAGGUUGUGCUGCAGGGUUAGUGGCUUGCCCAACUACAGGAGCACGGGCCACAGGUGGAGCUUCAGCUUGCUCGGGGAUGCCCUGGCAUUUGCAACAAUAAUUUAUGACACGAUGGCAAGCAGCAGCUUAGGAAACAAAAUGCAUGCUUGUUAUAUUUUUUUUUAAAAAAAAAGAAAAGAAAGAUAAGCGUGCAGUAUACAAUAUCAUUAAAACCCACCAUAAAACAAAUUAAAACACACCAGAAAUCCAAUAUUCCUGUUCACUUUUUUUUUUUGGGGGGGGGUGUUAAGUCAAAAAAGUUAUCAUCAAAGGAAAAUUCACAAUUCCCACACACUUAUCCACCAAGUCAAAAAGGACCAGCAAAAUGGAACAGAGGAGGCAUAUUUUGGGUGUGCAGAAAUUCGAUCAUCAUCGACCAAUAAAUCAUGGCAAGGAGAAGGCCAAGUUUCAAAUAGAAUUACAUCAAAUUAAAAAUGACAAAAUGGCAUAAUCAUCAUUCCAAGAAAACCUCUCAGGAUGAGCUCAGCUUAUUAGGCUAUCCCCACAUCUACAUUAAGGAGAACAACAAAACAACAGCAACUAGAAGCACGCAAGAAAGCACAUAUUCUUCAAGAUACAAGGAAGGUACUUACAGAAUACAAAUAUUCAACAGCUCUCUCUGGGUUAUUAUAAGCAGCACGAAGGGCACGGACAACAGUGUCCCUGUCCCAGGUCCCUCCACCCAUAUCAAGAAUCUGUUGGAUUGUUCCCUCUAAGUUACUCCCUGCAACCAGGUUAGAUGCUGCUUGGCCAUAAACAUCAGAAUCUGACCUGUUUCCAAAGACAUUAUUCAAGAUAUUACAGGUAUGCAAAGGAAAACAAGGAAAAACUCAAGAUCUCUCCUACUAGAAGCAAUUCGAUUAAAUCAAAAGCUUCUAUCCUUCAAAUAAGAAGCAUGAAAUUUACUAUCAAGAAUAAGUUACUCACAAAGGAGUACUUGAAGCAACAGGAGCAGAUUCAGUGGCAGCUGCAGCCCUGAAAAAAAUUAAUAAGCAAUUAAUCAAUUGCAAAGGUACUGUAUCUGACCAAAAGUGUAGAAUAGCAGGACUUACAUAGCUGACGUUGCAACAGGUGCAGUAGAAGCUGGUGCUGGAGCUGUUGGCAGAUUACUUGCCUCAGGAGCCUACAAAGAAUCCAAAAUCACUACUCACUCCACAAUAAUCUUUGGAUACAGGCUAAGUUUUCAGAAGCGACAUAUCCUAGAGAUUGUAUUGUGGGGGGAAAACAGAUUUAUAUUCAUACUCAAAAAGAAACUUGAUCAAAAUUCACAUGAUGAUUUUGUGAGAGUUCAUAGCUCAAGCUAAAUUGUUCUAGAUGGAGUCAAUGAGGAGAGAAUAGGAUAAAGGCCAUUUGUUUUCAUGUUGAUAUGCUACCGGAAAAGAGAAAGGAAAACAAUUGUGAAAUUGAGAAACGUGGAUAAAAGACUAUGUAGCUAAUCCAUAAACAUUUAAGGUGGUCAAAUUUGGUAAUAACACCAACUCAGACUACAAAUUAUGCAUUGUGUUUAUAGUAGUGAAAGAUUGAAAGCAGUUGGACAAAAAAAAAAAAAACUCAAACCUGGGCCAUAUCUGAACAACCAAAAUCUUAAAAGCAUUCCAUUUGCUACCUAUAUCUUAUUUAAUGAUUUACUCCUAUUCAAUUAUAUUUGCUCAAGAUGCUUAGCUAUCACUUCAACUUCUAGUUCAUAGCAUUGAAGUAAACAACAUCCACAAAAAUGGCAAAAACAGAACCCUCAACACUUUUCACAUCAUAUCAAUAGCAAAUGCCUUUAGAAAUAUAGCUAAAAAGGUACAGUAACAAUCACUGCUUACGAGCAAUUAUGGAUGCAAGUAGCAGUAAGAGGUGACAAUUAUAAUCUUACUUUCUUUGUAGGAGCAGUUGAAGCAGUUGAACCCUCACCAGAUGCACCCUUAUUCUAGUUUAUUUAAGCAAAAAGGACACUAUUAGUAUGAAAAUGACAGUCAUGAAAAACAAAUUCAGAUACAAAUACAAGUAGGUAAGACGUCAAGAAGUAGCACAAAGAAAAUUUUCUAGUUUAGCAACAAAUUGAUUUAUAAGAUGCACCUAAAGGAAAGCAACAACCAGAUUUCAAAAGAAAAAUAUAAUGAUACAACACUCCAUCAUAAGUUAUAACUAAGAUAACUUUCAAGUUCAACAGCAGUGUGAAAAACAAUAAUGUCAGUUAGGCAUUUAUUAGGACAAAGUCAGCAUACUUUGGUCAGAAAAGUUAGAACGAGUUAGAUAAAUUUUACAAACAUAAAAAUCAGAAUAUUGUAACCAAUCUACCUUUGUCAACAUGAUCACAAUAAAGCUAUUUUCAGUGACACUGUUUUCAGCCAGUGUCGUGUCAUCUUUAAGGACCUUUCCCUUAUAGAUAAGCAUUUGUUGUGCAGCAGGAUAAACAUCUGCCCCUUGAACAGUUUCUAUCUUCUUUUUUACAUCCGCAACCUGAAAGAAUUGGCAAGCAUUAGCAGCAGAAUUGUAUAAUACCAAGUGACAAAGUAAUGUAAAAGGCAGAAGUAAGAAGGCAGAAUGCAUUUUAUCUCAAUACUUUCAUAUCGGUGCAUGUGUGUGUGUGUUUAAACCUUAAAAAGCAUAAAAAGUAGCAAAAAACAAUAAACUAAUAAUAGCUUAUUUAUAUAGUUAGAAAAUCCACAUCAUUCAAAAAACACACCCCUUGAUUAGAUGUAACCAUAGAAUGCAGAACUUGAUCCUUUGUUAUAGAAUAUCUAUUAAAAGGAGCCGCUGUACAUUUAAUCAAGUGUUCAUAGCCACACUAAUUAAAAAGAAGUGAAAGAGCAUUGCAAAAUAUGAGACGCUUAUGGCAAUGUUCAAAGCUUGCGUGUACUCCAGUUCAAACCUAAAUCUAGCAGACUAGCACACUACAACUGGCAAUUACAUGGCAAUCUAUGCAUCAAUAUUCAAUGAUACAAGGUAAUGAAAUACUACUACAAAAAUAAAGCCCACAAAUCAAAGUAUUAUUCACUAAUUUCAAUGAAUUAGUAAAAAGCAUUACGUAGGAAGAAGAACUUAUUUUCUAAUUGUCACCGGAAGAAAAUGGUACCGCUGUUCAAGCUACACGAGUAUCAGUCCACUAAAACUUAAUCGAAGUUGCUAGACUAUUCAACAAGCUAAAUCAACAUAUCCAAUAAAUUAGAGACUAAAAUUGAAGAAAUCAUUCACGAUCUCCGAUUUUACAUUUCAGGCAUGGUAAUUCAACAACGUGCAUAAUAAGUCCAAUUAAUACUGUCCUAAAUGAACGCUAAUAAAUGUUCAAAUAUAGGGGAAAACGGAAAACCCUAGUCAGCAAAACGUAAAAUCCCAGGAAAAAGGGAGGGGGAGAGAGAGAGAGAGAAGCGAACCGCAUCUUCGGGUUUGACUUCGAUAUUGAAGUGAGUGCCUUUGAGAGUUUUGACAAAAACCUUCAUCUCCUGCCAAUUUCGAUCUUUCACUCCGUUUGUCAAAAUCCGCCGAUCUUAUUUAUAUAUGGGAGAGGGAGAGAGAUGUUGACAAGCAAGGAAUAUCUUGUAGUACUAGAAGAAACUUGCUUCUAUUCCAACUCUAAAGCCGAGACGUGCGCUGCUUCUGUACUUUUCGAUUAAGUGAUGGAUGCUGUAAUCAUUUGACACGUGUAUUAGUUUUUAUCAAACGGUAACAAACCUUCUUUCCUUCUUUUUUGUUAUUUUUAUUCUAAUAUUUUCUUAUCCAUUUGACUGGAAAAAAAAAAACUCUUAAUCUUUUAUUUUAAUAUUUUCUCGUUCAUAUAACUCGAUAAAAUAUACUUUCAUAUAACUCGAUAAAAUAUACUUUCUUUUUUGUUUUUUAAUUUGUUUAAAAUUUCUCAUUAGUCCUAGUAGCUUUGGUAAAUUUGAAAUUUAGUUCUUCUAUUGUUAUUUCUAAAAAUUAAUUUAUCUACUUCUCAGAUUUCAAAAUUUAUAUCCAAUUAUUAAUAUUAUUAAAAUUAUUUUAUUAAAUUUAAGUUCAUUAUGUGAUUUUUUAGUAGACGGACAAGGUUUCCAAAAUAAAAGUAUAGAGACUAAAUUUCAAAUUUAUGGAUAGUAUAGAGAACUAUACAUAUUUUAACCUUGUGAUUUCAAUAUGUGUUCUCAAUUUGAUUGAAUUAAAAGCAAAUUGGUAAAAAAAUAAGUACAAGUAAUGGUAUGAGCCUACUUUACUUACAAAAAUCAUGUGUCUUAUAAGAAUUUGUCAUGUAUCAUGUUCUUAUUAGUAACUUUAAUUUUUAUUUUGGUUAUCGAGAUGAAAAUAAUAAUUCAAGGAUAAAAGUAGAAAAAAAUAUAAUUUAGGGGUCAAAUCGUGACAUAAGCAAAAGAUUUAUAUUCAACCGUUCAAUUAACAUUAGUAUCAAAUUCGAUAGUUGAACAACUCUUACUUCUAUCCUUUAUUAAAAAAAACUUAUAAAAAGAUGCAUAUAUAUCUACAUUGUAACUGCUUAUACUUGAUCUGGAAGUCGAUUGGGUGUAAGAAGCCAAUCAGUUGCUGAAGUAACUUAAAGAGAUGAUUGAAAACAACUAUUGAAGCUAAAAAUAGAGCAAGUGUGGCAAAGUCAAUGGAGAAUACGAGUGUUAAAAGCACAUAAAUAAAGUCAAUUGGGCUCGUACACAACAAUCCUACUUAAAAAAAAAAAAGAAGGCCAAACAUGGAGCCAGGUUAUGAAUCCUGAGUCAAACUAGCAAAAUGCAGCACAGUGAAGCCAUGUCUCAAGACAUGCCCCCCUGUUUUAGAAUUUUAGCUUCGAAGUUUGAGGUCUCAAGAUAAUGAAACCAUGUCUCAAGUCCUUGGACUGGAUAUUUACUAAACUAGCUCGAUGUGUUAUGUUUCGAGACAAAAUAUCUAUGUCUCCAGAAUUAAGGCAUUAUGUCUUGAAACCAUAGUGUAAUGUCUUGUGACGUGCACCUAAAGAUGGAUGAAAUUUUAUUUUUAUUCUUGAGAUCUCAAGACAUGUUCUUGAUAUCUCAAAGCACUAACCCAAAAAUGAAAAAAAAAAGGUAAUGUAAGUCAUGUAAUUGAACCUUUAGAGGUACCCAAACACAUGCAACAUGCGACCAAACCAAUUCCAACAUGUUUAACAUGCGAAAAUAAAGCUAAAACAUACAAUUGCAAGUCAUCUAACAUAAUAAAUUAUUAUUUGGCUAGGCAAGUAAAAUAAAGUUAAAAAUCAUUCAUUCACCAUAUAGAAUUAACAUUCCAAAUCCAAAGUAAAGGUGACCAAAGGAACCAAAAUAAACCAAAAUAUUUCAUUCCAUGCCAAAUAUACCAAGCGUAUCAAAACCUUAAAGAUAUAAGUAUAAAACAUGUAAAAGGGACCUAGGUAAAUGCCUAUAACCUAAUGCCAAAGAAAAGAAUUACAAAAGUUCAAUGAAUGUAGUUGAGACUUAAGAGCUCAAAUGUUAUGACGACAAGAACUACUACUUGCAUGUUCUCCCAAUAUUUAUGCAUGGUACAAACAAACUGCACGUUGAGCAUAUAAAGUAUAUUGGUGUUAAACAUAAACCAAUCUCAUAAUAUAAAAUCAUUAAGCAAUAAAAGCAUACUCACAUCAAUAAAAUUAGAAUUUGAAUAAAUUUGUAACGACUCAGUUUCCAGUGGUGUCGAAAAAUGCAAUUUCAAGACCUUGUUUCCAUAAAUCGAGCCCGUAAAUUUUUGGACAAGUAAUUUAGCUGAAUUAGGGCUUAAUUGAGGUCUAGGGACUACAAUCACUAUAGAUUUUUAAUUAGAAAAUGGAUUAAGCACUUAAACUGCAAAUAACCCAGGUUUAAAAUAUCAAAUAUACCAUGUCUAAACAUUAAGAAGUGGACGACAUAAGCAUGUUAUCAUUAGAUUCAAUAAAUUAAUAUUAUAUAUAUUAAACUGAGGUUAAUUACUUAAUUAACUAAGUUAAUUAUAAUAUAUACGUGCAAUUCGGUGGGGUGAACGAGAAAAAUCAUCCUCCCCAACCGAACCAAAAUAAAAAAGAAGAAUAAGACACAUUAACAAGAGUUUCAAGCUUUUAAUCAAUAAUUGGUUAGUGCAAUUAAGUCUUUUUCUUGCAAUAUUUAUGUUUUUGAGGUCAUGAGAGUUUGAUUUAGAUAGCCCAUGGACCAAUUUGUAAAAUUUUUAAAAUCUUGAAAGAUGCCAUUAUAGAGAAUUGAAAGUUUUAGGAGUUAAAUUGAUAAAUUUUAAGCUUAGAUGUGAAAAAGGACUAAAUUGUAAAGUUUAAUUGAUAUGUUUGUACAUUAGGGGCUAAAGUGAAUAAAAUGUAAAAUUUAUAGUAGUGACUAGAAAUAGGAGGCCCCUAAUGAAUAAUAGUGAAAUCAAAUUUCAAUUUGUAACUUUAAAUUGAAAGUUAUGCUAGUCUUGGUUUUAGGGACUAAUUUUUAAAAUGUGUAUUUUUGUAAUAGGUUGUGAUUUGGACUGGAAUUUAAAAUUAUGUAUUGUCAGAUUAUAGUUCGUAGCUAAAGACGAUGCGGGAACGUCGAGAGGGAAAGGAAAGACGAGAUCCAAUGAUGAGUAACUUGAGUGUUCAGUUAAUAUUUCUAUUAUUCAAAUUACUUGAAUUGAUGCAUAUUUCUAUUAUUUGCAUGGUAGGAUAUUGAGGUAAGUUAAAUAUGAUUGAUUGAAUCAUAUUUGUAUGAAUUUGAUUGAUUAUAGAGAUAGAUGACUAAAUUGAAUAAAAUUAAAUAUAGCAUAACUUGAUAAAAUUAUGAAAUUAGAUGUGAAUUGAGAUAACUCAUGUUAUGCUAUGUAUAUAUUGAUUACUCGGUUAAUGAAUUGGAGAUAUGAAAUGCAAAAUUGAGCUAUAUUAUGAAUUGGAUCAUUUGUUGCCACUAUUCGGGCAAAGUUGAAUAUAGUUGACGUGCCAUAGAAUAUUGAUCUACCGUGAUUUGGUGUAGUAGAUUAAACUAAUUUUUGUAUUUGAGGAGCUUGAAUACAAUCACUUUUGUCAUGUUUUGGUCGAGUUUUCAUAAUUUCAUUUAUAUUCAAUAAAAAAUGUAACUUGAGUCUUUUAUUGACUUUAGGGGUCGAAUGACGCUUAAGCAUGAGUUAAUAUGCAUUGUGAGUGUGCAGAAGACUAUUAGAAGGCGUGUUAACUCGAUACUGGUCACUAUGUUGCAACACAGAGAGUUUGAUGUAGCAACAUAGGGACCAGAAUAGAAGAAUUCCAAGUCUGUCUUUUGUGUCAAGACAUGGCUUGAGGAUGUCGCGACACACCCUUGAAGAUACCCUGAAUAUGAGCAUACUUCCCUCGAUGUCGCGAUACUUGCAUUAGGGUGUCGCAACAUCAGUCAUGUGCGGGAAGCACUUAUGAGCUGGGGCGUUUUGGUCUACACAAUUAAAUGUUUAACACAAGAACGUUAGUUGAACUAGGGUUGAGGAUGACGACAACCCUAAAUCUAUAAAUAGGCUCAUUUAACACUUGUUAUAGAUGACUUUUGAUAUUCAAAGUUUUUCUUUGUAAUUUAGUUUUUAAUUUUUUUUCUUUCUCUUAAGGUUUAGAUUUCUUUUCAGUUCUUUUCAUUCGUGUUCUUCGGAGAACUAGAUUUGUAGACGCAAUCAAACGUUUGAAGAUUUUCGCGCUUCAUCAAUCGAAUACAAUCUGGAUUCUUUAAACUUUAUUCUUGAUUUAUUUUUCAUGCAUAUAUUUAUAAUCAAGUUUACUAUGUUUAUGGAUUCCAUGAAGAACUAAUCCUCUUAUGAGGGAUUAGGGAGUGGAGGUGUGAUUAAGUAAUUGUUAUCAAGGGUUUUCUUAGCAAAUCAGCUGUUUGGGAAAGAAAGAAUUUAAACCCUAGGCUUGACGACCCUAGGAAGUCAUUUAGGUGGGAAUUAACCCAAAAUUGGUAUGGCCUGUCCGUGAACACCUUAGCCCUAAACCGGUUUGGACUAUGAGGUCGAAAGAUAAGUAGUUAUUGUUGACUUAUUAGUUUAGUGGAAGAUCGAGAGAUCCUGCUAGGAUAACGACUAGUUGAUUGAAUAGAAACCUGAAAUAGGAUUUAGUUAUAAUCACCAAAGCGAGCUAAUCACUCUUAUCUAGAUUUGAUUAAGUUUAUAAAUUAAGUUUUCCAAAGUCUACUUUAUUUAUACAUCUUUUAUUUCAUCAUUUAUAAAAAUCCAAAAAUUCUUCUUUAUGUUUCAUCGUACUAUAAUUUAUUUAAACUAAUAUUUAAUUUUAUUUGCAUUUAAGUUAACAUUAAUUUAAUACUCACCUCUCUUGGGUAGAUCAUUGGAGUACUUACCUACUUUAUUGUAAAAAUUAUAUUACAACCUGACCUGUAUACUUGCUGACAAUGGCUCAAUUAUUUAUCUUUUGUUACAGUAUUCAUACUUUAUAUGUUAGUACGUUCAGAGGCAGUCAAGUUGUUGGUGCCACUGCCAAGAAGGCAACGUUACUAAAUUGAUUUUAAUUUCUACGUUUUAAUAAGAAUAAUUAGAAAACUUUGAAUUAUAGAUACGAUUUGUAUUUUUAAUAUUAUUAAUUUAGUUGACUAACUCCUUUCUUUUUCUUUGUUAAUUUCAGUAUAUGCCUCGGAAGAGAGUAAUGCUUGUUUAGUUAGUCACUGAUCCAUAGGGAGUAAUUCGAGAAAAUCAUUCAAACAUGGAUGAAACUGAUUACAUGCGGUUCAAUGAUAAGAUGGGCUUUGAUGACGAAAUAUACAAUGAGGGAGUACAUGAAGAAUGGGAGAUCAUGGAAAAUAAAAAAUUGUUCAUGAUCGAGAUGAGCCAAUGCAGAAAUGAAGCCUCAACAUACCAGUGGAGUAAUGAACAAGGUACUAAUAUAGUCGAACAUCCAUAUGAGUUCAUUGAUAAUUUGUAUGAGGCACUUGAAGAAGAUCAUGAUAUGCCCAAACAUUCGAACAAGCCUUCUAGUGAUUCGUGUGGGAUUCCUUCAUGUGAAACCACCAGGACAAACAACUCUGAGAUAUUGUCACACAUGUCAAAUAUGAUGGUGUAAAUGAUUAAAAUGAUGCAAGAAGUAUACGAAGCGCUGCUUUCUAGGAAAGAGGAAUGUCUAACACUCACAACUUGGAUCAAGAGAACCUUUGUAUUAUCAAUGACCAUGAUGAGAAUUAUGGUGAGAUUCAAUUGAAGAUUGUAACUGAAGACCAUGGGGAUGAAUUGAACAUAGUUGAAGCAGUCUCUGAUCCAAUUAACAUAGCAGCAGAACUAAUCGUAAAGGUAGAAGUGGAAGCUAAACUAACCACUAACAUGGAGCUUAAGCCAAUAUUGAAUGAAAUUGUAGAAAAGCCAAUACACUUUUUGGUCAUAACAAAGAAGGUGCUAGUCAAAGAAGUCGAUGAGUUUGAUCCAUUCGCUUCCAACAAAAGCAAUAAAGCUCGAGGGAUCAAAACUUCAUGUGACAUGGAGAGAAGGAAGCUUGAGGCAAUAAUACCUUGGAAAGUGAUUUGGGGUUGGCUUGGAUUUACCAAAUGGCUUGUAAUGUGGAUGUCGGGCUGAUUGAAAAUAAGACAAUAUCAUUAGAAUCAAUCGAAGAGGCUGGUUCAUAUACAUCAACAGAGAAACAAAUGUCGAAUCAAAGUGUCAAGAACUAGUUGGAAGUUCUUCUACGGUGGCGAUAUAGGUUAUCUCAAUUUCUAAAGAAUUUCUAGAUUUUGUUUAAUUUUUCGGUUUUCUUUAUUUUUUUUAUUUUGUUAUUUUUAGUUUUUAGCAAGUUUUUUUUAGAAGCAGAUACUAUGGUGGGACAAAAUUGAAAAAAAAACUCAAAGAAGCUAGAAACUGGGCUUGAUGUCACGACAUCGCACCCUAAUGUUGCAUCAUCUUAGGCAGAACACACAUUGCAACAUAAAAGGCCCAAGUUCAUCCGAAUAUUUUUAGACAUUCUGUCAUCCAUUUUCAACACUUCUUCUUUUUCUUUUUCUUCUUCUUUUUAUUUUUAUUUCAUAUUUCUUGUCGUAGUAUUUUUUUAGGUACCUUUUCGUCUGCCUGAAGCACACAAAUCCUAAGAUUAUCAUAACAACAAGGACCCGACGCACUUAAGGAAGUUUUCUUGUUUGCACUAUUUUUCGUUAAAGGCAAUGUAUGUUCUAUUGUGUGGGGGGAUGUGUAUAGGAUUAUUUUGUGUGUUUUUGUUUAUGUGUUUACUUUGCUUUAGUUUAUUAUUAUUUUUCAAAAAUAUUAUUGUUUUGUUGCAUAGUGCUUGGAUUAUAUUAACAUAGUGAAUAGUGGUUGAAAAUAAUAAAACAUGUAAUGAUUUUUGUCAAUUAUGAAUUUUUUAUUGAUAUGAGAUAAUUUGAUUAUUUUAAGGGAAAUUGAUUAGGUUACCUAGUUAAAUUGCAUAAUAGAUUAGAAGUACCUAAGUAAGAAUGUUUGAUGAUGCCAUAUGAGAUAUAAGUUUUAUAGAUAGUCUUAGAGACAUGAAUGCUUGAAUUGAUUAUUAUUCAUUCAGUUUAAUUUGAAACAUGAAAGAAAUUAUGUCUGGUGGGAUGCUUAGGGAUGACCUAAGACAUUAUUUGAAUAGUUAGUUCUCAAAUGACCAUACCUUAACGCUAUGAAUCCCUACUCUCCUUAUUUGAGCCUUAUAACUCCUUUUUGAUGAACCAACAAAAUUGAAACCCAAAGACAACACAUAAAACUUGAACUAUUUUGUAAUAACCCUAACCCGUAUCCGUCGCCAGAGUAGGGUUACGAGUUAUUACCUAUCAAUUCACAACAUAUAGCAUACAUUUACCAAACAUAAAGUAUUCAUUCUUAUAAAUCAUUCAACACAAUCACAUUGUCCCUUAUAAGGGCCUAUGAGGCUUUAAACAUGCUUUAGAAGUGGCUCGAGACUAAAUCGAUAACAUAUGAAAAUUUUGGAAACUUAGAAAAAUUUCAACCAUACAGAGGUCAUACGCCCAUGUGAAUAGGCCGUGUGCCUCACACGACUACAAACACGCCCGUGUCUCUGGCAGUGUGGAAAUAGGGCAUACAUACUGACUUGGGUCAAACGGCCAACCACACACCCGUGUGUCUAGCCCGUGUGCCUUUCGAAGUGGCCACACACGCUCGUGUGCUAGGCCGUGCCAAACCUAUAGGGUAUACUAACUUAUGCAACAUGGACAAGUCACACGCCCGUGUGCUAGGCUGUGUGCUAAUUAGGGGUUAUACUAACUUGUACCACAUGGCCAGUCACACGCCCGCGUGUGAGACUAUGUGGAGCUUACUGACUUCAAUUCAAUUUCAACACCAGCAGACAUACGGCCGUGUAACAUGACCGUGUGUCACACACGGCUGAGACACAAGCCCGUGUCUCUACCCGUGUGGACAAAAUAGGCCAUUUGCAAGGCCAAUUUUCCACCCUAACUUCAAAGUACCUACACAAGGCAAAAUGGUACCAUUUCAUUAUACAAUUAGGCAACCAAAAUCAUCAACCAAAUGCACAAUUUAUACCAUUAUAAUUUCAUCUAUUCCAAAUAUCAAAUCACUACCAUUUACUUAGCUAAAUACAUGCCAAAACAAUAUCAAACAAUAUGACUCAUUUACCAUAAUUUACAUGACCACUUUAACUUUCAUAAUGUCUUGGUUACUAACCAAAAUAAGCUAUCACUCAUGAAUAUAUUUAUACAAACCAAAACAUAUACAUUUACAAGCCAUUUCUAAUAGCCAAACACAAAUCAAUAUUAAUAUCAUUUACAAGCCAAAUCUUAUGGCUAUAAUCACAACCAAAAUACCACAUCUAGCCUAUACAUGCCAUGUACCAUAAAUGUAUAAUUCAAAAGUACCAACUUAGAUGUUUGAUAGUGCGAUGAUGUUCCUGAUGACUCUCGGAUCUGAGCUAGCCUUGAUUCACUAUAAAACAUAAAAGAAUAACAUGAAUUAAGCUUCAUAGCUUAGUAAGCUCAUAUGUGAAUAACUAAAUUCAUCGAAUCAAUGCAAAUCAACCAAUUACACAUGACAAAACCAUAUCCACAUUAACUACAAACCUUUCUGAUGUCUUAAAACAUGAUCAAAUACCAUCUCAUCAAACUUUCACUAUUUAAUACUCGAAUAGGUUCUGUACAUACCUGUAUCGCCUCGUACUAACCUUUUCCUCAACCACAUCAUUCGUUCACUCGUUGAACCAUUUAGAAUAAAAAUUAGAUACUCAAGAAUCUUGUAUGAUAAGUACCUAUACCAUGGCCUGUAGCCAAAUCAAGGUAACUUAUCUGAAGAACUAUUAUCAUGGCCUGAAGGAAAAUCAUUCGAUAUGCUUGGCCUAAAGCCAAAUCGGUAAAAUACGCACCCGAAGUGCUAAUAUCAUGGCCCAAAGCCAACUCAACGUAUCACUUACUGACAUGUCAAUAGUAUCCAAAACUAUUCUUAUAGUUCAACCGGGCUUUCACACUUUUUGUUUCUAUCAUCAAAUGGACUCGUAGAGUAAUUUUCACACUUCAUACAUUAUCCAUAAUCCCAUUUUAACAAUUUAUGCAUUAUUAAAGCAUUUUAACAUACAUUUAUAAUGUAAUAACCUUGCUUUUCCCCUAAUUUAAAUUCGAAUUCUUUCUUUCUUGAUCUAUAUGAAUUCAAAAUUAUCUUAUUUAUUCAUCUACUCAUUCAAUUAAUCCAAAAUACACAUUUGGACAUUUUUACUCAUUAGCCACUAAAUCGCAUUUAAUCAAUUUAGUCCCUAUUUCACAAAUACAAAAAAUUCACACAAUUUAACAAAACCCAUGCUUGGCCAAAUUAUAUAUAAGUCCCUAGCAGCCCAAAAAUUUCAUUUAUUUCACAUUUUAACCAUGCAAUUUGCAUAUUUCACAAUUUAAUCCCUAUUAUGCAUUUUCAUAAAAAAUCACUUUACAAAACAUGAAAGUCUAUCAUAAAAAAUUCACAUUUCAUCUUCAAACACUAAAGAACACAUAAAAUCAUCAAUUAUAACUCUUAAAAUCUUUAAAAUUUUCAAAAUUAACGGUAGGGCUAGCUAGAUUAAGCUGCAAUGAUUACAAAAACAUAGGAAUCAUAAAAAACCGAGCUAAAAUUGUACCUUAAUCAAGCUAGGAGUGUGUUGAAAUUUUCAAACCCUAAAUUAGCUUUUCUUCAUGCUUCAUUCGGCCAAGGACGAUAAUAAUAAGAUUACUUUUGUGUUAUGUUUUAUUUAAUUAACCUUUAUUAACCAAUUUACAAAAAUAACCUUAAUGAACAUUAAUUAUUUCACUUCAUGCCAAACCAUUAUCAUCCAUUAACUCUCUAAUGGGUAAAUUAUCACUUAAGGACCUUAAAUUUAAGGUUUUAUAGCUAAUAGAUACCUUUACCUAUUAGAACAACACUUUUGCACUUUAAGCGAUUUAGUCCUUUUUAUCAAAUUGAGCAACCAAAUGCUAAAAUUUCUUAACGAAAAUUUCACACCAUUAUAUAUUCAUGCUAUAAACAUUAAAAUAAUAAUAAAAUAAAUAUUUUGACCUCGGACUUGUGGUCCCGAAACCACUGUUUUGAUUUAACCAAAAAUGGGCUGUUACAACUCGGGUAUUAUUUUCUUACCAGUAAAUAGGUUUGAGUAUUGUUUUCUUAUAGCAUCCUCGGGUUCCCAUGUAGCUUUUUCAACUUCAUGUCGACGCCAUAAUACUUUUACUAAUGUGAUUCUCUUAUUUCUCAGUUCUUUAAUUUGACGAGCUAAAAUUCUAAUCGGUUCUUUAGCAUAUGGCAUAUCAGACUGAAUUUUAACCUCUGUCGGGGAAAUGACAUGUGAGGGGUCGGAUCGAUAUCUUCACAGCAUCAAUAUGUGAAACACAUUAUGUAUCUUUUCUAACUUAGACGGUAAGGACAGCCAAUAUGCCACUGGCCCAACUCGUUCAAUAACCUCAUACGGCCUAAUGAAUCGCGGACUCAAUUUCCCUUUCUGACCAAACCGCAAUAUCUUUUUCCACGGUGACACUUUCAAAAACACCUUAUCCCCAAUAUGGAACUCAAUAUCUUUCCAUUUCAAGUCUGCGUAUGAUUUCUGUCGAUCCGAAGUUGCUUUCAAACUAUCGCGAAUUACUUUUACUUUUUCUUCUGUCUCUCUAAUCAGAUCAAACCUGUGAAUCUUAUUUUAACUAAGCUCACUCCAGUACAAUGGUGUUCGACAUUUACGACUAUAUAGAGCUUCGUAUGGUGCCAUCUUUAUACUCGAUUGGAAGCUAUUAUUGUAAGCAAAUUCAAUCAGCGAUAGAUAUUUCUCCCAGCUACCUUCAAACUCAAGAAUGCAACAACGUAACAUAUCCUCAAGUAUCUGAAUAACUCGUUCGGAUUGACCAUCUGUUUGCGAGUGAAAUGUAGUGCUAAAAUACAGCUUUGAACCCAAAGCUUCUUGCAAUUUCUUCCAAAAUCACCAAGUAAAUCUUGGAUCUCUAUUCGAAACAACAGAUAGGGGAACACCCUGUAAUCUCACAAUUUCGAAAAUAUACAACUCAAAUAAUUUAUCAAGCGAGAAAUCUGUACAUACCAGAAUGAAAUGAGUUGACUUCGUCAAUCUGUCAACAACAACCCAGAUCGUAUCUUUCUUUUUUGGAGAUAAGGGCAAACUCGAUACGAAAUCCGUUGUUACUCUAUCCUACUUCCACUCAGGAAUCAUAAUAGGCUGUAAUAAACCUGACGGCACUUGAAGCUCAUCUUUGACUUGCUAACAAAUCAAACAUUUCAAAACAAAUUCUGAGAUAUCUCGUUUCAUGCUGUGCCACCAAUAAUAUUGUUUCAAAUUGUUAUACAUUUUUGUGCUUUCUGGAUGUACUGAUAAACAACUAUUGUGUGCUUCGUUUAGAAUCUUCCGAAUCAGCUCAAAAUUUCUUGGUACACAUAUUGUAUCACGAAACAUCAAAUAGUCAUCAGGCCCUAUUCGAAACUCGGAAUCAGAAGUCAACUCACAUUGAGCUCGUUUUGCUGGCAAUUCAUUAUCAAAUUUUUUAGCCUCACAAAUCUACUGUAGAAAUAACAAUCUCGCUUUCAACUUGGCUACUAUCGAACCGUCGUCAGACAAAGCUAAUUGUGUGUUCAAAGCACAUAAAACAAAUAAGAACUUUCGACUCAAAGCAUCAGCAACUACGUUCGCUUUCCCCAGAUGAUAGUGAAUCAUUAAUUCAUAGUAUUUUAGCAAUUCUAACCAUCUUUGCAUUCGCAAAUUCAAAUCUUUCUGAUUUAUUAGAUAUUUCAAGCUUUUGUGGUCGGUAUAAAUAUGACAUUUCUCACCAAACAAGUAAUGGCUCCAAAUUUUCUAUGCGAACACUAUCGCGACUAACUCUAGAUCGUGCGUCGGAUAAUUCUUUUCAUGCAACUUCAACUAUCUCAAGGCAUAAGGUCCAACUUUGCCUUCCUGCAUCAAAACACAACGCAGGCCAUUUAAUGAUGCAUCAUUGAAAACUACGAAUUAUUUACCCGACUCAAGCUGAACUAACAUUGGUGCCUCUGUCAAUAAUGCUUUCAACUGUUCGAAGCUCUGCUGACACUUUUCUAACCACUCAAAUUUAACAUCUUUUUGAAGCAAUCGUGUCAUCGGAGUCGCAAUCAUCAAGAAGUCUUUCACAAAUCGUCUAUAAUAGCCGGCUAGUCUUAGAAAACUAUGAAUUUUGAAUACAUUUCUCAAAGAUCUAUAAUCGCAGAAAUUUUGCUCGGGUCAACUUGGAUACCCGCGACUGAAACUAUAUGUCCUAGAAAACCAACCUCUCGUAACCAAAACUCACAUUUGCUGAACUUUGCAAACAACUGUUUAUUUCUCAAAGCUUGUAACAUGAAUCUCAAAUGCUCGGCAUGUUUAGGUUCAUCAUGAAAGUAAAUCAAAAUGUCAUCAAUGAACACAACUAUGAUUCGGUCUAAGUAUAGCCUGAAAAUCCGGUUCAUCAAGUCCAUAAAAACAAUAGGUACAUUUGUUAGUCCAAAAAGCAUAACAAGAAAUUAGUAGUGUCUGUACCUUGUUCUAAAUGCAGUCUUUGGCACAUUUAAAUCUUUAACUCACAACUAGUAAUAACCCGAUCUCAAAUCAAUUUUCGAAAACACUGUUGCCCCUUUUAACUUAUCAAACAAAUCAUCUAUUCAUGGCAAAGGGUAUUUAUUCUUGAUCAUCACUUUAUUGAGCUGUCGAUAGUAUAUACACAUUCUCAUCGUGCCAUCUUUCUUUUUCACAAAUAACACCGUUGCACCCCAGCAAGAGAAACUCGGUCUAGCAAAACCUUUAUCUGUCAACUCUUGCAACUGAGCUUUCAAUUCUUUUAACUCUGUCGGAGCCAUUCUAUUCGGAGCUAUCGAUAUCGGUGUUGUUCUCGGUACUAAUUCAAUACCAAACUCAACCUCUCUGAUAGGUGGUAAACCUGAUAACUUUUCGGGAAAUACAUUUGGAUACUCGUACACAACUGGUACUAAUUCAAUCUUUGUUUUUGUCACUUUUGUAUCAAGUACAUAAGCAAGAUAAGCUUCACACCCCUUUCUCACAAAUGUCUGAGCUAACAUAGAUGAGAUCACAACUGGCAAACUAUUCAAAUCAUCAAAUUCAAUUCUAAUAGUCUCAUUAUUCUGACAUUUCAAUUCAAUUAUCUUUCAUCUACAAUUCAUUAUGGCAUCAUGCAUCGUUAGCUAAUUCAUACCCAAAAUCACAUCAAAUUCAUCGAAUGACAACAACAUCAAAUUAGCCAGAAAACAAAAAUCCCGAUUCAUUAACGGAUAAUUCUUGUAGACUUUGUCAACUAAAACACAUUUGUCUAAGGGGUUCGAUACUCUAAUCACAAAUUUAGUAGACUCUACAGGAAAAGUCUUACUAGAUACUAAAUUCAUACAUAUGUAAGAAUGGGUUAGUCCUGGAUCUAUCAAUGCAAUCACAUUAGUAUCAUAGAGAGUGAAAGUAUCAGUGACAACAUCUGGAGAUGAUGCUUCUUCGCGAGCGUGAAUAACGUAGGCUCUAGCAGGUGCUCUAGUUUUAAAUCUCACAGCUGAAUCCUUUGUCGCCCCUCUACUACCACUUACAUUUUCGACGAUUCUAGGUGGUCUACCUCUAUUCGACGUGUUACUUGAUCUCACAUUUUGAACUUUAUCUUUCUCAUCCAGCUUAGGGCAAUCUCAGAUGAAGUGAUAUAGCGAACCACAUUUGUAACAAACUUUAUUAUUUUUAUUCCAGCAUUCUCCAAAAUAUCGUCUCCCACACUGCUGACACUCGGGUUUGUUGUCUCUCACACUUCCAACACUCGAUACUAGUGUAGCUUGAGCUUUAGAACCUGAGUAUUAUUUUAUGUGAUCUUUGUUUGAAUAUUCAUUUGAAGCAUUUGGGCGAGCGUACGAAUCUCUAGAUUUCUUUGAUGAAGAUUGAUACGGCUUACUCAUCGAUCUUUUUCUCGAGUCUUUAGCUUCUGAAUCUGCCUUUCUUUUUUCUUUGCUAAGAUCAUCGGCUUUACAAGCUCUUUCAAACAGAACAAAAAAUUCUUUUAAUUCUAGAAUUCCGACUAGUAGUUUUAUAUCUUCGUUCAACCUGUCAACGAACCACUUACACAUAAUCUCUUCGGUAGAAACAUACUCCUUGGCAUACUUACUCAACCGUACAAAUUCCCUUUCGUACUUAGUUACAGUCAUUCGGCCUUAUUUUAAUUCUAAAAACAUUUUUUGCUUUUGAUCAAGAAAUCUUUGACUGAUGUAUUUCUUUUGGAAUUCGGAUUGAAAGAACUCCCAAGUAACCCGUUCUUUCGGAACUACAGAUAUCAACGUGUUCCACCAUUGAUAUGCGAUGUCUCUCAGCAAAGAUACAACAUAUUUAAUACAUUCAUCAAGAGUACAAGACAAUUCAUCGAAUACUUGAAUCAUAUUUUCAAGCCAGAACUCAACUUUCUCAGGAUCAUCAUCAACAUUCAAUCUAAAAUCUGCAGCCCCAUGUUUGCAGGUCUUGUCAACUGGAGGCUUAUUCAAUCUUAAAAGCUCAAUUCCUUGAGGAGCUACUAGAAUCGGUUAGGGAUUAGGAGGGGUGGGAGGUUGUUGAGCAGUCGGGUUCGUAUGAAUGUAUUGAGUGAACCAUUUGUUUAUCAUUUGGAAUAAGGCUUCUUUAGCCUCACUAACUACCCGUCAUGGGUCUAGAAUCAGAUGGCAUUAUCCCUUGCGUGGGAGCAGGUAUAUGACUCUCAACCUCAUCGGUUAUAGCUCAAUUAGGAUCCAUUACUAUAUGAAAACACAGUUUAAAAUGUCACGAGUCAUCUCACUAUCUCAGUUUAUAUAUAUGGCAUGUAUAACUAAACUUACAUACGCUAUGUUAGUCCUAGAAUCAACUAAAUCGUAACUCUGAUACCAAUAAAAUGUAACACCCCUAACCCCUAUCCGUCGCCAGAGUAGGGUUACGAGGUAUUACCGAUCAAUUCACAACAUAUAGCAUACAUUUACCAAAUAUAAAGCAUUCAUUCUCAUAAAUUAUUCAACACAAUCAAUUGUCCCUUAUAAGGGCCUACGAGGCCUUAAACAUGCUUUAGAAGUGGUUCGGGACUAAACUGUUAACAUAUGAAAAUUUUGGAACCUAAAAAAAUUUCAACCAUACAGAGGUCACUCGCUCGUGUGAACAGGUCGUGUGCCUCAUACGGCUACAGACACGCCCGUGUGAACAGACCAUGUGCCUCAUACAGCUAUAGACACGUCCGUGUCUCUGGCCGUGUGGAAACAGGGCAGACAUACUAACUUGAGGCACACGGCCAACCACACGCCUAUGUGUCUAGCCCGUGUACCCUUGGAAGUGGCUACACACUUCCGUGUGCUAGGCCAUGCCAAACUUGUAGGGUAUACUAACUUAUGUAACACGGCCAAGUCACAUGCCUAUGUGCUAGGCUGUGUGCCAAUUAGGGGGUAUACUGACUUGUACCACACGGCCAGUCACACGCCCGUGUGUGAGACCGUGUGGAGCAUACUGACUGCAAUUCAAUUUCAACACCAGGGGACACACGGCCGUGUAACAUAACCGUGUGUCACACACGGCUGAGACACACGCCCGUGUCUCUACCUGUGUGGACAAAAAUAGGCUAUUUGCAAGGCCAACUUGCCACCCCUACUUCAAAGUACCUACACAAUGCAAAAUGGUACCAUUUCAUUAUAUAAUUAGGCAGCCAAAAUCAUUAACCAUUUCAUCUAUUCCAAAUCUCAAAUCACUACCAUUUACUUAAACAAAUACAUGCCAAAACAAUAUAAAAAAAUAUAGCUCAUUUACCAUAAUUUACAUAAUCAUUUUAACUUCCAUAAUGUCUUGGUUACAACCAUGCCUAAACAAACCAAAAUAAGCCAUCACUUAUGACUAUAUUUAUACAAACCAAAACAUAUACAUUCACAAGCCAUUUUUAAUAGCCAAACACACGUCAAUAUUAACAUCAUUUACAAGCCAAAUCUCAUGGCUAUAAUCACAACAAAAAUAGCACAUCUAUCCUAUACAUGCCAUAUACCAUAAAUGUAUAAUUCAAAAGUACCAACUUAGAUGUUUGAUAGUGCGAUGAUGUUCCCAACGACUCCCGGAUUUGAGCUAGCCUUGAUUCACUAUAAAACAUAGAAGAAUAACAUGAAGUAAGCUUCAUAGCUUUAUAAGCUCAUAUGUGAAUAACUAAAUUCUUUGAAUAAAUGCAAAUCAACCAAUUACACAUAAAAAACCAUAUACACAUUAACCACAAACCUUUCUUAUGUAUCAAAACAUAAUCAAAUACCAUCUCAUCGAACUUUCACUAUUAAAUACUCGAAUAGGUUUGGUACAUACCUAUAUCGUCUCGUACUAACCUCUUCUUCAACCACAUUGUUCAUUCACCCGUUGAACCAUUUAGAAUAGAAAUAAGAUACUCAAGAAUCUUAUACGAUAAGUACCUAUACCAUGGCCCAUUGCCAAAUCAAGGAAACUUAUCUGAAGAACUAUUAUUGUAACACCCCUCACCCGUAUCCAACAUUGGGAUAGGGUUCGAGGCUUUAACGGACUUAAACAUUCACAACAACACAUAACAUAUUACCAACCAUGUAUGGAAAACAAGCAUAUGCACAUCACCAAUAUCAAACAUAACAUAAAUAGCUAGAUUUAUAAGUCAGAAUCAUUAACUCACUAAAGACCAAUAUAUUUGGCCAAAUUAUAAUAACACAUGUUAUAAAAACUAGGUCCCUAUACAUGCCACUCACUUGAUAAUUCUAGCAUAUGUGUUUAUACUGUCAAGGUGUUGGCUUCAUAGUGUGAUGCUGCCUCCGAUGAUCUCCAACCCCGAGUUAACCUGACAACACUAAAAGAAAUAGAAAGGAGGGGGAAAGCUUUACGCUUAGUAAGCUCGCAUGAAAAUAAUAAGCAAUUUACUAACAUGCUUUCCAUAGUAAAACUAACCCAAUUGUACAUUUACACAUUUUCUGGUUAAGCUACUUUUUUGAGUCACGGUCACUAAAUCAUUUAUAUCUGGAGUUACAGAACUCCAAAUUAAAUACGUAAAUUUUCCCAGAAACUAGACUCAUAUAUCUUUCCACAAUAAAAUUUUUAGAAUUUUUGGUCUAGCCAAUAAGUACGGUUUAUUAUUCAAAGUCUCCCCUGUUUUGCUAUUAGACAACUUCAACCUUUCUUAACUAAAAUUUAUUUAUCUCAUAGUACAAGACUCAGAUAAUGUUCCCAUUUCUUUCUCCUGAAAGUAGACUCAUUAAGGAUUCUAAGAAUAUAAAUUAUAACCCAUAAUUAUUUUUCUACAACAUUUAACAAUUUUUCCAAGUCAGAACAGGGGAUCCAGAAUUCAUUCUGACAUUAUCUCACAAAAAUUAUAAUAUCACAUAAUAUAUAACUCUUUUACUCCCCCUGUUUCUUUUAUAUGAAAAUAUACUCAUUAAGAUUUAAUUCCAUAAUUUACUUGAAAUUUAAUUCAACUUACACAAUUUUUAGUGAAUUUUCAAAGUCACACAACUGCUGCUGUCCAACACUGUUUUACUACUAAAAUUCACCAUUAAAUAAUUUCACUUAAUCCAUUUUGUCUUAUCGAAGUCCACUCAAAUAUCGAGCAUAUUGCUCAAAAUUUUCUUAAACAUAUACCUGCACUUAUUCAUCAUAUAAUCAUGUUCACAUGUAUUUUUACUUAAUCGAUUUUCCCAUUGAACUCUUCGGAAUAAUAACUGAUACUCAGUUGCCUGCACAUAUUUUCACACUUGUAGCCAAAGCUAUCUGGUACGCAUAGUAGCCUGCACUUAGUACUACACAUGCGACCAAUUAUCCGGUACACGUAGUAGCCUGCACUUAGUACUACACACAUGACCUAACCAUCUAAUACACGUAGUAGCCUGCACUUAGUACUACACACGUGAUCGAAGUUAUCGGGUACGCAUAGUAGCCUGCACUUAGUACUACACAUGUGCCCAAUUAUCCGGAACACGUAGUAGCCUGCACUUAGUACUACACACGUGACCUCACAAUAGAUCAUUCGUAUCGUUUCUAUUCCAAAGGCUCAACCGGGAAAUUCCUCACUUUCCAACAUGUUACAGUUUAUUCAUAGUCCUUUUUCAAUUUGCAAUUUACAACAAAUAAUCAUUCUAUUGGCAGCCACAUUUCAUAUGAUAACAAAAUAUAAUAAAAUAAAAAGAAUCGAUAAAUUAUUUACGUACAAUCUUACCUCAGAUUCAGAAAUGGCAAUUUUUCAUUCUAGUCCAUAACUUUGUAUUUUUUGAAUUUAAGCCCAAAUCUCGAUUUCCUUGAUCUAUAAUAUCACAUUUAGCCUAUUAAUUAGUCACACUAUUCAUAUGGGUCAAAAAAUCAUAUUUUUACAAAUUUUCAUUUUGACCCCUAAACUUUUGCAUUUUUGCACUUUUGCCCCAAGGUUCGGAAAUUAAACUUCUUCCUAUUUUCUUAUGUUUUAUGACAUGCUGAUCAUUUUUCCCUUCUAUGACAACAUCAAAUUCUCACUCUAACAUGUACUUAUGAACAUUAGGUAUUUUUAGCGAUUAUACUGUUUUACUUGUUUUCACAUAAAAUCACUUAGCAAAAGUUGUCUAACACAAUUUCAAGCUUCAUAUUCUACCAUUAAACAUCAAAAUACAUGCAUAUCAUUCAUGGGUAAAUUUUUAAACAUAAAUCCUAGCUCAAAAUAAUGGUAGAAAUGAGUAGAUCAUGUUACUCGGAUUUCAAAAAUACAUAGAACAUUAAAAACGGAGCUCGGAAUCACUUACUAUUAAGCUUGGAAGCUUGGCCAAACCCUAACCAUGGCUAUUCUUAGUACAUUCUGCUGUAGCAAGAAGAAAGGGACACAUUUGGAGUUUAAAAUUUGUCUUUUAAUUCAUUUUACCCCUAAAUGACUAAAAUGCCCUUCUUAUUAUUCUUUCAAAAUUUACCCAAUCAAGGCCAUUUUUGUCCAAAAAGUUAUAAAAUGGUUUAAUUAUCAUUUAAGGACCUCCCAUUUAAAAUUUCCUAACAAUUUGAUACCUCUAACAUGUAGAACUCAACUUUUGCACUUUUUAUAAUUUAGUCUUUUUUACUAAAUUGAAUGCCCAAACGUCAAAAUUUUCGAACGAAAUUUUCACGAAAUCAUUUCAUGAAAUCGUAGACCAUAAAGAUAUAAUAAAAAUGAAAUUUUCCUCAUCAGAUUUGUGAUCCCGAAACCAUUGUUCCGACUAAGCCCAAAAUUAAGAUGUUACAAUUAUCAUGGCCCGAAGCCAAAUCAUCUGAUAUUCAUGGCCCGAAGCCAAAUCGGUAAAAUACAAGCCUGAAGUGCUAAUAUCAUGGCCCAAAGCCAGCUCAAAGUAUCACUUACUGACAUGUCAAUAGUAUCCAAAACUAUUCUUACGGUUCAACCGGGAUUUCACACAUUUAGUUUCUAUCAUCGAAUGCUCUCGUAGAGUCGUUUUCACACUUCAUACAUUAUCCAUAAUCCUGUUUUAACAAUUUAUGCAAUAUUAAAGCAUUUUAACAAAAAUUUAUAAUGUAAUCAUUACAUACGAACUUACCUCAUAUUUAGAAUUGACGGAUCGGGUCGACUACUCGAUAACCUUACUUUUCCCCUGAUCUAAAUUCGAAUUCUUUCUUUCUUGAUUUAUAUGAAUUUAGAAUUAUCUUAUUUAUUCAUCUACUCAUUCAAUUAAUCUAAAAAUACACAUUUGGGAAUUUUACACAUUAGCCCCUAAACUUUCACUUUUAAUCAAUUUAGUCUCUAUUUAACAAAUACAUAAAAUUCACACAAUUCAACAAAACCCAUGCUUGGCUGAAUUAUAUAUAGGUCCCUAGUAGCCCAAAACUUUCAUUUAUUUCACAUUUCAACCACACAAUUUGCACAUUUCACAAUUUAAUCCCUAUUAUGCAUUUUCAUCAAAAAUCACUUUACAAAACAUGAAAGUCUAUCAUCAAAAAUUCAUAUUUCAUCUUAAAACACCAAAGAGCACAUAAACUCAUCAAUGAUAACUCUUUAAGUUUUUAACAGUUUCAAAAUUAAAGGUAUGGGCUAGCUAGGUUAAGCUGCAACGAUUACAAAAAUAUAGAAACCAUAAAAAAUCGAGCUAAAACCAUACCUUAAUCAAGCUAGGAUUGUGCCAAAAUUUUCAAACCCUAAAUUAGCUUUUUUUCAUGCUUCAUUCAGCCAAGGAUGAUAAUAAUAAGAUUAAUUUUGUGUUUUGUUUUAUUUAAUUAACCUUUAUUGACCAAUUUACAAAAAUAACCUUAAUGAACAUUAAUUAUUUCACUCCAUGCCAAACCAUUAUAAUCCAUUAACUCUUUAAUGGGUAAAAUAUCACUUAAGAACCUUAAGUUUAAGGUUUUAUAGCUAAUAGAUUGUAACGCCCCAAUUUUUGGGCCUGAAAGUAUUGGGCCUUCAGUUUGGGUUCGGGUGGAAAAUGGCCCGAAUAAUUUGGAUGUUAUUAUUAUUAUUUUGUAUGUUUAGUUUAGUAAUUAAAUAAAUUACGAAGGGUUUAUGGUGUGGGAAAAAAGGCCCAAGAGUAAAUUUAAUUCGAGGUAAUUCCUGAAUUUUAAUUUUGGGAAAGAGGGUUCUGGCGAUCUGGGCUUUUAAAGUUGAGGUGGUAAAAUAGGAAACAAAUAAGGCCUUGGUAAAGUGGCAAGGUGGUGCCACUAAGUUCCUAAAAAAAAUGGUGUCUGGGAAGGAAUUAAAGGUCCAGGGUUCAAGUUGCAAGGUAAACAUAUUGUUACUUUUUAAUUUUAGGUAUGUGUUGGGCAUGUGAUCACUUAAGUGAAUUUCGGCAAGGGCCUUAGGGAGGUUGGGCCGAUUGUUUUAGUUGAUAUUAGGGUUAGGUUCUUUUCUUUUUCUGUCUUGGAAAAUUAGGGUUAUCCAUUUGAAAGCUUUCACUGCCAUUCAUCCUUUCUGAGUUCUCACAAAAGCCGAAAAUGCAAAUUCCUUCUCCUUGGUGCCGAUUUCUUUUUCCUCUCUUUUUCCUCUAUUUUCUUUCUUCCUUUUUGCUUUUUCUUCUAGCUGAAACCUUUUGAUCACCUUACUCACCUCCUCUGUCAAUCCCAUCCUCCACAAAACCUCCAUAGCUAGUUGCCAUAAAAGCCGAAAUCUCGAAAACUCACUUCUUGUGCCGAUUUCUCCAAGCCAAAAUCCUUCAGUUAUAUUUGUUCUUUUUGAUCAAAUUUCAUCUUCUCUAAACCCUUAGUAUCUAUUGGAAACAUUACUUCAAAGUUCUAGCCUCAAAUCGUCAUCUUAUUCAUCACUUAAAAAGCCGAAAUACCAUAGAUUUAGGGACUUAUAGCCGAAACUUCAGAUCUCCUGGAUUCAAGUUCUACUAUCAUUUAGAGGAUGGAUCUACAUCAGAUCUGCAUAGAAAUCAAAGAGGAAUAAGUGGUAAGUGCUCAUCACCUCAGAUCUAGUCUUAUUUUACAAUUUAGAAAAGCCGAAAUCCCUAAAAUCUAGGGAGGCUGUCGAUUUGGGAAUAGGGCUUUAAGGGUCUUUAACCGACAAUUUCUUUUGGUGAUUAGUGUCUUCAAGAGGUUUUAUUGAAGGCUUGGAUCUUUGGAACAACUAGACUUAGAUCUAGUCAUCGAUUUUCGGCAAAAAGGUAAGAUUCUAAAGGCUUUAGAGGCAUGGUUCGAAUAUGGGUUGCUGAAUAUUGGGAUUGGUUGUUGUGGGUUGCAAACCAAGAAUUGUGGUAAUCAAUUGUAGGACAUCGUAAGGGAUCUCAGUAGCAGUCGUCACGAAAUAGGUGUGUAUCGAACACCCUUUCAUAGUUCAAUUCGGCAAAAGUCGAAAUACCAAAAUUCUGGCAUUUCGUGGGCUUGUGAGUGUGCGAGCACUCGCAAGACAUUUAGAAAUCAUUAGAUCUGAAAUCGCAAAGUGGAAAGUUAGUCAUGUGUGAAAUUUUGUGUACUUCAGUAAUUGGGCCUCGAUAGGCUAAAAUUGGGCCCAAUGGGCUUACGGGCCCAUACGGGUAAAAUAAUAAAAAAAUAGGCAAUAAGUAUGUUCUGUUAGGCUGUGGAAUUGAAACUGCUUAAACCGGUAAACUGGUCAUAAAACUUGAAUUAAAUGGGCUUAAAUUGCUAGUGGACAUUGUAGGGCCCAUUAGGGGUUUUAGGGCCCAAGGGCUAAAAUUGUGAAAUUGAGACAAAUAAGUUAUUGUGAUGAUAAAUGGGCUAGUAAGGACCGUAACAUUCAUGAGAACCCUUAAAACUGAUAAAAUUACUGAAAUACCUUUAUAGGUGGAAAAUUUACAGAUUUACCCCUAGGAGAAAAAUUACUGAUAUACCCCUAGGGUUAAGGUUGACCUGAAUGCAUGUUUGACUGUUACUAUUUACUGCAUGCCAUGUUAUUAUUAUCUGAUGUAUGGGACUGGGUUAUUGAUGGAGGAAGUACUGAAAGUGGCUUGACUACGUACUGGAGGCUUUGCCUCAACUUACUGAUAUCUGAGCAGCAAUGCUGCAACUGUGGAGUGUAGGGCUGGGUGGGUUGAGCUACUCCCCACAUGGAGUGUAGGGCUGGUACGGGUGGAGUGUAGCGGUUGGUUAUAGGCUGGCUUGGGCUUGCAUACACGAAUAUGUCUGUUCUGUUCUGGAAUGGGCCUAUGGGCCAUACUGUUAUCUGAAAAGGGGCUAAGGCCUAGGUUACUGUAUUGUGAAAAGGGCUUCGGCCCAGUACCCACUGUUAUCUGAAUAGGGCAUAGGCCCAAUGGGCUUGAGCUGACUUGGGCUUUGGAUGGGUUUUCCAUUCACACUGAGUUUUCUAAACUCACCCCCUUUCUCUUCCAUCCUUGCAGGUGAGCCCUAGUUGGUGGACCUGGAGCUGGGCAGGAUUCAGAGUGGCCACGAAGAUUAAAUUUCUGGUUUUUUUUUAAAUAAGUUUCAAUUAGCUUCCUUUUAAAUUUCGCAUUUAUUUUUGAUUAUUUCUAUUUUGGUUAAAGUUGUAAUAAGGCCACUCUAUUAUUUUUAUUUUGGGUUUUUAAAUUGGUUAGCUCUAGGGCGCGUUUUAUAGAAGUUACUUAUUUUCAAAAUAUCAUGAUAACCGAGCAAAGCUUCCGCAACGUAAAUGUUUUCAAAGGAAAUAAAUAUUUUAAAUAGAUUUAAACUUAAUCUGUUGUUGGUGGACAAGUAAUAAGCUUAAAGUGUGGCAAUGGAGGUGUGCAUGUUUAGGAUUGGAUCAUGGAAGAACUAAGUACUUAAGCACUCUAAUUGACUCACCUCCUCUUUUCUUGAAUCCUACCUUGUGCGCAGCUUCCAUUCACUUUAAUUUAAAAUGAAAAUGUUCUUUAAACACUAAGAAAGAUUUUAGAUAAAACAUGACUUCUCUAAUAACGCUUCAAUGUGACACGCCAGAUUCGGUCGUAACGUCUAGGCCGGGUUUGGGGUGUUACAUAAAUACCUUUAACUAUUAGAACAACACUUUUGCACUUUACGCGAUUUAGUCCUUUUUAUCAAAUUGAGCAACCAAAUGCUAAAGUUUCUUAACGAAAAUUUCACACCAUUAUAUAUUCAUACUGUAAACAUUAAAACAAUAAUAAAAUUAAUAUUUUGACCUCAGAUUUGUGAUCCCAAAACUACUAUUUUGAUUUGACCAAAAACGGGCUAUUAUAUCUUCCCUAUCCAUAGUCCUUUAAUACAUUAUGAAAUAGACGCCAGACCAUAGAUAUUGAGGGUUUAGGUAGAUGCAUUACAGUGGUUCCAAAAUAAGAAGAGCGACAAAGGAAGAAACAAUGUGAUAAGUGAUUAUAGGUCGGGCAAAAAUGUUCGAAAAUGAAAAAAAAAUCGAAAGUAAAAAUGUGUGAAAAAAGUAUAGAAUAGAAACAAAAACAUUGUAACUGAGAAAAGAGUAAAAAGUCAAGUGAAAAAACAAAAAGUCACAAAAGUGAGCAAAAAAAUCAGUCAUCAGUGCACCAAAACUCGUUAAGUCGAGAUAAGGUAGGUGAGAAAGGGAGACAAAAGGUGGUGAGCUUGGAUGGGACGUUAAGGGGGAAGAUAGAGAACAAUGUCAUAUGCCGAACUAUUUCUAGUGUUUGAAUCGUUUUAAGCCAUAUCUUUCUGUGAACUCAUAUUGUUCUAAGCCUUAAACAGUUACAAGCCUAGAAGACCAAUGUGACUUAAGUGUUAUCUGUGCAUAAUAUUAUGGAAUUGCUAACAAUUACACUCAAUGAAUAUUUUAAAAUUCACAUGAUUGUGUCUACUACAUGUCUUUUUUAUUUAUGCUAAUGGUGAUAUUGUUAAAUAUUAGGUCAUGGGAAUUACUUCUAAUUUGUUAGUAAUGUAACUUUGUAAACUAAUCUUGUUUUGCAUUAAAAAAUUUCAAAGUAUUGAACUAUCAAAAUUAAGUUACUUGUGCGAUAAUAAUUGUUAUACCUUUCAUAUUUGCAAUCAUGUUCUUAGUAGCAAUAAAAUGUAAGGGAUGUCUUCUUAUUACAUGCUAUGUGUCUAGACUUGAUUUGUUUGUGGACAAGCAAAAUUUAAGUGUGAGGGAGCCUAGGUGUGUGGUUCUUAUUUACAACCAUCUUCACUAAUUCUAGCUUGUUUAAAGAAAGAAACCAAGUAGUUAUUUUUUUUUAUGUUUUGUAGUUUGGUUUACUUUUAUUUACAACUAAAAUUUUUCCCUUUUUGUUUUCAUACCUUCUUUUUUGUUUAUUUUAAUUAUAUGUUUACAUUGCUUGAGGACAAGUAAUAACUUAAGUGGGAGGGAGUUUAAUCUACCAUAAUUCUGUGUAGCAAAUUAAACUAGUUUUCACAUUUAAGGAGCUUGAAUACAAGCUUUUUUUGUUAUGUUUUAGUCGAGUUUUCAAAAUUUCAUACAUUCAAUAAAAAGUGUAAUUUGAGUACGUUAUUGACAUUAGGGCUGAAUGAGGCCUCAAGAUGAGUUAAUAUACUUUGUGAGUGUGCAGGAGACCAUUAGAAGAUGUGCUAACUUGAUGGUAGUCGUUGUGUUAUAGCACGAAGAGUUUGAUGUUGCAACAUAGGGAGUAGAAUAGAAGAAUUCCAAGACUACCUUCGAUUUUGCGACACGGCCUGAGGAUGUCGUGACACACCCUUGAAGAUACCCCAAAUAUGAGUAUGCUGCCCUCAAUGUCCCGACAAAGGCACUAGGGUGUCAUGACAUUAGUCCUGUACUGGAAACAUUUACUAGCCAAGGGAGUUUUGGUCUGUACAAUCAAAUGUUUAACACGAGAGCAUCAACUGACCUAGGAUUGAGGACUACGACAACCCUAAAUCUAGAAAUAGGCUCAUUUAACACUUAUUAUGGAUGACUUUUGAUAUUCAAAGUUUUUCUUUGUAAUUCAAUUUUUCUUCUUUCUCUUAAGGUUUAGAUUUCUUUUUAGUUCUUGUCAUUCGUGUUCUUCGAAGAAAUUGAUUUGUAGACAAAAUAAAAUGUUUAAGGAAUUCUAUGCUUCAUCGAUCGAAUAUAAUCAGGAUUCUCUAAACUUUAUUCUUGAUUUAUUUUUUCAUGCACAUAUUUAUCAUCAAGUUUACUAUGUUUAGGGAUUCCAUGAAGAAUAAAUCCUCUUAUGGGGGAUUAGGGAGUGGAGGUGUAAUUAACUAAUCAUUAUGAAGGGUUUUCUGAGCGGAUCAACUGUUUGGGAAAGAAAAAACUUAAGCCCUAGGCUUUACGAUCCUAGGAAGUCAUUUAAGUGGGAAUUAACCCAAAAUUGGUCCAGCCUAUCCUUGAACACCUUCGCCCUAAACCGGUUUGGAUUGUGAGGUCGAGUGGUAAAUCAUAAUUUAUACAUAUUUCUAUCCCAUGCUUAGCACAUUUUAUGGAUGAAUUUUUCUUAAAAUUGGUGAAUUUGAUGCUCCUAAUGCCUUAAUUUCAUAUUUUAUACUUAGGUGAGCAUAGGAGAGUGAAAGGAACGAGAAACGGGCCAAAACGGAAAAAAUUGGCCAACGUACGAAAUCAACACGGCCUAGACCUCCUCACACGGGCAAACCACACGGCCGUGUCAAUUUGGAAGAAUCGAAGCACGACUCACACGAGUGGACCACACGCCCGUGCCUAUUUAACAGGCUUCACCACAACCUGAAGUAAUCGCACAUGGACGUGUCACACGGGCGUGUCCCUAUUGAGCCCAAAUUGAGUCCAAUUCAGAAAAGGCCAAUUUUGAGGGUUCUUAAGCAUUCUAAAGCCUAUAAAUACACCCUAGAGGAGGAGAAAAAGGGGACACUAAGGAGGAAGCAGGGAACUGCUCAAGGAAAGUCGAUUGAUCUAUCUCAGAAGCCGGAUUCAUCAUCAAGACUGAAGAUCUCCCCUUAAUUUCCCUUCAGGAGUUUUGGGUUUUUCUUUAUGUUUAGUAUUCAUUAUUCUUCUGAGAUGUUUAUCUUUUUAGUUAUGAACUAAAACCCUUAGAUACCUAAGGGGGAUGAAACCUAAGAUGGAUCUUGUUAUUAUUAUUUGAAUUGUAUGAUAAAUAUUUGACUUGUUCUUAAUUAUGUGUUCUUAAUUCUUUGUUUGAUAUUCCAGGAUAUUGAUUCAAGUUAAUAUCUUAUUCAGAGGAGCAAUAGACCCUGUCUAAGAGUAAAUUUGUCAUAAUUAAGAGGAGUUGGUUGCGCGCCUAGAGAUAGGGUGACAAGAUUUUGCUGGAUUAGGGUGAAACCUAAUAAGGGGAUCCAUAGAUUGAGUUAAUGCAACCCUAGGGCGUUAAUUGGAAAGAGAUUUAAAUUAUUCAAACUAGGGUUAGACAUUGUUUGUAUUGAGAGAGAUAAUAAUAUAACUUAGGGAUCUCUACGGAACAAGUUGAAUGAAUAAAUCGUCCGAUUCAGAGUCAAAUAACAAGUGAAGUCUAGGUGGAUUUUUCCUUAGGUAUUGUCUUAAUUCAAUCGUUUUUCUAAAAGUAAUUCCCCAAUCUAUUUUCUGUGAAUUCUUAGUUUAGUAAAUUAGUUAGUUAAAACAAACCCCAUUAUUCUUAGGCUGGAUAAUAAAAAGACAGUCAUUACUAGUACAUUUAGUUUCUUUGGGUUUGACAAUCCGGUCUUGCUAAAGUUAUACUACUGUUUGAUAGGUACACUUGCCUUCAUCGUGAUAAUAGUUAGUUUCAAGGAUGAUUCAUUAUAAAUAUUUAAAACCUGUCAUGAAUAUCACAUACCAAGUUUUUGGCACCGUUGCCGGGGAACUAAGAUAUUAGGAACACUCGAUUUUUAUUACUUUAGCCAUUUGCUUUUACUGCAAUUUAAAUUUUAUUCUAAUUUUUAUUACUAAUUCUUCUUUUUCCCUUUUUCUGGCAGGUUCUUAUAGUUUAUGACUAGAAUAAACCCGUUAGGACCAUUACUUUUUGAUAGUGAGAUCGAUCGCAUAGUUCACAGAAACCAAAGAGAAAUAAGGCGAAACUUAAGAUACACAGAUGACGAGCAAGAGGACAAUAUUCAAACCACAACCGAGGAGAUGGCUGAAAACUAAGAAAAUCUGCUACCUCCUGCAAUUGCUGUUAAUUAAAAUCCUGCUCCGCGCACUAUGUAUGAUUAUGCUAAACCUAAUUUAACAGGAACUGAGCCAAGUAUAGUUAGACCUGCUAUUGUUGCAAAUAAUUUUGAACUGAAACCUAACACAAUUCAAAUGAAACAACAAUUUGUUCAGUUUGAUGGUUUGCAGGACGAGGAUCCCAACUCUCACUUGGCAAAUUUCCAAGAAUUUUGCGAUACCUUUAAAAUUAAUGGCGUUUCUGAUGACGCCAUUCGCCUUCGAUUGUUUCCCUUUUUGUUAAGGAAUAAGGCUAAACAAUGGUUGAACUCGUUACCACGAGGUUCAAUCACUACUUGGGAACAAAUGACCGAAAAGUUUCUAUUAAAAUACUUUCUGCCGGCUAAAAUGGCUAAAUUACGUAAUGAUGUCUCUUCUUUUGUGCAGAUGGAUUUAGAAACACUCUACGAUGCAUGGGAGAGAUACAAAGACCUUUUGAUAAGGUGCCCUCACCAUGGGUUACCGCUUUGGCUACAAGUUCAAACGUUUCAUAAUGGCCUGAAUCUUUCGACUCGGUAGAUGAUUGAUGCAGCCGCUAGAGGAACCAUAAAUAAUAAGACACCUGAAGAUGCCUAUGAAUUUAUAAAGGAGAUAUCACUGAAUAACUAUCAGUGGCAAGUCAUUAGGACAAAGCCAACGAAAACAGCCGGUGUUUAUAACGUCGAUUCGGUUACCAUGAUCUCUAAUUAGGUAGAACUCUUGAAUAAGAAAAUUGAUGGUUUUCUUAGUUCUUCACAGGUUCACCCAGUAAUGCAGUACGAAGCAAGUGGAGGUGGAUCAAGCAGUUCAGAAUACCAACUUUAUGGCCACAACAUGAACAACGAGCAAUUAAAUUACAUGGGUAACAAUCCUCGAUCUUAAAACAAUCCUUAUAGCAAUACUUACAAUGCAGGUUGGAGGAAUCACCCAAAUUUUUCAUGGGGAGGCCAAGGAAAUCAGAAACCAUCACCCCCUCCAGGCAUUCAGCAACCACCAUACCAGUAGGAGAAAAAGUCAAACCUUGAGGAGAUGCUAACUAAAUUCAUCUUGGUGUUAGAGACUCAUUUUUAGAAUACCGAGACCGAGACGGUACUCAAAAAUCAACAAGCAUCGAUCCAAGAGCUUGAAACUCAAAUUGGACAGCUCGCUAAGUUAAUUUCCGAACGACCACAAGGUAGCCUGCCACACAACACUGAAUCUAACCCAAGGGAGCAACUCAACGCGAUUUCCAUUCAAGAUGAGGAAGGGUUAGUUGCAAAACUAAGGCCAGAAAUGGUGGUAAGCAAAAAUAAGAAUAAGGUUGGCCAAAAUGACCCAAAGCCGGGAAGUACAGAAUAUAAACCUCAUGUGCCACACCCCAAAGCGACAAGGAAAGACUGCUCAGAUGAACAAUUUGGUAAAUUCCUUAAACUCUUAAAAAAUUAUAUAUUAACUGGCCGUUUAUUGAAGCUCUAUCGUAGAUGCCAAACGCAAUGAAAUUUUUAAAGGAGCUUUUAGAAAAUAAGCGGAAGUUGGACGAGGCUUCGCAUGUGAAGCUAAACGCAAUUUGCUUAGCUAUUCUACAGAAUAAGCUACCCAACCAAUUGAAAGAUCCAGGGAGUUUUACAAUUCCCUGCUUAAUUGGUAGUUUAGAUGUUAAUAAUGCAUUAGCUGAUUUAGAGGCUAGUAUUAAUGUCAUGCCUUACAAAAUGUUUAAACAACUAGGGAUUAAAAAACCCAAACAGACUAGGAUGAGCAUUCAAUUAGCAGAUAAAACUAUAAGAUUUCCUAGAGGUAUUAUUGAAGAUGUGCUAGUUAAAAUCGAUAAAUUUAUACUUCCCAUUGACUUCGUUGUUCUAGACAUAGAGGAAGAUAGCAACACUCAUUUGAUUUUAGGAAGGCCCUUUUUAACAACUGCUAGAACAAUUAUUGAUGUUGGCACAGGUGAGCUCACACUUUCUGUGGGAGACGAAACAAUCACCCUUCAAGCUCGCAAUUCUGGCAACAUAUCAGAAAUUGAAGGUGAUUGUCUAAACCAUUCUAUUAAAACUGACAAUAUGGUGAAACCUACUUUGCAGGAAAUGAGUUUGAAGGAAGUAUAUGAGCCAUUUUCAAGCAAUAGUAGAUGGCCUAUUCAUAAAGAACAAAGGCUACAAAUCGAGGAGCUAGAUGAAUGGCAGACACAUAAACCGAGAACACAGGAUAAACCAAAACUACGCCAGAACAAGCUCAAUACCUUUUCAACUCAACUUAAGGUUGGAGAUAAAGUUUUAUUAGAUGCCGCAGAUCUUCACAUUGUCACUACCAAACAGAAUAAAGAAAUCCCUCUUACGGUACUUAGCAUUUUCCCAUUCGGUACAGUCCAAGUAAGUCAUCCCAAGUUCGGCACUUUUAAGGCAAACAAUACCCGCCUAAAACCUUAUUUUGAUGAGAUUCAUCGUAGGAAUGAGGAGUAUAAACUCCUCGAACCACCAUGGCCAUUCAAUGGAGAGGUAAGUCGAGCUUAGACUAUAAAUAAGUGCUUCUCGGGAGGCAACCCGAGCACUAACUGUAUUAACUUCUUUAAAUUUUAGUGUUUAACACCUAACUUGCUAACGAAGCUCUUGAAUACAAGUUUACCACACAGACACGGCCAAGCACACGGGCGUGCUUAGGACCGUGUGGAAAUAGGGCAAAGAUUUUCCCCAGCACGGGCUACGAUAAAUAGCCACGGCUGUGCGACAUGGCCAUGGGUGAACCUGCCAAAACACACGGGCAUGCGACACGCCCGUGCCUGGAAACCGUGGCCGAACCUGUCAAAUUAACACGGGCGUAUGACACGCCUGUGCCGAGCAACCGUGGGCAAACCUGUUAGAUUAACACGGGCGUGGGCCUACAUACACGGGCGUGUGAGAAGCGAACGAAGACAGACAUGGCCGAGCGACACGGCUGUGUGCACCCACACGCCCAAAGAACAUGGGCGUGGGCCAAAUGUCAGACGCGGCCAAAUUCAAAAUUCGCGAAUCACACAGGCAAAAAUUGGGGCACACGGGCGUGUCCCCUGGCCGUGUGUCCCAAAAUCUAUAAGUACCCUUCACUAUUCAUCAUCUUCUUCACCCAAAAUCCCUAACCCUAGUCGCUGCAAGUCCACACGGCCUCCCUGCCAUGCCCGUGCGCUGCCUUCAACUUUAUUUUCGACGCCCAUUCUUAUCUUUUUAGAGUUUGUUUACUCUUUUCUCUUUUAUUUUACUUAGUUCUAAUGUUAAUUACCAUGUUAAUCUUCAUUUAUCCCAUACUAAGAUGAACAAGCAAUGUCGCAACAUGCAAAAGUGAUGUCACGACCUUGGGGUUAGAAAACUCUAGGUUGCAACAUCAAUGUAACACUCCUCACCUAAUCCGGGUAAGAGAUGCUACAUUUAAACACUAAACCCACCACUUAAACAUAUUCUUGUUUCAUUCUAAUCAAGGUAACUUAUAGCACAAAACAUUUUCAUUCACACAUAAUUUACAUUUUUUUUACUAAUAAACCUAGGUACAUGCCAAAUUGAAGCAGCAAUCGUCGAUUCUUUUCAAAACUUAUCCAUCACCUACGAGUUUAAAAAAAACUCGUUAAGCUGCGUGAAUAGCUUAGUAAGUACUCAACUGAAUUCAAUCUUACCUUAUAUAUAUAAAAAAUUAAUUUUAAUAAUAUUUAUUCACACAAUUUCUUUCAAUGAUGUAGUUAAACUUUAAUUCAUUUCCUAAACAUAAAAUCAAUUACAUUAACUUUAUAAUUUAUAGUUUUUAGUUUAACAUAUAUUAUCACUAAUUAACUUUCACAUUCACGUAUCAAUGAUUUUCUCUCAUUUUACAAAAAUAACAUAAACACUUAAUUUACAUGUUCACUUUUAUUUUUAUUUUCACAUAUUAUUACACAUCCGCACACUUUUACUUUCACAUAUCACUUUUGAAUUCUUAAUGAAUCUCAAAGGAGUUCAAUAAUUUCGAUACAUGCAAAAAUCUAGGCCAAAGACAAACUCUUGGUCUAUAAUGGAACUAUGAUAACGAGAAAUCUAGAAAAAUAUACAGGAACUCUAGUAAAAACAUCACAUAACCCGAUCCUUCUUGUCUAAUCCCUUCCAAACUCUCGUAUCACUAAUUUGGUUCCCAUCCGAACCCCCAGCCCCUCUCAACUCCAAAUCAUUUCAUUAUCAUACAUCAUAUUUCCUCUGAGUUCACUAAGGUAUUUCUUCAUAUAUCACUUUCAUAUAACAUGUUUGAUAUAUUACACAUAUAUUGUAACACCCCUCGCCCACAUCCGACGCCGGGACGGGUUCGAGGUGCUACCUGACUUUUACUAACACUUCCAUACUAAACAGGGCCAUGAAAUCUCAAAUAAUUAAAAACUUUUAUUUUCACAUACAAUCUGUCCCAUAUACGGGCUUACGAGGCCCAAAACAUACAUCCGGAGUGGUUUGGGACCCAACCGAGAACUCAUGAAAAACUUAGAAAAUCUCUUGCAUCAAGGCUUCAUACGCCCAUGUGGGUAUAGAGCACACGCCCGUGUGCUAGGGACACGCCCGUGUCCCAAACCCGUGUCCAAAAAAACUGGACAAAUACAAGGCUAUUUUCCAAGCCAUUUUGUCACACUCACAAUAGAUACACGCAUACUUAUACAAUAACAUACAACAUGGCAAAAUUAGGUACUUAAACAUUCCUAACAUGUCAUGAUUAUGGCAAUUUCACAUGCAAUAGAUAUCAUAGAUUUACUCACAUCUUUACCACAUUCAUACUAUAAUCAUUAUAAACUCAUCACAUAAUACCAUAGCACAUGCAUGCAUAAUUAAAAUAGAUUUACAACCCCAUAAUCAAAAUAGGCCAACACAUAUGGUUAAAUCCAUAUCACAUACUCUAAUAUUUAAACUCCUAUACAUGCCAUAGGCUCAAAGUACUUGAAAUCACUACACCAAUAGCGUUAGCUUGACAGUGUGAUAAUAUCUCUGACAGCCUCCAACCUGAGCUAACCUGAAAACUCUAGAAAACAUGGGAAAAAAGAGGGGGGUAAGCUUUCGCUUAGUAAGUUCAUAUAAAAACCAUAAGCAACUCAUUAACUUGUUUUAUCAAUGUUUACAACAUAUUCUCAAGUUCACUACAAGCUGUCUUUCUGAGCAAUGGUCACUAAAUUAUUUAUAUCUGGAGCUACAAAACUCCGAAUUAAGUUCCGUUAAUUUUCCCUAAAACUAGACUUAUUUUCCUUUCUUCCAUAAAAUUUCCAUAAUUUUUGGUUAAGCCAAAUAGUACAGUUUAUUCCUCAAAGUUACCCUUGAUUCACUGUCUGACAGUUCCGACCCUUCUGUACUAAAGUUCGAUUAUCUCAUAGUACAAGAUCGAAUAAUGUUCUUGUCUAUUUCUAUUGAAACUAGACUCAUAUGUUUACUUACUAAUUUUUUUCUAAAAUUUUUGGUUGGGCCAAUUAGUACAGUUUAUUAGUUAAAGUCUCCCCAGUUUCAGGGUAUGACCACUCUGAUCCCUGUGCACUACAAACCGAAUUUCUCCCUGUACAGAAUUCCAACGACCAUUCCGUUUAUUUCCCCUAAAAAUAGACUCAAUAAGGAAUCCAUGCAUGUAAGGUAUGACUCUUAAUAAUUUUUUUAAAAUUUUUGGUGAAUUUCUAAAGUCUGAAUAGGGGAUCUCGAAGUCAUUCAGACCCUGUUUCACAAGAAUUAAAAUAUCAAACAAUAUGGAAUUCUUUUUCUUCCCCUGUUUCUUUCAUGUGAAAAUAGACUCAUUAAUCUUUAAUCCCGUAUUUUAUUCUGCCUCUAACUCAUUUUCCACUAUUUUUAGUGUAUUUUCAAAGUUACACUACUGCAGUAACUCAAAUCUGUCAAGGCUAAAUUACUCAUUCAUGAUCAUUGUUCACAAAAUUAAUACAACAUCAUUUGUAUAAUCAUCACCGAGACAUUCAUAUCACAUUUUCAUUUACCAUCUUACCAUUUUGUUGUUAUGUCGAGUUUUCAACCCGAGGGUUAAGUACAUACCUGUUCAAAGUAUCCAUUUCACAACAUUUAUCAAUACGUCCCUUUCAUCUCGAGUAUUCCUCCAUUUGAGUAGAACUUUACCCAUUGAAUACAUCGGAAUAUAAUUCGGAUACAUGGAAAGUUUGCACAUAAGUGCCACAUAUGUAGCUAAGCUACCAUGUAACCCGCCCAUAAGUGAACUCGGACUCAACUCAACGAGCUCGGGCGUUCGCAUCCAUAAGUGAACUCGGACUCAACUCAACGAGCUCGGAUGCCUAGUUACAUCUCACGAACUCGGACUCAACUCAACGAGUUCAAACAUUCGCAUCCAUAAGUGAACUCGGACUCAACUCAACGAGCUCGGAUGCCCAAAUAUUCCAAUGACAUGUCACUUGUAUCCUAAUCUAUUCCUAAGGUUCAACGGGACCUUUUUCCCAAUCAUGAGUCUCAACCAUCUUCUACGGAAUGCCGAUACCAAUACUUGGUAGUAUUUCACAUUUUCCAAGUAUAUCAUAUAAUUUGACAUAUUAUCAAACAAUUAUCACAAGUAUAAUAUCUCAUAAUAAUUAUCAUAUCAUUUAAAUAACAUCAAAACAUUUAAAAUAAUAACUAUGUUACCAACAUUUACAUAUGAACCUACCUCGAUACCACAAAGGUGAAAAAAAAAGACGUAAUUAUCCCUUAAUCGAUUUCUUUCCGUUCUAGGUCCAAAUCUCGAUUUUCAUCAUCUAAAAUAUCACAUUCAACUUAUUAAAACAAUUUACUGAUCAAAUUAGUCCAUUGACACACUUGAGCAAUUUUUACAAUUUUGCCCCUAUAUUUUGCCAAAAUUACCAAAUUACCCCUAGGCUCGUAAAAUAAUUUUUAUCACAUUUCUUUACUCCUUGAGUCUAGAUGAACCAUUUUCAUAACUAUAGCAACUCAUAAUUUCAACUAUUUCACACAUUUACAACUCAUUUUACAACUUAGCAAUCUAGCCCUUUUUAAGGUGUUUUCAUGCAAUUUCUUUCACAAAAGUUGUUUAUUAGACAACUAGGACUCAUAAUCUUCCAUAAAAACACAGCAAACAACACAUUUACUCUAUUGGAAAAACCCUAGACUCUUCAUCAUUUUGCAAAAUAGACCCCUCAUAUGAAAGCUCAUGCUUUAGGGGUUCCAAAAAUGUAAAAAUCAUCAAGAAAGACAUUAAAAAUCACUUACUAGCAAGGGAUGUAAGUGGCUGAUAUUUCAGAACUUCAAAACCCCUUUCUUUUCUGCCAUUUUCGGUGGAGGAGAAGAGAAAAAUGAUAGCUUUUUCUUUUUAAUUUGUUAAUAAUAAAACUAGUCAAAAUUGGUGACCAACUUCACCUAAUUUUGACUUUUCAACAAUUUUUUUUUUGUCUCCCAUGGCCGGCCAUCACAAUUUCAAUGGCCUAAUUUCACUUUAAAUACCCCCAAUUUAAGAUACAAGGCAAUUUAACACCUUUAGGUAUUAAAACUCAACUUUUACCUUUUACGCGAUUUAGUCCUUUUUCGAAAUUGGACUAGAAAUCGCUAAAAUUAACUUACCAAAAUUUACAUGCACUUAUAAAAUUAUAUUAUAACACAAAAUAAUACUAAAAUAAUUUUCUCUGGCCUCGGAAUAGUGGUCCCGAAACUACUGUUCCGACUAGGCCCAAAAUCGGGCUGUUACAUAUAUAACUUUGUAUCAUAUUACUUAUUCACUUUGAAUUACAUAAACACAUUCACUACAUUUUUAUUUCACAUGUUCACUUUAUGCACUAUUCAUAAAAAUACAAGCAUAACAUAUAUUCACAACAGUUACCACUUUUGAUUUCAAUUCACUAUCAUUAAACACUUUACUUUCUUAUAACGCCUCACUUAAAUAUUUUAUUUCACUAUUUUAGCACACAUAGUAAUUUUUAUACACUUAAAAAUUUAAGUCUUUAAUCACAAUAUUAAUUUCACAUAACACCUUUUAUACACUUUAAAAUUUAGUCCUCUCUAUAGUAAUUUUACUAUACCACUUCUGUUCACUUAUCAAUUUAUGAAAAAUAAAUAAAUUUUCACUCUUAAUAAUUUAAUCCUUAGUUUCAUGAAAUUCACUAAUCACUAAGUUAUCACUUUAUUAUUUCUUACAUUAGUGACAUACAUUUAUUUAUAUAUUCUCUACUAAAUUCAAUAUUCAUAAUCAUAUGUAUUUUUUGUUACAACAUACCUUUGUUUGUUACAUUACUAAAUUCAAUAUUCAUAAUGGUAUGUUAUUUUUGUUACAUUACUAAAUUCACUACUAAAUUAUAACUUUAUUAUUUCUUAUAUUAUCAACAUACUUUUAUUUCUCUAUAGUAAUACAUUGAAUUUAUUCCUUUUCGUCAUUUUCGCACAUUCAUUUAUGCAACUUUUAUUAUGCAAUCCGUACAAAGUUGUAUUAAGCUAGCAAUCCAUACAAAGUUAUCUUGAACUAAAAUAGGAACUGAUUAAAUAUAUAUAUAUAUAAUUAAGACUUAAGUAAUUUGAAUCAAGUUUCAAUUAAACCCUAAAUAAUCCAAAUCCAAAAAUAACCUGAUCCCGAACCAUUUUGCCACAUCUUAGUGUAAUGUACAUGGCCAACAAGUUCUUCAAAUAGCAAAAUUUUACAUGUUUUGCGACCAAAAAUUUCAGUGCAUAUAUUCGAACAAUUUCCACGGUUCUAUUGUUUCCAUUGCCAACUCUAACCAUUCUUACGGGCUACUAAAUUCACACACAUUUUAUUCAUUUAUGUUUAAAAUAUUAUGUUUUAGUCACUUACGUUAUCGUGUUGUAAUAUUUUAAUUACUGAAUAUUAAAUACUGUUAACAGUGUAACGGUAAACUGAUGUGACACGUUAAAUCAUCAUUUCAAAUAAAACUUUUAAUUAAAAUAUACAAUUGAUUAUGCUCAAGAUAUUGAGAUUGAGAUUUAUUUACAUUAUAUGAAAUGAGAUGCUAAUAUCUUGAGGGCGCAUCGAUAAUUUUGAUAUUCAAUAAUGUAUUAGGAAUACACUGAAGGUGUAAUACAUGGCCAACAUGUUUGGAAAAUAGAAAAAUUUUACAUUUUUGCGACCAAAAAUUUCACUGCAUAUUUUUAACUGUUUCCACGGUUCUAGAGUUUCCACUGCCAACUCUAACCAUUCUGACGGGCUACCAAAUUCAUGCACAAGGUAUUUUAGGGAAGAGUAUUGAUCGAAAAACUUGAAAGUUGGUGGAGCUCCUUGUGGCAAGUGCUUAUAAUAGCAUAAAAUAUGAAGUACAAUACACACAAGCUUAGAAAGAAACUUGUAUAUAACGUUAUAAAUAAUGGGUCCUUCGGAAAUAAAAAGAAAAAAAGAAAAAAAAAUGAAGUUAACAUCUUCACAUCCCUUGUCUCUACACCAAACAACUACAUCACUUGAUUAAGAAUAAAGUCGGUGGAGUUUUGGGGGGAGGGGAGGGGGAACAUGAAUGACAAUGGACCCAAAGAACGAAAGAGAAAAUGAUAUUGUACUUCCCCAAGCCAUUUCUUUUACGAACUCAAUCCUGAAAAUCAUGCAUAUGAUCUAAAAGGUAGUUGGCUGCAAGUUCCUCAUUCUUGUUGCACGCAAAGAACACUUGGAGCACAGUUGCACGGUCAAACCCCAUUGCUUCAAGCUGCAAGAGAUGGGGAAUGAACAAGAGAAUAAGGAGACUACAAAAGUAUUUGUAGGCACAGGAUCAAUGCAACAAAUUUGAGUUUAUUAAACAUCUAAAAGUAAAACCAUUGCCUAAAAGAAAGCUGUGAUGCAUAUUUCAUAACUCAGAUAAAGGCCAAGGAAAUGAAGGCAUUUCCAGAGGCAGUGGGGAAGAUAGCUAAUAAUCCAUGAUUACAGAGAAUAGUGAACACAUCCAAGUCAGCCCUUAUGUAAAAGAUGACAUACCCGUUCUAUGGCUUCACGUUCCUCAGGUGUGACUUGCACAGCUUGUGGCAUCGCCUCAGCUAAUUGCCCCAAAAUGUUUCUUUACAACAGGAGAUGUCAAAAAAGCACUUGAUAUACAUACACACUAUAUAAGUUCAAGAAAUGAGCAACUAAAAACAAGAAGACUCACCCCUCUCCACCUUCAGCAGGUUCAUUGAUCAAGCGAAGAAAGUCACCCUGAUGCUCUUGAAUAAGUCUCAUUAAAUUAGGAUUUUGUUUCCCCAACUCUUGAAGCAUAGGCUGCCAAAUAUAUAAAAAAGGGAGACAUUGAGGAAAGGAGAAAGGUAAAAAAGGAAAAAGAAAAAAAAAAGCUGAAAAGACAAUGAAAAACACACAACGAUUGAAGAGGGGAAACAAAGGACCAGAGAAUAACCUGCAAUAUUUGUGGAUUGGCUUGCACCAUUGCUCGCAAAGCUUGAAACUGAAAAGAGAAUUGCAAAUUGAGUGUAGUUCUAGGUAGGUAUUUGCAUGACAGUCAUGCUAACAAGCCCAUAUACAACCAAAUGAGAAAGAGAGAGACCUGUGGACUGUUCCGUAAAAAAUCAAGAGUGCCAGCCCCAGCACCACUUGCACCCAUGUUGGGAAGGCCCUGUAUCAAUAAAAGGCCAUCAAGUCACUGGUUCAUUUGCCCAUCAUCAAAUUUAUCAAAGGUCUACCACAUGACAAUUUUACCUGGGGAAAGAGGUCUAAUGGAUUUGCAUUUGGUCCACUUGCAGGAAUAGCUGCCGUUUGUGCAGGCUGUUGAGGUUGUGCAGCAGAGUUUGUGGUUUGCCCAACUACAGGAGCACGGGCCACAGGUGGAGCUUCAGCUUGCUCGGGGAUGCCCUAGCAUUUGCAACAAUAAUUUAUGACAAGAUGACAAGCAGCAGCUUAGGAAACAAAAUGCAUGCUUGUUAUAUUUUUUUAAAAAAACAAAAGAAGAAAAGAAAGAUAACGGUGCAGUAUAUAAUAUCAUUAAAACCCACCAUAAAACAAAUUAAGACACACCAUAUGAUUGAAAUGGAAAUCCAACAUUCCUGUUCAUUUUUUUCCCCUCCGGGGGGCGGGGGGGGGGGGGAGGGGUGAAGUCAAAAAGUUAUCAUCAAAGGAAAAUUCACAAUUCCCACACACUUAGCCACCAAGUCAAAAAGGACCAGCAAAAUGGAACAGAGGAGGCAUAUUUGGGCGUGCAGAAAUUCAAUCAUCAUUGACCAAUAAAUCAUGGCAAGGAGAAGGCCAAGUUUCAAAUAGAAUUACAUCAAAUUAAAAAUGACAAAAUGGCAUAAUCAUCAUUCCAAGAAAACCUCUCAGGAUGAGCUCAGCUUAUUAGGCUAUUCCCACAUCUACAUUAAGGAGAACAAUAAAACAACAGCAACUAGAAGCACGCAAGAAAGCACAUAUUCUUCAAGAUACAAGGAAGGUACUUACAGAAUACAAAUAUUCAACAGCUCUCUCUGGGUUAUUAUAAGCAGCACGAAGGGCGUGGACAACAGUGUCCCUGUCCCAGGUCCCUCCACCCAUAUCAAGAAUCUGUUGGAUUGUUCCCUCUAAGUUACUCCCUGCAACCAGGUUAGAUGCUGCUUGGCCAUAAACAUCAGAAUCUGACCUGUUUCCAAAGACAUUAUUCAAGAUAUUACAGGUAUGCAAAGGAAAACAAGGAAAAACUCAAGAUCUCUCCUACUAGAAGCAAUUCGAUUAGAUCAAACGCUUCUAUCCUUCAAAUAAGAAGCAUGAAAUUUACUAUCAAGAAUAAGUUACUCACAAAGGAGUACUUGAAGCAACAGGAGCAGAUUCAGUGGCAGCUGCAGCCCUGAAAAAAAAUUAAUAAGCAAUUAAUCAAUUGCAAAGGUGCUGUAUCUGACCAAAAGUGUAGAAUAGCAGGACUUACAUAGCUGACGUUGCAACAGGUGCAGUAGAAGCUGGUGCUGGAGCUGUUGGCAGAUUACUUGCCUCAGGAGCCUACAAAGAAUCCAAAAUCACAACUCACUCCACAAUAAUCUUUGGAUACAGGCUAAGUUUUCAGAAGCAACAUACCCUAAAGAUUGUAUAGUGGGGGAAAACAGACAUUUAUAUUCAUACUCAAAAAGAAAUUUGAAGAUCAAAUCAAAAUUUGCAUAAUGAUUGUGAGAGUUAAUAGCUCAAGCUAAAUUGUUGUGCUACUGGAAAGGAGAAAGGGAAAACAAUUGUGAAAUUGAGAAUCAUGGAUAAGAGAUCAUGUAACUAACUCAUAAACAUUAAAGGCGGUUGAAUUUGGUAAUAACACCAACUCAAACUCCAAAUUAUGCAUUAUGUUUAUGGCUCAAAAGUGUAACAUAGUAAGCAGUUGGACACAAAACAACUCAAACCUGGGCCAUAUCUAAAAACCUAAAAUCUUAAAAGCAUUCUAUUUACUGUCUAUAACUUUUUUGAUGAUCUACUCGUUCACAAAUUAUAUUUGUUCAAGAUGCUUGACUAUCACUUCAAGUUCUAGUUCAUAGCAUUGAAAUAAAGAACAUCUACCAUCAUGGCAAAAACAGAAUCCCAACGCUUUUCAUGUCAUAUUUAUUGCAAAAUGUCUCAAGAAAUGUGGCUAAAAAGGUACAGUGACAAUCAUUGCUUACAAGCAAGUAUGCAUGCAAGUAAUAGUAAGAGAGGUAACAACAAUCUUACUUUCUUUGUAGGAGCUGUUGAAGCAGUUGAACCCUCACCAGUUGUACCCUUAUUCUAGUUUAUUUAAGCAAAAAGGACACUAUUAGUAUGAAAAUGACAGUUAUGAAAAAUAAAUUCAAAUACAAAUACAAGUAGGGAAAAGGUCAAAAAGUAGCACAAAGAAAAUUUUCUAGUUUAGCAACAAAUUGAUUUAUAAGAUGCACCUACAGGAAAGAAACAACCAAAUUUCAAAAGAAAAAUAUAAUGAUACAACACUCCGUCAUAAGUUAUAACUAAGAUAACUUUCAAGUUCAACAGCAGUGUGAAAAAUAAUGAUGUCAGUUAGGCAUUUAUUAGGACAAAGUCAGCAUACUUUGGUCAGAAAAGUUCGAACAAGUUAGAUGAAAUAUUACAAACAUAAAAAUCAGAAUAUUGUAACCAAUCUCACCUUUGUUAACAUGAUCACAAUAAAGCUAUUUUCAGUGACACUGUUUUCAGCCAGUGUCGUGUCAUCUUUAAGAACUUUUCCCUUAUAGAUUAGCAUUUGUUGUGAAGCAGGAUAAACAUCAGUCCCUUGAACAGUUUCUAUGUUCUUUUUUACAUCCGCAACCUGAAAGAAUUGACAAGCAUUAGCAGCAGAAUUGUAUAAUACCAAGUGACAAAGAAAUGUAAAAGGCAGAAGGCAGAAUGCAUUUUAUCCCAAUACUUUCAUGCCUGUGCGCAUAUAUGUAUGUAUAUAUGUAUAUAUAAACCUUAAAAGCAUAAAAAGUAGCAAAAAACAAUAAAAAUAAUAACAGCUUAUUUAUAUAGUUAGAAAAUCCAAAUCAUUAAAAAACACAACCCUUGAUUAGAUGUAACCAUAGAAUGCAGAACUUGAUCCUUGGUUAUAGAAGAUCUAUUAAAAGAAGCCUCUGUACAUUUAAUCCAGUGUUCAUAACCACACUAAUUCAAAAGUAAUGAAAGAGCAUUGCAAAAUAUGAGAUGCUUAUGGCAAUGUUCAAAGCUUGUGUAUACUCAAAUUCAAACCUAAUUCUAGCACACUACAACUAGAAAUUACAUGGCAAUCUAUGCAUCAAUAUUCAAUGAUACAAGUUAAUGAAAUACUAAGACAAAAAUGAAGCCCACAAAUCAAAGUAUUAUUCACUAAUUUCAAUGAACUAGUAAAAAGCACUACGUAGGAAGAAGUACUUAAUUGCUAAUUGUCGCCAGAAGAAAAGGACACCGCCGUUCAAGCUACAUGAGUAUCAGUCCACUAAAACUUAAUCGAAGUAGCUAGACUAUUCACAAGCUAAAUAAACAUAUUCAAUGAAUUAGGCACUAAAAUUGAACAAAUCAUUCACGAUCUCCGAUUUCACAUGUCAGGCAUGGUAAUUCAACUACGUGCAUAAUAAGUCCCAACUAAUACAGUCCUAGAUGAACGCGAAUUAAUGUUCAAAUACAGGGGAAAGCGGAAAACCCUAGUCAAUAAACGUAAAAUCCCUGGAAAAAGAGGGAGAGGGAAGCGAACCGCAUCUUCUGGUUUGACUUCGAUAUCGAAGUGAGUGCCUUUGAGAGUUUUGACGGAAACCUUCAUCUUCUGCCAAUUUCGAUCUUUCACUCCGUUUGUCUAAAUCCGCCGAUCCUAUUUAUAUAGGUUAAAAUGUGGCAGAAGUACCUAUACUUUUUGAAAAUUGAGAAUAUAGACCUUGUGCUCUUAAUUCAAGUGAUUUAGUUUUUAUACUAUUUUAAAGGGAUAAAUUUUAAAAUUAUAUAUGAAUUAUAGUUUAAUAUGUAAUUGUAUAUAUAAAUUUUAAUUUUAUGAAAUUUUAUAUAUAAAAUUUUGAUUUGAUCUAAUUUUUAUAAAUAAUUAAUAUAAUUAUUGAUAUAACAUCAUUUUAUAUUUAUAUGUUGCAUACAUAAAUAAUUAUAUUUAUCCUAUAUAAAAAUAAAUUGAUGUAUUAUUUCUUUAAAUAUAUAUGAUUAAAUCAAAAUUAAAAUUUCAAGUAUACAUUUGAAUCACAACUAGAGUUUCACAUAUAUAAUUGCACUAAAUUAAAGUUUAUGUAUACAAUUACACAUUAAAUCAAAGUUUAUAUAUAAUUUUAAAAUUUAUCCCUAUUUUAAAUUUUAGGUUUAAUUGUUAACAUUAUUAUUAUUUUGUUAAAUUUAAGUUAAUUACAAAGUCUUUUUUUUUAAUUACAUGGGUAUCAAUUGAGUGUUUUUAUUUCAAAAUGUCAUAGCAAUAAACUUAACAAAAAAAUUAAUAAUGUUAACAAUUGGACUUAAAUGAAUUUUGAAAUCUAAAAAGUAGAGAAACUAAAAUCCAUAAUUUAGAAGUAUAUGGACUAAAUUCCUAAUUUUUUAAACGUACAACGACUUGUAGCAUAUUUUAACCAUUUAUAUAUAGGAAAGGGAGAGAAAUGUUGACUAUCAAGGAAUAUAUGGUAGUAUUAAUGUCAUGGGGCUAGAAAUUUAGUUUGGCAAACCGAGCGGCUUUAGGCAAUUUCUUGGGUUGAAAUCUCAUCCAAGUCAGCCUACUCUCGAAAAAUCAAUUUUUUUGCAGAAAUUCUCUAAGACACCAAAGCAAAAUGGAAGCAAACUAAAAACGAAAGAGAAAAGAAUGAAAAAGAAAAAGCCAAAGAGAAAUAUCGCACACCAAGUGUUUGAGUAAAUGCUCUCAAUAUAUUUAUUAACUCAAGAAUAGAAUUAUUAGAAAUGAAGGGAGAGGACUCUAUUUAUAGUUUAGCUCCCCCAAAUCCAACUGUACAGAUCGAAUUACAUCAAUGGUUGAGAUUAGUUCUUAUUUACAAUAAGAGAGUCUUAAGGGAUUCAAAUUCUAUACAUGUUUAUCCUUUAGGAUUUACAAUAAUUAUCUUGGUAAAAUACAACGUUUACAAUUUAGCUAGGAUCCUAGUAGAUAGGCCUUGAGUCUCUUCCAAGCAACGAGUCAAUCUUGUCAGGCCAAAUGAUCCCCAAUGAACAAGAGGGAACAUCAAAGUAUGCUUUGGUUGCGCGACCCGUGACACUAGAAGAAACUAAAGACACUACUACUUUUUUUUUCUUUUUAAUAAUAAAAGGAACUUGGAUAGAAAAGAAAGAUUACAUAAUUGUUUUCCUAACGGGAGGGCCGAAGGCCUCUUCCAAAAUAAGAGAGAAUCUUAUCAGGGAUUCAUUAUAAAAAAAAAAAAGUAAAACCAUAACUACUUGGACCAUCUAGAGGGUCAUAAAAUAAGAAGGUUGUUCCUUAGUCUUGCUACAACAUUUGUCACACUUGGUUUUCUUUAAGUCCCAAAAAUUAAUAGAGAGCUAAGAGUUAAUUGAAUAAAAUAGUAAGUUGGAUGGCUCCACUGGAAAACUUGGAAAAUUUUGGUGGUUGACUGGUAAUUAGUUGGGAACCAAUUCUAGUUUGGUUACGCUGGAACUAGUGAUUCUUUAGUGGGAGACAAAAUGAUGGUCGACGGAUGGUUACUUAGGGCCUUGAGUCGUGCAUAAGAAUGGUUAUAUAUAUAAGAGAGAAGGAUUAUUUUGAAGGCAGAAUUCUCCUCAUUUCUGUUUUACUUUCAUUCCUUCUCCAUCAUCUUAUUUAGUUGCUCUGAAUGAGAGAAAAUUGAUGAAACAUUGCAUGAGGCAGUGAUCGUAAGAAUUGAGGUCAGGGAGUAGAGAAUCUAAGGAACUGGUAAGUCUUUCUAUCUUUUUGUAUUCAUGGAUUGAGAAAAGGAAGUAAGGAUUUCUAAAAUCUCUGGAAAGCUUUUGAAUGAUACUAAAUUCUGAGUUUUAAUAUUUGAAUACUUUCGGUUUAACUGAUAUAUAUGGUUGUCAUACUUAGCUUCAGGACGAAAGGAACUCUAGUGUUUGGACAAGCUAAGCUAGUGAGGACAAAAGACUUAAGGUGAGUUUCUGAAAUCUAUUUAUUUAGGUGUUGUUUGUUGUCGUGCUACUAAAAUGUUUUGCUUGGGUGUCUGUUUAGAGUCCAGUCUGAAAUCCAUAGUUGUAUAUGAUUACGUUGAAGGGUAAACUAUGCAUGCAUAAUACCAUGGAUAUAUAUAUAGAUGAUUGUUGGUAUGCUCUCUAAAUGCACGACGUGGUUGUGUAUUUAACCGCCUCUGGAUGUACUAACGUCUAGAGUAUAAUUCUUGCAACCAAAUAAGAGUUAGGCGAUUUCUACAAGUAUAUAAGUCAGGUUUUAAUAUAGUUUUUUAUAAUGAAGUAGGGUUUAGGGAUUUCUGAGGAUCAUACCCAAGGGAGGCGAAUAUUAAAUUAAUAAUAACUUCGACAUUAAUAAAUCUAAUUAAUAUUUUAAUUAAAUUAUAUUACAAUAAAACAUAAAGUGAAGAGAAGUUAUUUUAUAAGAAAAAUAAAUAAAUAGCAUAAAAUAAUAAAAAAUGGAAAACUAAUUUGUUGAAUCACUCAAAUCUAAGCAUGGAAGACUAACUCGCUUCGGUGGUCAUAACUAAUUCCUAUGUCGAGCUCUACUCAACCAACUAGCCGCUAACUUAGCAAGAUCUCUCGAUCUUCUACUAAACUAAUAAGUCAACAAAAACUACUUAUCUCUCCCUCACAGUCCAGACAGGAUUGGGGUAAGGGGUUCACGAAUAGGCAAUACAAAUUUUUGGUUCAUUGCCACCUAGAUGACUUCCUAGGGUUGUCAGGCCUAGGGUUUAAGUUCUUCCUAUCCCAAAAAGUUAAUUUGCUAAGAAACCUUACAUAGAAAUUAAUUACUCUCACGUCUACUCGCUAAUCCCCCCACAAGAGGAUUAGUUUCUCAUGAAUCUUAUAAGCAACAUAAACUUGAUAAAGAAGAUAAACAUGAAGAAUAAAUCAAGAAUAAAAGUUUAAGAGAAAUCCUAAAUUGUAUUGAUGAUUUGAAAGCACAAAAAUCCACAAGAGUUUUAAUGAAUCUACCAAUCAGAUUCUCCACCGGACAAAAGUUAAAAUAAACUAAAAAGAUAUCCUAAUUACAAAGGACUAAAAACUGAAAACUAAAUAAAAAGUUGCAACCUAAACUAGAAUAAAAGUUUAAAGAUACAGAAAAGCUGUCUAAGAAGUGUUCAGUGAAGCCUAUUUAUAAAUUUAGGGUUGGCUAUCGUCCAUAGCUUUAGUCUAGCGGGCGUUUUUACGUUAAAGUUCAUUGUGCGGACUAAAACAUUCUUAGCUUAUUAAUUCUUCACAUCAAGCCGGUGUCGUGACACUAGUAGCAGUUUACUUUGCUCAGGUUCAGAUUCAGGGCUGUGCCGCGACAUCCUCUAGCUAUGUCGUGACAUCAAAGGAAAUCUUGCUGUUUUAGGUAUCUUGCUCACUCUGUUGCGUCGUUGAACCUUUGCGUUGCAACAUGGCGACCAGCUCUUGUUCUCAUGCCUUCGAAUGGUGUCCUACACGCUCACCAAACACGUUAGUCUUCCUUUUCGCCUAUUUUGGCCCCUAAAGUCAUAUAAAUGAAUUAAAUCAUGAAAAAUUAAGUAAAACAUUAUGAAAUUUCUUUUAUUCAAGCUAAGUAUGAAAAAUGGUUUAAUAAGCUACAACAAAUUACGGUAGAUCAAACUCCUCCACACUUAAGUCAUUGCAUGUCCUCAAGCAAGAAAACAUAAAAAUUGAAAAAUAAAAGACAAAUCUUGAGCGAAUAUGAUACAAAUACCAGUUUUGGAACACAUAGCUAGGAAUAAUCAUAUAUACAUGUAAUUCUGGCAUGAGAUUAUUAUAAUUACAUACUCGUCUUUACCUUGUUGUUAAUAUAAGACAUUGCCAUUGUUAUUUCAAUUUCUGUGUGUAUAAAUAAACUUAUUAAUAAUAAAGUCCUGAGAAUAAUAUGAUUAUUCUUAAAAAGUCCUUAGGCAAGUAUUAUUGUGGGUUUGGACAGCAAUGAUGCAUUGAGACUAAUGUAUAGCUGAUUGAUGACAAAAUGUCGUCAUUGACAUAGGGAUGUCAAAAUCAAUACAUGAGUAUUUAUUAGAGAACAACAUAUUGGAUUGAGCCACUGUGAGUAUGUUUUUUAGAUUAUUAUGUAAUAGUCACAACAUUACUCAUAGUAAUAACUACGUAUAUAAUCCUCAAACUUGAGAUCAUCAUUGUCCUAACAUCAUGAGUUGUAUAUUUUGAUGUAGUCAAACGUCUACUAUAAUAGAUUGCACUAUAAAGAAUGAUAUUAGAUAUACCACAAACCAUGUAGUGGGAUAUGAUUGAUCAAAAUAUGAUUUAACCCUCCUAUAUAAUGGGAGUAAUAUCUGGGGCCACUUGAUGGAGUGAUACUAGAAAUGCAUGGCCAUGCUCAAAUAAGUGGAUAUGAGAUACCACACUUAUUUGCUUAUUGUAGUCUACUAAAAAUAUCAAGAACUAUGAGAUUGGACUAUACAAGUAUGACUAUACCAUGACUUGCAUCCAAUAUAGAUGUAAAGGAUAAAAGAAUAUAAUACAUGAAAAGUUUAUCAUAGAAAAUUUAUGUCGAAUCACAACUUCUUGUAACUUAGGUAGCAAUGAUGCAUUGCUAGAUGCCAUUCAUUGCUUGUAACAUUAGAAAUGUUUUAGUAUUACUACUAGUGUUACAAUAACCUACAAGGUCACACCCUACGGUUAAAGCAAAUAGACUUCAUGCAAAACGUUCGGCAUAUACCCUCCUAUAUACAUCUUUGGCAAACAGUAUUGCCUGACGGACAAUAUCACUUGGUUGACUGUGUAAUAGGCCUAUUUUGCCCGGCCCGGGCCCAAUACAUUAAAUAGUCCAUUAUAGUCCUUUUUUUUAAACAAGCCCAAACUAAACAUGGCCCAAUGGCCCAAAGUGUUAAACACUUUCAAAAAAACCCUAACCCUAAUGCCCUUGUGCGCCGCACCCCUCUCUACCGCUACUUGCUCCCCCAUGUGCGUCCUCAACGUGCCUACCAUUGCAGCUCUACGACAGUCACCUGCAAACACGCACAGCAGGAGAAAACAGUAAAGAAAAAAAAGAGUAAACAGUAGCAAAAACUGGUUGUAAUCAGCUAUAAAGCCACACAAAAACUUUGUAAUCUGUACACUUUUGGAAUUAAAAAAAAAAGAUUCAAGCAUACCAAAUAAUCAAUAAAAAAUAGUAAGCAGAUCGAAGAGAAAAGAAAAGUCAAAAACGUGCUAAGGUCUUUAUUUUCAUUUAUUUAUUUAUUUUAUUUCUUCUCCUUUAUUUUCCUCCUUCGAAUAUAUAUACAUACGCCUAUAUUUUCUUUAUUUUCCUUUAAAAAAACAAUCUAUAUAUACAUAAAUAUAUCAAAAAUAAAAAAAUAAAAAAAUUACCUUUUUUUCGAGUUUUGGUCGCCGUGCACGGUGGUCAACGGCGGUGGUCAACAGCAAUGGUCCGCCAAAAUUCUCAUUGGGCCCUAGGGCUCCUUCAGAGAAAAACAAAGGGGGGAGAGGUUUUUUUUUUUGAAAAGUGUUAAAAGUGAUUUUUUUAAAAAAAAAUGGCCUUAAAUAGACCUUCAAAACGACACCGUUUUGGGCAGGCCUUUUAGGCACCAAAACGACGUCGUUUUGCCCUGACCCAAUCUGACUCGACCCGUCCGGCUUAGGAUCCGCAUGUUUUUAAGAGGAAGGGUUAUUUGCGCUUUUGAUCCUUCUAUUUUUUCAUGGUUUUGCAAUCACUUUUUUUAAAAUUUUAAUUUUGGCCCUUUAAUUUAUUUUGUUUCCAAUUUAGUCCCCCUUAAAGCUGUGUGUUUUGGAGGGAAAGGAUUAUUUCCCUUUUGGUCCCUCCUUGUUAUUUGAUCAUUUAAAUCGGUCCUUUUCUCUUUUAUUUAUUUUCAGAUUUCCCCCAAACUUUCUAUUUUAAAUUCAAUUUCAUCCUUUUUUAGUUAUUUAGCCACUUUAUUAUUAAAAUUAAUUAAUUUUAUCAUUAUUAUUAUUAUUAUUAUUAUUAUUAUUAUUAUCAUUGUUUCAUUUGUUUUAUUUUACUUUCAAUUUUUAGGUCUUUUUUUUGUUUUAUUUGUUUCUCUAUUUAAUUAUCCUUUUUUUUGGUUUGUUUAUUUUUUACAUUAUUGUUAUUUCAUUAUUUAUUUACUUAUGUAUAUAUUUUAUAUAUAUAUUUUUUCAAAAUUUAUAUUAUUAUUAUUUUAAUUAUAAUUAUUAUUAUCAUUUCUUAUUUUGUUUUAUUUAAUAUUUUAUUUUAUUUUAUUUUAUUUUAUUUUUUUAUUUUUUAUUUUACAAUUAGCUUGCUUUUCAUUUAUUCAUUUACUUUAUUGUCAUUUAUUUUCGCUUUAUUAUUUUUGCUCAUAUUAUCACAUCUAUUAUUUUGUUGUUACGUGUAUUAACACUGUGAUUUGUUUACACAUUUUUACUACAAAAUCGUGUUACAUUAAUUCUUGCUCGAUACAUAAAAUUUUGUUUUUUUAAAUAAGUAAUGUUUCGUAAUUCGAGAUUCAAAAAGUCGUUCCUUUACUUACGAGGUUUCGAUUUUCUCGAUGAAUCCAAAUAAACGAACGUUUUUAUAGCAUAAAUUUUUAAAUGAUCUCCGGAGUUAUGAAAAGAUUGUGUUCCAACUUACGAAAUAUGAUUUCUUUUUAAAACUAAUAUAAUCAAAUAUCUUUUAAAAUAAAUAAAUCUUUUAGCAUUUAUUUGUGAAUCAGGAAUUUAAGAAAUUGUGUCCUAACUUGCAGAACGUAAUUCUUUUUCUCGAUUAACGUGAAAUAUGCAUUUUCUCAAAAUUUUCAAUCGAAUAAUAUUUUAACAAAGGAUCGUAUUUUUAAUAUCUUUUCAAAUUCUCAAUCUUCGACACUAAAACAUUUAUUAGUCAACUAGGUACCAAUUUUGGGCGUUACGAGGGUGCUAAUCCUUCCUUGUAUGUAACCGACUCCUGAACCUAUUUUCUUGGAUUUCGUAUACAAAAAUCAUUGUUUCAACAAACAAAACAGUUUAUUAAAAAUAACCACUUUUCGAGGUGACUCGAUCACACCUCAUCAAAAAGGAUUGGUGGCGACUCCCAUUUUUUGUUUUCAAAAUCAAGUUGACCUUAUUGUAAAAAAAAAUGGUUCCACUGGGGACUAAAAAAAAAGAGUCAAGCCAUAAGUUGACUACUUUUUGUCUUUUUAUCGAAAACUGAUAAAUUGAUCUAAAUCUACGAUUCUUUUUGUCGCAUUUCAUUUUUGUGGUUCAUUUUGAUAUGUUUGCUUUGUUGGUUUGAGCCUUUUCAUACAUUUCUGCAUAUUGCAUUGCAUGACCGCUCAGUUAUACCUUUUAAAUGGGAGUGCGAAACUACUCUUUCGUGAGGUUUUCACCUCUGCAUGGGAUAGUGGAUCGCUUUCGGGAUACACCCGUACCUAUGUCUUCGUGAGAUUUUCAUCCCCGUGCAGCCAUAGGGAAAUGUAUUCCCCUGAACUGAACUUAGUCUAUAUGAGCUCAUAAUGGGUGAGGAUCGAGGAAUCUGCCGGUUUGGGUACCUUUACUCUAGAACCGAACCCCAUAUAGCGAGCCCUAAGAGCCCACCCUAGGUGGAACUAUACCAAAUCCUAGUAGUUUUUGAAUAGGUGCUCUAUUUGUUAUUUAUUUCUUCUGUACUGACAUGUUUUGUUUUGUUUUGGUUAUGAUUGCAUUGCAUUUUCAUCAUAGAAAGAGGUGUUAAUUCACGUUCAGUUGCUAAAUAGAGAGCUUGGCAUGGAAAACGGAUUUCUUGAUAAAGUGGAAAAUAAUUCGGGCGUCCGAAUAUGGUCCGAGUAAACACGACGAUAGAAGGGUGAUAGUCCGAUGAAGAAGUACAUGACUUUGCUUCGUUGCCCAAGGAUUCAAGCCGAAAAGGAUUGUUCGAGAGCCGUCAAUGUCCCAGCUUCCUUAAAGAAGCUAACGAGUAUUACGAGGAUAAGUGAACAAUGGGUUACAGCCUGGAUCAAGCAAAAAGGAGCUAUGUAGAAGCAUAUAUUAGAAAAUUUGUGAGAUUUGAUCUUAAAAUCUGGAUAAAAAGAAAGGGAUCGAUGUCUUCAUGUUGAAUAUUAGGGCAAGGCCGAAUAUAUAUCUGUUUUAUGUAAAGAGAUUUGUUUUCUAGUAAAGUUGUUCUAACAGAAUUGAAUCAGAAUCAACGUCUCUUUUUUGCAUUCAUUUCAUGCAUUUGCAUUGCAUUUCAUCAUAUGCAUUAAAUUUCAUAAAAAGGACCCUGAUUAAUUAAAAUUAUGAUAGUUAACUUGGAAACCAACGAAAACCCACUAACUAUGUAACACUACGGUACCCGCUGUAAGACGAAAGUAAUGGAUCAAAGAAUGGAAAAAUUAGAGCAAUUGCAAAGAGAUAUGCAAGACCAACCGCAGGCAUAGAUGCAAGAACAACUAGCCAAAAUUCAACAGAAUAUGAGGGAUCAAAUGCUUGAAUCCCAAAAAAGUAUGAUGAGCCAAUUGACGUAGUUACUAGCUAGAGGGCUCGAAAAAGGGAAAGGCCCAGUAGUCAACGGUGAAGAUGGUAAUAAAGACCCCAUCUAUCCCCUAGGUUUUACCCUAAUAAGUGCACAGGCCCAACCAGACACGCAUCUACAAGGGGCAUCCAUUACUGUCAGGCCCCAACAACAUCAAGCCGGUACCUCGGCACCCAUGAACUACCCGACGGGCUCAUGUUCCAAUCCGAGGAAUAGUCCAACCAAUCAUGUAGUUCCUGAUCUAGAAAAAAUGGCAGAAAUAGAAAAAACAAAGGUUGAAUUUCCUAAACAACUCGAAGAUCGGUACAGGUGAUUGGAGGAAAAAUUUAGAGCAAUGGAGAAUGCUGAUUACCAUUGCGGGGUUGACACCAAAAAUCUGAGUUUGGUUCCAGAUUUAGUACUCCUGCUGAAAUUCAAGACUCUAAAAUUUGAAAAGUAUAAUGGGACUAGUUGUCUUGAAGCUCACAUUAUGAUGUUCUACCAAAUAAUGACAAGAUACGUUGAUAACAAUCAAUUGUUAAUUAAUUGCUUCCAAGAUAGUCUGAUUGGGUCAGCUGCCAAAUGGUACAACCAACUGAGCCAUGCCAAAAUUCAUUCAUGGAAGGACUUGGCACAAGCUUUCAUGAAGUAAUAUGGCCACGUGACAGACAUGGUGCCCGAUAGAAUUACACUGCAAAAUAUGGAAAAGAAGCAAAGUGAAAGCUUCAAACAAUAUGUCCAAUGAUGGAGUGAAGUAGCGACACAAGUCCAGCCACCUCUUUUGGAGAAAGAAACUACGAUGCUUUUCGUCAACACUCUAAAAGCCCCGUUCAUUACCCAUAUAUUGGGAAGCGCUACUAUGAGCUUCUCAGAUAUAGUAAUAUCCGGCGAGAUGAUUGAGAACGCAAUCAAGAGCGGAAAGAUAGACGCGGGAGAAAGCGCUAAGAGGUCAACCCCAAAGAGAAAUAAAAAUGAAGUGAAUAAUAUAAGCAAAUGGUAUUUCAAAUCGGUCACUGUAAGCCAGCCGAAGGCCAUAACUACUAGCUAUCAGGGCCCUUUCAGGAAAGAAUUCAACUCGAGGCCAAACACAGAAUACCUAUCCCAAUAUCAUAUAAAGAGCUAUAUCGAAAUCUAUUUGAUACGCAUGUGGUAUCCCCUUUCUACUCGGAACCCAUACAACCUUCGUUCCCUAAAUGGUAUGAUGUGAAUGCUCAAUGCGAGUACCAUACAGGAAUAGCGGGGCACUCAAAUGAGAACUGCACCAUAUUUAAGAAGUUAAUCGAAAGGUUCAUCAAGAUGGGCAUCGUGAAGUUUGAUAAUCCAUUAGGACCUAAUGUGGUAGAAAAUCCAUUACCUGGUCAUCCGGACCUAGGAGGUAGAAACCCCCACUGAAAUGGGUUUUGAAAUAAAUAAUAGAUAUGAAAAUUCAGGGAAGAUACCCAAAGGGAUGGAAAGUUACUGUGAGUUCCACGCUGAAGGUGGUCACAAAAUCCAAGAGUGCACUGAAUUCAAAGUUUUGGUGCAAAGUCUAACGAAUAAUAAAGAGUUAGAAUUCUUUGAAGAAGUCAAAGGUCCGGAAUGAAUGCUGAGGAAUUUGAAUACAAUAUCAAAAGAGGGAUCUGGAAAAGAUAAUUUAUCAGGGAUACUUGGAAGUGUUUUGAAUAAUGGGACUGUGGGAGAGAUCUUUGUAUUUUUAAAGCUAAUUCAGAGUAAUGUUCAAAACACACUUAUUGCUCUAAACUUAGGAGUGAUGGGAAUCCUUUUGUGAAAUAGGAUUAUGUUCAAAAUCUUUAUUUCAGUAAAAUGCAUCUUUGCUAUCAUUUUGAGCAAAUAUUCUUUCAUUCUUUCUAUUUUAUUCAUAAUCAUACUAUACAAAUAAAUAUUUUUAGAUUCUUUUAUCUUUUGGACUCUCUUUCAAAUAUUCUUUUAUUCUUUAUUCAUGAUCAUACCAUAAAUAACUAUUCUUAGAUUCAUUUAUUCUUUGGAAUAUUCCUUCGUACCUACAACAAGUCUCCAGAUAUCAACGGCAUAAGCGGCACUGCUACUGACCCAGAGUCUCCUUUUGAGCAAGAUAUGUGUCUAGAGGGAUCUCAGGACUUUGAAGAUGGUAGAGAUUGUAGCUUAUCUCCUGGUUUGUUAAGGAUAGUAGAAUAAAAUGAAAAACAAAUCCUACCUUACAAAGGGUCAAUAGACAUCGAGAGCUUAGAGAAAGAGAAAAAGGUGAAGAUCGGAGCCUAUAUCACCACAGAGACAAAGCGAGACGUCAUUGAGUUAUUCCAAAAAUUCAAAGAUGUUUUCGCACAAUCGUAUUAAGAUACGCCUGGGCUACUAAGACGUGUGGAUGCUGUUAAGGCUAAGAAAAUCUUAGAAGAGGUCCAUAAGGAUGUCUGAAGAACAUAUGCUAAUGGUUUUACAAUGGCCAGACAAAUCAUGAGGUUCGAGUACUACUGGUCCACCAUAGAAGGGGAUCAUAUCAGUUAUGCCGUAAAUGCCAAAAUUAUAGAGACAAGAUUUAUGUACCUCCUUCAUUUCUUUAUAGACUUUCUCUAUGUAGGGCAUGGAUGUUAUUGGGCCGAUCUCGUCACAAGCUCCUAGCAGACAUCAUCAUCUUUGUGGUCGUUGAUUUCUUCAAUAAGCGGGUGAAAGUCACUUCAUACUCCAAUGUCUCAAAGUCAACAGUCAUCAAAUUCUAAAAAAAACACAAAAAAACACAAAAAAGAGAAGAGAAAAGAAAAAAAAAAGAAAAAGGAGAGGCCAAGGCGAAAAUCGGCAAAUGGCGUUUUGAGACCAAAAGGGUUUUAAGCUGAAAACCUGUAAAGAGCAAUUCAAAUUUUGAUAAAAAAUGGGGCAUGCGGUAGUCUCGCUGUCUCUAAAUUAACAAGAAAGAGAGAUGUCAUGUCUUGGGGCAUCAACAGAGUACUCUAGAUCUCCUAAACAUAUGUUGAGCUCCAAAUGGUCCUCAAGAAGUUCGUACAGAGAAGCUUAGGCUACGAUAUCUGGGGCACCUAGUCUUUAUCUUACCCAUAUUGAAUUUACUAUCUUUGAUUACUUUAUUCGUUUUAAGAUGUGCUCUCAAUAAAUUUUCUUCUUAUUGCAUUUACUUAAUUUAUUUGUUUCGAGCUAUGCUCCCGAUCAAUUUCCUUAUUGUCUAUUAUUAUGAUCUUUUUCAAGCAUUUCGCAUUGAGAUAAUGAUUAAUGGACUAAUAAAACUUUCAUAAAAGAAGUUAUGCAUAUUACUCUAGAGGCUUUUAAAUAGUACAAGAACCUGAAACAGGACUAUUGUUUAGAACUCACAAACUGUGACAGCUCUAAUGUGACCCUAGUCGGAAAGCGGUUUCGGGACCGCUAAACCGAGUCACCAAAUUAUUUGAAUAUGAUAUUUAUUGUCUAAAAUAUGUGAAUAUGAAUGUGUGAAAGUUUGAAGCUUCGAUUUAGUCGAUUGCAUGUGAAUUUAGUAAUAGGACUUAUGUGUGACACUUUUGAAAUGCGAUAGGUUAAUCUAUAAGGACCUAUUAAUGCAUGUUGUAUAAAAGAUGGGUUUACAUGUCAAAUUAGCCAAAAAUCUAGAUGGUGGCUGGCCAUGCUAUGGGGUAAAACAUAUUAUAGACAUUUUGUGUUAAUAUGUGUGGGAAGAAUAAUAAAACAUGAGGGGAGUGGGAGGAGAAACCAAAGUUGUUUCAUCCUUGCUCCCCCAUUUUGCCGUAACUUGAGAAAGGAAGAAGAAAGGAGUUCUCUUGCUUCAUGUUCGGCUGGGAUGAGGAUUAGGAAGAGCUCAAGAGCAAAGGGGAACUAAAUCCGAUAAAGGAAAGGAAAAGGUGAUCGAAUAGCCGUUGAAAUCGUUCGACGACAUCCGAGGUAAGUUUUCGAGUAAUGGAACUUAGUUUAUGAUUUGAUUAAGUCAUGACAUAUAGCAUAACUAAUAAACGGAUAUAUAAUGAUUCUACUUGAAUUAUAUAUAUUGAGGUGAUUAGUUUAUACUUGUGACGGGUAGCCGAAUGUGCAUGGAGAUCAUGUUAUAGGCAAAUCAAAAUCAUGCUCUUUGUAUGUAGCUAUUGAGCCGAAAAUGAUAAUGCUUGAUAAGUGACUUGUGUUUGAAUUCUAGUUAUGAAAAUGAAAUAUAGAUGUGUCAUGAUUUAUUGAUAUGUGCAUGAAUAUUCGGAUGAUAACCGGGCUAAGUCCCGAAGGCAUUUGUGCUAGUGACUAAUUUCGGGCUAAGCCCCGAAGGCAUUUGUGCGAGUUACUAUAUCCGGGCUAAGUCCCGAAGGCAUUUGUGCGAGUUGCUAUAUCCGGGCUAUGUCCCGAAGACAUUAAUGCUAGUGAUUAUAUCCGGGCUAAGACCUGAAGGCAUUUGUGCGAGUUGCUAUAUCCGGGCUAAGACUCGAAGGCAUUUGUGCGAGUUGUUAUAUCCAGCUAAAUCCCGAAGAUACUUGAGUUUGGAAGUGAGUGAUCUUGCUGUAAUAAUUUCAAUUAAUACGCUCAUAAAAUCCAAACGAUAAGGUAUGUUUCGUAUAUGCAUCGGAAAGGUCAAUUCGUUUUAAAUAGUAUUCGUUCAAUUGAUUAACGAACUUUCGGCCUUUAGUUAGGUUUGAUACCUUGUGUAUGAAUAUGUUGAUUGAAGCGUGAAGUAAGUAUGAUUAUGAGAAUGUGCAUAUAUGAAGUUAUUCAUUUAGCCAUAUGAAUGUUAUACUUUAGUCAAAACUAAUUUCAUUACUCAAACUUACUAAGCAUAAAAUGCUUAUUCCGUUGCUUUGAUUCUCUGUUUUAUAGAUUUUGCUCGUCAGCUAUCGGACUCGGGAUUGUCAAAGUCGAAGUCGUCCACACUAUCAAAGCCCUUUUGGUACUCUUUUGGUUGAACCUUGAUAAUGGCAUGUAUAGGACUGCCCUUUGUUGUUAGUCAAGUACUUUUGGUAAUGUAUAUAUUUGGAUAGCCAUGCGAAAAUGGCUUAUAUAUAUAUAUUUUGAGCAUACCAUUAUAAUCAUUUUGUAUAUUGUUCAUUGAGUGUAUGGAAAUGCUUGGUAAUGAUUAGCCAUUGGAAUGGUUAAUCACGAUCAUUUUGGUGCUUUGUAUGACAAAUGGCUAGUUGAUCCAUGAAAUAGGUAAAGCCUACCUUAAAAAUAGAUGCUGACAGCAGCAGUGAAGUGAAUUUGAAAAAUCACUAAAGAUAGUAGGAAUGGUAUUAAAUAGUGAAUAAAUUAUGUAAUUUAACCUCGAUGAGUCUAUUUUCAUAUGAAAGUAACGAAACAAUCAUAUGAGCCGUAUUUUAUGAGAUGUUUAAGUUUUCGUGAAAUAGGGCCAGAACGGUUACUGGAUCCCCUGUUCUGACUUUGGAAUUUUACCAUAAAUUAACCAGAGAUAAUUAGAAGUCAUGCUUUAUAUGUACGGAUUCCUUCUUGAGUCUAGUUUCAUUAGAAACAAACGGCAUAUGUAUUGAAGCCCUGUACAGGGAGAUAUCUAAAUCGUAAUGCAUGAAGGUCAGAGUAGUCGAACCCUGAAAUAGGGGAGACUUUAACUAAUAAACUGUACUAAUUGGCCUGACCAAAAAUUCUAGAAAAAACUUUGUAGAUGUAUAUAUGAGUCUAGUUUCAGGGAAAAUUUACGGAUUCAGUUUUUUAGUUUUGGAGCUCGAGAUAUGAUUUUUAAGGUGACAGUGGCGCACUUAGCCAGCUUGUCUGGAAAUUUUUAAAUGAACUGUAUAAAUAAAUGAAUUAAGUCCGUUAACCCCUCGUGUCCGACUCCGGCAACGGUCUCGGGUACGGGGCGUUACAAUUUGAUUGGUAUCAGAGCUACGAUUUAGUCGAUUCUAGGACUACCGUAAUACGUUUAGGUCUAGCUAUACAUGCCAUUAUGUGUUUAUUUGAUAGUGUGGUGAUUUCUGACAGUUAAAAAUGUGUUUACUUAUAGAAAUGGAUCCCGAUCCCAACCGAGCAGUAGUUGAUGAUCUUGAGAGUGUAGCGCCUGCUCCCGUACAAGGGACAGUGCCGGUGGACUCUCAACCUAUUGCUAGUAAUCAGAAUGACGAAGCUAGACAGGCUUUUUAUAGCGUGAUGAAUGAUUGGUUCAACCAAUACAUUCGAACUAAUACGGCUGUUCCACAACCUCCAUUCCCGACUAAUACAACCCCCGCACCUACAAUACCUCCAGUAACUGACCAAAUAAGGUCAAAUAAGCCCCCAGUUGACAGAAUCCGAAAACACGGGGCUAGUGAAUUUAAAGCUACAGACAGCGACGAUGCCGAGCAAGUUGAAUUUUGGUUGGACAACACUAUUCGGGUACUUGAUGAACUAUCUUGCACACCCGAUGAAUGCCUAAAGUGUACUAUCUCCUUGCUACGUGAUUCUACCUACUAUUGGUGGAAUACGUUGAUUUCUGUUGUGCCCAGAGAGCAAGUAACUUGGGAGUUUUUCCAAACCGAGUUUCGGAAAAAGUAUAUCAGUCACAGAUUUAUUGAUUAAAAACGGAAAGAAUUUCUUGAACUUAAACAAGGUUCCAUGUCGGUUACUGAUUAUGAACGAAAGUUUGUAAGGCUUAGCCGGUACGCUCGAGAAUGCAUUUCUUCAGAAGCUGUGAUGUGUAAACGUUUCGAAGAUGGACUGAACGAUGAUAUAAAGCUAUACGUUGGCAUUUUAGAAAUCAAAGAAUUUGUGGUACUUGUCGAGCGAGCUUGCAAAGUCGAGGAGCUCAGUAAGGAGAAAAGAAAAGCUGAUAUGAGAGCAAAGGAGUUUCGUAAGAGAUCUUCGGGAAAGCCCUUUCAAUAGUCAUCGAAGAAAUUUAAAGAUGAUUUAGGCCGAUCUAGAGACACUUCGGGCUUUUCUAGACGAGAUCAUGAUCGACCCCCUACGAGUACACGAGUCACUUCGGUCGCCAGUGCUGGAAAUGAUCGUCGAGACAGAACAGAGUGCUAGUAUUGCGGUAAAUGGCAUUCGGGGAUUUGUAGAUUCCAUGACUGCUCCUGUUAUAAGUGCGGAUCAGUUGACCAUUUUAUCAAGGAUUGCCCGAGACUGACUGAACAAAAUGUAAAUCAGAGUGGGAAACCAGGUGCUACUACUGCUCGAGGUAGACCAUCUAGAAAUAAGGGCAAUGCUAGUGGCGGUCAGAGAGGAUCUAGAGAUGCUACAACCAGAUCUGAGGCUCGCGCUCCUACUAGAGCUUAUGCUAUACGCGCACUCGAGGAUGCUUCCUCGCCAGAUGUUAUUACCGGUACUUUUACUCUCUUUGAUACUAAUAUGAUUGCUUUGAUUGACCCUGGUUCUACUCAUUCUUAUAUAUGUGAAACCUUAGCAUCCAGUAAGACUUUACCUGUUGAGUCUACUGAGUUCGUAAUUCGGGUGUCAAAUCCCUUGGGUCGUUAUGUGCUUGUCGACAAAGUGUGUAAGAAAUGUCCCCUAGUAAUCCGAGGUUCCUGUUUUCCAGCCGAUUUGAUGCUUUUACCGUUUGAUGAAUUUGAUGUUAUCCUCGGUAUGGAUUGGUUGACCGUACAUGAUGCAAUUGUAAAUUGCAAAAGAAAAACCAUUGAUUUGAAGUGUGUAAAUAACGAGAUAAUCCGAGUUGAGCCUACUGACUUGAAUGGGUUGCCAGCUGUAAUAUCAUCGAUGUUGGCUCAGAAAUAUGUAAGAAAGGGUGUGAAGCAUACCUUGCGUAUGUACUUGAUGACAAAGAGUUAGAAAAGAAGCCUGAAUCUGUGCCGGUGGUUUGUGAAUACCUGGAUGUUUUUCCCGAAGAAUUACCGGGUUUACCACCUGUUCGGGAGGUAGAGUUUGGUAUUGAGCUUGUACCUGGGACUACAUCGAUUUCGAUAGCUCUGUAUCGUAUGGCACUAACCGAGUUAAAAGAGUUGAAAGCUCAGUUGCAAGAGUUGACGGAUAGAGGUUUCGCUCGACCAAGUUUCUCACCUUGGGGUGCACCAGUAUUGUUUGUGAAAAAGAAGGACGGAACCAUGAGGUUGUGCAUCGACUAUCGUCAGCUGAAUAAAGUGACAAUAAAGAAUAAAUAUCCGUUACCGCAUAUUGAUGAUUUGUUUGAUCAACUAAAGGGAGCCUCGGUGUUUUCAAAGAUAGAUUUGAGAUCGGGUUAUUAUUAGUUGCGAAUUCGAGAUUCGGAUAUACCCAAAACUGCUUUUAGAACGAGAUACGGUCACUACGAAUUCUUAGUGAUGCCGUUUGGGCUCACUAAUGCCCCUGCGGUAUUUAUGGAUUUGAUGAAUUGGAUCUUCAGACCGUGUUUGGAUCGGUUUGUAGUUGUGUUUAUCGAUGAUAUUUUGGUUUAUUCGAGAAAUGAAACCGAUCAUGCUGAACACCUGGGAUUAGUGUUGCAAAUUUUACGGGAUAAGCAGUUAUAUGCUAAGUUCAGUAAGUGUGAGUUCUGGUUAAGAGAGGUUAGCUUCUUGGGUCAUGUGGUAUCUGCAUCGGGGAUUCGAGUUGAUCCGAGCAAAAUUUCGGCCAUACUUAACUGGAAGCCUCCGAGAAAUAUUACUGAAGUUCGAAGCUUUUUGGGACUUGCCAGUUACUACAGACGCUUUGUAAAGGGUUUCUCGAUGAUAGCCACACCAAUAACGAAACUACUUCAGAAAGAUGUUAAGUUUGAGUGGACAGAAAAGUGUCAGAAAAGUUUCGAUCAACUGAAAACUUAUUUGACUGAAGCUCCAGUACUAGUGCAGCCCAAAUCAGGCAAGGAGUUUGUCAUCUACAGUGAUGCAUCCUUACUUAGGUUGGGCUGUGUAUUGAUGCAAGAAGGUCGAGUUGUAGCUUAUGCGUCGAGACAAUUGAAGCCACAUGAGAAAAAUUAUCCAACCCAUGAUCUCGAAUUAGCUGCCAUCGUAUUCGCUUUGAAAAUAUGGCGACAUUACUUAUUUGGUGAGAAGUUCCAUGUAUAUUCGGAUCACAAAAGUCUCAAAUAUUUGAUGACUCAAAGAGACUUGAAUCUGCGACAAAGGCGUUGGCUUGAGUUGUUGAAAGAUUAUGAGCUUGUCAUUGAUUAUCACCCGGGAAAGGCUAAUGUGGUUGCGGAUGCCUUAAGUCGUAAAUCACUGUUUGCUUUACGAGCGAUGAAUGUACACUUAUCUGUUCUAUCUGACAAUGUGUUAAUAGCUGAAUUAAAGGCCAAACCAUUGUUGAUUCAUCAAAUUCGUGAAGCUCAGAAAGUCGAUGAUGAAUUGGUUGCAAAACUGGCUGAAUGUGUUCCGGAUAGGGAAUCAGAGUUUCAAAUUGAUGACGACGAUUGUUUGAGAUUCAGAAGUCGUUUGUGUGUUCCAAGAAAUUCAGAACUUAUUUCGAUGAUUCUGAACGAAGCUCAUUGUAGCCGAAUGCCAAUUCACCCGGGGAGUACGAAAAUGUACAACGAUCUGAGAUGUCAGUUUUGGUGGCAUGGUAUGAAACAAGACAUUUUCGAUUUUGUUUCGAGGUGUUUAAUAUGUCAACAAGUGAAAGCGGAACAUCAAGUGCCUACAGGUUUACUUCAGCCGAUCAUGAUACCUGAAUGGAAAUGGGAUCGAGUCACGAUGGAUUUUGUAUCUGGGUUGCCAUUGUUGGCAAGUAAGAAAGAUGUGAUUUGGGUUGUUGUUGAUAGACUGACUAAGUCGGCUCAUUUUAUUCCCGUACGUACGGAUUAUUCAUUGGAUAAACUAGCUGAAUUGUAUGUUUUUCAGAUUGUAAGAUUACACGGGGUACCUAUUUCUAUUGUGUCGGAUAGAGAUCCGAGAUUCACCUCGCGAUUUUGGAAGAAACUGCAAGAAGCUUUGGGUACCAAGUUGCAUUUUAGCAUCGCUUUUCAUCCACAAACUGAUGGUCAAUCCGAGCGGAUAAUUCAGAUACUUGAGGAUAUGUUGAGAUGUUGCAUCCUCGAGUUUAGUGGUUCAUGGGAGCGGUAUUUACCUUUGAUUGAAUUCGCUUACAACAAUAGUUUUCAGUCAAGUAUUAAGAUGGCACCUUACGAGGCUUUGUACGGUCGCAAAUUCCGUACACCAUUGUUUUGGACCGAGCUCGGUGAAAGUAAAAUUUUCGGAGUUGAUUUGAUUAAAGAUACCGGGCAGAAAGUAAAAAUAAUUCGUGAAAGUCUAAAGGCAGCAUCAGAUCAUCAGAAGUCGUACGCGGAUUUAAAACGAAGAGAUAUUGAGUAUCAGGUGGGAGACAAAGUAUUUCUUAAAGUUUCACCUUGGAAAAAGAUACUCAGAUUUGGCCGUAAGGGCAAACUGAGUCCGAGGUUCAUAGGGCCGUAUGAAAUAUCCGAACGAGUUGGUCCGGUGGCAUAUAGAUUGAUUUUACCCCCUGAUCUCGAGAAGAUUCACAACGUUUUUCAUGUCUCAAUGCUUCGACGUUACAGAUCUGAUCCUUCGCACAUAAUAAGUCCCUCCGAGGUUGAAAUUUAAGCCGAUAUGAGUUAUGAAGAAGAACCGAUUCGUAUCCUAGCUCGUGAAGUGAAAGAGUUACGAAACAAAAAAGGUUCCUUUAGUAAAAGUGUUAUGGCUCAAACACGGGAUGGAAGAAGCUACUUGGGAAACCGAGAACUCUAUGAAAGAACGAUACCCAAACCUAUUUACCGGUAAGAUUUUCGGGGACGAAAAUUUCUUAAGUGGGGGAGAGUUGUGACAGCCCUAAAGUGACCCUAGUCGGAAAGCGGUUUCGGGACUGCUAAACCGAGUCACCAAAUUAUUUGAAUAUGAUAUUUAUUGUCUAAAAUAUGUGAAUAUGAAUGUGUGAAAGUUUUAAGCUUCGAUUUAGUCGAUUGCAUGUGAAUUUAGUAGUAGGACUUAUGUGUGACACUUUUGAAAUGCGAUAGGUUAAUCUAUAAGGACCUAUUAAUGCAUGUUGUAUAAAAGAUGGGUUUGCAUGUCAAAUUAGCCAAAAAUCUAGAUGGUGGCCGGCCAUUCUAUGGGGUAAAACAUAUUAUAGACAUUUUGUGUUAAUAUGUGUGGGAAGAAUAAUAAAAUAUGAGGGGAGUGGGAGGAGAAACCAAAGUUGUUUCAUCCUUGCUCCCCCAUUUUGCCAUAACAUGAGAAAGGAAGAAGAAAGGAGUUCUCUUGCUUCAUGUUCGGCUGGGAUGAGGAUUAGGAAGAGCUCAAGAGCAAAGGGGAACUAAAUCCGAUAAAGGAAAGGAAAAGGUGAUCGAAUAGCCGUUGAAAUCGUUCGACGACAUCCGAGGUAAGUUUUCGAGUAAUGGAACUUAGUUUAUGAUUUGAUUAAGUCAUGACAUAUAGCAUAACUAAUAAACGGAGAUAUAAUGAUUCUACUUGAAUUAUAUAUAUUGAGGUGAUUAGUUUAUACUUGUGACGGGUAGCCGAAUGUGCAUGGAGAUCAUGUUAUAAGCAAAUCAAAAUCAUGCUCUUUGUAUGUAGCUAUUGAGCCGAAAAUGAUAAUGCUUGAUAAGUAACUUGUGUUUGAAUUCUAGUUAUGAAAAUGAAAUAUAGAUGUGUCAUGAUUUAUUGAUAUGUGCAUGAAUAUUCGGAUGAUAACCGGGCUAAGUCCCGAAGGCAUUUGUGCUAGUGACUAAUUCCGGGCUAAGCCCCGAAGGCAUUUGUGCGAGUUACUAUAUCCGGGCUAAGUCCCGAAGGCAUUUGUGCGAGUUGCUAUAUCCAGGCUAUGUCCCGAAGACAUUUAUGCUAGUGAUUAUAUCCGGGCUAAGACCCGAAGGCAUUUGUACGAGUUGCUAUAUCCGGGCUAAGACCCGAAGGCAUUUGUGCGAGUUGUUAUAUCCGGCUAAAUCUCGAAGAUACUUGGGUUUGGAAGUGAGCGAUCUUGCUGUAAUAAUUUCAAUUAAUACGCUCAUAAAAUCCAAACGAUAAGGUAUGUUUCGUAUAUGCAUCGGAAAGGUCGAUUCGUUUUAAAUAGUAUUCGUUCAAUUGAUUAACGAACUUUCGGCCUUUAGUUAGGUUUGAUACCUUGUGUAUGAAUAUGUUGAUUGAAGCGUGAAGUAAGUAUGAUUAUGAGAAUGUGCAUAUAUGAAGUUAUUCAUUUAGCCAUAUGAAUGUUAUACUUUAGUCAAAACUAAUUUCAUUACUCAAACUUACUAAGCAUAAAAUGCUUAUUCCGUUGCUUUGAUUCUCUGUUUUAUAGAUUUUGCUCGUCAGCUAUCGGACUCGGGAUUGUCAAAGUCGAAGCCGUCCACACUAUCAAAGCCCUUUUGGUACUCUUUUGGUUGAACCUUGAUAAUGGCAUGUAUAGGACUGCCCUUUGUUGUUAGUCAAGUACUUUUGGUAAUGUGUAUAUUUGGAUAGCCAUGCGAAAAUGGCUUAUAUAUAUAUUUUGAGCAUACCAUUAUAAUCAUUUUGUAUAUUGUUCAUUGAGUGGUAUGGAAAUGCUUGGUAAUGAUUAGCCAUUGGAAUGGUUAAUCACGAUCAUUUUGGUGCUUUGUAUGACAAAUGGCUAGUUGAUCCAUGAAAUAGGUAAAGCCUACCUUAAAAAUAGAUGCUGACAGCAGCAGUGAAGUAAAUUUGAAAAAUCACUAAAGAUAGUAGGAAUGGUAUUAAAUAGUUAAUAAAUUAUGUAAUUGAGCCUUGAUGAGUCUAUUUUCAUAUGAAAGUAACGAAACGAUCAUAUGAGCCGUAUUUUAUGAGAUGUUUAAGUUUUCGUGAAACCGGGCCAGAACAGUUACUGGAUCCCCUAUUCUGACUUUGGAAAUUUACCAUAAAUUAACCAAAGAUAAUUAGAAGUCAUACUUUAUAUGUACGGAUUCCUUUUUGAGUCUAGUUUCAUUAGAAACAAACGGCAUAUGUAUUGAAGCCCUGUACAGGGAGAUAUCUAAAUCGUAAUGCAUGAAGGUCAGAGUAGUCGAACCCUGAAACAGGGGAGACUUUAACUAAUAAACUGUACUAAUUGGCCCGACCAAAAAUUCUAGAAAAAAAUUUGUAGAUGGAUAUAUGAGUCUAGUUUCAGGGAAAAUUUAUAGAUUCAGUUUUUGAGUUUUGGAGCUCGAGAUAUGAUUUUUAAGGUGAUAGUGAUGCACUUAGCUAGCUUGUCUGGAAAUUUUUAAAUGAACUGUAUAAAUAAAUGAAUUAAGUCCGUUAACCCCUCGUGUCCGACUCCGGCAACGGUCUCGGGUACGGGGUGUUACACAAACCUAAGGGUUGGUAAUGUUUGAAAAAAAGGAGUCUAAAUUGUGACUAUCUCUUCGAGUUUUCUGUCAAAGAUAUCAGUUGAACAAGGAGACAAGAUAUUGCGUCGGUGAUACAACCUCGACGAAAAACGAGCAACACAAGCAUUAAAAUGGGAUCAUUCUUAAGAAAAACGAUAUUCUACAUUCAUGCAAAUAUCAUGCAUACACAUCUGGUCAUGAUACCCAGAGAAUGGUGUAACAGAUCAAAUUGAUUGAAGAAGAUACAAAUCCUAUACCCCCGAGUUAUAGUGGGAUGGAUUGAAGAAGAUAUAAAUCCUAUACCCUUAAGCUGUAGUGGGAUGGAAUAAAGAUGAUACAGAUCCUGUACCCCUGAGUUGCAGUGGGAUGGAUGGAAAAAAACACAAAUUUUAUUUCCCUGAAGUUGCAGUGGAGCAAACCAGCUGAGCAAAUGGUGAUUAUUUCUUCGAAUUUUCUGCCAAAGAUACCAGCUGAACAAAAAAGGCAGGAUAACACAUCAGUGACAGAACCUUGAUGAACAACGAGCAAUGACAACCCAAAUAUUAAUAAGCGAUCAUUCUCAUGACAUUCUACAUUCAUGCAAAUAUCAUAUAUACACAUCUAGUUAGGAGCAUUUGAUUCAUUCUGAUCAUAAUGUCCUAAUCAUUUGGCAUAAACAUAGGCCCAUGAAAUCGAUUUUACAAGUCAUGUUCCCCAGAGGACGGUGUAACAAGACCGAUGGAUCCAUAAAUCUCAUACCCCUGAAGUUGCAGUGGGACGGAUUAAAGUUAUAAUGGAAAAUCUUAUCUCCCUGAAGUUGCAGUGGAGUAGAUUAAAGCCACUAAACCUUAUCUCCUUGAAGUUGCAAUGGAGCAGACUAAAGAUAGCAAAUCUUAUUUCCUUGAAGUUGUAGUGGAAUAGAUUGAAACUAUAAAUUACAGAUCUUAUCUCUCUGAAGUUGCAGUAGAGUAAAUCAUAACAAACCUUAUCUCCCUGAAGUAGCAGUGGAGCAGGUUGAAGUUAAAGUCUUAUCUCCCUAAAGUUGCAGUGGAGCAGACUAAAGAUAGCGAAUCUUAUCUCCCUGAAGUUAUAGUGGAGCAGAUUGAAGAUAGCGAAUCUUAUUUCCCUGAAGUUGCAGUGGAACAAAUUGAAGCUAUAAAUUACAGAUCUUAUCUCUCUGAAGUUGCAGUAGAGUAGAUCAUGGCAAAGCUUAUCUCCUUGAAGUUGCAGUGGAGCAGGUUGAAGUUACAAGUUUUAUCUUCUUGAAGUUUCAGUGGAGUAGAUUGAAGUUAUCAUGGCGAAUCUUAUCUCCUUGAAGUUGCAAUGGAGUAGAUUAAAGCCACAAACCUUCCCUGAAGUUGUAGUGGAGCAGGUUAAAUAUAAAAAAAUCUUAUCCCCCUGAAGUUGCAGUGGAGUAGACUGAAGAUAGCUAUCUUAUCUCUUUGAAGUUGCAGCUGAGUAGAUUGAAACUACAGGUCCUAUCUCUCUGAAUGGCGGCGGAGUGGAUCGAAGCAACGAGAUGCAGUUUACCUGAAGAAGAGAAGUACCGAAAGAAGUCAAGAUUCGGCAGGUCCAGGAAAAUUGGCCCUUUUAAAGUCUUUCUCCAUUCUCGUUACAGGACAACGAGCAAAGAGGGGCAGCUGUAAUAGGCCUAUUUUUCCCAGCCCUGGCCCAAUACAUUAAACAGUCCAUUACAGUCCUUUUUUUUAAACAAGCCCAAACUAAACAUGGCCCAAUGGCCCAAAGUGUUAAACACUUUCAGAAAAAACCCUAACCCUAACCCUAAUGCCUUUGUGCCCCGCACCCCUCUCUGCCGCUACUUGCGCCCCCAUGUAAGUCUUCAGCGUGCCUACCACUCCAGUUCUGCCAUAGCCACUUGCAAACACGCAAAGCAAGAGAAAACAAUAAAGAAAAAAGAAGAGUAAACAAUAGUAAAAACUGGUUGUAAUCGGCUAUAAAGCCACACAAAAACUUUGAAAUCUGAACACUUUUGGAAUUAAAAAAAAACGAUUCAAGCAUACCAAACAAUCAAUAAAAAACAGCGAGCAGAUCGAAGAGAAAAGAAAAGUAAAAAACGUGCUAAGGUCUUUAUUUUUAUUUUAUUUAUUUAUUUUAUUUCUUCUCUUUUAUUUUCCUCCUUCAAAUAUAUAUACAUACACCUAUAUUUCUUUAUUUUCCUUCAAAAAAAUAGUCUAUAUAUAUAAAUAUAUCAAUAAUAAUAAAAAGAAAAAAUUACCUUUUUUUCAAGUUUCAACCGUCGUGCACGGCGGUCGGCGGCGGCGGUCGAUGGUAGUGGUCGCCGGAAUUCUCACCGGACCCUUGGGCUCCUUCAGAGAAAAACAAUGGGGGGAGAGGUUUUUUUUUUUUUGAAAAGUGUUAAAAGUAUUUUUUUUUAAAAUUUUGGCCUUAAAUAAACCUCCAAAACGAUGCUGUUUUGGGUAGGCCUUUUAAGCACCAAAACCACGUUGUUUUGCCCUGACCCAAUCCGACCUGAUCCGUCCGGCCUAGGAUUCGCGUGUUUUUAAGCGGAAGGGUUAUUUGCACUUUUGGUCCUUCCGCUUUUUCAUGGUUUUACAAUCAAAAUUUUUUAAAUUUUAAUUUUGGCCCUUUAAUUUAUUUCGUUUCCAAUUUUGUCCCCUUGAAGCUGUGGGUUUUGGAGGGAAGGGAUUAUUUCCCUUUUGGUCCCUUCUUGUUAUUCGCGCGUUCAAAUCGAUUCUUUUCUCUUUUAUUUAUUUUCAGAUUUCCCCUAAACUUUCUGUUGUAAAUUCAAAUUAAUUUUAUUUAGUUAUUUUGCCACUUUAUUAUUAAAAUUAAUUAAUUUUACUAUUAUUAUUAUUUUUACUAUUAUUAUUACUAUCAUGCUUAUUAUUACUAUUAUUAUUAUUAUGUUAUUAUUCUUUGUUUAUUAUUAUUAUUAUUAUUAUUAUUAUUAUUAUUAUUAUUAUUAUUAUUAUUAUCAUCAUCAUCAUUAUUUCAUUUGUUUUAUUUUACUUUCAAUUUUUAGCUCUUUUUUUGUUUUAUUUGUUUCUCUAUUUAAUUAUCCUUUUUUUUGUUUGUUUAUUUUUUUUCACUAUUGUUAUUUCAUUAUUUAUUUACUUAUAUAUAUUUUAUAUAUAUUUUUUCAAAAUUUAUAUUAUUAUUAUUUUAAUUAUAAUUCUUAUUAUUAUUGUUAGAAUUAAAUGACCCGAAUCCUUAUUUAAAUGAAAUACAGUAGUAAAAUAAAAUAAAAGUAAAAUCUAUAUAGAACUACACUUCUUUUGUUUUAUUUUAGAAUAAGGUUUUUUAAACCUUAUUAAACUCCAUUUAUUUUAUAUUGAUUAGAAUAAGGUGUUUCAGUCUUACUAGAAUAUGGCUUUACAAGCCUAUAAAUAGACAUAGUCUAUUUCUCUUGUAAUAAUUUGAAUUCGACAUAGUGAAUUUUCUUUUCCUCUACCCGUGAUUUUUUCCCGAAAGGGUUUCCACGUAAAAAUUUGUGUGUUCUUUAUUUUAUUUUAUUUUUUCACAAAUUGGUAUCAGAGCUUCCAAGUUGUUCAUCUCGAUCACGAUAAUGACGUCUUUAAAAUAUGAAAUGCUGUUGGAUCGCAACACCAGGUUUGCAUUGUGGCAGAUUAAGACGCAAGUAGUUCUUGCACUAAUAGAUCUGGAGGAUGCCCUGCUAGGGAUAGAUAAGAUGUCUUCGACAUUAAUAAAUGAAGAGAAGAAUCGUUUUGAAAGGCAUUAACACAAUUAUAUCUACAUUUGUCCAACGAAAUUUUGCAAAAUAUGAUGAAAGAGAAAACCAGCGCUGCAUUGUGGAAGAGGCUAGAACAAAUAUGUAUGUCGAAAACUCUAACAAGCAAGUUGCAUAUGAAUCAGCGUCUUUAUGCUCAUCGUUUGGAGGAAAGUGCGUCUGUACACGAACACUUAACAGUGUUUAAAGAAAUUGUCUCAAACUUGGAGGCCAUGGAGGUUCAGUAUGAUAACGAAGAUCCAGGGUUGAUUCUACUUUGUUCGUUGCCCCUGUCUUAUUCAACCUUUAAAGACACGAUUUUAUGUAGCCGCGAGUCUCUCACAGUUGAUGCGGUUUAUGAUUCUUUGACCUUGUAUGAUAAGAUGAAGCAUCUUGUGGUUAAACUCGACUCUUAGGGAGAGGGUCUCAUUGUUCAUGAGAGACAAGAUCAGAAUGCUGAUGAUGAUCGUAGAAGGACACAGGAAUGAAAUCCUCGUGGUAAAUCAAAGGAUAGAUCAAAGUCUUCAAAUAGAGGUAAAACUUGUAACUUCUACAAGAAAAAAUGGCUCAUUAAAUCUGAGUGCUAUAAGCUAUAGAAUAAGAUUAAAAGGGAGGCUACUAAUCAAAAAGGAAAACAACCAGAAAAUUUCAGUGAAGUUGAUGUUGUAGAAGACUACAGCGAUGGUGAACUUCUAGUCGCUUCAGUCAACAAUUCUAAAGUGAGCGAGGAGUGGAUACUUGAUUUAGGGUGCACCUUCCACAUGAGUCCCAAUCGGGAUUGGUUUACAACUUAAGAAACAGUGUCUGGAGGUGUUGUUUUGAUGGGAAAUAAUGCUUCGUGUAAAAUCGCAGGUUUUGGAACAAUUAAAGUUAAGAUGUUUGAUGGAGUUGUGAGAACACUUAGUGACUUAUGACAUGUUCCAGAAUUGACAAGAAAUUUAAUUUCUUUGAGUACUCUUGAUUUAGAAGGGUACAGAUACACAGCUGAAAGUGGGGUUUUAAAGAUUUCCAAAGGUUCCCUUGUUAUGAUGAAAGGGCAAAGAAAGACUGCCAAGUUAUAUGUUUUGUAGGGUUCUACUGUUACUGGUGAUGUAGCUAUCACUUUCUCUUCCUUGUCAGAUGAUGAUAUUACUAAACUUUAGCAUAUGCGGCUAGGGCAUAUGAGUGGGAAUGACACGACAGAAUUGAGCAAAAGAGGACUUCUUGAUAGGCAAGGAAUUUGCAAAUUGAAUUUUUAUAAGCACUGUGUUUUUGGGAAGCAAAAGAGAGUUCGAUUCACCAGAGGAAUCUAUAACAUGAAGGGAACAUUGGAGUAUAUUCAUUCUUAUCUGUGGGGGUCAUCCAAAGUGCUUUCAAGAGGUGGAGCUAAUUAUAAGUAACCUUUAUUGAUGAUUUUUCCAGAAAAGUUUGGGCGUUCUUCUUGAAGCAAAAAAGUGAUGUGUUUUCCGCAUUUAAGUCUUGGAAAAUUAUGAUUGAAAAAUAGACGAGAAAAAAAUAAAACACCUCCGCAUAGACAAUGGCUUAGAGUGUUGUUCUGAUGAGUUUAAUAGAUUGUGCAAGUCAAAAAGGAUCGUGAGACACUUGGCAAUUUGCCAUACUCCAUAGCAAAAUGGCGUUGCAGAAUGAAUGAACAGAACGAUCAUUGAGAAUGUUUGAUGUAUGUUGUCAAAUGCCAACUUACCAAAGUCGUUUUAGGCCGAAGUAGCCUCUACUGCAUGUUUUUUGAUCAUCUGAUCCCUAUCCGUUGCCAUUGAGAAAAAGACUCCGCAAGAGUUAUAGUCUAGCAAUCUUGCAAAUUAUUCUGAUUUAAAUAUUUUUGGGUGUCCUGCAUAUGCUCAUGUUGGUAAUGGAAAAUUGGAACCGAGAUCCAUUAAAUGUGUUUUUCUUGGUUAUAAAGCUGGUGUAAAAUGGUAUAAGUUAUGGUGUCCUGAAAAUAGAAAAGUUGUGAUUAGCAGUGAUGUUGUUUUUGAUGAAACUACUAUGCUGCCUAACUUAUCUCUUAAAGACUCUUCCAAUAAAGAAAAUCAAAAGCAAGUGGAGCAUCAGAUUAAUACAGAGCCAACUUCUCAAGCCAAUACAAAAAUUGAAAAUAGAGUCGCUUCUUCACCGUAAUACUCUAUCGCCAAAAACAGAACUAGAAGAGAAAUUAAACCUCUAAAGAAGUAUGCUGAGGCUGAUCUAGUUUCUUAUGCUUUAAAUGUGGCUAAAGAUAUAGAUGCAAAUUAAGAGCCAUCUAAUUAUUCUGAGGCGGUUAGCUGUGAAAACUCAGAAAAAUGGAUGUUUGCUAUGCAAGAGGAGAUAGAAUCACUCUACAAAAACAAAACAUGGGAUCUUGUGAAACUUCCCAAAGGUAAAAGGUUGUUCAUUGUAAAUGGGUGUUUAAAAAGAAAGAAGGGACUCUAGGAGUUGAAGAACCUAGAUAUAAAGCAAGGUUUAUUGCAAAGGGUUACAGUCAAAUUCCAGGAGUGGACUUCACAGAUGUGUUCUCCCCAGUUGUUAAGCAUAGUUCGAUUCGAACUUUGCCUGGUAUUGUGGCCAUGCAUGAUUUGGAGCUUGAGCAGUUAGAUGUAAAAAUUGCAUUUUUGCAUGGAGAACUUGAGGGGGAUAUUUACAUGCAACAACCAGAGGGUUUUACAGUCUCAGAAAAAGAUGACUAUGUUUGCUUACUGAAAAAGUCCUUUUACGGUUUGAAAUAGUCACCAAGACAGUGGUACAAGAGGUUUGAUUCCUUUAUGAUUUCUCAUGAUUUCAAAAGAAGUAAUUUUGACAGUUGUGUUUACUUCAAGAAAAAUAGUGAUGGUUCUUUUGUGUAUCUACUUCUUUAUGUUAAUGACAUUUUGAUAGCAGCAAAAGAUAAAGGAGAGAUAAGAAAGGUCAAAGCCCAACUAAGUGAAGAAUUUGAGAUGAAAGAUUUAGGACCAGCAAAGAAGAUACUUGGUAUUGAGAUUCUCAGAGAUAGAAAAGCAAGUAAAUUGUACCUAAGUCAGAAGGGGUACAUUGAGAAAGUUUUUUUGCAGGUUCAAUAUGCAGAGUGCUAAGUCUGUUAGUACUCCUUUAGUAGCCAUUUUAGACUUUCAUUGGCUUUGUCUCCAUAAUCAGAUGAUGAGAUUGAGUACAUGUCACAUGUUCCAUACUCUAGUGUAGUGGGAUCUCUCAUGUAUGCUAUGGUUUGUUCACGUCCAGAUUUAUCAUAUGCAGUCAGUGCAGUUAGCACAUACAUGGCGAAUCUCGGUAAAGAACACUGGAAAGCAGUUCAGUAGAUUUUAAGAUACUUACAAGGUACUAUUGAUGUUUGCUUACAGCUUGGAAGAAUUAGAGAUGGAGUCAUUGGGUAUGUUGAUGCUGAUUUUGCUGGACACCUUGAUAGAAGAAGAUCUCUCAUAGGUUAUGUCUUUACAAUCGGAGGUUGUACAAUCAGUUGGAAAGCCACUUUGCAAACUACAGUCGCUUUGUCUACCACUGAAGCUGAGUACAUGGCAAUUACUGAGGCUUGUAAAGAAGCUAUCUGGUUGAAGGGACUCGUUAGUGAACUCAAUGAAGACAUUCAAAUCAGUACUGUAUUUUGUGACAAUCAGAGUGCAAUCUUCCUUACAAAAGAUCAAAUGUUUCAUGAGAGAACAAAACACAUUGAUGUUCGAUAUCAUUUUGUUCGUGAUAUUAUUGCUCGUGGUGAUAUUGUUGUGAGCAAAAUUAGUACUCAUGAAAAUCCUGCAGAUAUGAUGACUAAGUCACUUCCUAUAACCAAGUUUAAGCAUUGCUUAGACUUGGUUGGUGUCUAUUGUUGAAGUUAAACCCUUAAGAGGUUUUAUGGAAGAGAUGGAGAACUUGUUCGUUAAGAGUUCGGGAUGAAGAACUUGUUUAUUGAGAAUUCGUGUCAAGGGGGAGAUUGUUAGAAUUAAAUGACCCGAAUCCUUAUUUAAAUAAAAUAUAGUGGUAAAAUAAAAUAAAAGUAAAAUCCAUAUAGAACUACACUUCUUUUAUUUUAUUUUAGAAUAAGGUUUUUUAAACCUUAUUAAACUCCAUCUAUUUUAUAUUGAUUAGAACAAAGUGUUUCAGUCUUACUAGAAUAUGGCUUUACAAGCUUAUAAAUAGACAUAGUCUAUUCCUCUUGUAAUAAUUUGAAUUCAACAUAGUGAAAUUUCUUUUCCUCUACCCGUGGUUUUUUCCCGAAAGGGUUUCCACGUAAAAAUUUGUAUGUUCUUUAUUUUAUUUUAAUUUAAUUUAUUUUAUUUUUUCACAAUUAUUAUUAUCAUCAUUUCUUAUUUUGUUUUAUUUUUAUUUUUUAUUUUUUAUUAGUUUACAAUUAGCUUGCUUUUUAUUUAUUCAUUUACUUUAUUGUCAUUUAUUUUCGCUUUAUUAUUGUCGCUCAUAUUAUCACAUCUAUUAUUUUGUUGUUACGCGUAUUAACACCAUGAUUUGUUUACACAUUUUUACUACAAAAUCGUGUUACAUUAAUCCUUGCUCGAUACAUAAAAUUUUGUUUUUUUAAAUAAGCAAUGUUUCAUAAUUCGAGAUUCGAAAAGUCAUUCCCUAACUUACGAGGUUUCAAUUUUCUCGAUAAAUCUGAAUAAACAAACGUUUUUAUAGCAUAAAUUUUUAAAUGAUCUUGGGAAUUAUGAAAAGAUCGUGUUCUAACUUACGGAAUAUGAUUUCCUUAUAAAACCGAGAUAAUCAAAUAUGUUUUAAAAUAAAUAAAUUUUUUAGCAUUUAUUCGCGUAUCGGGAAUUUAAGACAUUGUGUCCUAACUUACAGGACGUAAUUUUUUUUCUCGAUUAACGUGAAAUAUGCCAUUUUCUCAAAAUUUUCAAUCGAAUAAUAUUUUAACAAAGGAUUGCAUUUUUAAAAUCUUUUCAAAUUCUCAAUCUUCGGCACUAAGACAUUAAUUAGUCAACUAGGUACAAAUUUUGGGCGUUACGAGGGUGCUAAUCCUUCCUCGUACGUAACCAACUCCCGAACCUUUUUUUGGAUUUCGUAUACCAAAAUCGUUGUUUUAACAAACAAAACUGUUUAUUAAAAAUAACCACUUUUCGAGGUGACCCGGUCACACCUCAUCAAAAAGGAUUGAUGGCGACUCCCAUUUUUCAUUUUCAAAAUCAAGUCGACCCCGUUUUAUAAAAAAAUGGUUUUGACAGACUGUAUCUCCUGACUAAUAAUAUCGCCUAGCGAAUACGAUUCGUAACUACUUUCCAGAUUUAAUAUUUGUUGAAGUUAAUAUUCUUUUAGAAAGAAGAAAACUUUAAUACCUUCCAUGAUUUUCUCUAGAAGUAAAAGGGAAUUAUUCCAUUUUUAUUAUAGGUGAUUAAUAAAAGGAAAAAGAUCUCUGAUGAUGCGAUUGAGAAGUAAGGAAAAAUUCAAGAGGUCAAGCAGUCAGUCUUUGAAUUCUCUCUGAAAAGUUUAAAGAGUUUUGUUGUUCAUGCUUGACUAAGUGAACUAUGUAGAUGCCGAAACGAUUCUGUUACGUCUUGGAAUCGACACCACGAAGGAAAUUAGAUUGCUAAAGGUAUAUUUCCAAUUAUGUUUCAACCCGAUUCAUUCCUCGUACUUGGAUCCUUGGAUGAUGAUCAUCGAAAUAAUUUUUUCGUUGCACCACAUGGCGUACAUAAAUGACUUGAUAUAAUAUCCUCAAAUAUAUGGAUCCAUCGCUAAGUCAUAGAAGUAAUUUGAUUAUGCUAGCAGAAUACAAACAACCAUUAUUGCAGUUACUUAAUAUAAUGUUCAUUCAUGAAUAGAUUUAUCAACUUCACAUAGGACUUUUGGACUUGUAAUGGUCUGAAGCUUAAGGUUGAUAUGGAAUUCAAUAAAAAGGGCAUCAAAAUAAUUUCAAGCACGAAAGUAGUUUGGCACAUUGCAUUGUUCCCUAUUCUUCCCUUUAAUAUCCCUUGCCCGCUCACCUUUCUCAUUCUCUCACUUUUCUUAUUUCUCCAUGUAGCAAGUCACAGCAUAAUAAAGCAACUAUGGUUAGCUCACGAAUUAUUUUACAUUAAUUAUUGGGUUUCUAAUUUUGUGACUUUUAUUGUGACACCCCAAACCUGACUGGAACGGACCGACCCGAAUUCGAAGCAUUAUAUUAGCCACCUAAGUGACUUUCCAGCUAAUGACCACUCGAUGUACACCUCAACCUUAUAAUACCUUAUUUGACUAAUUAAAUAUCAUUUAUUAAUGCAGAAGAAAUUUGUGAACCAUUUUAAAACUUUUUCUAAGUAUUUAAACCUAAUGGUGUUUUGGUCAUUUUACCACCUAAGGUUAAACUAUCCUGAUUUAUUUCUAAAUAGUUAUCGACCUUCUUUUAGUCAAAUUAUGCAAGCCCUAAAAAUUUCAACUUAGUUCGAGUUCAUUUACUAUAUCUAAUUCAAGUUUCAUUAUUAGGGACUAAAUCGUAGCUUUUACAAACUUUUAGUACAUUUUUCAAAUUAAAAAUUAUGAGUGUUUCUACCAAAUAUUAAUAGUUGCAAGUCUAAUCCUAAAAUAUUACCAAGUUUCCCUAUCAUUAAAGGCUUUAAUUAAUCUAAUCAAGUUUUAGGACUAAAUUAUAAAUUAAGCAAAUUAGAAUACUAGAUUACAAAACCAAAAAUUAAACCCCCAAAAACCCACACUCCCGUGUGAAAAGACACAUGCCUGUAUGCAAACCACUGCACCUAUUUUGUCAAAAAUUCAUUUUAAUUACUUGAUUUUACAUAUUUUACUUACCCAUUAAACUUGAAAUAGCUACAAUUAAUCACCAUAAACAUCCACACAUCUCCAAUUUAAUUUAUUUACAACACAUAUGCAACAAUUAAUCAAAAUUUAACACCAGAUUACAUGCUUAGCAAAAACCAAUUAAUUCACACAAGCUACAUACCUUAGCAAGCAAUCCACUCUAUGGUAAGCUUCAAUUGAACAUUGUUAGUAUAAAAUACAUGCUUUAUUCAUUGUGUUAUCAACCACCAUAUGAACACUUAUCAAUAUAUCAUAAAUCAAACAUCAAUUAGACAUAAAAUCAUGUAUUAAAGCAAUUAUAAAAUUACCAAAAUUAAAGUCCAAAAUUUAAUGUCCAAUGUCCAUUACAAGUGAAAUAACACUAGUCCCAAAAGCAUCACAAAUCCCCUAUAUAGUCUCUAAAGUAAAUUUCUUAACCCACUACCGAGCCUUAUUUUUAGAUUGCCCUUGCACUCGCUUCUCGACUCCUUACGCCUGAAAAUUCUCUGCAUGAAAUGUAAGCGUGUGAGCUUAAAAAGCUUAGUGAAUGAUAGUAAAAACAUCAAGUAAUUUGUACCGAAUCAUGCAUAAAUCAAACCAAUUAAGCAUUAAAUUUUUAGUCACAACAUGUUAACAUUUCGCCAUAACAUCACAUGCUAUUUCAAGAAUUAAGAAUCAAUUUUUUUUUACAUGGCAUGUAAAAUCAUCUGUUAACACAUAAACAUUCAAUUAUAUUGGCACAAUCAAUCAAUUAUAUUUACAUAAUACAUCCAUGGCAAUAAGUAAACGUGUGAUCAUACAAUGGAUAAACGCAUCUUUGAAUUCCCACAAAUCAAAUAUAAUCCUCCGAAUUGAGUGAGCCGAAGCCACAUGCUCCUUUAUAGCGCUUCAAAUAACCUAGUGAGUGAAGACACAAGCUCAACACUACCUUAUCUACUCCAAAAAAAUCAAUCCACCAAGAGCCAUAAGCUCACAACAUCACAAAUAAUGGUGAGUACACACAAAUCCUAUGGCAUGCCAACUGUAUCCAAUGGAUCCACCAUGCAAUGUAUCCAAUAUAAUCAUACAUACAAGGCAUAAAAUCUGUUGUUUAAUCACUUAAUUUAGGAUGUUAAAAUGCAAGUAAAAGCAUGUCUUUAAGCAAUUUUAACAUCAACAAAAUUAAUCAUAGCAAAUGUCAUUUUCCUAAUAUUCAUAUACCAAUUGGAACACAUUUAUCAAAUGUUCAAUAAAUCAGCAAUUCAUGCUUCAAAUAUCAAUUUAUUCCAUACAAUUUAACCAUGUUAAAAGCAUAAUAAACAACUUACCAAACCAAUUGCCAUUUUGCUCUUUUAUAAAAUAAAACCUAUUUUUGCAAAUCCAACCAUCCAAUAUGUAGUUAAGUCAUUAAUAACACCAAUUAAACCUUUAAUUUAACACAUAAUUAGGCCAAUUUGCCAAAUUUCCCUUAAUAUCACUCACCUCCACACUUAGCCCUUUAAGAAAAAAAAAGCAAGUUUGAGCUUCAAUUUUGAUUUGCGCGUUCCUCCUCUUGAUGUAGAGCUUUAACAGAGACAAAGUAUGCAUUACAAACUAACAAUAGCAACAAGAAACAUGAAAUUUGAUAAAGUAUAUGAUUCUAGAUCAUUGCUCUAAACUUCCUUACCGAUGUUACACAACUAAGUCGAAAUAUGGAAUUCCUCAACUAAACUCUCUUUUCAGCACCUUAAACCACUUCUAAUCUUCAUUCCUAGUCCAAUAACAUGUAUUCUAAGUAUUAAUUUCAUCAUUUAAUCUGUUUCAUAAAUUUUCGGAAAAAUCAUCCAUGUUCUUGAUCAAAUUUAAAGUUCUCAAAAUUGAUCCAUAAAACAUGUUUGAUCUUUUGGUUUAAGAUUAAAAACCUCUUAUUCGACCUAUUUUGAGCUUACACAUCCAUUAAUAUUUGGAUUCUAACUCAAAAUUAAAGAUCCACUAUUGUUGAUCCUCAAGUUCAAAAAAGAAGUUAAAGUUGAAAAUCUAUUAUAAUCACUUUAAUUAACAAUUAAUGAAUGAAAUCAACUUAAAAAAAAGUUUAGAGAUGUGAAUUACCUUCAAUUGAACUUAAAUAAUUGAUUUGGAAGUUUGAAUCAAAAUGCUUGAAGAAAUUCGGAUGAUUUUUUGCCCAACUUUUAAAAUUAUUUUGAGAGAUUUUAGAGAGAAUUUUGGGAGAGAAAAGAUUUAAAUCUAUUAUCUGAUAUUUGGUUUAUGAAAACAAGAAAAAAAAAGAGAGAAAAGGCUCUUAGUUCGGGUGAAAAAUGAGUGGAAAGUGAGGUAGUUGCAGAGUUUUUAAAACUUAAAACCCCCACCUGAUUUUCAAAAUUUGGGGAAUUUGCCAUUAGGCCACUCCCCUUUUCCCUUGUUUUACAAUUUGCUCAUUUCCCUCCAAAAUUCUAAAAAUAUGGUUUAUUUGCUAUAAAACCUCUUACACAUUUCCCUUGCUUUUCAAAAUAGUCUCAUUUAAUUAAUAUUUUAAAUCACCCAAUUAAACCUCCAUUUUAAAUUAUUUUUAAAUCCCAAUUUAAGCCAAAAUAUUUAUUUUUACCCAAAAAUUAUUUAAAACCAUAAAAAUAAUUUUUCUAAAUUUUUUUAUUUUUCAGAAUAUUAUUUACCGAUUUUUAGAUAAAAUUAAGCUAACUAAUUGAGAGUAUAGAUCGCUAAUUAACCUAAUUAAUUCCCAAUUUUCACUUGGAACUCGGUAAACUUACUCAAAACUACUACAUCUAUUUUUGGGGCGUUACAUUUAUUUUUGGAGUCACUUUUGACCUUUUCAAUGAUUCUCACUCACAAUGAUUUUGUUUACAAUUGUUCAAGUACUUUUUCUACUCAUUUUGAUUUUUUUUUUGAAUUUUUCUUUUGUUUUACUCAUUUUGGCUGAACCUUAUAAUAACUAUAUCACACUACUCCUUUCUAUUUCACUCUUAUAUUUACAAAACCACCAUGAUGUCUCUACUUAUCCUUCAAUACAUUUGACCGGAUGUCUAAAUUUGUGCAUUUUAGGGACCAAAGAAAAGGGUAAGUACAAGUUCAUAUUUUGGCUUGGGUUUUGCAUGAAGGUUCAUUAAGAAGAGUUUUCCGCCUCAAAUAUGGGUUUUAAGGAUUCAUGAAUAAGGUUGGCUUUUUAGCUCUAGGUGUAUGCCAAACAAUGCCUUAGGUCAUCCCUAGGUACCUCAAUAUUUACAAAUUUAAUCAAUCAAGUAAUCACAAUUUAACCAUUUAUCAUUCAUACUAGCAUGCUCAUUUACCUAUAUUCUCUCUGUCAUUUGGUAUAUUCAAUUACUUGAUGCCUAUUAAUAGUGUAAUGUAUAAAACUUAGUAGUCUAAUAACUGAAAAUUUAAAAUCAUUCACUAUCAUGCCAAAUUUAUCAUAUAUACAAUCACCCUAUAUACAUGCUCUUAACCAAUCACUUGUAUUUCUACAAGCUCAAGCACACUUUUGAUAAGAAAAAUAAAUGAAAAAUCAUAAAAAUGAAACUAAAAUUUCUUAUGUUACCCCCUCCACUUUAGAUAGCACAUUGUCCCUAAUGUGCAACCCUUAAAUAGAUUAGGAAUGAAGUUAACCAAUUGAUCGUGACAUUGACGUAUUCUUAUGGUGGGUACUUACUUCCUUAUUCUUUGAAAGCUCAUAAAUGUAGUUUUUCCUUCAUGGGAGGUUCCUACAUAAAAAAAUUCAAAACCAAAAACAAGAUAUAUAUAUAAUUACUAUUACUAUUACUCCUACUCCUACUUUUAAAUAAAAUAAAAAAAUAUCCUAAUUAAUUUUUUUACAAAUCCACAAAAUUAAAUAGUUUGCCAAUCAUCAAAAUGGGGUGAUUGCCCCCUCCAUCGGUGCCUUCCCUUGACUUGAGACAUGGCACCAAGAGGAGCUUCCACUUGAUGAAUGUGUCUGUCGGGUUGGGCUACAAAUGACAGGCCCUCUCUGCGUAGAUCAUUGCAGCUAAAAUGCCAUCUCAUAGUCGUCUUCCUCCUUUUCUAGGGUAUCUUUUUCCCUAGAUUCCUCCUCCUUCUCUUCUUUUCUCUCGCAUUUUUUCUUAUUCUUCACUCUCCUACUCUUUAGAUCUACUAUGAGAUCGAAUGGGGCCAUAUUUGGGUGGCGGUAAUUUUGGUAUUCUCAUACCAUUUUUUUGUGCAAAUUCCUGAAUAACUGGGCUUGUUUCUUGCAUCCAUCGUAUCAUCCAUUCGUUACCUGCGAUUUCACUUCCUUUUCGAGCUUUUGAUACCUUUUUUCUUUUCAAAGAUGCCGAGACAUCCAUCUUUUGCUUUCUUCGCUGGUUCCAAUCCUUUAUUUGUUUCCACUUGAGCUUGAGCUACUAUGUAUACAUAGAGUCACCUAUUAAGCUUUUCGCUGGCCUCGUAAAUUGUUCAUUCACUUCCAUUGGAACUCUAGCCUUUUUACGUAAUGUCGUCACUAGGUGAGGUGUGACACCCCUAAUUUGACCCUAGUCGAAAGUGGUUUUGGAACCCCAAAACUGAGUCACAAAAAUAAUUAGAUGUUAUAUUCUGUGCUUAUUGUAUGUGGAAUUUGUAUGUGUGAAUAUUUCGUGCCUUGAUUUUAUCAAGGCGGUGUUAAUUUAUAAGAAAGGACCCAUGUGAUAAGACUUGGAAAUGUGAUAGGUGAAAUUUAAAGUGGCCAAAUAAUGCAUGAGUUAUUGACAUGAGGGACUUGCAUGUCAAAUGGACCACUUUUAAUUAGUGGCCGGCCAUAAUGAUAGUUGAUAGAUAUUAUAUGCAUUUUAUUUUAGCAUGAUAAUAGUUAAUGGCUUUAUAUUAUGGAAGAAAGAAUAAUUAAAAGAAGGAAAGAGUGAUAGAAACAAGGUAUGUUCAUCUUUCUUUUCCCCAUUGCCGUAACUAGUGAAAGAAAAAAAGGAGAAGAAGAAGCCAAGGCAUUCGGCCAUGGUUAGUUCAUAAAUCAAAGGUAUGUUAAUGUGAUUUUUAUGUAAUUGUUUAUGAAAUUAAAUUGAUAAGUGUAUUGUAUAGUUAACCCAUGGUUUAAAUUAAUGAAUUAUUGAACAUAUGUGCAUUCGGCAAUUUCUUAAAUUGUGAUAAUUUGAUAGCUUUUGGAAGGUGUUGUUUAUAUGUUAAAUUUGCUUGUAUAAUGGCCGAAUGAGUGUAAUGUUAAUGAAUUGAUGGAGUUGUGAGUGUAUAAAUUUCCUUAGUUGAGGCAAAGCAUGUAUUCGGCCAUGUGAGUAAAAUGUUAGAUUUUGAACUUUUGAAGUUUUAAAUUAUAAAUGGUUAUUAGAUGAGCACUAAGCUUGUUAAUCUUUGUUUGUGAAGUUGUCAAUUGAUAUCUUAAUUAGGGAAUUGAAUAUUGUUUAUAAUUUGAGGUUAUUGAAAGUCGAAUUAGAUGAUAAAUAACGAUCGGCUAUUGUGUUUAUGUGAAUAUAUAUAUGCUGAAUGUAGUCUUGGAUAAGUAAAUUUUGAUGUAUUAGAUUGGUAACAUGGUUUUGCCGAUUGUGAAAAUGUGAUAAAGGUGCCAAGAAAUAAUUUAGUAAAGUAAAUUGAAAUGAAGUUUUGCUGAAUGUGUUUAUUGGUGUGUGAAAAUUUGAAUUGUAACGUUAAAUCGUUAGUAUGUGUUCUAUGACUUCCGAAUGUGAAUUAAGGUAAAUAAUGUGGAGAAGGAUGAGUUGAGUUGUAAAAUUUAUGUAUAUGAAUUAGUGGUUAAUGGACAAUCGGUCAAAGUGGUUAAUAUGCAUUUGUAUAUGUUAUAAUGGCCGAUUGUAAUCAAGAAUAAAGAUGUGAAUGAAUGGUUGUUAAUGAGUUGUCGUAUGUUUCUUAUUAAGAAAAAUUAUUAAUGUUUGAAUCUAAAUAAAUUAGUUAAGUAAUUAAACAAACCAAUUUAUUUUACCUAGCUCAAGAGCGAAAGGAACUUAACUCGGAAAAAGGGAAAAGCGAAACAAAUGGAAUAGUCGAUUCGUAGUUGUCCGACGACAUUUAAGGUAAGUUCUUAAGUAUUUGAAUUUGAUUCCUUUGUAAGUCUUAAGUUUUAAAACGGGAUGAAUAUGGAUUAUGUAUAUACGUUAAGGUCAAUGACUUUUCUAAAUGACGGCAUAUAUGAUAUUAUGUUUUAAAUAUGUGAAUGAGAACUUUACAGAGUAAAUUGUAUAAAUCUGCUAGGGACAGCAGCAGUAGCGUGUUUUGGAAAAAUUACCAUAAAUUGUGGGAGUUGAGUUAAAAGCUGAAUAAAUUAUGUAAUUAAAGCUUGACGCGUCUAGUUUCGUAUAAAAGAAAUCGUGUAAGUAAAGGGGUUGCCGAUAAUGAGAUUUUCAAAGUUGUGUGAGACAGAGUCAGAAUGGCUCCGAAAUCCUCUGUUCAGUAUUUGGAAAAUCAUUAUAAAUCGUAAAAAAAUGAUUAUAAGAUAAAAUUUUAUGCUUAGACUCCUUAAUGAGUCUAGUUUCAAACAAAAUAAACAAAAACAUAUUUUGAAUUCUGUACAAUGAGAAAUUAAAUUCUUAGUGAAGAGUAGUCAGAGUAGUCAAGCAGUAAAAUAGGGGAAAUUUAAGAAAAAUAUGGUAUUGAUUGGCCAAACCAAAAAUUCUGAAAAUUUUGUGGAUAAAGGAUAUACGAGUCUAUUUUCAUGGAAAAUUAACGGCACAUAAUUUGGAAUCUCGUAGCCCUAGUUACAAAUAAUUUAACGACUAUUGCUCAGGAAAACAACUUGUAGAGAAAUUGUGGUCAUGUUGUAAACAUGGAUAAAACUUGUUUUAGUUGCUCAUAAGCUAUUGAUUAAACCCAUACGUGAAUUCUAAAUUGUGAUAUUAUAAAAUGAUAUAUGAGUGUUAGAUGGAUCUUUGAUAUUCAAAUUUGUGAAAUUAUAAGUUUAUAAGUAUUCGAAUGUGAAAUGAUAGUAUGGCUUGAAAUUGAAUUAUUCAUCGGAAAAUGAUAGAUGUAGAUUCAGCCAAGACAAAGUGUAUACAUGAAAGUAUAUGUGGUAUGUGAAGUAUAUUUGGAUAAUUGUGAUGUGAAUACAUGAAAAUUUAUAUUUUGAUUUAGGAUCCAAUGUGAUGAAUGUGAAAGUGUAUGUAUGUGAUAAGGCCGAAUGGCCAAUGUGAUGAAUGUGAAAGUGUAUGUAUGUGAUAAGGCCGAAUGGCCAAUGUGAUGAAUGUGAAAGUGUAUGUAUAUGUGAUAAGGCCGAAUGGCCAAUGUGAUGAAUGUGAAAGUGUAUGUAUAUGUGAUAAGGCCGAAUGACCAAUGUGAUGAAUGCGAAAGUGUAUGUAUAUGUGAUAAGGCCGAAUGGCCAAUGUGAUGAAUGUGAAAGUAUAUAUAUAUAUGAUAAGGCCGAAUGGCCAAUGUGAUGGAAGUGGAAGUGUAUAACUGUGAUAAGUCCCGAAGAACAUUUGUGUCAGUACUGUAUCCGGGUUAAAACCCCACAGACUUUAUGCGAGAAUAUUUUCCUGAUUAAUGUCCGUAGGCUUCGUGCUCGUACUAUAUCCGAGCUUUAAAGACCCGACGGCUAAAUGCUAGGAUUCAAGUAAGACUUUGAUAUUGAGUAUCUGCAAUAAGUUACCAUCAAAUAAGUAUUAUGUAUUUAAGAUGUUCAGGUACGUAUUACUUACUCAUCGGUGGAGUGAUUUCGAGGUGAAUUAUCAGUAUCAAAGAGGUAGGUAAAUGUGAUUAAUAUUAUAACUCCAAAUAUGAGAAUGAUCUAAUUGGUAAUGGUAUGCUUGUAUAAUGAAGUAUGUGAUGAAAUAUUCUUAUGUAUUAGUGCAUAUUCGGCCCAAAAGCCUUAUGAUUUGAGUAUGGGUUGGGUUCAGCUAGAUGCGCCAGUACAAGGUAAGGAUUAUGUUUUGUAAGCUUACGUAUAUGUGAUAAGGAAUAUGUUUGGUUCUUUAUGUGCCUACGGUAAUUUAGUACUUGUCAUGUUGAAAUACUUAAUAAUAUGGAUGUGAUUAUGAACAAGUGGAAAGGAUUAUUGAAAAUUGAAAAUUGAUGAAGAAUGUGCUUUGGAAAUAUCUGAUCAUCUAGGUCAUAUUAUUCGAAAGUAUAUAUGUGACAGCCAAGUGAUGCGUUUAUUGAUAUUAUAGUUCGAGAUGAAGCUCUAGAUUAACUUCAUUGAAUAGUUGAAAUGAAUGACCAAUGAUAGCGAAUGAGAACACUUUGUUUUGCUUAAAACUUACUAAGCUUACAAAAGCUUAUUCUGUUCGAUCAUGUUUUGGUUUAUAGGUUGUGGAUUCUGACUACCAGUUCGGGGAUCAUCAGCGCUUCGUCACACUAUCUACCAUUACGGCAACUAUGUAAUUAGACUUAGCUUAUGGCAUGUAUAGGAUAGACAAUAUAGUAGAAUGAUAUUUUGACUAUUGUAUAUAAGCCAUAUGAAAAUGGCAUCGUUUGAAUGUUUACUUAUAGAAUUUUAUUCUUCUGAUCUGAUUCCUAAUUUCUGGUAACGCCUCAUCCUAUUCCGGCAACGGUUACGGGAUAGGGGUGUUACAUGAGGGAAGAAAACCUCGACCUUCUGGCCGCUGAUACAAUGUUUCAUGCUCCAUUCCUCAAUGCAUAUCUAUUUAUUCUGCAAAUUACCAUAUAACAAAAUGGCUCAGAAAGUAUUUACAUUAGAAACAUUCAUAGUAAGGAACAUUAUUGCUUGAUUAAAAUUAAUCGGUAGUCCGGUAUGCUAUCAAUGAUUCCACUCACCCUCCCUUCAGUUAAGUAGUUCACAAUAUUAUCCAUAUUUAUGUCAUUUAAACUUGUUAAAUCUGUAUUUGCAAGGAAAUCAUUUUCAUAGUAUAGAGCAUUGUAAAACUCACAAAUUUCACAAAGGGUGAGUGCUCCUCUUUCCUUCGUUCUAUUAUGGUUUCCCAAAUAGCCGCAUACAAUCUCCUUGUCUCCUGAUCCCUAAAAAUUGCAUAAAAUUCUUGGACUAUGGGGAUUACCGCAUUUUCUUUGGGAGUCACGCAAAAUCUCUCCCAUCUAUGAUACCAAACUAACGGCCAAAUUUCUUUGUAAAGAAUCAUCAAUGGUUUAAAACCCCAUUCUUGAAUGAAUGUCUUUCCUUAUAGUUCUAAAAAGUACUUUUCGACAUUCGCAUUUGGAAAUUUCAAGAGAUUUGCAACCAUUGAUGGUUCUUGUUCCUUAGUACUUCUAGAUUUACUAGGGAGUAGAAGACCAGAACCACUAUACUUCCUUAGAUGUCGUGACAUAGCCAAGGGAUGUCAUGACACACCCCUGAAGUUUGCCUUGAACCAUGCAUAUUGCCUUCAAUGUCAUGACACAGGAAUUAGGGUGUCGUGACAUCAGUCCUGUACAAGAAGUAUUAACGAGCUAGAGGCAUUUUGGUCCACACAAUGGAAAUUAAAACACAAGAACACUAACCUAGAGUUGAGGACCGCAACAACCCUAACUCUAUACAUAUGCUCUUUAAACACUUGUUUAGGACAAAUUUUACAUUCUAAGAUUUUCUUUGUAAAUUUAGUCUCUAGUUUUUCCUUUAUUUUAGGCGUUAGGUUUAUUUUAGUUCUGUUCUAUUUCAUAUUUUUCAAAGAACGUGAGUUGUAACUAUGAUCAAACUACUGUGGAUUAUGCAUUUCAAUUAAUACAAUUCAGGAUUCUCUUUAACCUUUAUCUUGAUUCAUUAUUCAUGCUUAUCUUUAUUAUCAAGAUUACUGUGUUCAUGAGAUCCAUAAUGAACUAAUCCUUUUAUGGGGGAUUUGUGGUGGAGGUGUAAUUAAUUAAUUAUUAUGUAUGGUUUUCUUAAUGGAUCAUCUGGUUGGGAGAGAAAGAACUUAAAACCUAGGCUUGAUGAUCCUAGAAAGUCAUUUAAGUAGGAAUUAACCCAAAAUUGGUAUAGCCUAUCUAUGAACACCUUUACCUCGAACUGGUUUGAACUAUGAGGUUGAGAGAUAAGUAGUUAUUACCGACUCGUUAGUUUAGUGGAAGAUCGAGAGAUCCUUCUAGGGUAGCGACUAGUUGGUUGAGUAGAAACUCGAAAUAGGAAUUAGUUAUGAUCACCAAAGUGAACUAAUCAACCAUACUUAGAUCAAAUUAAGUUAGAAUUUAUAUUUCUGAAGCUCACUUUCCUUUUAUUAUUUUUAUUUCAUUCUUUAUAAAAUCCCAAAAAAUAUUUUUUUAUGUUUUAUCGUAUUAUAAUUUAUUUAAACUAUUAAUUACUUCUAUUUGCAUUUAAGUUGACAUUAAUUUAACACUCGCCUCCCUUGGAUACGAUCCUCGGGUACACAUUUGCUUCGUUGUAACUAUAUUACAACCUAACCCGUAUACUUGCAACGCCACCUUAAUUCCAUAUCUUUUAGUUGUAGUACUCAUACUCUAGAUGUUGGUACGUUGGAGGCAGUCAAGUUGUUGGACUAAAUUGAAUUUAAUUUUUAUGUUUUAAUAGAAUAAUUAGGAAAUAUUUGAAUUAUAGAUACGAUUUAUAAUUUGAAUUUUAUUAGUUUAGUUUACUAACUUCUUUCUUUUUCUUUGUUAAUUUCAGUAUAUGCUACAGAGGAAAGGAACAUCUAUUUAGUUAGUCACUAAUCCAUAGAGAUUAAUCCUGAAAAACCAUUUAAUUAUAGAUGAAACUGAUUACAUGUGGUUUAACGAUGACAUGAUUUUUGACGACGAAAUAUAUGAAGAGGGAGUAUAUAAAGAAUUAGAGAUUAUGAAGAAUAAAAGAAUUUUCAUUAUAGAGCUGAGCCAAUGUGGAAACGAAGCCUCAACGCACCAGAGGAGUAAUGAUUGAGGUACUGAUAUAGUUGAACAUCCACAUGAGUUCACUGGUAAUUUGUAUGAGGCACUUGAUGUUAGAUAUAUAGAGUAGAGAAGAUAGAUCCAAAGACGAUAUUGAAAUAAAUAGUAGACUUCGAGGCACAGGUGGCGUUUUCCAAAGAGAACUAUUUGCCCUCACACAAAGUUGCUAGAGGGUUAAGACAAAGGUCUUCCCGGGAUACAACGAAGUUUUUGAAUUUCCUUUAAUUAGCAAAAUCGAGGAAUUCCUUAACUUUUACUUUAAUUUCUGAAAAAUAGGAUUGAUUGUGAUUGUAAUUUGUGAGCAUCAUAGACCUUUUAUUUAUAUACACUCAAUAGACACUAUUUUGAAGAGUCACAAUCUUUUAUGCUUGAUUUCCAUUGGACAUAAUUCUUAAAAAAACAUGUCUCAUGGAUCAAAUGUAUCUUUUGAAUAAAUCAUCACUUUCUAAUAAGUGCUCAUGAAUAAUUAUGUAUUUGCAAUCUACAAUUUCUAACAAUCCCCUACUAGAUUGCUAAUUCUAGAAAAUAAGUACACAAUGAUUAUGCAUAAAGAAAGGUGUCUGUAGAUUGAACCUUCCUUUAGUGCAAACUCUUUAAAAUAUUAACAAAGUAAAUGGUGGCUAGUUGCUUGGAUCAUCAUUCUUAAAGUUAGUACCCAUAGUACCCAAAAAAUUUCACACAUAACCGUAAAGUAUUAGAUUGAGAGUUUAAUUUGCUUUAGCACCGUUAUGGCCAUGUGCUCAUCCCAUUUCAUGAACAUGUACGAGAAAAAACCAUAAAGAAAAUCUCAUUGAAGUGGCACCACUUCAUGUCCAUAUAGGUGGAUUUCAUGACAAUUAAUGUCCAUCCAUUAAGAGUAAAACUCAUCCUCCUAUAAUAUAAACACUAAAUCUUGGUCCUUAGUGCACAUUGUCAUUCAAUAACUUGUUAUUACCCUUUAAACCUCAAAACUAACUUUUAGCUAGAAUAAGGUAGGGCUUCCAUUAUCAAUGACGCGAUUAGAAUGGUUUUAGUCCCAUGUUAGUGGAUCUGCUAAAUUAUCAACUAACCUAACAUAGGUAACAUUUAUUACACCAUCCCUAAUCAAUUGUCUCACAUACUCAUGUCUCAAACAUAUAUGUCUAGACUUUCCAUUCUACAUCUUAUUGUAUGCUCAAGACAUGGUAGAUUCACUAUUGCAAUAUAGGAAAAUGGCGAACCUACGUUGUGACCAUAACUUUAUAUCUAGCAAGAGAUCUCUUAGCCAUUCCGCUUCCUUGCCAAUAGUCGCCAAGUCUAUAAAUUCAGCCUCUAUAGUUGAAUGUGAGAUGCUUGUUUUUGUUUAUAGGCCCAGCUAAUGGCUCCACCUCUGAUUGUAAAAAUCCUUCCCGAUGUGGACUUAUUGUCACUUAGACUUGUAAUCCAACUUGCAUCCGAGUAACCUUCUAGUACUGCAGGAUAAUCAUUAUAAAAUAAUCCCAAAUUUUUUUAUUUUUUUAAGAUAGCAGAAAAUCCUACAAAUUCCUUUCCAAUGAUCGGUACUAAGACAAUUUGUAAAUCUCACCAAUUUGCACACAACAAAUGCGAUAUCAGGUCUAGUGGAAUGCAUUGUAUACAUUAGACUUCUGAUUGUGCUGGCAUACUCAAGUUGCACUAUAUCCCUGCCAUUAUUCUUACUUAAAUUGAAGUUCCAAUCGUAUGGAGUGUUCAAAUCCUUGAUAUUCAAGUGUUUAAACUUUUCCAAUACUUUCUCGAUAUAGUGAGAUUGGCUUAGUCCAAAGCCCUUUUCAUGCAUUUUUAACCUUUAUACUUAGAAAUGUAUCUACCUCGUUGAGAUCUUUCAUCUUAAAAUUCGAGGCUAGAUACUCUUUGGUCUCACGAACACCUUCCAUGUUCGUACCAAAAAUCAACAAGUCAUCUACAUAAAGACAAAUAAUUUCACCCUAACUAUUGGUGAAUUUAGUGUAAAUACAUUUAUCCGCACCAUUAUGUAAAUAACCAUAUGGCAAGAUAAUUGUAACGAGUAGGUUUGUGCAAGUGUACACAGUUGUUAUCAAGUAAUAAGUAAGUAUCGAGUUAUCGUCUCCACAGGGAUUAUAUUUGGGUUAAAUCACUUAAUUGUAAAAUUAUACUAACAACUUGGCAAAUAAACACAAUAUGGUUGAGAAGUGAUGAUUAAAAUUAAAUAGAUUAAACUAAAUACAAUCAUCCCUAAUGCAAGUUAUCCUAAGCAUGCAAACUAUAUGAAUGGAAUAGAUUUUAGCGAAAUUAAACACAAUUUGCAACAAUUAUAACAUAAAUAAACUAGGAUAAUUACUUUAAUUAAACUCAAUUUAUUAUCAACAUGCUUAAUAACAUUCGCAAAAACAUUCAAUGGCAACUUAAUCUUUCAUGAGUUUGGAAACCACAUUAGGUCCUUUCGAAAUCCUUUACUUAGUAAAUACGCAUUUUACUGAUCCUUAUUUACUAAGGGUUUCUUAGCAUUCAUGUGAGGUAACAGGGACGUGUUAGGUUUGAAACAGUUUAAUCACACAAAUCUAAAAACUAUGCAAAAAACAGAGCUUGGUUAGAGUUGUUAUGCAACCUGCAAUUUAAUUGGGUUAGGAUCUAAAUUGAGCAUGCACAUUUCAAUUAUGUGUCCACUAGCCGUCGUUUGGUUAAGAUCGCUCAGCUAAUUCAGGUGCAUUUCAAUCACAUAUGAAUGGAAUACAGACUUAAUUUUAAUUGAAAACAUGAUCAAUUGAGGGACAAACAUUAUAAGCAUGAAUCAAAUAAAUAUUAUUUAAUCAAAGCAAUCAUCCUAGCUUAAAUAAAAUUAAGCUAACAUUGUUCUAAGCAAGAACAAAGAACACAUAGCAAACAUUUUUAGAUUAAAUUUAAGAAAAGAAAGAUUAAACCCAAAUCAAAGUGGUUGUCACCCAAGACUCUAACUGACAAGGCUCCUUCGCUUCUUCACUUUGCUCCUUUGCUGAUGGCUCUCCAAGAUGGCCGACCAAGGGCACUUUAAGAGGAUUUAAUUGCUAAAAUCUCUAUGAAAAGAUGAUGCUAGGAGUGGGGAAUGGAAAAUUCUAAGAGAAUUGAGAGAGAAGAGAUAAUGAUGAGGGAUGAGGGAUGAUGAAUGAGUGAAUGAAGGGGUCGUAUUUAUAGGUGAAGAGAGGUGGGUAGUUUGCUAAAAAUAGCUGGGUUUAGUCUCUUCAAACUUCUUCCAUGAGUGGCCAGCCACAAUUAGUGGAAUUUGAGCUGAUUUUUUCUUGAUGUUUAAGCAAUUUAGAUGCCAUAAUAACUUAGGACUGAGACUCGGUCAAAUGUAAAUCUUCGGGCAAAUAUCUAAUUUCUUCAACAAUGCAAGGACCUUGUGUAAUUAAACCAAAAAAUGGUUUAAGUGGGCAGCCAUGUGUAGCCGAAUUUGGGUUGACUUAGUCUUCAAUUUGGACAGUUUUGUAAUCCAACAAAGCUAUCAGACCUGUCCAAAAUAAAUCAAUAAGUUAAAGGACCGAAGAAUAAAAUUUAUCCAAUUUAAAUAAUUAAUUAAAACCCAAAUUAUUAAUGAAAUAUUUAAAAUUAUUUAUUAUAUGUAAUUUUAUAUUUUAUUAUUUAAUUUAAUCAUGCAUGACACAUUUUAUGUCUUAAAAAUAUAAUAUGUUCAAAUAAGUAUAAAAUAAGCCAUUUUAUGCAUGAAAACUAUAUAAUAAAGCAUAAAAUCACAUUUUAAUAAUUUCUAUAUCCUAAUUUCAUAUUUUCACAUAUUUAAUUAAGUUAUUAAACAAUUACUUAGUUUUAACAACAAAUUUAAGUAAAAAGGUGAUAAAUCACAUAGGAAAAAUCCUAUAUAUUUUUCAGUUUACAAUAAUCGAGUCAAAUUUCUCAUGCCACUGUUUAGACGUUUUUUUAAACCAUAUAAUGACUUGAUCAAAUUACACACCUUAUGUUCAUUCCCAGGAAGCACAAAGCCUUCUGGUUGCUCCAUGUAGAUUUCCUCUUCGAGAUCACUAUUCAAAAAAGUUGUCUUAACAUCCAUUUGAUGUACAUGUAACUUAUGGAUAGAUGCAAGUGCUAUAAGAAUUCAAAUGGAGGCCAUCCUAGCCAUUGGUUCAUAAGUGUGAAAAUAAUCUAGGCCUUCCUUUUGCCUAAAUCCUUUAGCCACCAACCUAGCCUUAAAGAUUGAAGAACCCUUUGUUGGAGUAUUUUUCCUUUUAAACACCCAUUUACACCCGAUAGGAUUCGAUCCUUGAGGAAGAUCAACUAGGAAUCCAAGUAUUGUUGGAUAAUAUUGAAUCCAUUUCAUCAUUGAUCGUCUCUUUCCGAAAUGCUGCGUCCCUAAAAGUUAUGGUUUCACCAUAGGAUUGUGAAUUACCAUCCACAUUAAACAUUAUGGGGAUCUUCCUAAUUACAGAUUCUCUAUUUCCCUUAACAUAUAAUGCUAGAGAUUGCGAGGAAAUGAAAUUAGGACCAAAGUUCUUUACUUUUCUCACUCUUUGACUUUUCCUCAGCUCCGUAUCCUUAUUGUCACAAAGACUUCUUUUGGUUUGAUCACUUGAGUUCAUUAAUUGAUAUUCUUUUUAUGAAUCUGUUGAAUCAUUGAAAACCUUAUUUUCAAUGAAUAUGACAUCUAUUUUUUCAAUUAUUGUAUUUGACACUAAGUUAAGAACAUGAUUAGCCUUAGAGUGUUGGGCAUAUCCAACAAAUUCACCCUUGACGGCUCUUGGACCUAACUUUGUUCUCCGUUGGUCGAGAACUCUAUAGUAAGCCAAACACCCCUACACUUUGAAAUAAUCUAAGUUUGGCAUCCGACCCUUCCAUAACUCAUAUGAAGAUACUUUGAAUUUUUUUUUUGUAUUUUGUUAAGAAUAUAACACGUAGUCAAUAAUGCUUCACCUCAUAAAUUAUAUGGAAGUUUAGCAUUUAACAACAUCGAGUUAACCAUAUCUACUAAAGUACAAUUCUUUUUUUCUGCCAAACCAUUUUGUUGCAGAGUAUAAGGCACGAAACACUCAUGUGCCACACCUUGUUCCUUACAAAAUACAUUAAAUUCAUUUGAAAAAUAUUUAUCACCUCUAUCACUACAAAGCACUUUGAUUUUCUUACUAAUCAAAUUCUCAAACUCAUUCUUAAAACGUUUAAACAUAUCAAAUGCCUCGUCGAUUCUCAUGAGAUACACAUAAGUAAAUCUAGAGAAGUCGUCUAUAAAAGUAAUAAAAUAUCAUUUUCCACAUUUUGCUAGAGUUCCAUUUAAUUCACAAACAUCUAAAUGAAUUAAAUCUAAUUUCUUUCACACUUAUUAGAAAACGACUUCUUGGUAAAUUUUUAUUGAAUACAAGUUCCACAUUUAUCCACAAACUCAUCAUUAAUUAGACUUAUAUAACCAUCACUUUGCAUAUAUUGUAAAGUUUUAAAAUUAAAAUGUGCUAAACGCGCAUGCCACAAAGGAUAAGAUUCAACAAUAUAAGCAAAAAAAUUAACUUUAUUCAUAUCAAUGCUCAACAUGAACAUACCCUCGCGAACAUUAAAGCAAGACAAACUUAUCAAAUUGCAAGAUAAUCUUGAACCCCUUGUUACACAGAAUAAUCGCGGGCACUAAAUUCUUUCUUACAUCAAGAACAUGCAACACAUUGGUCAAAGUCAAUUUCUUCCCAGAUGUGAAGUUGAGUUCCACCGUCCCUUGACCGAGAACCUUAAUCGAUUGAUAGUUUCCUAUAAGCACUUCAUGAUUUGCUACUAGUUCAUAACUCUUGAAUUGUUGUCGAUCAUUACACACAUAGAUAGUAGCUUUGGAGUCGAGCCACCAAUUACAAGACUUAUCAGUCAUGGCUAUGUUGAGUUCAGUAAUCAUACCAGUCUCCAAACUCUCGAUCCCUUCCAUAACCAUGGCCACUAAGUCCAUGUCCGCCACUAGGUUGGCUUUAGAAGUUGCGGCAUCUUGCUUCUUUUUGAGAAGUUUGCAAUACUUAAUAUAAUGUCCUUUCGUAUUGCAAUUAUAACAAUUGUGAGAUUUUUUUUCUUCUUGUCUUGCACUUCAUUGGUCUCGGAUGUGGCCUUUCUCUUACCAUUUCGAGAGUUCUUGGAGUCGCUCACAUGGUUCACUUUAGAACUUUGGGGAAGAUACACUGCAUCACGUUCUGAGUUUCUUCUUUAAUAUGAAAAUGCCUAAGUAUUUUCUCCACAGUGAAGUCCUCUACCAUAUGCAGAAGUUUCUUCCGAUAAUUGUUCCAAGACGAGGGAAACUUCGAGAUGAUAGCCCCGACUUGUAGCAUUCCAAAAUAAAAACUUUCAAGUCACGAAGCCUACUUACAAGGACUUGUAAUUCAUGGACUUGAUCCAUGAUUAGGAUACUAUAGGGCAUUUUGAAUUCAAAAUACUUCAUUUUUAAAAAUUUAUUAGUACAUUGUCGCUUGGUGUUCUAUUUCUCUUCAAGAGCUUUCCAUAUUUCCACCAAUGAUUGCAUUGACAUGUAGAGAUCAUACAAUCGAUCAGACAAGGUGUCGAGAAUGUGUCCUUCACAUGUGAACUUCUUUAUGCUUCUUCUUGAGUUCGACUACUUUCUCAAUUUCCUCGGGUUUGUAUUGAGGGUGGGGUCCUCCACGGUUGUAGGUUCGGACCAGAACAUAUGCUACAUUUAAGACAGUAAGAACGAACAACAUUUUUUCCUUCCAACAAUUGAAGUUUGAACCAUCAAAUCGGUCAAGUUUCACAAAUUCUUGGUUCUUCACUUUGAAUGUAAUGGUAGCCUCCGUCUCCAUAUCCAAAGUAGUUCUCUUUGAUUGUUAGAUAUAUAGAGUGUAACACCCAUUACCUGAGUUCGAGGCCGGGAUAGGGUAUGAGGCAUUAUCGGACUUAAACGUACAUAACUAUGUAAAAUCGGGCCAUAAAGAUUUCGUUCAAACUAAAAACACUCAUUCAUAUUCAUAAUGUCCCUUAUAUGGGCUUACGAGAUCCAAAACAUACAUCGAGGGUGGUUUGGGACUAAACUGAGAAAUUAUGAACUUCUUGCAACACUUAGAAAAUUUUCUAGUUUCGGAGAGUCACACACCCGUGUGGGUUAGGCCGUGUGGUCACACAUGCUUGUGUGGCUUGGGACACGCCCGUGUCCUCAGCCCAUGUAACUCUCUGUUUAUAACGUCAGCAACAAUAUAUGGUCACACGACCAAGUCACAUACUUGUGUGCUGGACAGUGUCCUCUACACGGAUGAGACACACGGUCAUGUCUCUGCCCGUGUGGCCUAGAAAAAUUGGCUAUUUACCAAGCCACUUGGCACCGUCGUUAGCACCUACUCAAACAUAACUUCAAUGGCACUUUUCGAGGAAAUUUCAUAUCGAAUUAUUCAUGCAUAAGGCACCAUACUUUUCCUAGUUUAAACUUAUCAACUUCAUGCCAUAAUUAUCAUUAGCACAUUCUUACACUUCAUACUUAUGCUAAGGCCUAUCCAUAGGCCAAUUUAGUCACUUUAAAACCAUCAAGUAAUCUAGGGCACAUUCACAAUUCAUCCAUACCAAACACACAUGACCACACCAUAUGAAAUCUUUAGCACAUGCAUGCAUAUAUGGAUAAGUUUACAACCCAAUAACCAAUAUGAGCCAUAUCACAUGACCACAUACAAAACGAAUCAUAUUCCCAUUAUGAACCAAUAAAUUUGGCCAAAUCAAAUGAAACAUACCCAAUUGACUAAGUCCCUAUACAUGCCAUAGACUUAAAGUGCUUGAAAUCAUUUAUACCCUUCAAUAGUUGGAUAGUGUGAUGGAAUCCCUAACGAUCUCCAACCCGAGCUAGCUAGUGACCCUAUAAAAUGAGGAAAAGGAAGGGGUAAGCUAUAUAGCUUAGUAAGUCCAUAUGAAAAUUAUAAGAGAUUUAUUGACAUGUUUUUUUCCAUAUCCUUGCAACAUGUUCUCAAGUUAAUACAAUCAUAAUUGCGCAAAAUUCUACUAUUUACUCUUGUUCAUCUCAAGCUGUCUAAUUGAGUCACAGUCACUAAAUUAUUUAUAUCUUGAUCUACGGAACUCUAAAUUAAGAUCUAAAAAUUUUAACUGAAACUAGACUCACAUAUCUUCUUACCAUAAAAUUUUUAGAAUUUUUGGUCUAUCCAGUAAGAAUAGUUUAUUCUUUAAACUCUUUCCUGUUCUGCUAUUUAACAGUUUCAACCAUUCUUCACUAAAAAUUAAUUAUAUCAUAGUACGGAAUUUGGAUAAUGUUCGUCUAUUUCUAUUGAAAAUACACUCAUUAAGGAUUUAUUCAUAUGAAUUCUAACCCAUAAUUAUUUUCAUACAAUUUUUAAUGAUUUUCUAAAGUUAAGACAAAGGAACCUGAAAUCACUCUAGCCUUGUCUCACAAAAAUCCAAAUAUCUCAUAACACAAAAUUCUUUUGCUUACAUUGUUUCUUCUACGUGAAACUAGACUAGAUAAGAUUUAAUUUCAUAUUUUAUUCAACUUCUAACUCAAUUUCCAAAAUUUUUGGUGGAUUUUCAAAUUUGGACUACUGCUGUUGUCCAAAACUAUUUUAAUGUAAAAUAAUGAUAACUAAGUUUAUAACACCUUUACCAAUCAUUUCAACCAUCAUGGUAAAAAUACAUAUUUAUACAUCAUAAGCAUAGACCCAUAACCACUAGGUCAUCACAAAAUAAUUCUCUUGGGCAUGACUUACUUAUUUGUAUCCUUACCCAAUGUGCAUCAUAAACCGAAAUCAUUUCUCAUGAGUUUUGCACACAUACCUAUAUCACUUGUAACAUCAUCAUAACUUUUCUCAAUCAUGACACAAUAUUUAAAUCACCUGUUGAACCACUUGGAAUACUAAAGGAUACUCGAUAAGCCUCAUACAAAAGGGUAAAAUGCUGAUGCCAUGUCCCAGACAUGGUCUUACACUAACACAUAUAACAAUGUUGAUGUCAAGUUCCAAACAUGGUCUUAUACUGGCUCGCAUAUUGAGGCUGAUGCCAUGUCCCACACAUGGUCUUACACUAGAUCACAUAACAAUGUCGAUGCCAUGUUCCAAACAUGGUCUUACACUGGUUCGCAUAAACCGGUGAUGAUGCCAUGUCCCAGACAUGAUCUUACACUGACAUAUAUCGAGGCCGAUGCCAUGUCCCAGAGAUGGUCUUACACUGACACAUAUCGAGGCUGAUGCCAUGUCCCAGACAUUGUCUUACACUGGCUCUCAUAUCGCCAUGGUCCAACCAAGGUCUUUUCUGUCAAUUCAGUACAAGUCUUAGUCCGAUAGUACUUGACCCUGCAUUUUUCUUAGAUUGAUAUUUCAAUUCAAUCUCAUAUUAUCAUGGUUUGAUAUCAAUUGUACAAAAUAAUAAUACAUUAUAUCAUUUCUAAUUUAAUAAUUGAUCACUGUCAACUAACCAUAUGAACUUACCUCGUUUGUUGAAACAACGAAUUGAGUCGACUAACCCAAUACUUUGUUUUCCCUCGUUCUCUAUCCAAAUCUCGUCUCUCCCCAAUCUAUAUAAUAACAAAUUUUACUUAUUUAGUCAUCAAUUUAUACAAUUUAGUCCAAAAAUUCACAAUAGGACAACUUUACACUUUUUCUCCUAAUGUUUCACAUUCUUGCAAUUUAGUCCCUAUAACAUAAAAGUGCAAAUUCAUUAAAUUAAACACAACCCAAGUUUAGCUGAAUUUUUAUAAUAAUUACUAGCUGCCCAUAAAACAUACUUUGACAAAUUUACAAUUUUGCCCCUAGGCUUUCACAAAAUUACGAUUUUGCCCCUAGGCCUGUAAAAUGAUUUUCAUCGAAUUUCCUCAUUAACCAAGCCUAGCCGAAACUGAUUUAAACUUGUAGCAACUCUCAAUUUCAAUUAUUCCACACAUUUAUCACCUAUUUUAUAACUUUUGCAAAAAGGUCCAUUUUAGGUGGUUUCAUGAAAAAUCCUUUCACAAAAGUUGUUAAUUAAACAACCUUCCUUUCACAAAAGUUGUUAAUUAAACAACUAAGAUUCAUUUUCUUUCAUAAAAAUUCAGCAAACAACAUGAAUAUUCAUAUGGCAAAACCCUAGACUCUCAACCUGUAACACCUCAUGCCCGUAACCCACGCUGGGUGGAGUACAAGGCAUUACCUCACUUGAUUUCAUGCUUUCACUUGAUUUCAUGCUUUCGGUCAAUCUCAAGUCAGCGAGAUUCAGUCAAAUUUUAAAAAUUUUUCUAUAUAUACUUUAGACUUCUUAUUAUGGGCAUAAGAUUCCCAAAUCGAUCAUUGAAAACUAAUCGGGACCAUUCCGAGUCCUUAAACCAACUAUGAAAAUUUUGUCCUUGAACAGGUCACAUGCUGGUGUGAAAGGGUAACACGCCCGUGUAACCAUUUUAUCAUGGUCGUGCUGAUGGCCCAUGUGGCUCACACGGACCAGGCACCUAGGGACAUGCCCGUGUCUAAUACCCGUGUGGAAUUAAAUUCUAAUUCACACCUACAGGGGUUUUCACAUGGCCGGACACACGUCCGUGUCAAUGGUCCGUGUCCCUCAUACGGCCAUGACACGCCAGUGUUCUAGCCCGUGUGUAAAAACUUGGACAUUCUGUUUCUGAUGUCAGCAUCCCUAAAAUGUCACACUGCCAUGGCACACCCCCGUGUACUAGGCCGUGUCCUCCACAGGAUUGAGACACACGGCUGUGUCUCUGCCCGUGUGUUUUAUACCAUACAUACUAACUUGAAAUUCUUACGUGCAGGGGACACACGGCCGAACUACACGCCCAUGGGGCAAACCGUGUGUUACACACGGCCUAGACACACUCCCAUGUGUCUACCCGUGUGGACAAUAUAAGGCUAUUUACCAAGCCUCAUUGCCACCCUUAUAUACCAAGUUCCAUGGAAAUACCAACCAAUACCAGGAUAAUACCUCUUUUAUAAAUCAAAAUGAGUGUUAGCCAUCAUUCAAGGCUUAAUACAAAAUGAAGGGUCCUAAACCCGAGUCAUUACAAUUGGCUAAUUCUCAAAGACACAAAAUGAUAAAGUCUAAGCCCUAUACAUGCCAUAUUCAAAAAUAUAAAUUCAACUAUAUCGGUUCUUCGGCUGAUAGUGUGAUCGAUAUCUCUGACUUUCAGCAAUCCUGGAGCUAAUUAGGCGGCACUAAAAGAAAAUGAAAAGGAAAGGGAGUAAGCAUUAAAGCUUAGUAAGUUGCAUAUAAGUAAUAUACAACAACAAUGCAUCAACAAUCACCAUGCUCAUGAUACCAAGGUAGGCAUAAGUAUAACCUACUCAUUGCCGUCCAUACAACCUACAAAUCAUGUAUAUAGAGUUUAUAUCUCAUACGUACCAAUUAGGUACCUGUACCACCCACAACACGGCUAUACUUUUCUUCAUUAAGCUAAAAUCACUACUCUCACCGUUGAACCAUUCAAAACACUAUCGGAUAUUCCAUAAGCCUCAAACACGGGUAAGUUACCGAUGCCAUGUCCUAGACAUGGUCUUACAUUGGCUAUCACCACCGAGGCCAAUGCCAUGUCCCAAACAUGGUCUUACACUCGCUCUCACAUAUCCUUGCCAACACCAUGUCCCAAACAUGGUCUUACACUGACACAUUUCAUAGCCGAUGCAUGUCCCAGACAUAGUCUUACACUGACACAUUUCGUAGCCGAUGCAUGUCCCAGACAUGUCUUACACUAGCACUCAUCUCAAUACCGAUGCGAUGUCCUAGACAUAGACUUACACUGGCUCUCAUAAUGUGGCCGAUGCAUGUCCCAGACAUGUCUUACACUAGCCCACAACAACCCAUAUGUCAUGGCAUGAAUAUCUAAUUUAUUUCCUAGGUUCAAAAGGGAACUCUACUAUCUCUAUUAUCAUCAUGCUUUCUCAAUUCCAAAAUGAAGCAAUUCAUGCUAUGUUAGUUUCAAGUAUAAUUCAGUACAUAUAUUAACAAUGUAGUUGUAUUAUUUAUAUACAACUUACCUUGGAUUACAAAACGUAUACGACUAGUCGAUUUAGUCGAUUUGGUCUUGGUUCGAAUUUGACAAUUCUUGAUCUAUAUUAGCAAAAUACACUCGUUUAGUCACUAAUUACAAUUAGGCAAUUGAAAAUUUACAUUUUCGGUAAAAUAACCAUUUUGCCCCUAGACUUUGGCAAAAUGACCAUUUUACCCCUAUGCCUGAAAAUCGAUUUUUAUCGAAUUUCUUCGCCUCUGAAGCUUAGCUAAACUCUUUUUUACUCUUAUAGAAACUCCAAAUUCUCUCUAUUUCACACACUUAUCACUUAUUUUGCAACUUGUGCAAAAUAGUCCCUUUAGGUGUCUUCAUGCUAACACAUUUCACAAAAGUUGUUUAUAAGACAACCAAGACUCAAUUUCUUCCAUAAAAACUCAGCAGACACUAAAAAUCCAUUCAUGGAAAAACCCUAAACUCUUAAUCGUUUUGCAAAAUAGACCCCUCAUUUGAAACAUUAUGCUUCAAGGAGUCCAAAAGUAUAAAAAUCCUUAAGAAAAACUAUCAAAAUCACUUACUUGCAAGUGCUUCAAGUUGCUGAAAAAUUUAUUCUUUCAAACCCCCUUUCAUGGUUGAUAUUUUCGGUGGAAAGAGAUGAGAAGAAAGGAAAUUGACAACUUUUUGUAUUUUAUUUCUUUUUGGUCAAAAUAGCUACCAAAUUUCCACCUAAUUUUGAAAAUUGUCUCCCCCAUGUCUCAUGGCCAGCUAUACUAUUAACUAAGGGUCUAUUUUCCCAUUAAAGACCCCCAAUUUUGGUUCUCUAACAAAAUAACACCUUUAGCUAUCAAUUUAGGACUUUUACACUUUAUGCGAUUUAGUCCUUUUUCGCAAUUGGGCUUGCAAACUGCAAAAUUAACUUACCAAAAUUUUCAUGUACUAAUAUAAAUAUGCUAUGCUCUAAAAUAAUAAUAAAAUAAUUCCUCAAAAUUUAGAUUUGUGGUCCUGAGACCACUACUCUGACUAGGCCCUAAAUCAGGCUGCUACACAAUCAUUUUAUAAACUAGUCACUCCAUUAGUUAGCUUAAGCUACAAGGGUCACAAAGAUACAAAAAUUAUCAAGAAAGACCUUAAAAAACACUUACUUGCAAGAGAACUAAGUGGCUGAAAUUUUGGGAUCUCAAAACCCUCAUGUUUGCUGCCAUUUUUGGUGGAUGAAGAAGAAAGAGGAAAAGAUGACAACCUUUUUCCUUUUUGUUUUAUUUUAUUACCAAAUAAGUCACCUAAUGCCCACCAAACUUUGACUUUUCAAUUUCUUUGUCUCCAUGUUCAGCCACUAAUUUUUAUUGGUCUAUUUGCUCACUAAGGACCUCUAAUUUAGUGUUCCAUAACUAUUUAACAACAUUAGCUUGUAGAACAAAUCUUUAGCACUUUAUGCAAUUUAGUCAUUUUUCAUAAUUAAGCACGAAAUCGCUAAAAUUAAUUCACCAAAAUUUUCAUACACUCAUAUAAUCAUUCUAUAACACAUAAAAUAAUAAAAAAAUAAUUUCUCUGACAUCAGAUUAAUGGUUCUAACUAGGCCCAAAAUUAAGGUGUUACAUAGAGUGAAGAAGAUAGAUCUAGAGACGAUAUUUAAAUAAACAGUAGACUUCGAGGCAUAAGUGACGCUUUUCAAAAACAACUAUUUGCCCCCACACAAAGUUACUAGAGGGUUAAGACAAAGGUCUUCCCAGGAUACAAUAAAGUUUUUGAAUUUCCUUUGAUUAGCAAAAUCGAGGAAUUCCUUAAAUCUUACUUUAAUUUCUUAUAAUUAGGAUUGAUUGUAAUUGUAAUUUGUGAGCACCAUAGACCCUCUAUUUAUAUACACUCAAUAGACACUAUUUUGAAGAGUCACAAUCCUUUAUGUUUGAUUUCUAUUGGACAUACUUAUUAGAAAAACAUGUUUCAUGGAAUCAAAUGUAUCUUUUGAAUAAAUCAUCACUUUCUAAUAAGUGCUCAUGAGUAAUUAUGAAUUUGCAAUCUAUAAUUUCUAACACCUAAGAACAUGAUAUGCCCAAACAUUUGGACAAGCCUCCCUGUGAUUCAUCUGAGAUGUUUUCAUCUAAAACCACAAAGAUGGUCAACUCUGAGGUCUUAUCAAACAUGUUAGACAUGAUGGUGCAAAUGAUAAAAAAAUCCAAAGUGCUACCUCAAAGAGGACAUGUUUGACGUUCACAACUUGGAUAAUGAGAACCUUGGUAUUACCGAUAGCUAUGAUGAGAAUCAACUUGAGCUUAGAACUAGAGAUUAUGGGGAUGAGUUGAACAUAGUUGAAACAGUCUCUGAUCCCAUUGACAUAGCAAUAGAUCUAAUCGUAGAGGUAUAAGUAAAAGAUGAAUUAAACACUAACAUGAAGGUUAAACCGAUAUUGAAUGAAAGUGUAGAAGAGUUAAUACACUUUUUGACAAUAGCAGAGAAGGUUCCAACUGAAAAAUUCGAGGGGUUUGACUCAUUCUUAUUCAACAGUGGCAACAAGGCUUGAGUAACCAAAGCCUCAUAUAACAGAGAGAGGAGGAAGCUCGAGGUAAUAAUACCUCAAAAAAUUUUUGGGGUUGGCUCAAAUUUGGUAUGAAAUGGCUGACAAUGUGGAUUUCACGACGGUCAAAAAUAAGACAAAAUCAUUGGAAUAAACCAAAGUGUCUGGUUCAUAUACAUCAACAGAAAAACAAACUUCAGAUCAAGGUGCUGAGAACCAACGAGAGGUUCUUUUAUGGUGGUAACACAAAAUGUCUCAAUCUUUAAAGAACUUGUAUUUCUUGUUUUAAAUUUUUUUUAUUUGUUUUAUUAGUUUAAUGUUUAUUUUAUUUCAUUUCCUUUAUACUAUAUUGCAUAUUUUUUAUUUCUUGUCAUAGUAUUUUCUUAUAGGUACUUUUUUCCCGCUUGGAGCAAACGAAUCCCAAUGUCAAGAUAACAACAAGGAUUCAACCUUCUCAAGAACAACCACAUUACGUUAGCUAGAAAUGUGCAAGGAAAUUUCACGAGGAAUGAAAAGAUUUUGACCAAGAAUAAACAGUUGUGCAUCGAGACAUUGAUCUACCAUUAUAUGAAGCAGUGCAUUAGUGGCCAGAAUGUUAGGGUCUUCUUCUCCUACUUAGUGAUGACCUUGUGCAAGAAGGCCGAAGUUCCAAUGAAAAAUACUAAGUAGUUCAUGAAGCCUUGUCUCAUAGAGGACUCAUUAUACAAGAAAUAAAUGAAGCUUCAAUGAAAGAAAAUAAGGGAUUAGAGAAAAUGCCGAAAGGAAAAGAUGGAUGUCCCAACUCCACUUAAACGAAAGGCUAAAUCGACAUCUCAUAAAGAAAUAUGUGAGAGUAGCAAUCCAAAGAUGAAAUGGAUGAUAAGAUGGUUGCAAGAAACGGGCCUAGUUCUUCAAGAAUUUGAGUAGCAGAAUAAUAUGAGAGUACCAAAUUAUCCGCUAGACAAAUGUGGUCUAAAGUAGAAGAGCAAGGAACCGAGAAAUGGGAAGGUAGUAAAGAGAAGGACGCUGAAGAGGUUAAUGAGAUGGAUUACUAGAAGGAGGAGAAGGAUUAAAUGAACUUUUAAUUUUUUCUAUUGUAAAUAAUUAGGAUGAUUUUUAUCUUUAUUUUAGGAGUAGGAGUAACAAUAGAUUUAUAUAUAUAGAGAGAGUAACAGUAGAUUUAUAUAUAUAUAUAUUCUAUUUUUAAGUUUCCUAUGUAGGAACUUCACAUGAAAGAAAGCACGACAUUUUUUAGCUUCUAACGAACAAGGUAGGAAGCAACCACCAUAAGACUACGACAAUGUCACGAUCAAUCGGGCAACUUCUUUCCUUAUCUAUAGAGAUGCACAUUAGGGACAAUGUGCUAUCUAAAGUGUGUGGGGUAACAUAGAAUUUUUUUUAAUUUUUUUUCUUCGAUUUUUCUUAUCAUCUGUGUUCUUGAGGUUGUAGAAGUACAAGUGAUUGUUUAGAAGCAUGUAAAUAGGUUGAUUGUGUUUACUAUAAUUUGCACGAUAGUGAAUGGUUUUAAAUUUUUAAUUUUUAGACUAGUAAGUUCUAUAUAUUACAUUGUAAAUAGGUAUUGAGUAAUUUAAUAUACCAAAUGAUAUAAAAAAAUACGGGGAAACUAGCAUGCUAGUAUGCAUGAUAAAUAGUUGAAUUUGUGAUUGUUUGAUUGAUUAAAUUUGUGAAUAUUGAGAUACCUAGGGAUGACCUAAGGCAUUGUUUGGUAUACACCCAGAGUAAAAAAGCUAACCCUAUUUAUUUAUCCUUAGUACCUAUUUUGAGCUAGAAAACACUUCUUGAUGAACUUUCAUACAAAACCCGAGCCAAAAAUGUUACAUUGUAUUUACCCUUUUACUUUGGUCCUGAACUGCAUGAAUAUAGACUUCUAGCCAUAUGUAUUGAGGGUUAAGUAGAUACAUCAUGACGGAUUUUGUAAAAACAAGAGUGAAAUAGAAAGAAUCAGUAUAGUGAUUACAAGUUUCCUAAUAUGUGCAACAAAAGAAAAAUUCAAAAAGAAAAUCAAAACGAGUAGGAAAAGUACAUGAAAAACAAAAGCAUUGUGAGUGAGAUGUAUUAAAAAGAUCAAAAAGUGACAAAGUCAGAAAAGUAGAAAAACUCAGUCAUUGAUGCACAAAAACUCGUGAGCUUGUCAUAAUUGCUAUAUUAUGUUGUGACUUCCUAUGUGGGGAAAUAAGGAAGGUAAGGGAAGGAGAAAUAAGGUGGUGAGCUGGUAAGGGUAAUUAAGGGGGCGAAUAGGGAACAAUACAAUGUGCCAUACUAUUUUCAUGCUUGAAACUAUUUUGAUGCUUGAUCUUCCAUAAUUUUUUGUAGUAGAUUAAACUAGUUUUCGCACUUUAGGAGCUUGAGCAUAAUCAUUUUAGUUAAGUUUUAAUUAUGUUUUUGUAAAUUUAACUAAAUUUAAUAAAGUGUGUAAUUUAAGCCUUUUAUUGACCUUAGGGGCCGAAAGAGGCCUAAGGUGAGCUAACACGAGGUAUUGGAUGUCACAACAUAGGAAGCAGAAUAGAAGAAUUCCAAGACUACUCUCAAUGUCGCGAAACAGGACCUGGUGUGUCCAAAAUCACCUUUGUACGGGAAAUAAUUACGAGCCAGGGGCUUUUUGGUUCGUACAAUCAAAUGUUAAGCACGAGAAUGAAAGCUAACCUUAGGUUAAGGAUGAAAACCACUGUAAAGUCUAUAAAUAGGCUCAUUUAACACAUGUUAGAAAGGGGCUUUUGUAUUGAAUAAUUUUCUUUCUAGAUUUAGUCUUUAGUUUUUCUCUUCUUAGGUUUUAGGUUGAUUUCAAUUCUUAUUAUUUGCUUUUGUCGAAAAGAUUAGAUUUGUGAAACACAAUCAAACCCUGUGAGGAUUCUAUACUCAAUUCUAAUACAAAUUAGGCUUCUUCUAAACUUUAUACUCUUGAAUUAUUAUUCAUGUUUACUCUUUUUAUCAAGUUUAAACUAUUUAUUAGAUCCAUGAGGAACUAAUCCUCCAUUAGGGGAUUAGCGAGUGAAGGUAUGAUUAAUUAACAAUUUUGUAGGGUUUUCUUAGCGGAUCAGCUGUUCAGGAAAAGAAGAACCUACCCUAGGCCUGACAACCCUAGGAAGUCAUUAAGGUGGGAAUUAACCAAAAUUUGAUAUGGCCUAUUGGAAACACAAAAAUUUAUAUACUUUUUCAUACCCAUUCUUACUUAAACUCAUGCAAAUCCGGUUAAAUUCUUCUCAAAAAAAAUUAAAUAUUAUAAAAUAAUUAAAUUAUGUUAAAAAUAUGAACAUGGUGAAUUUAGUUAAUUUUAUACUCAAUUUUGAUUAAUUUUGACUAUAUUCGACAGAUUCGCGCAAAGGGUGAAAAUUGGCUCGGCUGACACUGCUGAAAGCACAAAACUGAGGAGCAAUUUGAAGUAUCGAGGCACAUGAGUUUCCAGCCUAAGACGGUCCAAAAAAUGUGUAUUAAUUCAUAAUUUAAUUAAUUUUAAUUUAUUCCCCAUUUAAUUUGGGUUAAAUAAAUUAUUUUUAAUUAAUUAUGGAGAAAGGGUCCAGUUGAACCGCACUAGUCGAACCAUAUUGAAUGGACCGAAAAAGCCACUAAUUGGAAGCCCAGAACCGUCCAUAUGCUGACCCAAAUCAGCAUUUUUAGCUGAUUAAAUAUGAUUGCGAAAAGGCCCUCGAAAGACUUCUAAUUUGCAUUCAUACCCCACCUUUAAUUGUGGCUUUGUAGAUUUGCCCUAGGCCAUUUUUAGCAAAGUUGAAAGUCUCAACUCUUGCCAAGUAGAUGGCUGGCCAAUGGGGGGCUAUUUGGCUUCUGGAAUUUGCUAUUUUUUGUAUCCACAAUCAGCUAUAAAAGCUACCCUUUGCUGAUCAUUCAAACCAUCCUUCAUUCUCUCUUCUCCUCUCUCACUUUUCUCUCACUUUUUCCAUCCCAUUUCCCUUAUUGUUCGAGUGCCGAUUUCUUCUCUUGGAAAAGAGGCUCUCAUCAGCCAUUUUGGAGCAGCAAUUAGGUGUUCAUAAGCCACCUUGAUAGCCGAAGGCAAUGAAGAACGAAGAAUAGAGCAACUAGUCAAGCCACAGAGAAACACCGGAUUUGCUUCUUGUUCCCUAUCUCUUUAAUUUUUGUUGUUGUUUUGAAGAACAUGUUUAUGAAUAUUUAUGCUAUUGAAAUGGUUGUUUUAAUCAAUUUAUCUUAAAAUUAAGUUUGUGUUGGGUUGAUUAUAUUCUGCCUACUCGAAUUGUUAAAAUGAUGUUUAUGCUGUUAUAGGCCUCAGCAAUUGCUUGGUUAAGUAAAAUCAUGCCUAAGUUAUUUUUGCAAUAUAAUUGUUAAAUAACUAAUAAAUUAAUUAUUAAAAUGGAUUGAAAUUAUAAUUAAUUGACACAAUACUUAAUCAGUAAAUGUUUAUUCUUCUAAGGUAGCUGAAGGUUCAAUUAGCAAAGUAUCUGGCGAUAUUAUUGCCUUGCAUAACUUGCAAGAUUAUUAUGAUUAAACUGUCUCCAGGUAGGGAUGCCUUGCUACCUCACAUAGUCUUUUAUAUGCUUAUUAGAUUUAAUUAAUCGUUUGAAUUAACAUAGGGAUAUGUAAGAGAUUAGUUUAAUUUAAUGAGUAUGUAUGUGCAAUAACAUGUUUGCUUAUUAGAAUCUGUUUAGUCUAUUGAAUUGACAUAGGGAUAUGUCAAGAGAUGAAUGAAUUUUUAUAUGUGAGUAUGUUCAGAAGUUAGCCAAUUAUCGAGUUGCCAUGAAUUUAUUCGUAACAAUGUAAACAUGAGUUUAAUUAUUCUAAGUUAAAAGAAUAUAAUUAAUCCAACACAAGUAUGUUACCUUGACUAAAUCUUAUUUGAAAUUGUGCAUUAGAACUCCUUUGUUUUAUUUUAAUUUUUUUACUUAGUUUUUUAAAUAUUUUUUGACCAUCUUUUAAAACCAAAUUAUUUUUACCUCACCAAAGUGUUUUACAAUUAAUUUCAUAAAUAAUUCUUUUUACAGUCCCUGUGGGCACGAUAACUCGACAUUACUUGUUACUUUAUUACUUGUUGCGUUGUGUACACUUGCACAUUUUUCAGUUGUUCCAAGUUUUUUGCGUCGUUGCCGGGGAUUGUUUUAAAAAGCCAUUAUUUGUGAAUUUGUUAGUUUUACAUUUUGGUUUAUUUUUCUGUUUAAUUUUUAACUUAAUUAAUUUUUCUCUGAUAAUUUCAGGUGUUUAUGAAUAUUGGCUAGAUUAUUGACUUACUCCUUGUAGACCCUGAGAUAGAUUGAACCUUUUGACAGCGAAGAAGACAAGCGAACCAGAGAAGGACCGAAGAAAUGAACUUUGAAAAUUCGAUCCAAGGAACUGGAGCAAACCCUGCUCAAAAUCCUAUCCUUAUUGCUGAUGAUAGGGAUAGAGCCUUAAGACAAUAUGCUGUGCCAGUAUUUAACGAUCUUAAUCCAGGCAUUAGGAGACCUGAAAUCGAGGCACAACAAUUUGAGCUGAAGCCAGUCAUGUUCCAGAUGAUUCAGACUGUGGGCCAAUUCAGUGGAAUGCCUACUGAAGAUCCUCAUUAUCACCUAAGACUAUUUAUGGAGGUGAGCGACUCUUUCAAAUUAGCUGGAGUACCUGAACGAUUGAAGAUGUUCCUGUACACACUAAGGGACAGAGCUCGAUCUUGGUUGAAUUCAUUGCCACCAAACUCAAUUUCUACAUGACAAGAGUUAGCCGAAAGAUUUCUCAUGAAGUAUUUCCCACCUAGCAAGAAUGCUAAGUUGAGGAACGAGAUCACUGCCUUCCAACAAAUGGAUGAUGAGUCCUUGUAUGAGGCAUGGGAACGAUACAAAGAACUAUUACGGAAAUGUCCUCAUCACGGAAUCCCACAUUGCAUCCAACUUGAGACAUUUUAUAAUGGUCUCAAUGCUCACACGAGGAUGGUAGUGGACGCUUCUGCUAAUGGUGCUCUCUUUUCUAAGUCUUAUAAUGAGGCUUACGAAAUCAUCGAGAGGAUCUCCAGUAACAAUUAUCAAUGGCCAACCAAUCGAGCCGCAUCAAGAAGACGAGUCGCUAGAAUACAUGAAGUGGACACUCUCACUUCACUUGCAUCUCAGGUAUCUUCAAUAUCCUCAAUGCUUAAGAAUCUUACCACUGAUGGGUCUAACAGUUUUGCAGCCCAACCACCUCACCAAUUUGAAAGUAUAGCCUGUGUUUAUUGUAGGGAAGGACAUUUGUUCGAAGAAUGUCCAUCGAACCUCGAAUCCGUAUAUUACAUGGGUAACCAGAACCAAAAUCGAGGAAGGCAAUGACUGCAAUCCAGUUUAAGCUGAACCAUCCAAUAGCUUGGAGAAUCUGCUGAAGGCAUACAUGGCAAAGAAUGAUGCCUUAAUUCAAAGCUAAGCAGCUACAUUGAAGAAUCUGGAAAACCAAAUGGGCCAGCUUGCAACUGAACUUAGGAACCGACCACAAGGUGUUUUACCUAGUGAUACAGAGAAUCCAAGAAAUCCGGGGAAGGAACAUUGCAAGGCGUUAACAUUGAGGAGCGGAAAGACAAUAAAGCCCAACACUAUCGAAGGUGAAAAAGAGCCAGCUGAUGCUCAAGACUCAGAGGAAGUUCAAUCGAGUGUUGAAAUUCCAGUUUCACAAGAACCAGAAUCUACGAAACCCGAUGAGGUAAUUCUAGAACCAGCUAAUUCUGAUAAACUAACAACUCCGUUAGAUGUAGAAUUGCCACAGAAAAUGAAUCUACCAGUUCCAAUAAAGAAACCUUUACCACCCUACCCUUAAAGACUUCAGAAGCAGAAGCAGGAAAUUCAAUUCAAGAAAUUCCUAGAGGUACUCAAGCAACUUCACAUCAACAUCCCAUUGGUUGAAGCACUUGAACAAAUGCCGAACUACAUCAAAUUCAUGAAGGAUAUCCUGUCCAAAAAAUGAAGACUUGGAGAAUUUGAGACGGUAGCUCAGACGAAGGAAUGCAGCCAUAUCUUUAAGACAAACUACCCCCAAAAUUGAAGGAUCCUGAAUGUUUUACCGUACCUUGCAAUAUUGGAGCAAUGUAUUGUGGUAAGGCACUAUGUGACUUGGAUACAAGUAUAAACUUGAUGCCUAUGUCAAUAUUUAGAAAGUUAGGGAUAGGUGAAGUUAGACUUGCUACGGUUACCCUUCAACUAGCAGAUUGAUCUUUAGCACAUCCAGAAGGAAAAAUCGAGGACGUAUUGGUACGAGUAGAUAAAUUUAUCUUCCCUGCUGAUUUUGUGAUCCUAGACUUUGAAGCAGACAAAGAAGUACCGGUUAUCCUAGGAAUACCGUUCUUAGCAACCGGAAAGACCCUUAUUGAUGUGCAGAAUGGUGAGCUUACUAUGUGUGUUCAGGAUGAUCAGGUAACAUUUAACGUUUUUAAGUCUAUGUGAUUUCCUGACACAAUUAAUGAUUGUUCUGCAGUUUCCGAUUUAGAGGAUUUAAUAGUGGAAAAGGAGCUCAACUUUGUUGAGGAUCCGUUGGAACAAAUUUUGACAUCCGAUCCUCCAAAUGAUGAUGAGGAGGAUGAAUACUUAGCUUUGUUAGAUGCUAAUCAAAGGGGAUUUAAUCCGCAAUCUUGCUUUGAAUCUUUGGAGUUAGAGAAAAGGGAUUAUGCCAAAUCAAAAGCGUUAAUAGAGGAGCCACCUAAAUUAGAACUGAAGGUACUUCCUUCAUAUUUGAAAUAUGUUUAUUUAGGUAACUCUUCUACUCUGCCUGUGAUUGUUUCAGAAGAGUUAACUACUAAGCAAGAAGAGAAACUCAUCUUGGUGUUGAAACAAUUCAAAAAGGCUAUCGGAUGGACCAUAGCCGAUAUCUGCGGUGUCAGUCCAUCUGUAUGCAUGCACAAAAUUAUCCUAGAAGACGGUGAAAAAGGGACGAUUGAUGGACAACAAAUACUGAACCCCAUUAUGAAGGACGUAGUGAAAAAGGAGAUUAUCAAGUGGUUAGAUGCAGGUAUCAUUUAUCCCAUCUCAGAUAGCUCAUGGGUAAGUUCGGUCCAGUACAUGCCAAAGAAGGGAGGUAUCACAAUCAUAGAGAACGAGAAUAACAAGUUGAUACCAACUAGAACAGUUAUGGGAUGGAGGAUUUGCAUCGAUUACCAGAAGCUAAACAAGGCGACUAGGAAAGAUCAUUUUCCUUCGCCGUUCUUGGACCAAAUGCUGGAUAGACUCGUGGGGUAAGACUAUUACUAUUUUCUCGAUGGAUACUCGAGGUAUAAUUAGAUUACAGUAGCACCGGAAGAUCAACACAAGACAAUGUUCACCUACCCGUAUGGUACAUUUGCAAUUAGACGCAUGCCAUUUGGUUUAUGUAAUGCACCUGCUACAUUUCAAAGAUGUAUGAUGUCUAGUUUUACUGACAUGGUUGAGAAGUACUUGGAAGUUUUUAUGGAUGACUUUUCAGUAUUCGGAGAUACUUACGAUGAUUGCUUAGCCAAUCUGGCUAGGGUACUAAGAGAAUGCGAAGAAACGAACCUCGUACUUAACUGGGAGAAAUGCCAUUUCAUGGUAUGAGAAGGAAUUGUUCUAGGGCAUCGGAUAACGAGACAUGGAAUCGAGGUAGACAAAGCAAAGGUAGAUGUUAUUGAGAAGCUCCCACCUCCAACAUCUGUAAAGGGUGUUGGGAGCUUUUUGGGCCACGUCGAUUUCUAUCGAAGAUUUAUCAAGGACUUCUCCAAAAUUGCUAAACCCUUAUGCAAAUUAUUGGAGCAGGACACGACAUUCAAGUUUGAUGAUGAAUGCUUAAGAGCUUUCAAUGAUUUGAAGAGUCGAUUAGUUACGGCACCCAUAAUUGUCACACCAGACUGGGAUUUCCCAUUUGCAUUAAUGUCUGACGCAAGUGACUUUACGAUAGGAGCUAUCAUGGGCCAGCGAAGGAACAAAGUUUUUCAUCCCAUCUAUUAUGCAAGCCGGACUCUUACAGGAGCUCAACUGAACUAUACGGUAAUAGAAAAAUAGUUACUUGCUAUUGUAUUUGCUUUUGACAAGUUUCGAUCUUAUCUUGUAGGUACCAAAGUAACUGUCUAUACGGACCACUCGACAAUUAAGUAUUUCCUUGCCAAGAAAGACACUAAGCCGAGACUUAUAUGAUGGGUACUUCUACUUCAAGAGUUUGAUGUAGAAAUUCAAGAUCGAAAGGGGGUAGAAAACCAAGUAGCAGAUCACUUGUCCAAAUUGGAGCCGCAAGAAGGGAAUUCUCCUAUUAUACCAAUUCAUGAAACAUUUCCAAAUGAACACAUACUAAAGGUAAGUCAUGUCCACAAUACCCCUUGGUUUGCUGAUAUUUCUAACUAUUUAGCUUGUGGUUUGAUGCCAAUUGAUAAGACUUAUCAACAAAGGAGAAAGUUUUUUCACGAUGUGAAGUAUUAUUUCUGGGAAGAGCCAUAUUUGUUUAAAAGGUGUGUAGAUCAGAUGAUUAGGAGAUGCAUGGCAGAAGAUAAAGUACAAAAGAAUUUAUACCAUUGUCACUCAGCUAUGAGUAAGGGACACUUCAGAGGUACUUGUACGGUGGCCAAAGUAUUGCAAGCCAGAUUCUUUUGGCCAACACUAUUGAAGGAUGCAUAUGCGUACGUAAAGAGCUGUGAUCGAUAUCAAAGGGUCGAAAAUGUCACCAAUAGAAAUGAGAUGCCUCGAAAAAACAUCAUUGAGGUAGAAUUGUUUGAUGUAUGGGGUAUUGACUUUCUUCGUCCUUUCCCUCCGUCUUUUGGUCACAAGUAUAUAUUGGUAGCAAUAGACUUUUUCCAAGUGGGUCGAGGCUAAAGCUUAUCCGAAAAACGAUGCUAGGGUUGUAAUUAAGUUCUUGCAGAAACACGUGUUCACAAGGUUUGGAACCCUAAGAGCUAUCAUUAGUGAUGAAGGGUCCCACUUUCGUGAACAAGUGGUUAAAAUGGUUAUUAGACAAGUAUGGAGUGAAACAAAAGGUUGCAACAGCUUACCAUCUGCAGAUGAAUGGGCAAGCUGAAUUGGCAAAUAAGGGAAUCAAAGGCAUACUUGAGAAGGUAGUUUUUCCCAAACCAACGAGAUUUGUCCAAAAGGCUGGAUAAUGCUUUAUGGGCUUACAAAACAACAUACAAGACACCUUUAGGGAUGUCACCCUGCAGGUUGGUCUUUGGGAAAGCAUGUUAACUACCCUUAGAGUUAGAGCACAAGGCUUACUGGGCUCUUCGACAACUCAACUUGGAUCCUAACUAGAAACGGAUGCUCCAACUCAAUGAGCUAGAGGAACUCCAGAUGUUCUCCUAUGAAAAUGCCAAAUUACUCAAGGAGAGACUUAAAAAAUGGCAUGACAAGCACAUUCGAGUUCGAGAAUUUGAAGCAGGUCAACGAGUCUUAUUAUUUAAUUCCAGACUAAAGUUCUUUCCAGGUAAGCUAAAAUCACGUUGGUCCGGUCCAUUUACGAUUCAUCGCAUCUAUCCAUACGGAGUUGUCGAGCUCCAAGGUAAGGGAGGUAAUGUUCAAGUUAAUGCUUAGCGCCUGAAACACUAUUGGGGAGAUAAGAUUGAACAGAAUGAAAUUUCGUUCAUUUUAUCGGAUGUUUAAAAUUUUCUUAUUUUCCUUUUUAAUAAAUGAUUUAGGGUAUAUUUUUGAGAUUAGUAUGUUUAAAUAAAUUCUGUCUAGGAGAUUGGAACUUAAGCGGGAACGCUUGUGACCCCUCCAAUCUUUCUUGGGAAUUGAUUUUAACAUAAAUUUUCAAAAAAUUAUUCUCUAAAUAGAAAUUUCAAUCUUUGAUUUUUCAAAUAAAAUGGUCAAUUUUGAUCCAAGUCUUAAAUUGCAACUCAAUUCCAAAUUUUCAUUAAGUCUAGGGACUUAAUUGAAUCAUUUUUAAAAUUUGGUUGCUCUUUUCGUAAAUAAUAAAAACUAGAUGCUUCUUUUUGUAAAUAUUUUCAAAAGGCUUCUAGAAUAAAUGUUUUUAGUUUAAUAAAAAAAUGAUAAUUAUUAAUAUAUAAUUAUAUCCAUUAUAAUAUAUAUUAAUCAUUAUCAAUUUUAGGAUUAGUGUUAAUUUAAUCAUAUUUUAUUUGAUAAGUUUUUAAUAAUAAUAAUAAGAUGAUAAUCUUUAAUAUAUAAUUAUAUCUAUUAUAAUUUAUAUAUUAAUCUUUAUCAAUUUAGCAUAGAAUUAGGAUUGGUCUUAAUCAUAUUUUAUCUUUGUUUAAAUAAAUUAAAUAGCAAUUAAUAAUUUAAUAUGCAUAUAUCUAAUUAUUAUUUGUUGUUAUCUUUGUAUAGGAUUAGAACUUAAAAUUUUUAUUAAUUAAAUUGUUUUAAGAAUUCUACUCUAAUUCCUAUUUUUCCCUCUAUAAAUUCCACUCAUCUUCCCAUUCAUCUAUCACUCAAAACCCAAAGCACUAAAACACCAAAGUGCCGAAACCCUUUUCCCAGUAGCCACUCAGUUAGCAGCACAUGUCGCACGUCCUAGUAGGCUGCAAGUAUGUCUAGCUCCAUCACAUGCUUGCUGCACCAGCCUCAGCUCGCACCAGGCCUUCAUCCCGCGCGCUAUACCUACCUUUCGCACCAUCUUGCGAGCUCCCAAUUGCUACCUGUUGCCGAACGCCCGUGUCGUUGCCUGCUUCUAGCCCUGCUGCGCAUCACUGCUCCCACACGCACUACACUCGUAUGCCCUAACUGCUUGUGCGGCAUUCUUCAUUCAUCCAUCCUAAGCCACAAACCCUCCAACCCUCCUUUUAAAUUACCAUCUUUUCCUUCAUUAAUAUUAUUAUUAUUAUUUCCACACAAAAGGUGGUAAGACCUAGUUUUCUCUUAAUUUUUAAUUUUAUUCAAGUAGUUAAUUUUUUAAUUCAUUGAAUUAUUAAUAAUUUUUAUUAAUUUUUUUUGAGAAAAUAAUUCUUCUAUCUUAUGAUCAGGUUAAACAUGCCUCACAAUAGAACUCGUGCUUCCGCUCAAAUUGAUAAAACACAAAACAAGUUCCACUGUGAAGAAGCCAGAGUGAGAUACAAAAGUAUCUUCAAAAUCAACAGAUGCAUCCAGAGAAAGGCUUUACAUUAAAAGAAAGCAAUUACAGAGACUUUAUGGCAAGUAUUCCUCAAGUUGCUAAAACUCUCAAUUGGGAGCUAUUUUGUGAAAAGAGACCUAGUGUGGACGAGGAGCUAGCUCGUGAGUUCUAUGAGAAUUUAACUUUAAGCAAGAUGACAGAAGUUCUAGUUCGCGAAAUCAAAGUACCGAUAAAUUCAAAUGCUAUUAAUGAGUUCUUUGAAUUACCUAAUUUCGAAAACGAUGAAUAUUCCACAUUGAUGAGCAAUAUCAAGCCUGAAAAUUUGCAAGAAAUUCUCGAGGAACUGACAGUUUAGGGUUCUACAUGGACUAUGUCAAAACAAGGAAUCCACACUUGUCGAAGAGAAUAUUUGACGCCACUCGUGAAGGUAUGGUUUUACUUCAUCUGAUUUAGCCUUAUGCCUAGCUCACAUGGGACUACAAUCUCAUUAGAGUGAAUGGUCUUAUUAUACUUGAUCUUAACUAGUAAGACCAUUGAUGUGGGGAAGAUCAUCUUGAGGGAAAUACAAGAUUGUGCUAUUAAACGCUCUGUCCCUGCUCACUUCCCCUUUACAAUAACAAUUUUAUGCUUGAAAGCUGAAAUUCUUGCGAAUGUAAGGAAGACAGGGUAUAGCCAAGGCACAAUCAUAGAUUGGGACCUUUACUGAGUAGUUGGAGACUCAGUUCUACAGCAACGAGUUGAAGUAAAUGAGGAACUGGAGGACCCUGAUGAAGAAGAAGAUCCCACAAUGCAAUCAUUUGAAGUCCUUAAUAAGGUAGAAUCAGUGGAGCCAGAAGCUGAACCUGAUGCUAGAACUUCAAUGUUUAGAGCUCAAUCGCCUUGCCCAGACCUUUGAUAAGAGCUAUCAAAAUUUUUGGACUUAAUGCAACAUAUGCAAUGACAACAACAAGCCUACUGGAGAUACUAAAAAAAUAAGGGAUGACUCGAUGAGAAGUGCUUUUAAGAAAAUAUACAAUGACCCGUUUAUUUUUGUGUUUGAGUUUCUAGAUUUCAUAUUUGAACCAUGGAGUCCAUUAUUGAUAAACCGAAAAUUAUACAUAUUUUUACCCCAUGUUUAAUGCAUUUUAUGGAUGAUUUCUCAUUAGAAUUGGUGAAUUCGAUGCUCCUAAUGCUUUAAUUUCAUGUUUUAUACUUAGGAUUUUAUGGAGAACCUAAUGCUUAGAAUUGGUGAAUUCGAUGCUCCUAAUGCAUUUUAUGGAGGACCUCCUUACAUAGGCAGACCACACGGUCGUGUCAAUUUGGCAGGCUCGAGAACGGCCUGAAGUAAUCAAACACGGGCGUGUCCCUGUCGAGCCCAAGUUGAGUCUAAUUUGGAAAAGGCUAAUUUUGAGGGCUUCUAGGCAUUCCAAAGCCUAUAAAUACACCUUAGAGGAGGAAGAAAAGGGAGACAGAGAAGGGGGAGUAAGGAAUUACUCCAAGGAAGCCUAUUGAUCCAUCUCAGAAGCCGGAUUCAUCAUCAAGACUGAAGAUCUCUCCUCAAUUUCCUUUCAGGAGUUUUGGGUUUUCUUUAUGUUUUGUAUUCUUUAUUCUUUUGAGAUGUUUUCUUAUUUAGUUAUGAACUAAAACCCCUAAAUACCUAAGACGAAUCUUGUUAUUAUUUUCUAAAUCGUAUGAUAAAUAUUUAACUUGUUCUUAAUUCUUGUUUUGAUAUCCCAAGAUAUUGAUUCAAGACAUACUCUUAUUCAGAGGAGAAAUAGACCCUGUCUAAGAGUACAUUUGUCAUAAUUAAGAGGAGUUGAUUGUCGCCUAGACAUAGGGUGAUAAGAUUUUGCCGGAUUAGGGUGAAACCUAAUAACGGGAUCCAUAGAUCGAGUUAAUGCAACUCUAGAGUGUUAAUUAGAGAAAAGUCUCGGUUAUUCAAUCUAGGGAUUAGACGUUAUUAGUCUUGAAUAGGGAUAAUAACAUAACUUAGGGAUCUCUACGGAACAAGUUGAAUGAAUAAAUCGUCCGAUUCGGAGCCAGAAUAACAAGCAAAAUCUAGGUGGAUUUUUCCUUAGGUAUUGUCUUAAGUCAAUCGAUUUUUCCCAAAAGCAAUUCCCCAAUUCUUUUAUUUGUGCGUUCUUAGUUUAGAUAAUUAGUUAAUUAAAACAAAACCUCUUUAUGCUUAGGCUAGAUAAUAAAAAGACAGUCUAUACUAGUACUUUUAGUUCCUUUGGGUUCGACAAUCCGGUCUUGCUAAAACUAUACUAUUGUUCAAUAGGUACACUUGCCUCCAUUGCAAUAAUAGUUAGUUCAAGAAUGAGUAAUUAUAAAUAUUUAAAACCUAUCACGAAAUAACGCGAUCAAGUUUUUGGCGCCGUUGCCGGGGAACUAAGAUAUUAGGAACGCUCAAUUUUUAUUACAGUAGCCAUUUAUUUUUUCUUGCAAUUUAAUUUAAUUUUAUUAUUAUUUAUUAACCUACUCUUUCUUUCUCUUGGCAGGUUUUUAUAGUUUAUACUAGAAGAAACCCGUCGGGACCAUUACUUUUUGAUAAAGAAAUCGAUCGUACAGUUCGUAGAAACUAAAGAGAAAUAAGGCGCGGCUUAAGAUACACAGAGAACAAGCAAUAAGACGAUACUCAACCCCCAACCAAAGAGAUGUCUGAAAACCAAGGCAAUCAGCUACCUCCUGCAAUUGUGGUUAAUCAAAAUCCUGUUCCAUGCACUAUGUAUGAUUAUGCUAAACCUUCUUUAACAAGAAAUGAAUCAGACAUAGUUAGACCUACUGUAGCUACAAAUACUUUUGAAUUAAAACCUAACACUAUUCAAAUGAUACAGCAAUUUGUUUAGUUUGAUGGUUUGCAAGAUGAGGAUCCCAACGCUCAUUUAGCCAACUUCUUAGAACUAUGCGAUACAUUUAAAAUUAAUGGCGUUUCUAAUGAUGCCAUACAUCUUUGGUUGUUUCCCUUUUCAUUGAGGAACAAAGCUAAACAGUGGUUGAACUCGUUACCACGAGGGUCAAUUACUACUUUGGAACAAAUGACCAAAACGGCUAAAUUACGUAAUGAUAUCUCUUCUUUUGUGCAGAUGGAUUUAGAAACACUCUACGAUGUAUGGGAGAGAUAUAAGGACCUUUUGAGAAGAUGCCCCCACCAUGGGUUACUGCUUUGGCUCCAAGUUCAAAAUUCCACAAUGGUCUGAAUCCUUCGACUAGGCAAAUGGUUGACGCAGCGGCGAGUGGAACCAUCAACAGUAAAACACCGAAAGAUGCCUAUGAGUUUAUAAAGGAGAUGUCACUAAAUAACUAUCAGUGGCAAGUCAUGAGGACAAAGCCAACGAAAACAACUGGUGUUUAUAACGUCGAUUUGGUCACCAUGCUGUCAAAUCAGGUAGAACUCUUGAAUAAAAAGAUUGAUGGUUUUCUUAGUUCUUCACAGGUUCACCCAGUAAUGCAGUGCGAAGCAAGUAGCGGUGGAACAAACCAUUCGGAAUACAACCUUAUGGCCACAGCAUGGAUAUUGAGCAAUUAAACUACAUGGGUAAUAAUCCUUGACCUCAAAACAAUCCAUAUAGUAACACUUAUAAUGCAGGUUAGAGGAACCACCCCAAUUUCUCGUGGGGCGGUCAAGGAAAUCAAAGACCACAACAUCCUCCGAGCUACCAAAAACCACCCUACCAAUAGGAAAAGAAGCCAAACCUUGAAUAGAUGCUCUCAAAGUUUAUAUCAGUGUCAGAAACCCGUUUUCAGAACACCAAGACAGCACUUAAAAAUCAACAAGCGUCAAUCCAAAGCCUCAAAACUCAGAUAGGCCAGCUUUCCAAACUAAUUUCCAAACGACCACAAGGUAGUUUGCCAAGUAAUACCGAACCUAACCCAAGAGAACAACUCAACGCAAUUAAUAUUCAAGAUGACGAAUGAGUCGUUGAGCCUGAACCAGAACCGAGGCAAGAAACUGUGGUAAGCAAAGGUCAAGCUGAGGUAGAUCAAAAUACAAACAAACCAGUGAUGGUUGAAUAUAAACCUCGUGUGUCAUACCUCAACGUGACAAGGAAAGACCGCUCGGAUGAACAAUUUGGUAAAUUCCUUAAACUCUUAAAAAAAUUACAUAUUAACUUACCGUUUAUUGAAGCUAUAUCGUAGAUGCCAAACGCAAUGAAAUUUUUAAAGGAGCUUUUAGCAAAUAAGCGGAAGUUGGAAGAGGCAUCGCAUGUGGAGCUGAACACAUUUUGCUCAACCAUUCUCCAAAAUAAACUACCCAACAAACUAAAAGACCCAUGGAGCUUUACUAUUCCUUGCUUAAUUAGUAGUUUAGAUGUUAAUCGUUUAUUAGAUGAUCUAGGGGCUAGUAUCAACGUCAUGCCUUAGAAAAUGUUUAAGCAACUAGGUCUCGGGAAACCCAAACAGAUUAGGAUGAGCAUUCAAUUAGCAGAUAAAACUAUAAGAUUCCCUAGAGGUAUUAUUGAAGAUGUGCUAGUUAAAAUCGAUAAAUUUAUAUUUUCCGUUGACUUUAUUGUUCUAGACAUAGAAGAGGAUAGCAACACUCCCUUAGUUCUAGGAAGGCCCUUUUUAGUAACUGCUAAAACCAUCAUUGAUGUUGGCACAGGUGAACUCACACUCCGGGUGGGAGACGAAACAAUCACCCUUCAAGCUUGCAAUUCUGGCAACAUAUCAGGAAUUGAAGGUGAUCAUUUCAACCAUUCUACUAAAACUAACAAUAUGGUGCAACCUACUUUGCAAAAAGUGAAUCUGAAGGAAGCACACGAGUCGUUCUCAAGAAAUAGUAGAGGACCUGUUCAUGAAGAUCGAAGACUACAAAUCUAGGAACUCGAUGAAUGGCGGAUGCACAAACUAAGAACACCCGACAAACUGAAACUUUGCCAAAACGAGCCCGAUACCUCUCCAAAUCAACUUAAGGUUGGUGAUAAGAUCUUAUUAGAUACCGCAAAUCCCCACAUUGUCACUACCACACCAAAUGACGAAAUCCCUCUUACGGUACUCAGUAUUUUUCCAUUCGGUACGGUAGAGGUGAGUCAUCCCAAGUUCGGCAUUUUUAAGGUAAAAAACACCCGAUUAAAACCCUAUUUUGAUGAGAUUGAUAGCAGGAAUGAAGAGUAUAAACUUCUCAAACCACCAUGACCAUUCACUGGAGAGGUAAGCCAAGCUUAGACUAUAAAUAAAAGCUUUUCAAGAGGCAACCCCAGCACUAACAAUAUUAAUUUCUUUAAAUUUUGGUAUUUAAAUCCUAACUUACUAAUAAAAAUCUUGAAUACAGGUGUUUCCAUAGAGACACGGCCAAUCACACGGGCGUGCUUAAGGUCGUGUGAAAACAGGGCAAAAGAUUUCCCCAACACGGGCUACAAUUAAAUGCUACGGCCGUGUGAUAUGGCUGUAGUCGAGCCUACCAAAACAACACGGGCGUGCAACACGCCCGUGUGGAAGAACCGUGGGUGAACCUAUUAAAACAGCACGGGCGUUCGACACGCCCGUGUGGAACACCAGUAGUCGAACCUAUUAAAUUAACACGGGCGUGGGGCUUGCACACACGGGCGUGGGAGAAGCGAACGGAGCUAGACAUGGCUGUGCGACACGACUGUGUGAACCCAUAUGCCCAAGGAACACGGGUGUGUACUAAAUGUCAGACGCGCCCAAAUUUGAAAUUCGCGAAUCACACGGGCUGAAAUUGGGGGACACGGGCGUGUGCCCUUGCCUUGUGGCCCAAAAUCUAUAAAUACCUUGCACUAUUCACUUUCUUCCCCAUUCAAAAACCCUUACCCUAGCCGCUGCAACUCCACACGGCCUCCCUUCCACACCCGUGCACCGCUUCCUACUUCAUUUUGAUGCUCAAUCCCUCUUCCUUAGCGUUCGUUUACUCCUUUCACUUCUAUUUUACUUAUUUCUAAUGCUUAUUAUCAACAUAAACUUUAUAUCUUUUAAACUAUUUUUCAUUUUUCUAUCAUUUAAUUUGCAUUCUUAGGUUAGUUAUCAUACAUUUUGUGUUAAAUCAAGUUAGUAAGAACACUUCAUACCCAUGACAUUACUAUGUUUAUUCUCCUGCUAUUACCAUGGCAAUGUAUAUCAUUUAAUUUGCAUUCCUAAGUUAGUUAUCAUACAUUCCGUGUUAAAUUGAGAUUAGGAAAACCUCAUACCCAUUACAUUUCUAUUCUCAUUCUUAUCGUUAUUGUGGUUGAGUUUGCUUCAUAUUAAUAGUAUUGGCUGAAAUAGUUAGUUCCAAAUCUAUGCAUUUUAUUUUUUUGAAUUCGUUUACCUAUUAUUAUUAUUUAUAUUACAACCUUUUGAUGUCAUCUUCACGAGGAAAGAAAACUGCCGUACCUGCCUCAAAGAAGAGGAAGGGAGCGUCCUCUUUCGCGGGUCCCACCGCAAAAAUUCUUCACCCUCUCCUACAGUUCCCCCGAGGGCCUCAGGAAGAAUUGUUCCAAAUACUUCGAGCCCAACCUUUAAUUGCGGGUCGCUGCAUCGACUGGACUGCUGUAAAACAGGCUCAGUUGGCUGAUUCGAUUUGAGCCCUCCUAACCACCGACCCUUGAGAGCUAGUCUUUGGGAUUAUCGAGCCAACAUACCUUGAGCUCACGAUGGAACUAUGCUCAACAUUCCAUCUUCAGACCGUAAUGACGAACUAUGAUGAUCCCGGUAGGGUUCAAUUUCGCCUAGGCGGAUUAAUUCGCCAACUAAGUGUUUCAGAGUUUGGUGCUACACUAGGCUUAUAUACGGAGGAUUUCAAGGAGGAGAAUGAACUACAUGCUCUCAGUCGCCACAUACAUUUCUCUCCUUCAAAGUGCUAGCACAUUUUGGCCCCUAGCACGGCUUCCUACAAUCCUAGCCGUUCCAAGGCAUCAGUUUUCCCACCAUCCCUGAGGUAUUUACACGCUAAUUUAGCUCACACGAUUACAGGGAGGUGAGAGAGCACUGGGGUAGUCAACACCCACGACGUUUACUUCUUAUGGUGCAUGUCACAAGGGCACGUCAUCGACCUUGCCUAUUUCAUCACCCUUGCAAUUCAGCACCAGACGAAGCGGCAUCGGAAGGGGGUCAUCUCUAUUGGCCCCUACGUGACUCGACUGACGCGACACUUCAGGCUCCUUAACACCGCGGCCCAAGAAUCAUCCCUCACCCUCAUCGGCCAGAUGUCUCUACAAGGCAUCUCGAGCAAGCUUAGCAUGAGGAUGAUCGAGAGGCACCGAGGAACCUACCCUCCCCAGUAUCGUCUCGCCCAAUCUACCGAGGAGGAGGCCUACGAGGACAUUCCUGAUGAUGUCCCCCCAUAGCACGAGGGCCCACCAACUCAGCCACCACCACCCUCUCGUACAGUUCAUGUGAUGGCUUCAUAUGCUGACAUCUGAGCCCUCACCCGAUUCGAGCAGUAAUUUUUUCAACGAUUUGACAACAUUGAUGGUACUCUACAGCAGAUUUGUCAGCACCUCCACAUCUCAUCGCCAGCCCCACCUCGCUAACCAUCCAGCGAUGAAGAUGUUUAAAAAAUAUUUAUUUAUUAUUUUAUGUUUUUAAUUUUUAUUGAAACUACUUUUUAUUUUUAUUAGAUUUUAGAAAUUUUAUUUUUAAUUAUUAAUUUCGGUUAUUUCUUUUUGAGUAAUUAUUCUUCCUAAUCUCCCCUAAAAAGUUCCUGAUUUUAUCACAGUUAUAUAGAGCCCUUAAGCUCAUCGUCACAUAGGAACUAAAACUCCACCGAGAAAGGUUCUCCACGAUUGCCAUGUCCUGAUCGACCACGACCAUAGCUACCACUAGAUAUAAUAUUCUUUUGGCGCAGGACUUAUGGACUAAUGAACUUCUACGGCCGCCGGAGUAUCCUCCUCCACUCUCAAACCGAUUACUCUCCAAACCUAUAGUUCGAGGAAUUCAUCAUGCAGGAAGUUUCACUUCUCUCCCUAUCUUAUUUUUAUUCUAUAAUACCUAUCUUUGUACAUUGAGGGCAAUGUACAUCUUAAGUGUGGGGGGCAUUCAUGUCAUUAUCAGAAAAAUCCCUGAAUGGUUACCUUAUUCUCUUAAAAAGCUCUCAUAUCAUAUUUAGGAUAAAUUUUAAUUGAUUUAUGAUUUUGAUUGAUACAUCUUGAAUUAAAACAUAGGGAUUUAUGCAUUGAUUGUUUAAACUUUAAGACAUUAGAGAAUCAAGCAUGAUAAGUUGAUUUUUAAGAAUUUAAAAUUAUAGGUUGUUUCCCCAAGUCUAGGUAUUACUUUGAAUUGGAAUUCACGAGUCUAAACAUCAAAAACCCAUAAUUUUUGUGAGAUUUUUGAGCCUUUUGAGCAUCUAUUAAUCCUUUCAUGCUCACUUUUAUUAUUGCUUUGAGUGCGUCAGUAUUGAACUGUUAUUCUAGAACUUGCUUGAUUAUGCAUGUCGAGACCACACCAUUUGAUUUGAUAUAUCAAAAUGAUUAAGGCACUUAGGAUUAACCCACUCAUGCACUACAGGAAAAUAGAGCUUUAGUGGCGUUUUUAGCGGCAUUUUAUCAAAAAACACCGUAAAAAUUGUAAAACUCAUAGCAAUAGCGGCGUUUUACCAAAAACGCCACUAAAAACAGAGCAAUAGCGGCGUUUUAGUAAAAACGCCGCGAAAAACAGAGCAUUAGCGGCGCUUUUGGCAAAACGCCGCUAAAAACCAGAGAAUUAGCGGCGCUUUUGGCAAAACGCUGCUAAAAACCAGAGAAUUAGCGACGCUUUUGGCAAAACGCCGCUAAAAACCAGAGAAUUAGCGGCGCUUUUGGCAAAACGCCGCUAAAAACCAGAGCAUUAGUGGCGCUUUUGGUAAAACGCCGCUAAAAGUCAUAUAACCCUUAAAUCUAUAACCCUUAAAACAAUAAUUAUUAAAAUUUAUGGUUAUACAAUAUAUUAAAUAUUUUCUUAUAUAAUCAUAAAAGAGAUAGUAUUGAAUUUAAAAUAUCGAAUUAAUUAUCAUUAUAGUUUAUGGUUUAUGGUUUAAGAUAUAUGGUUUAGGGUUUAAGGUUUAUAAGUUAACUAUGGUUUAAGAUAUAUGGUUUAGGGUUUAAGGUUUAGGAGUUAACUAGUGUUUGAAGGUUUAUGAUGAAUUAUGGGUUUAGGGAUUAUGAUUUAGGGUUCAGGGGUUAGGGUUGGAGUUUAAGGUGUAAGGGUUUGUGGUUAAGGGUUAAGGGUUUAGAGUUUAGUGUUUAUGGGAUAGGGGUUAAAAGGUUUAGGGUUUAGAUUGAUUAGUAUUUUUUAAUUUAUAUAUUAAAUGAUUUCUUAUGUAAUUGUAAAAGAGAUAAUCUUAAUUUGAAUAUAUUAAACUUAUGAUUAUAGUUUAAAUUAUUUAAGAGAUAAUAGAUAUACUUUAUAUAUAUAUUAAAUGGUUUAAGAUUUAAUCUAAAAAUAUUUUGAUAUAUUAAAAAUAAUUCAAUUCAAAUUAAUUCAUCUACACUUAAUUUGAUUAGUUUUAGUCCCUGUAUUUUUCAAAUCGAUCAAAUUUAUCUUUUGUACUUUUCAAAAUUUAAAAUUUUAGUAAUGAUCACUCAAAUGAUAGCAAUUAUAUAUGUUUGGUUAAAUUCUGCUAUUAGUCUUGAUAUUGUGCGUAAAGUUGUAGGUUGAGUUCAUGUUAUCCAAUUAGAUCAUUCUUGGUCCCUAUACUUUUCGACUUUUGAAAUUUUAAUUUUGACACAAAUGACAACCAUUAAAUCCGUAACUGGCUUUUUGUGAAUAAUAUGUUUGUUACAUUAGAUUUUAGAAAUAGCAAAACUUAAUGAGUUUAAUAGCUACCAUUUAAUUAAUACUACAAUUUCAAAAUUUCAAAACUAUAAUGACUAAAAAUAAUAAAAUUAAAGUAAAAUGACUAAAUCCACAAUUUACAUAUAAUUCAAUGACUAAUAGAAAAAUAAUAAUAAUUAAAAAUAUUUAACUUGUUUAUAUUUAAAAAAUUAAUAAAUAUCAAAUGAAAAUAACAUGUAUAUAUUUAUAAAAAAAAUUAAAAUAAUAUCAUUAGGUUUAAGUAAAUUUACGUUAAGUAUUUAUAAAUUUAAUUGGAAAUUUAACUUAAACGGGGUCGUUUUCCAUUUACAUUUUUCGCCAAAACCCUAGCAUUUGCCUCGACCCAUUUUUAUCGCCUCAGACUCUCUGUGUAGUUUCUGAUUCUUCACUUUCAUUACUUCAAACUCUCGCAGUGAUGAGACCUCCAAGAGGUAAGUAACCAACGUCUCUUACGUUUCCUAUCAUUUUUAGUUAGACUCUCGUUAUGGCAUUCCUAAUAGUUUAAUCAUGUUUCAGGCCGUGGUGGUGGUGGGUUUAGGGGCAGAGGUGAUGGUGGAAGAGGGAGAGGAAGAGGAGGUGGUGGAAGAGGUGGUGAUAGGGGUGGUAGUGCCAUGAAAUCCCGCGGCGGUGGCUGUUGUCUGAGCAAAGAACGCAGGAGAUACUUUGUAUCAUUCAACCUUCUUUGGUUUCUGAACAAAAUCGACAAAAUAUUAUUGCUUACUUUCAGAGGCUAAUCAAAGGUUACUAUGGGAUUGAGGUAAACUUAAUUUUCCUUCAAAUUUUUAGCCCUGGGUUGUAAAAUGGUCUCAUUUCUGUGUGUUGGUGUUCCUUGUAUUACUGGACAAAUUCUAGAAAUUGUUUGCUUUGUCAAAUGCCUUUUUAGGAGUGAAGACUUUUAUGUGAACGUUACACCUAGGGAAAUUCAAUUCCAAAGUUUUCCACAUUGAAGCAUAAUAAACUAGCCUCUGAAAUUGGUGCCUUCAUAAAAGAUUGCUCUGUCAAAUGCCCUUGUAGGAACAUCUUCACAGGUAUCCGUUUCAAUUUUUCUGUCCCAAAAUACACAGAUAUCGCCGUCAACUUCACAGGUAACUCUUUCACACAUUUCAUCGAAUAGGUCAUGCUCUAUUCCGAUCUUUGUCUUCAAUUCAUCUUUCUUUCUCAAUCUGUGCUUCUUAUUCUCCACUUGGAUUAUCCUUUAUUCGCACACAGAUGGCAUGUUUAAAGGCAUUUAUAACGGCAAGCAACAUCACGUUUCUGAUAUUGCUACUGUUCUGAGUCGAGCUUGGAACGCUGGCGUCGAUCGAAUUAUCGUCAGUUACCCCAUCUUUCAUAUUCUCUUUGCAUUUUACUUUGUUUGGUUAUUGAAUUAUUGUAAUAGUUCAGUUCCAUUGGAAGCUUAGAGUUUUAGUGAGCUCGUGGACUCUUAAUAAAUUUGAGUUCAUUUCUUUAUGAAAUUAUUGAGAUGGUAUUUUAAUUUUCUGAACCCCGAAUGAAAGUAUUUUCUCUGAAGCGGCUGGAAAUAAUUUCGACUUGUACAAAAGAAUAAUGAGUUUCAAUUUUUUAUGUUGAUGGAAAUGUAUAAUUCAUGGUAAUAGAUUUGUUGUGCAGGUUACGGGUGGUUCCCUUGAGGAGUCAAAGGAAGCUCUUGCUAUUGCAGAAACUGAUGGUCUAUUUAUAGUGCUUUAUUUGUUGCAACGUCUGCCUUUUAUUUUGCUUUAGAAUGUGUUUUGCUCAUUGUCGAAGGUUUGAUAUUCAUUACAGGGAGGCUUUUCUGCACAGUUGGAGUGCACCCAACUAGAUGCAAGGUUAGUCUUAUUUCUAGAAACGUUGUCUUUGGUCCUUUUGUUUUUGGAUUACAUGUUUAACUGUGUGGUUUGUCAGCAAAAUUUGUCAACAUGGCUUCAUAUAUUUUAUUUAGGAGUUUGAAGAGAGUGGGGGUCCUAAAAAACAUUUUCAAGCUCUUUUGGCAUUGGCUAAGGAGGGAAUUCAAAAAGGGAAGGUGUGUUUUCCUUAUUGGUCAUUGAACUUUAAAUUUAGCGACAUUUUAGAUUUUGCAUUCUCAUUCUGGCCUGUUGAUGUGAGAUGUGAACACUUGUGGAAAUUUAUACAUUCAGAUGUUUGAAUUUCAGCUGUUAGCUGCUUUCUGUGCAGAAUUGUUGUUUAGACAAUUGAAAGAUCUUAGAACAUACUAGUGCUCUGUUUUCCCUUCUUUCUUUGCAUAUGUACUUUCUUCAUACCUUCUCGUUCAUUUAAUUGUUUCCCUAGCAUGUAUGUAGGAUUUCUGUUGGAGGAAAAAUAAUAACGCAAUUUAUGUUAUUAAUUGCUAGGAUAAAGUAGUUUUCUUUUAAUCAGUUUAUAUAGGUCCAAAAAGAUCUAGUAACCUAUUGCAUAUCUACAUUUUAUCAGGAUUGUAAUCUUAGUCUUACUAUAGUUAGAUACUAUGAAUUUUGCCUUAACUUAGGUGGUUGCAAUUGGUGAAUGUGGAUUGGAUUAUGACAGGCUUCACUUUUGCCCACCAGAAGUUCAAAAGAAGUAAGUGGCUGCCAUGAGAAAGGAUUAUGCUCCUUCUCUUAUUUUAUAUUUGUUUGUUUUCUUCUGUAUAAUUAAACAUUUCUAACUUUUCUUUGCCAAAACUAGGUAUUUUGAGAAGCAGUUUGAAUUAGCAUAUGCCACAAAGCUGCCCAUGUUUCUGCAUAUGCGUGCAGCUGCAGAAGAUUUCUGUGAAAUUAUGGAACGAAAUAUUAACAAGUUAGAUUUCUGAAUCUUUCCUACACUAGUGAAAAUCUCUUCAUUUUUGUGCCUGCUAGCACUGUAAACCAUCUUUGUUCUUGAAUAUGAAAAGAAUAUUAGUUAAUUGGUUUAUAGUUAACGUGUAAAUGCUGAAGUCUGCUGUUUUUUUUUGUUUUUUUUUUUCACUUUGAAAGGUUCACUGGUGGGGUUACUCAUUCAUUUACCGGUAGUGCUGAAGACCGUGAUAAGCUUCUCUCAUUUCAUAACAUGUAUAUAGGUGAGAAUGCAACUUAUACACGCCAUCUUCACCAAACAGGUCUUGUUGCUAUGCAUGCAGUGAUAUGGCAUCUGCUGGCUACCUUGUAUCUUCCAACUAUUGUCUUUUUAUUCAGGCGAUAGCUUUGAGCACACUUACAUUUCUUCACUCAGUCAAACAAGUUGAUUGAAAUGAUAUUUCCUUCUUGUUUGAAGUCAUUCAUUGCUAUAGAUAUAUUGGGCUCCUGUAAACCUAGCGAGUCUUUUAGCUUUGGUUAUUUUACAGGUGUAAAUGGAUGCUCUCUGAAGAUGGCUGAAAAUCUUGAUGUUGUGAGGGGCAUACCUGUUGAAAGAAUGAUGAUUGAGACUGAUUCUCCAUAUUGUGAAAUCAAGAGUACUCAUGCUGGGAUUAAUUUUGUGAAAUCCUUAUGGCCUUCUAAGAAGAAAGAGAAGUAUGACAAAGAGUGUCUUGUUAAAGGGCGUAAUGAACCUUGUUUAGUGCUGUGAGUGAAACUGCUUUUUCCAGUGUAGCAGAAUAACUAAUAAUUUUUUUCUUAACUUAAAAAUUUUUACUGAAAAUAUAUUAUUCAGGAAACUUUUUUGAAAAUAUAUAUAUGUGUACUUUUGCAUGAGUUAUAUAUAUAUGUAUAUACAUUUUUCAAAUAUUUAACACAAUGUUUUUGCAGUGUUAAAGCAACAAUUGAGAGGUACAAAAAGGCUUCUGAUUCCUCCAAUACUGGGUCAGUUGCUGAAGUUAAUGCUCAGGUAUUAACUCACUUAAUCUUCAUUGUUUUCUUUUAGCGAGUCCCUUUAAUUUCAAUUUGCAUUCAAAUAAGUCCUUAAUUUUAACAUUUCUCUAGAGAAGCUGUGAACCUUUAAUAUAAAUAGUUCUUUGCUUGACUAGCUUUUUACUACCUGGUUUUGUUAACUCCUUGGUUUACUUAAUAAAAUUUCUUUGGUAAUGCCAUGCGGAUGUAAAUCUCAGUUCUAUCAGCAAGAAGCUGAGAAACUCCGAAAUCAAAUCCGGAAUUUGCAGAAUACAAACAGGUUACUUCCUCAUGGCUUUAAUUCAUUUUCAUCAUAUAUAAUUUUAUUUCAAAACCCUUGUUGUUUGACAGAGCUAUAUGCAUAUAUGUAUAUGUUUGCAGGCACAUGCUGGGGGAGUCCGUAGGGGGAUUGCCUAUGAAAGAGCUUAAGAGCUUGGAGAGUCGUUUAGAAAAAGGAAUUAGCAGAAUCCGUUCCAAAAAGGUAUCUCAUAAUAAUUUAUGUAAUUAAAAAGAGUCCCUUUAAGAUGAUUAAUAAUUAUUAUUAUUAUUGCUACUGACAAAUUUUCCUUCUCCUUUAAUUUAUUCCCCUCUAAACUCUACCAGAAUGAGCUGUUGUUUGCUGAAAUAGAGUAUAUGCAGAAAAAGGUAAGUAUCUUUUUCCGUUCUUGUUGCUCUUCACAUCGCUAUUUAAUCCAAAACUGAUAUUUUGUGUUUUCACAAUUCCUAGCUGCUGCUAGUUUUCACUCUCACGCCUAAUAUUUCUUAUGCUUCUCAACACUCAAUAUCUAUUUCUCACUUAUACUUCUUUUUUCUUUGCUCACUUAUACACACUACACAUCUAAACGUGUAUGUAUAUAGGCUAUAUAAAACGACUUAGAGGCUUAACCUUGCUGCCAUACUUUCAGCAAGCUACCACCUUGCUUAGGUUCUUGCCACAUUGUUUCUAUCCAUGCAUUGUCAAUUUAAAACCAUUUAUAACUUUCCACCUAGCAAGCCAACUUAUCAACUUAUCUCUAUGAUUAGCCGACCUUGAAGUGGAUUUGACUUUUAACACUUCCCCUCAAAUCCAGCUUUUUCAUUAUAUGUUUUUCUUUUAAGUUUGUGGAAUAUGUUUGUCUUCAGUGAAUUUGUAAAAAUAUCUGUUAAUUAAUCUUUCAUCUUGCACUUGACUAGCUGAACGUUUUUAUUCUUCACCUUUUCCCAAAUAAAAUGUUAUUUUAUAUUAAUAUGCUUGUUUCGGCUGUAAAACACUAGAUUCUUUGUAAGAGAUAAUGUAGAUUUGUUGUCAACAUAAAUUGUAAUUGAAUCUUUUUGUGUAAGAGAUAAUUCAUUCAAAAUAUUCUUUAACCAAAUUGUUUGACAAGCACCUAUAUAUUCUACUUUAAAUGUUGAGAGUGCUAUUGUUUGUUUUUCCUUUGAUGACCUUGAAAAUGUUGCAAAGCCAAUAUGGAAUAAAUAUCUAAAAGUGCUUUUGCGAUCAUCCAAGUCUACCAUAAUCACUAUCUGAGUAAAUUACUUUGAUAUCAAAGUAAUUUACAAUAAAUUGGUUAUAUUAUCAUGAUUUUAACAUUCUUGUUUUAAUCAUACAGUUUAUAUUAAUUUUAGGUAUUAUUUUGAUUAACUUUAGUUUGUUUUAUGAUUUUUAAAUAUUAUUUGAUAAAAUUCUAAAAUAUUUUUCAUAAAUAUUUCCAAAAAAAAAAAGAAAAGUUUUUCAAUUAAACCCUCUUUUGUAUCUAAGAAAGCUGCAACAACAACUAAUUAAUAUUUAUUUUCUUUUAAUGCUGCUUGUUCCUGAAUUUUCCAGGAAAAAGGAAGAAAAAUCAUUAAACUGUUGUAUUUUUUAAAAAAUAUCUGACUUGCUGACUGCAGCAGUAAUAUAAUUAUUGCUAACACAAUCUCAGAAAAUUUUUCCUUAUUAAGAGGUAGAGUUAAUCCAUAAAUUAAAUUCGAAAUUGAAGUUAACUAAAAAUUAUAUGCUAUUAAGAGGUAGAGUUAAUCCACAUAAGUCAUAUGCGGUUGGGCACUUGGCAACAACUUCUGUUUGUGCUAUUAUACUGAUAUUAAAUUUUCAGCUGCAUCUUUGUCGUUGUUCCCGUGCAGUUAAAUGGUAUUUAUUGCAUAUUAGUAUAUGUACGUAAGCAGCAAAUAUACCUUAAAAUCAUCUUGAGCUCAUUUCGGUUAUUUUGGAAUUUGAUUUCAGGUUAAAAUAGUGAAAUGCACUGUGAAUGACAUACCGGUGGACAUCUCUUUCAAUCAAACGGCUGGUCUAUCUGCACUUUGCUUUCUGGAGAAGGUAUCAUCUAAUCAUAUCCAACAUUGAUAUGUUUAGAAUCCGUUUCCAUUCCAAACAUUGUGGAUGUGGUAAUCAUAAUUCAUAUAAUUCACUUGAUGCAAAAGAUGAUUCAAAAGUAUAAUUCUAAAUGGUACAUUGUUUCAUUUUCUGGCAUUAAAUUCUAAAUGGGCAUAUAAUUCACUUGAUGCAAAAGAUGAUUCAAAAGUAUAAUUCUAAGGAGCUUAAAUACUGUAAAUUCUGCAUGUAAUGAGGUAUAUCAUUAAUGUUGUUGAUGCAUGUAAAUACUGUAAAUUCUGCAUGUAAAUGGGCAUAUAAUUCACUUGAUGCAAAAGAUGAUUCAAAAGUAUAAUUCUAAAUGGUACUUUUGUCGAAACAAAUUCUAAUUCUUGCAUAUAUGAUUAAUAACAUGAUUAAUAACAUGAUUAAUGGUUCUUCAAAUUUUCCAAAUGUGUCUUCAAAGUGCUCGAAAAUGUCAUAUUAAUGUUGUCCAUAUAUGAUUUGAAUGCUGGAAAUUUACAGCAUUUAAUUCCCUGCUUGAAGUUGAUUAAACCAUGCUGUAAAUGCAAACAUUUAUAUGCUGUUCACAUGCUAAAUUAACCAUUAGUGAGCUUAAAAUUGAUCUAUUUGAAUGUGUUAAAUUCAUUGUUCAAUGCGAUGUUAUUUCUGCUAAUGUAUUGAGUAUAUUAAGUUGUGCAAUUUGAUGUUAUAUGUGGCGUUAAUAUUGACUUGUUAAUUGCAUAUUUUAUUAUUAAUUUGAUGUUAUAUGUGUCAUUCAUUAACUUUUUUUUCUUUUUUCUCAGGUUUGAGUUUUUGGUGGAUGCAUAGUUCAGGAUUAGCUGAAUUCAUGCAUAGUGACUUGUUUAAGCUAACUGAUUAUCUUAAAGUGUGCAUUCUAUCAUUAUUUUGUUCUAUUUGUAUUUUGUUAUAUUUCUGGUGUAGUAUGAUAAGUGCGGUAUUUUGUUUGGCGGGAUAUAUUUAUAUCAUAGAUUAUUAUUCUUUUCAAUAUUUUGAUAAUGAAUUUUAAUUUUUUUUUUAUAUUUUUCAGGACUUUUACAAUAUUUUAUAAUAUUUUAUUUUUUUUUAAUUUUUAUGACCUUUAGCGGCGUUUGCUGGAAAAGCGCCGCUAAUGGUCCUGACCUUUAGCGGCGUUUUUUCAAAUAAACGCCGCAAAAUUUAGCGGCGUCAUCUAUAGCGGUGUUUUUUGCGGCGCUUACAAAAACGUCGCGAAUAGUUUUAGUGGCGCUUAAAAGUGCCGCUAAAGGCCUAAAAAAAUGCCGCUAAAAGUUAAUUUUGCUGUAGUGAUGCCAUGAAAAGCUUACCUCCACGAUUAACCCUUAGUAAACCCAUUUGAGCCUAACAAGCCAUUUCUUGUAUUAACCUCAAUAUUAACCUUUAACCCAUUAUUGUUGAAAUCUCCUAAAUUAAUCCCUAUUUUUUUCGAGAUUUAAGUUAAAUGGAUUGCUUAGCUAUGUUUUGUUCUUAAUAUUUAGUCUAUAUUAUUUUAACUUGUUCUUAAAAAAAGAAAAAAACAACAUGUAUACACAUUAGUAGUUAUCUUUUGUUUGUAAGCUUCAAAAGUUAAAUUCCAUAGUCUGAGAAGAAGCUCUGUUGUACGUAAGUAAUGAUUAACUCUUUUUCUAGUUAGGUAAUUUUUCAAUUCAAUAUCGAUUCUAACCCUUUCUUUCAGCUUGUGACCACACCCCCUAACCAAGUCUUAUUACAACCCUCUAAAGACCUUUUGAUUGAUGUAUCAUCCUAAAUUAUAGUGGUGGAGAUUUGAUUUUCAUGCAAGCGUAUGGUAAUGACUUUUCAUUAUUGAAUGUUGAGUGCUUCAUUUAUUGUCCUUAAAAACCUCGAGUGAUUUGAGUGAAUCUUUAGUGAGGAUGUAAAACUCUGUGAUAUUAUGAAUCAAAGGUAAUUACUUAGAUGAGGGGAGACACCUAUGUUUGCAUGAAUAAAAUGCACAACUUAGAAUGUUUGGAACUUUUAUGUUCUUUUAGUUGAAUUCUCAAUGUAUGAUUACUUAUGGAUUAAUGUGAGAUAUUAUUGAUAGAAAUUAUAAGUUGAGAAGAAUUUAUUUUGAUUAUGAGUUGAGAAUUUUGCUUGAGGACAAGCAAAUGCUUGAGUGUAGAGGUAUUUGAUAAACCGUAAGUUAUACAUAUUUUUACCCCAUGUUUAAUGCAUUUUAAGAUGAUUUCUCAUUAGAAUUGGUGAACUCGAUGCUCCUACUGCUUUAAUUUCAUGUUUUAUACUGAGGAGAGCAUAGGAAAGAAAAAGGAACGAGAAACGGGCUAAAAAUGGAGAAAAUGGGUCAAAGUACGAAAUCAACACGGCCUGGACCUCUUCACACGGGCAGACCACACAGUUGUGUCAAUUUGGCAGGCUCGAGCAUGGUCUGAAGUAAUCGAACACGGGCGUGUGCCACGGGCGUGUCCCUGCCGAGCCCAAGUUGAGUCCAAUUUGGAAAAGGCUAAUUUUGAGGGCUUCUAGGCAUUCCAAAGCCUAUAAAUACACCCUAGAGGAGGAAGAAAAGGGAGACGAAGAAGGAGGAGUAGGGAAUUACGCCAAGGAAUCCGAUUGAUCCAUCUCAAAAGCUAGAUUCAUCAUCAAGACUGAAGAUCUCUCCUCAAUUUCCUUUCAGGAGUUUUGGGUUUUCUUUAUGUUUUGUAUUCUUUAUUCUUCUGAGAUGUUUUCUUAUUUAGUUAUGAACUAAAACCCCUAAAUACCUAAGGGGAAUGAAACCUAAGACGAAUCUUGUUAUUAUUUUCUGAAUCGUAUGAUAAAUAUUUAACUUAUUCUUAAUUAUGUGUUCUUAAUUCUUGUUUUGAUAUCCCAGGAUACUGAUUUAAGACAUGCUCUUAUUCAGAGGAGGAAUAGACCCUGUCUAAGAGUACAUUUGUCAUAAUUAAGCAGAAUUGAUUGCGCGCCUAGACAUAAGGUGACAAGAUUUUGUCGGAUUAGGGUGAAACCUAAUAAGGGGAUUUAUAGAUCAAGUUAAUGUAACCCUAUAGUGUUAAUUAGAGACAAGUCUCGGUUAUUCAAUCUAGGGAUUAGACGUUAUUAGUCUUGAAUAGGGAUAAUAACAUAACUUAGGGAUCUCUACGGAACAAGUUGAAUGAAUAAAUCGUCCGAUUCGGAGCCAGAAUAACAAGUAAAGUUUAGGUGGAUUUUUCCUUAGGUAUUGUCUUAAGUCAAUCAAUUUUUCCCAAAAGCAAUUCCCUAAUUCUUUUCUCUGUGUAUUCUUAGUUUAGAUAAUUAGUUAAUUAAAACAAAACCUCUUUAUUCUUAGGCUAGAUAAUAAAAAGACAGUCAUUACUAGUACUUUUAGUUCCUUUGGGUUCGACAAUCCGGUCUUGCUAAAACUAUGCUAUUGUUCGAUAGGUACACUUGCCUACCUCGCAAUAAUAGUUAGUUUAAGAACGAGUAAUUAUAAAUAUUUAAAACCUAUGACGAAAUAACGCGAUCAAUUAUCAAAGAAGGAGCGAAUUGAUUCAUGCGAAGGCAAUAAUGAUGGAGCAAAAGAUGAGUCCAGAACGGAAGGAUCUGCAAAUAAAUAAAAGGGAGGGAUCUUGACUUUACUUUAUUUUUGUUCUUAGACUAUUUUUAAGAUUAAGUUUAAUUAGGAAUUUUUUAUUUUUACAUAAUAAAACAAGAGAGGAAAAUCACUAAUGUGAGCAAGUCACAAAGUAUAAAGUGUGGUAAUAAAUAUAUACAUGUCUAGGAUUGGAUUUAGAAAGAGAUUGGUACUUAAGCAGUCAAAAUGACUCAUCUCCUCUUUUCUAAAAUCCUACCUAAUGUAUAGUAUCUAUUCACUUUAAGCAAUGAGGACAUCGUUCAUUUUAAGUUGGGGCAACCGAAAAAUUGAAUUAUUUCCACUCAGAAUAAAAUUUUCUUUUAAUUAGGGUUAGGAUAUUUUUUGUUCAAAAAUUUGAAUUUUGUUAAGUGUGCUCAAUUUGAGUAUGAAUACAGUUAUAUUAUUUCAAUAAAUUAUUAUGUUAGCUUAAUAAUGACUUGAAUAUAUUUUUAAUAAAGCAUGCAAAUUUGUACCAUAAAAUUUUUAGUUCUUUAGAAAAGUAAGGUAUGCAUGAAAGUUUAAGUCUUUAGAAUUGAUUUAGAAGUUUCUUCAGGCGAAAUCCUAGGGAGCAUGUAAAGUUGGAAAUGAUUUAGGCAACUAUUGUUUGGACCGUUUGAGCCUUUCAAGCCCUCCAUGGUAAAAUUUUAUCCUUUGAAACACAACUUUGAGACUAUAUGACCUAAUUUUAUUUUGACCCUUGCAAUGAUUAGCCAUUACUUUUCGCUUAAUGAUCUUAAAAUUGUCCCAAACACUAGACUCAGUAAUAUUCAAAAUGUACUUCGAAAAUAAGUUUGGGGGAUUGGAAAAGAAGUAUCAAUUGCUCGAGAAUUGCAGUACACAAAGUAAGUGCUCGUGUUAGCUAAAAAAAAAGAAGAAGAAGAAGAAAAAAAGAGAGGGCACAUGUAUUUGAAUGAGAUGUAUAAAAGAGCAUAUGAAAGUCAAGUUGAUGUAUCGAAGGUAAAAAUUUUGAAGGUUCGAAUGACGCUAAGUCUAGGGUUUUUAAACCAAAAUUUAUCUUUCACCUACCCCUAGCCUAGCCACGUUACAACCUUGAUAAAGACCUAUUGAUUCAAAUUCCUAAUGCUACGUAAAUUAGUGGAGAGAAAUUGCUACGAUCAACAUAUGAAGACAUAAGUUAAGCUUAAUGAUUGUAGCUUAGUCUUGAAUAAAGGAAUAAAAAUCAAAUUGGUAAGGGUUAACAUGCCUUUUUUACAAAAGCAUUUAGUCUAAAUUUUGCUAUUAUAAUAAGUUGUUGAAUUUAAUUUGAACAAUAUGUAUAUUUAAGUAGCAUAACUAUCAAAUUUUUUUGUCUUUGAGCAUAAGUAUUUUAAAUUCAUAAUUUUGGGAAAAAUGUUGUUCUGAAGGAAUUUUUCAAGGAUGUCUUCGAGAAAUUCUUUUCAAAAUUUGUGCAUUACUUGGGACGAGCAAUGAAUUAAGUUUAGGGGCGUGGAAAUACAAAAAUUUAUAUAGUUUUUCUUACCCAAUCUUACUUAAAUUCAUGCAAAUUCGGUUAAAUUCUUGUUGAAAAAUAAUUAAAUAUUAUAAAAUAAUUAAAUUGUGUUAAAAAUAUGAACAUGGUGAAUUUAGUUAAUUUUAUACUUAAUUUUGAUUAAUUUUGACUAUUUUCGACCGAUUCGCGCAAAGGGCGAAAAUUGGCUCGACUGACACUACUGAAAGCACAAAACCGAGAAGCAAUUUGAAGUAUCGAGGCACAUGAAUUUCCAGCCUAAGACGGUCUAGAAAAUGUGUAUUAAUUCAUAAUUUAAUUAAUUUUAAUUUAUUCCCCAUUUAAUUUGGGUUAAAUAAAUUAUUUUUAAUUAAUUAUGGAGAAAGGGUCUAGUUGAAUUGCAUUUAAAAAUUUUAAGUAAUAGAUUCACUGGUCGAACCAUAUUGAAUGAAUCGAACCAGCCACUAAUUGGGCAGCCCAGAACCGUCCAUAUGCUGACCCAAAUCAGCAUUUUUAGCUGAUUAAAUAUUCUUGCAAAAAGGGCCUCGAAAGACUUCUAAUUUGCAUUCAAACCCCACCUUUAAUUGUGGCUUUGUAGAUUUGCACCAAGCCAUUUUUAGCAAAGUUGAAAGUCUCAACUCUUGCCAAGUAGAUGGCCAGCCAUAGGGGGGCUCUUUCGCUGUUGGAAUUUGCUAUUUUUAGCGCAAAAAUUAGCUAUAAAAGCCACCCUUUUCUGAUCAUUCAAACCAUCCCUCAUUCCACAACAUUCUCUCAUUCUCUCUUCUUCUCUCUCAUUUUUCUCUCACUUUUUCCAUCCCAUUUCCCUUAUUUUUCAGGUGCCAAUUUCUUCUCUUGGGAAAGAGUCUCUCAUCAGACAUUUUGGAGUAGCAAUUAGGUGUUCAUAAGCCACCUUGAUAGCCGAGGGCAACAAAGAACGAAGAACGGAGCAACUAGUCAAGCCACGGAGAAACACUGGAUUUGCUUCUUGUUCCCUAUCUCUUUAAUUUUUGUUGUUGUUUUGACGAACAUGGUUAUGAAUAUUUAUGCUAUUGAAAUGGUUAUUUUAAUCAAUUUAGCUUAAAAUUAAGUUUGUGUUGGGUUGAUUAUAUUCUGCCUACUUGAAUUGUUAAAAUGAUGUUUAUGCUGUUAUAGGCCUCAGUAAAUUGCUUGGUUAAGUAAAAUCAUGCCUAAGUUAUUUUUGCAAUAUAAUUGUUAAAUAACUAAUGAAUAAUUAUUUAAACGGAUUGAAAUUAUAAUUAAUUGACACAAUACUUAAUCAAUGCAUGUUUAUUCUUCUAAGGUAGCUGGAGGUUAAAUUAGCAAUGUAUCUACCGAUAUUAUUGCCUUGCAUAACUUGCAAGAUUAUUGUGAUUAAACUGUUUCAAGUAGGGAUGCCUUGUUACCUCACAUAGUCUUUUAUAUGCUUAUUAGAUUUAAUUAAUCGUUUGAAUUGACAUAGGGAUAUGCAAGAGAUUAGUUCAAUUUAAUGAGUAUGUAUGUGCAAUAACAUGUUUGAUUAUUAGAAUCUAUUUAGUUGAUUGAAUUGACAUUGGGAUAUGUCAAGAGAUGGAUGGAUUUUUGUAUGUGAGUAUGUUCAGAAGUUAGCCAAUUACCGAGUUGCUGUGAAUUUAUUCAUAAUAAUGUAAACAUGAGUUUAUUUAUUCUAAGUUAAAGGAAUAUAAUUAAUCCAACAUAAGUAUGUUACCUUGAUUAAAUUUUAUUUGAAAUCGUGCAUUAGAACUCCUUUGUUUUAUUUUAAUUAUUUACUUAGUUUUUUAAAUAGUUUUUGACCAUCUUUUAAAACCAAAAUAUUUUUACCUCACCAAAGUGUUUUACAAUUAAUUUCAUAAAUAAUUCUUUUUACAGUCCCUGUGGGUACGAUAACUCGACAUUACUUGUCACUUUAUUACUUGUUGCGAUUGUGUACACUUGCACAUUUUUCCAUCGUUCCACCUAUCCAUGAACACCUUAACCCUGAACUGGUCUAGAUAGUGAGGUUGAGAGAUAACUAGUUCUUUCUGACUCGUUAUUUUAGUGUAAGAUCCGAAGAUCUUGCUGGGAUAUCGACUAGUCGAUUGAACAAGAAAACCUGAAGCAACAAUUGGUUAUGAUUACUGAUGCAAGCUAAUCACCCAUGCCCAGAUUUGAUAUAUUUUAUUAUUUGAUUUCUUGUGCUUAUUUAUUACUUUUAUUAUUAUUAUUAUUAGUAUAGAUAAUCAAAAUCUUUCUUUUUAUUCAUUAUAAUAUAAUCUAUUUAAUGUACUAAUUAGAUCUAGUUAUGUUUGGGUUAGAAUUAAUUUAGUGCUUGUCUUCCUUGGUUACGAUCCUCAGAGUACUCAUCUACUCCAUUGUAACUAUAUUACAACUUGACCUGCGUUCUUGCUGAUAUCGCCUUUUUCAUAUUUUUUGUGCAGGAUUUCUACUCUGGACGUGGGUACAUGAUCUGCUAUAAUUUGGUGUAGCAAAUUAAACUAGUUUUCGCAUUUGAGGAGCUUGAAUACAAGAACAUUUGUUAUGUGUUAAUCAAGUUUUCAUAAUUUCAUUUACAUUCAAUAAAAAAUUUAAUUCGUGUCUUUUAUUUACCUUAGGGGUUGAAUAGGGCCUAAGGGUGAGCUAAUAUAUUUUGUGAGUGUGCAUGAGACCAUUAGAAGACAUGCUAACUCGACAUUAGUCACUGUGUUGCAACACAGAGAGUUUGAUGUCCCAACAUAGGGAGCAGAAUAGAAGAAUUCCAAGACUGCCUUCAGUGUCGCGACACGAUCUGAGGAUGUCGCGACACAACCCUGAAGAUACCUUGAAUGUAAGCAUACUGCCCUUGAUGUCGCGACAUAGGCACUAGGGUGUUUUGGUCUUGUACAGGAAGCACUUACGAGCUAAGGCAUUUUGGUCUGCACAAUCAAGUGUUUAACAUGGGAACAUCAGCUGAACUAGGGUUAAGGACGACGACAACCCUAAAUCUAUAAAUAGUCCCAUUUAACACUUGUUAUAGAGAGCCUUUCAUAUUAUUAGUUUCUUUUGUACAAUUUAGUUUUCAGUUUAUUUUUCUUUCUUUUAGGGUUUAGACUUAUUUUCAGUUCUUUUCAUUCGUGUUCAUUGGAGAACUUGAUUUGUAGACGCAAGAAAACGGUUGAGGAUUUCAGCACUUCAUAUAUCAAAUACAAACAAGAUUCUCUAAACUCUACUCUUGUUUUAUUCUUUAUGUAUAUAUCCAAUAUGAAGUUUAUGGUAUUUAUUGAUUCCAUGACGAACUAAUCCUUCUAUAGGGGAUUAAUGAGUGGAGGUCUGAUAUAUUAACUAUUUUAUAAGGUUACUCAAUGGAUCAACUAUUUGGGAAAGGAAUAACCAAGACCCUAGGCUUGACAACCCUAAGAAGUCAUCUAGGUGGGAAUUAACCCAAAAUUGGUAUGGCCUAUCCGUGAACACCUUCACCCUAAGCCGGUCUGGACUGUGAGGUCAAAAAAUAAGUAGUUCUUAUCGACUCAUUAUUUUAGUAGAAGAUAAGAAGAUCCUACUGAAAUAGAGACUAUUUGAUUUAUGAUGAACCUGAAGUGACAAUUGAUGGGGAUCGCCGAAACGAGUUAAUAACCCAUACUCAGAUUUGAUUAAUUCUAGUUUUCAAUCUCUUGUUUAUUAUUAUUAUUAUUAUUUUACUAUUAUAAAAAUCCCAAAAAACCCUUUUAUUUAUGUUACCGUACUAUAACUAAUUUAAAGUACUAAUUAGAUCUAUUAACGUGUAGGUUAUAAUUAAUUUAGUACUAGCCUCCAUUGGGUACGAUCCUUGGAAUGCUUACUAAGUGUUUCAUUGUAAACAAACUAUAUUACAACCCGACCCGUAUACUUGCGGAAACUACCUCAAAUUCCAUAUAUUUUGUAAUAGUAUUCACACUUCGAACUUUAAUAUGUCUGGAGACAGUCAAGUUGUUGGCACUGAUUCUAGGGAGGCAAUGUCAUUCAUUUAAUUUAAUUUUUUUUUGCAUAUUAAUAGAAUAAUUAGGAAUUUUUUAGAUUAUAGCUAUGGUUUUAUUUUCUUAUUUUUUGCUAAUCUUUUAUCUUUUGGUUUAGUGUAUGACUCGUAGUAGGGGAACACCUAUAGAGCCAAUCAUAGAUUUAGAAUGAAUAAUCUUUAGAAAUUGUCAACAGCAAUAGCAGUAGUAGCCACAGCCAAUGCAAAAUCAACUACCUAUUGAAGGUAAUUUACCAUCAUUUGAGAAUCCACAGUUCGACGAAGCUAACAAUAACAAUCUAAACUGCCCAUCACCACCACCACAAUUACCUGUAAAUAAUCUCAAGGUGUAAUGAAAGGACUUUGAAGGAGUAUGUGCCACUGAAUCUGGAUAUGGUUCAAGGGAGUAUAACGAGGCCAACCAUCACGACCAAUAAUUUUAAGAUCAAGCCAGCUAUGAUCUAGAUGAUUCAAAAUAAUUUGCGGUUUUGAGGAACGAUGACAGAAGAUCCGAGUCAAGGUCUAAAAUAGUUCAUCCAGCUUUGUGAUACCUUCAAAUACAGUGGGGUCAUUGGUGACGCUAUUCUUCUUCGGUUGUUUCCCUUUUCAUUAAUUGAUAAUGUCUUUCCUUGAUUAGAUUCGUAGGCACCAUGAUUAGUCACGACAUGGGGCGAACUCGAAAGGGAAAUUCCUACAAAAGUUCUUCCUCAUUAGUAAGACGGUCCAACUAAGAACGGAAAUUUCUAUGUUUAAACAAUUAGAAGGAGAAAUUUUUCACGAAGCAUGGUAGUAUUUUAAAAAGUUGAUUCAGAAAUGCCUACACCACAGAUUGCCUGAGUGGUUACAACUACAAAUUUUCAACAAUGGAUUGGAUGUGCACUCAAGGUUAGGAUUGGACGGAGCAGCAAGAGGUGUUUUAAUGAACCGAAUGUACGAGGGUACGUACAAAUUAAUAGAAAAUAUGGCAAUGAACUCCUACCAGUGGCCAACUGAACGACACACAUAUGGCCAAAGACCAUCUACGGUAAAGGCUGUCCAGAAGGAUGAAAAAUAUCAAUAGUUAAUAGAUAGAAUCAACUAAAUAGAAUCUAAAAAGAAUGCACCACCUAUAUAUAGAGGAGACAAAUUGCUCUUCCACUAUAUUAACAAUCCCACUGAGGAUAUGAAUUACAUCGAUAAUAGGGGUAAAAAUCUUUAUUCAAAUACUUACAAUCUUGGAUGGAGAGAUCAUCUAAACCUAAGAUGGGGAGGAAAUCAAGGAGGAGAUAAUACUUUAAAUUAGGUUAAAAAUACUAACUAUCAACCUUGGAAAAGGGCCAACCCAAAUGAUCAUACUGUAUGUGGUUAAUGUUUGGAUCAAAUUGAAGGGGAAAUGUAAUCAAUGAGGACAGAAGUAAAGUAGGUGCAGUCUGAAUGCACCAAUUUAGCAAAAACAUUGACUAAGUUUGAAAAUCAGAUAAGCCAAUUGAAGAGCAUGAUGGGUGAUAUAAAAAGACAAAUUGGCACAGGUAUCCCUAGUAACAUCGAAGAUAAUCCUUGGAGAGAAAAGAAGGAGCAUGUGAAAGAAAUCGUGCUUCGAUCAGGUAAAGUACUGAAUAACCCAAAGAACCUUACUUAGGAGGAACCUAAGGGGAGUACAAGUGAUAUUAAUAAAGGAACCUUAGAGGCUGGUGACGAACCAAAACUAGAAAAAGUAGUUGCACUGGUAGUUGAAUUGGAGAAAGAGACAAUUAAAGACCCUGCCAUUGUAAAGAUAUUGUUCCUUUCAAGGUUGGAAGCUGAUGAUCAACCGAAACUAGAGGAAGUAGUUGCACCGGUAGUUGAAUUAGAGAAAGAGACAAUCAAAGAUGUUGUCAUUAUAAAGAUAUUAUUUCGUUUAAGGUUAGAAGAGAUAAAAACGGGAUGAAGACGAGUUUGUAAGGUUUUUAAACUUGUUCAAAACAUUCAAUGUGAACCUACCUUUAAUUAAACUAAUUGAGAAAGUUCCUGAGUAUGCGUAGGAGAACAAAUUAACAUGAGUGCUUCCUGUAGUGCUAUUAUUUCUAGACAGUUCCCCAAAAGAUGAAAGACCUGGGAAGCUUUACAAUUCCCAUAGAGAUAGGGAGCAUUCAAUUCAAUAGAGCCCUAUGAGACUUAGGAUUUAGAAUCAAUUUAAUGCCUCUAUCAAUAUGUGAGAACUUGGGUUAGGGGACCUCAAGAAUGCACAAAUUCCACUACAAUUGGCUAACAAAUAUUCAAUACAUCUGAAAGGAAUACUAGAAGAUGUGUUAGUCAAAGUGCGCAACUUUAUCGUUUCGAUAGACUUUGUAGUUUUAGACUUUGAAGAGGACCGUGAGACACCCAUUUUAUUAGGCAGGCAUUUUUUAGCUACAUCAAGCUCCACCAUUAAUCUGGAGAGAAAUCAAUUAACUAUGAAGAGUAAUGACAAAACAAAAUUUUUUAAAUGUGGUCACCAACAAAGUGAGAAAAUAAAAGGGACUAGGGGAGAAUUGUAAUGAAUUAUCUGCUUUUAACCCUAAUAAUCACGAAUCAAAGGACGUACUUCCUACAAUCAAUGCAGGUCAAAAGAAUAGGUUCUGAGAAAGAGAUAAAUGAAAGAAGGUGGAGUGACACGACGGGUGGUGGACUAACACUGAAAGAACCAAAAAAAGUCCUUAUAUGCAUUAAUGAUGCUAUUGGAUGAAUUUAAUAGUAAAACUUGAUAAUUUAAAUUGAUAUUUAAUUAUUUGUAAAUUAUUUUAUAUUUAAUUAACUGUUUAGUCUAGAUUUUAGUUUUUAUGAAAUUUAUGUUUUAUAGGAACUGUUACACUUUAGAAAUUGGAAGUUUAGGCAAAAAUAAGCCCAAUGUCGCAACACUGCAAUCCUGUGUCGCAACACCAAGGCUAAAAUCGUUGGAAUUAAGAAAACCAAUUCGAUGCUGUGACAUAAACUCUAUGUGUUGGGACACCAAAUAUAGUUUACCCAAAGUUCCAAAUUGUGUCACGACAUCGAACCUUGAUGUUGCGACAAUGGCUAACUGUUGGGGAUGUUUUGCAAGGUUGGCCCGACCCAACUGUACACACUAGCCAAAAACACCUUAUUAAUCCAAUUUUAACCCUAAAAAAACCUUAUUUAAAACCCAAAAACAUAUUAAACCACCACCUAAACCAAUAUUAACACUUUAAACACCUUAAAACCUCUUAAUUUUCAUAAACCCUAAAACUCCUUUCUUACUUUUUCUUACUAGUUUACUAUAAAAUUUCUUCUAUUCAUCUCUAUUUGAUAUAGAAAUAAAUGGGAAGAACUAAAAGGAGCGACCACAAAUGAAUAUUACAAGGAAUCCAACGCAUUAUUUUCCAAGAUUAAGGGCUUCUAACUCCUAUUUUUAUUGUUUCAUUGGAAAAUUUUCCUGUUAGUUCAUUAAUUAUUGAACUUGAACAAUAUUAAAAAUGCCUAAAAGUGAGAAGAACCAAUGAACCGAAACCAUCGACGGUUCUAAAACCCUCUAAUUUACUGAAUCUAAAUUUUGAAAAAUCUUUUUAGAACUUUAGGGAAAAAUAUUUAUCCAAGAAAGGGGAUUUGAACCAUUGAUGGUUCUCUGCCAGGAGAUAAGACCUUUAGUUAGAUAUCAAAGAUGGGAACAUUUUUGAACAAUCCCAAAGGACUUUGUCAUGGUCCCUGUAGUUCUAGAAUUUUAUGCAUCUUUACGGAACCAAGAGUCUAGGAAAGCUGGAGGUCAUACAUGGGAAACGAUACCUGUGCGGGGGAAAGAUGUAUGAAUUACCCCUCGGGUUAUUUGUGAAAUUUAUAAUGCUUCAUUUUAUGUAAAAUAUUUUACAGAAGAAAUUUAUUUUAAAUAUUUUCGAGAUAUAAGCAACAUUAUAAACUUCAUAACAGAAGGGAGGGGUAAAAGUAAUUGUCACCCAGAUACUGAUAUUCCAACCUCCUUUAAUCAAGUAAUAGUGUUUCCUAAAGAAAAAAUAUAGAUUCAAUUUCUGUGCACUAGAAUAGCUUCAGCUUUGAAUGUUUCUAAUGUCAAUACUUUUCGAUCGAUUUUGCAUUAUGCUAUUUUACAAAAAAAAAGGUACACAUCAGAACAUGGAUAUACCAAAAUAUAAAGUAAUGCGUUAGUAACUGGAGAGUCGGAGUCUUCUUUCUUCACUUAGUGAUGGCCUUAGGCAAAAGAGAAGGUGUGCCGAUGAAAUCAAUGCAACAAUCAAUGAAGCCAUCCCAAAGUAUAAUUGGUGACACAUUGUAUACAUAGUACAUUGAACUUCAGGCUAAACAGAUUAAUGAAUGGAAUAAACACCAGCAAAAGAUGAUGGUCUCUCCAAAUUCAUCUCAAAGGAAUGCAAAAUUGACCACUCAACAAGAAAUUGGCAAGAGUGAUCAUCCUAAGCUAGAUUGGAUGAUACACUGGAUGCAGGAGUUGGGCCUGAUUUUUUAGGAAUUCGUGCAGCAAAACAAUAUUAGGGUACCUAAUUAUACGUCGAAUAUGUUUGGGUUGACACGUCCAGUACAGGAAAAGGAAAAGUAGAAGCGUGAAAAGAAAGAAGGAACUGAGGAGGGGGAAGAAGAUGAUGAGACAAUCUUUGAGGAGGAUGAUUGAACUUAUAAUUUUUGUUUUUAAAGAUUGUAUCAAUUUUGGGGAUCAUUUUUUAAAUUUAAAUUGUUAGGAGUAGGAGUAAUAAUAGACUAGUGGUUGUUUUGUGUUUAAAUUUUCUCUGCAAGAACCCCACAUGGUAGAAGCGAAACGAUUUUGAGCUAUCAAUGAUCAAAGGAGGAGGUUGUAACGAAUUGUAAUGUGUUUAUGCAAGUGCACGUAGUUGUGCAAGUAAUAGGUAAGUAAAAAAAUGAGUUAUUAUCUCCACGGGGGCUGUUUAAGCUUAAACAACUAAUUACAGAAUUAUAAUUAACAAUUUGAUGUAAAGAAACUCAGUAAAUUUGGAUAGUGAUGAUUAGAUAAAUUAAAUGUAAGAGUGAUCCUUAAAGCAAAACUAAUCUAGAUGUAAUUUACCUAAAUGUAUGAAAUGAGAACUUUAGCAACAAAAACAAUCAACAUUAAAUAGGCUAGGAUAAUUAUAUUAAUCAAAUCAACUUACUUUUUGGAAUUAUUUUCAUGAAAACUCGAUCUCUUAUAGGUUUGGAAACCAAAUUAAGUCCUCUCAGAUCUUUUACUUAGUUAAAUAUGCAUGUUACCGAUCAUAUUAGACUAAGGAUUUCUUGGCAUUUAUGCAAGGUCACAGGGACAUUUAGGUUUGCAACAGUUUAAUUACAUAAAUCUAAAAACCAUGCAAGAUAAUAGAGCUAACUAAAUUAAAUAUUUCACUUUAUCAAUUAUAUGUCUACUAGCCGUCAUCUGGUUAUGAUUGCUCAACUAAUUUGAGUGCUCCCAAUAACGUAUGAAUGAAAUGCAUCAUGAUAUUAAUUGAAAACAUAAUCGAUUGAGGCACAAAACAUGUUAACAUGAAUUAAAUAAAUCUCAUUAAAUUAAUAUAAUCAUUCUAGCAUAUAUGAAUUAAAACUUCAUAGUUGAUGUCAAAAACAUAAAACUCAAAGCAAACAUGUUUAAAAUAAAUGACAAAAGGAAAUAGUAGACUCAGUUCAGCAGCCUUUUUGAUCUAUUUUGAUUGAUGUGCUCAACUCUGCUCAGUUCAGCAACCUUUCGGAUCUAUUCUGACUGAAGCGCUCUUCCUUUUUGAUUGAAGCUUCUUUCUCUAAGGAUUUAGAAGGUGGCUGACUAAAGAUUUCUUUUGAAAAAGCUUUUGAGGCUAGAUAUUGGAGAGGAGAUGGAUUUAAAAGUGAGUGAUGACAAGGUAUUUAUAGGUGAAGCUAAUGGUUUGAAUUUACUAAAAAUAGGUUUAAAUUAUCUUCCUUCUAUCUCUCAUGUGGCUGACCAUGCUUCAAGAAAAAGGGAUGACCAAGUCUUCUUAAUUUGAAUUUUAAAUUCAAGUUAAAAAUAGCUAUGUAGUGGAUGGUUUCAACAGGGAGGUUGUUGGGCUAAAUUCUAAUUAUUUUCCAACUGUAGGGAUCUUCCAUUAAAUAUUUCAAACAUAUUUUGGACAACCAUCUUCUAUUGUCGAAAUUGGGCUUUUAAUUCUCCUUUUUGGAUAGUUUUUUUUCAGUCCAAUAACUUAGCAGAUAUAUCCAUCAUUCUUUUUUUCUUUUAUAAAAAAGGACCCAAGGGUCAACUUCAAUUUAUUGCAUCUUUUAAGACUUACUCAUGGAUAUCCAAUGAAUAAUCCACAUUAAAAUCCAGAGUACAAUUCUUAUCCAUAGUCAAUUUACAAAGAUGCUCCACAAUUUUAUUAUAAAAUCUAGGAGCCCAAUUAAUUUUGAAAAAUAAAAAAACUCCAAUAGCCUAUAGGUCUCCUGAAUGAGAUGGCCCAUCGUAGUUAAGUCAUAAUUCAUCUUAUUAAAGCAAUUAACCAGGCUGACACAGUCAGAUUCAAAUUCCAGUUUAGUCCAAUUAUUAGAGCGACCGAACUUAAUACUUUCUUCCAGUGCUUGCAGCUUCGCCCAUUCAAUUUUGCAAGUCUUUGUCCAAAAAACUCACACGGCCUCCAAGAACAAACCCAUCAAAAUCCCUUGCCAAAAGCCUGUAGCUCAUUUUCUUUCCAUUAACAGCAGCGACAAAAUUUAUCUUAACCACACCUUGUGAGGGUUUCCUCCAAACUUUCUCCAUAACCAUUCUGGGCAACAUAGGUUUCUCCAACAUUGAUGAUAAUGAGUUAUCUAAAGUGUUGGGGGUAACAUAGAAAAUUUGUUUUAUUUUUUUUCUUCAAUUUUUCUUAUCAUUUGUGUGCUUGAGCUUGUAGAAGUACAAGUGAUUGGUUAGGAACAUGUACAUAGGUUGAUUGUAUUUACAGUAAAUUUGGCAUGGGGAUAAGUGAUUUUAAAUUUUUUAUUAAUAGACUAUUAAGUUCUAUAUAUUACAUUGUAAAUAGGUUUGAAGCAAUUGAUUGUACCAAAUGAUAUAGAGAAUACAAGGAAAGAAGUAUGCUAGUAUGAAUGAUAAAUUGUUGAAUUUGUGAUUGUUUGGUUGACUAAAUUUGUGAAUAUUGAGAUACACCCAACGUAAAAAAGCUAACCCUAUUUAUUCAUCCUUAGUAUCUAUUUUGAGCCAGAAAACACUUAUUGAUGAACCUCUAUACAAGACAUGAGAUAAAAAUGAUGAUUUGUGCUUACCCUUUUCUUUAGUCUUGAACUGCAUGAUUAUAGACACUUAACCAUACAUAUUGAGGGUUAAAUAGAUAAAUUACGGUUGUGUUAUAAAAACAAAGUGAUAUGAAAUAUUAGUAGAGUAUAGUGAUUAUAGGUUAGCUUAAAAGUGCAAAAAAAGAUAUACUUAAAAAGAAAAUUAAAAGAGUAGAAAAGGAUACGUGAAAAAUAAAAGCUAUUAUGAGUGAGUUACUAUGAAAAAGAAAGUAAAGUGACAAAGUCACAACUAUAGAAAAACUCGAUCAUUAUUGCACAAAAACUCUUGAGCUAGCUGUAGUUACUAUAUGAUGCUAAGAUUUCCUAUAAGGAGAUAAAAGAAAGGUGAAAGAAUGAGAAAUAAGGCAGUGAACAAGAAAAGGUCACUAAAAGGGAGAAUAUAGGGCAAUACGGUGUGCCAAACUAUUUUCAUGGUUGAAACUAUUUGAUGCUUACUAUUAUUGAAAUCCAUACCAAUCCUAAGCCUCGAAACGUUACAAGUCGAAAAACCCUAUGUGAUCUAGGUAGACUUAUUCACAAUUUGAAAUCAUACUAAAUAACUACAUGUAUGAUUGUCUAUAUUCUGCUAGGAUAAUCAAAUUACUUAUAUAAUUUAUUGAUGGAUUCCUACAUUUAAGACCUUUAAUGCUUGGAUGCUUUGUAAUAUACUGAACAUAGGUGUAUGAUAUCAAAAGUGGUAAGUCAGCUAUAUAUCAUGCCAAUAUUAUGUGUGAAUACGAAAUGCUUAUUCAUAUGCUCCAAAGCUAACAUUUCUACUAUGCUUGCUCAAGGGUCAUCUUUUCAUUUACUGUUUUUUGUUUGUUUUGCUCUAGGAUAAGCAACAAUUUAAGUGUGGGAGAGUUUGAUCUACUAUAAUUCGGUGUAGUAGAAUAAACUAGUUUUCACACUUUAAGAGCUUGAACAUAAGCAUUUCAGUUAAUUUUUAAUUACAUUUUUGUAAAUUUAGUUAAAUUUAUUAAAGUGUGUAAUUUGAGUCUUUUAUUAACCUUAGAGGCCGAAAGAGGUCUAUGGGUGAGCUAAUAUACAUUAUGAGCAUGAAGGAGACCACUAGAAGGUGCGCUAACUCGAUACUGGUCGUUGUGCUGCAACACGGAGCAUUGGAUGUCGUAACAUAGGAAGCAGAGUAGAAGAAUUCUAAGACAUCAUUCGGUGUCAAGUCACAGCAUGAGGAUGUCGCGACAUACCCCUAAAGAUACCCUAAAAAUGAGCAUACCACCCUCGAUGUCACAACACAAGACCUAGUGUGUCUUGACAUCACCUUUGUUCAGGAAAUAAUUACAAGUCAGGGGCAUUUUGGUCUACACAAUCAAAUGUUAAGCACGAGGAUGGUAGCUACCUAUGGUUAAAGACGAUGACUACUCUAAAGUCUACAAAUAGGCUCAUUUUGCACAUGUUAGGAAAGGGCUUUUGUAUUGUAUAAUUUUCGUCCUAGAUUUAGUCUUUAGUUUUUCCUUAUUAGAUUUUAGGUUAAUUUUAGUUCUUGUUAUUUGCUUUUGUGGGAGAUAUCAAAUUUGUGAAAGAUAAUCAAACCCUAUGAGGAUUUUGUGCUCAAUUCUAAUACAAAUCAAGCUUCUACUAAACUUUAUACUCUUGAAUUAUUAUUCAUGGUUACUUUGUUUUAUCAAGUUUAUAUUUUUUUAUUAGAUCCAUAAAGAACUAAUCCUCUUGUUGGGGAUUAGUGAGUGGAUGUAUGAUUGAUUAACUGUUUUGUAGGGUUUUCUUAGCAGAUCAACUGCUCACGAAAGGAAGAACCUAAACCCUAGGCCUGACAACCCUAGGAAGUCAUUAAGGUGGGAAUUAACCCAAAUUUGUUAUGGUCUAUCCGUGAACACCUUAACCCUGAACUGGUCUGGACUGUGAGCUCGAGAGAUAAGUAGUUCUUACCAACUCAUUAUUUUAGUGGAAGAUCAGAAGAUCCUACUGGGAUAUCAACUAGUUGAUUGAACAAGAAAACCCGAAGCAACAAUUGCUUAUGAUUACUAAAGCAAGCUAAUCACCCAUGCCCAGAUUUGAUAGAUUUUAUUAUUUUAUUUCCCAUACUUAUUUAUUUAUUUUAUUAUUAUUAGUAUAGAUCAUCAAAACCUUCAUUUUUCUUUAUCAUAAUAUAAUCUAUUUAAAGUGCUAAUUAGAUCUAUUUAUGUUUAGGUUAGAAUUAAUUUAGUGUUUGCCUCAUUUGGUUACGAUCCUCAGAGUACUCAUCUACUCUGUUGUAACAGUAUUACAACCUAACCCGUAUACUUGCAAACACGACCUUUUUCAUAUAUUCUGGCAGGAUUUCUACUUCAAUCGCUGGUACGUCUGAAGGAAAUCAAUGCUUCUUGUUCUUGAAUUUCAUACCUAUCCUACGCUUCAGAAUGAUAGAAGCCGAAAAGUCUUAUGUGACCAAGAUAGACUUAUUGAUCAAUUGACAUCAUACUAAGUAAUUGCUUUCACGAUUGUUUGUAUUCUGCUAGGAUAAUUAAAUUACAUAUAUGAUUUGUUGAUGGAUGCAUAUGUUUGAAAACCUUAAUGCUUGUAUACUUUUUAAUAUACUGAACUUAGAUGUUUGAUAUUGGGAGUGGUAAGUGUCACGUGUAAAAUGAUAUUCGAUUUUGUGCAAGUAUACACAUUGGUUCAAGUAAUAAAGAAAUGAGUGAGUAUCGUUCCCACGAGGAUCGAAUUGAGACACAAAAGUGGUCAAUUUAUUAUAAUUUGGUUAAUGCUAUGACAAGACUGAUGAAUGGUAAACUAAGGUAAGUAUGUAGUGAAGUAUGCGACAGAUGAAAUUGAUGAGUGAUUGGAAAUGCUAUGGAAAAAGUGAAAGCAAAAAUCUAAUGGCAAUAACGAGAGUGAUUAUCCAAACAAAAAUAAACAACAAAAUAUGUUGUGGAAAAGAUAAUACAAUAAAGAACAAGGAUAGAGUGUCAUUAAUAUGGAAGGUCGGGAUUACCCAGAAUUGACCCUUACUGUCAAUAAUGCCUUGGCAAAUUCGUAUCUACUUUACUGUACAGAAGAGUUAUAAAAUGGCUUGCCUCUCGUGAGAGCAAAACCUCAAAUUACCUUGCCUGUGUCUAUAGGCUGUUUAGAUAUCUUGCUUGGGUUCCUUCUGUAUGAUCGUGACUCUAUGUCUAGAGUCAACUACAAGUGUAUUAGAUAGUUGCUCAUUUCAUUUUAUUUUGAUCCAACCAAUCCAACCUUUCCGGAAUUAGAAUCGAUUUAUUGUAUGUCAACAGCCUUCUAUGUCUAGAGAUCAUUGCCUUUAAAUUAUGAAAAAAACAAUCAAAUGAAACAGUAAAAUAAAUCAGAUAUAUACUGCACCAUAAAAUAGUUAAAAUUUCAUCGAAAGUAAUCUCAACCCUAUGAGAUUUAGCUUAUGGGAUAGGAAAUAAAAUCCCAAAUGAAAAUAUUAUCUGACAUUGUGUUCCACUACUUUUAUUCAAUAUUUCGAUGGAACACUAAUGGAAAUAACGGAAGAACUUCAAGAAACAGCUUUUGCUUGCAGGACGAGUAUCCUAAUGCUCACUUGGUAAAUUUCCUAGAAUUUUACGAUACCUUUAAAAUUAAUGGCAUUUUUUAUGACGCCGUCCGUCUUCGGUUGUUUCCCUUUUCAUUAAGAAAUAAGGCUAAACAAUGGUUAAACUCAUUACCACGAGGGUCAAUCACUACUUGGGAACAAAUCAUCGAAAAGUUCUUACUAAAAUAUUUUUCACCGGCUAAAACGGCUAAAUUACGUAAUGAUAUUUCUUCUUUUGUGCAGAUGGAUUUAGAAACACUCUACGAUGCAUGAGAGAGAUAGAAGGACAUUUUGCGAAGAUGCCCUUACCAUGGGUUACCACUCUGGCUAUAGGUUCAAACUUUUCAUAAUGACCUGAAUCCUUCGACUCGGCAGAUGAUUGAUGCAGCCGUUGGAGGAACCAUCAAUAACAAGACACCUGAAGAUGCCUAUGCAUUUAUAGAGGAGAUGUCACUGAAUAACUAUCAGUGGCAAGUCACGAGGACAAAGCCAACGAAAAUAGUCGGCGUUUAUAAUGUCAAUUCGGUCACCAUGCUUUCUAAUCAGUUAGAACUCUUGAAUAAGAAAAUUGAUGGUUUUCUUAGUUCUUCACAGGUUCACCCAGUAAUGCAGUGCGAAGCAAAUGGAGGUGGAUCGAGAAAUUCUGAAUACCCACCUUAUGGCCACAACAUGGAGAACGAGUAGUUAAAUUACAUGGGUAAUAAUCCUCGAUCUCAAAACAAUCCUUAUAGCAAUACUUACAAUGCAGGUUGGAAGAAUCACCCAAAUUUUUCUUGGGGAGGCCAAGGAAAUCAGAAACCACCGCCCUUUCCAGGCUUUGAGCAACCACCAUACCAGUAGGAGAAAAAGUCGAACCUUGAGGAGAUGCUAACCAAAUUCAUCUCGAUGUUAGAGACUCAUUUUUUGGAUACAGAGACGACACUCAAAAAUCAAUAAGCAUCAAUCCAGGGGCUUGAAACUCAGAUUGGACAGCUCGCCAAGUUGAUUUUUGAACGACCACAAGGUAGCCUACCAAGCAACACUGAAUCUAACCCAAGGGAGCAACUCAACGCAAUUGCCAUUCAAGAUGAGGAACAGUUAGUGGCAAAACCAAGGCCAGAACCGGUGGUAAGCGAAGGUAAGAAUGAGGUAGGCCAAAAUGAACAAAAAUCGGUAAGUACAUAAUAUAAACCUCGUGUGCCAUACCCCAAUGCAACAAGGAAAGACCGCUCAGACGAAAAAUUUGGUAAAUUCCUUAAACUUUUAAAGAAACUACAUAUUAACCUACUGUUUAUUGAAGCACUUUCGUAGAUGCCGAACGUAGUCAAAUUUUUUAAAGGAGCUUCUAGCAAAUAAACGAAAGUUAUAUAAAAGGUCGCAUGUAGAGCUGAACACGGUUUGCUCAGGCAUUCUUCAGAAUAAGCUACCCAACAAACUAAAAGAUACAGGGAGUUUUACGAUUCCUUGUUUAAUUGGUAGUUUAGAUGUUAAUAAUGCGUUGACUGAUCUAGGGGCUAGUAUCAAUGUUAUGCCUUACAAAUUGUUUAAGCAACUAGGUCUAUAAAAACCCAAACAAACUAGGAUGAGCAUUCAAUUAGCAGAUAAAACUAUCAGAUUUCCUAGGGGCAUCAUUGAAGACGUACUUUUUAAAAUUGACAAAUUUAUAUUCCUAGUUGAUUUUGUUGUUUUAGACAUAGAAGAGGACAGUAAUGUUCCUUUAAUUUUGGGAAGGCCCUUUUUAGCAACUACUAGAACAAUUAUUGACGUUGGCACAGGUGAACCCACACUUCGUGUAGGAGAUGAAACAAUCAAUCUUCAAGCUCGCAACCCGAACAACACAUCGAAAAUUGAAGGUGAUUGUACAAAUUGUUCUACUAAGACUGAUCAUACAAUGCAACCUAUUUUGCAGGAAAUAAGUUCGAAGGACACACAUGAGCCAUGUUCAAUCCACAACAAAAAAUCUACCCAUGAAGAACGAAGGUUACGAAUCGAGGAUUUAGAUGAAUGACUGACAUUUAAACCGAGAAAACAUGAUAAACAUAAACUACGCCAGAACGAGCUCAAUGCCUCACCAAAUCAACUUAAGGUUGGAGAUAAAGUUUCAUUAGAUGCCGUAGAUCCUCACAUUAACACUACCAAACCGAAUGAAGAAAUUCCUCUUACGGUACUUAGCAUUUUCCAAUUUGGUACAGCCGAGGUAAGUCAUCCCAAAUUCGGCACCUUAAGGUAAACAAUACCCGCCUAAAACCUUAUUUUGAUGGGAUUCAUAGAAGGAAUGAGGAGUAUAAACUCCUCGAACCACCAUAACCAUUCACCAGAGAGGUAAGUCGAGCUUAGACUAUAAAUAAGUGCUUUUCGGAAGGCAACCCAAGCACUAACAAUAUAAAAUUCUUAAAAUUUUAGUUUUAACAUCUAACAUACUAACCAACUUAUGGAACACAGGCUUUCUAAAGCACACACGGCCAGGCACACGGGCGUGCCUUAGGCCGUGUGAAAACAGGGCAAAAUUUUCACCAACACGGGAUGCUAUAAGUCGCGACGGCCAUGCGUUACGACCGUGGGCGGAUCUUCCAAAACAACACGGACGUGCGACACGCCCGUGCCGUAGGACUGUGGUUGAACCUAAAAAAAUAGCACGAGCAUUUGCGAUGCCCGUGUCUAGAACCCGUGGUCAAACCUGUCAGAUUAAAACGGGCGUGGGCCUACAUACACAGGCGUGGGGGAAGCGAACAAAGACAAACACGGUCGUGCGACACAGCUGUGUGCACCCACACGUCCAAGAAACACGGACGUGUGCCAAAUGUCAGACGUACCCAAAGUCAAAAUUCGCGAAUCACACGAGCAAAAAUUGGGGAACACGGGCGUAUCCCCUGGCCGUAUGGCCCAAAAUCUAUAAAUACCCUUCACUAUUCAUCAUCUUUUUCACCCAAAAUCUUUAACCCUAGCCGCUGCAAGUCUACACGGUCUCCCUGCCACGCCCGUGCACCGCCUCCAACUCCAUUUUCGACUACCAUUCUCAUCUUUUUAGUGUUUGUUUACUCUUUUCUCUCUAUUUUCUUCAUCCCUUUUACUAACUUUAUGAUUCUUAUGGUUUUCUUUGGCAGAUGUUUUAUUUAUAUUCAUAGUUCUCACUGUAGUCAUGCUUAUACGUUUAUUCUUUGCCAUUUUAGUCAAUGCUUUCUGAUACAUUAAUUCUUUUCGUGUGUUCCCAUAAGAGUCUAGUUCAGUCAUUUUAUGUUGAAAAUAAUCAUGCUUUUAUUAUGUCAAUUGCUAUAUAAACUUCUAUCAUUUAGAUUAAACCGCUGAGUAUUGUUGGUUGGACUGGUUAGUUUAACUAUAUUCAUGAUUACUUCUUGAGUUAAUUAGUUAUGCUAUAUUCUUUGUUUUUCUUCCAAGUAUACCAUGUCAAGCUCACAUGGCAAGAAAACUACCAUUCCCAUUUCAAAAAAAUGGAAAGGGGCGUCUUCCUCGGGCCCUACCGUGAAAAUUCGCCACCCAAACCUCUAAUUUCCACCUGGCAAUCAGGAGGAACUAUUCCAAAUCCUACGGGCCCGAACUUUAGGUGUGGGCCGCUGCAUUGACCGGACAGCACUUGAAGAAGUCCAGUUGGUUAACAAUGUACGAGCACUCUUGACAAUCGAUCCAUGUGACCUUUUUUUUGCGAUCAUCGAACCGAAGUACCUUGAGCUCACACUUGAACUUUGCUCGACAUUCCAUGUUCAAGACGUCAUGACCAACUUUGAUGAUCCUGGGACAAUCCAGUUCCGUCUUGGUGGUUUAGUCGCCAAUUGAGUGUGCCCGAGUUCGGUAUAGCUUUGGGCCUGUACACAGAGGAGUUCAUGGACGAGAACGACCUAGACACUCUCCUUCGCCACAUCCACUACUCUCUCUCGAAGUGUUGGUACGCUUUGGUCCCCGAUUCUGCCACCUACGACCCGAGAUGCUCGAAGGCAUCGGCUCUCUUUCCCUCAUUGAGGUACCUACAUGCCAUCUUGGCACACACUUUGACAGGACAUCGAGAGAGCACUGACGUCGUCAACACUUACGACGCCUACUUUCUAUGGAGCAUGGCGAACGGGCAUGUACUCGACCUCACCUACUUUAUUGCCCUGGCCAUUCACCACCAAACGUAGCAUCAGAUGAGGGUCAUCUCUAUUGGCCCCUACGUGACUCAACUGGCAUGACACUUCGGGCUCCUCAACACAACAACCCAAUCAUCCUCCCUUACUCUUUUUGGCCAGAUGUCCCCAUAAGGCAUCUCGAGCAUACUUAGUAUGAGGAUGAUCGAGAAGCGCCGAGGAACCCACCCUCCUCAAUAUCGCCUUACCCAAUCAGCCGAGGAGAAAGCCCUUGAGGACAUUACUGAUGAUGUCCCUCCACGUCAUGAGGACCCAUCGUCUCAGCCACCACCACUCUCUCAUCCAAUUCAUGAGGCAGCUUCAUACACUGACAUCUCUGAGCUCCUAACUCGAUUCGAGCAGCAGUGUUUUCAGCCCUUCGAUCACAUUGAUGCUACACUACACCAGAUUUGUCAGCACUUCCACAUCUCAUCGCCACCACCACCUCGCGAACCAUCUAGCGAUGAAGAUGUUUAAAAACUUUUAUUUAUUAUUUUAUGUUUUUAUUUUUAUUCUACUUUAAGACUACUUUUUAUUUUUCUUUAAGCUUAUUUUUAUUAGGUUUUAUAAUUUUUAUUUAACAAUUUUGAAUUUCGGCUAUUUCAUAUCGAGUAAUUAUUCUUCCUUAUAUAUUCCCUAAAAAGUUCUUGUUUCUAUCACAGUUAUAAAGAGCUCCUAAGCUCAUCAUCACUUAGGAACUAAAAACUCCACCGGGAAAGGUUCUCCACGACUGCCAUGUCCUGCUCAACCACGACCAUAGCUACCACCAUAUAUAAUAUUAUUUUGGCACAGGACUUAUGGAUUAAUGAACCUCUACCACCACCGGAGUAUCCUCCUCCACUCUCAUGCCAAUUAUUCUCCAAAACUCCAGUUCAUGGAAUUCAUUUAUCAUUCAGGAAGUUUCACUUCUCUCCCUAUCUUAUGAUUAUAAAUCUAUCUUUUUCAAUAUAUCUACCUUUGUACAUUGAGGGCAAUGUACAUCUUAAGUGUGGGGGGCCUUUUAUAUCAGAAAAAUCCCUAAAUUUUGUUUUAUUCUCAUGCGAUCUUCUCAUAUCAUUAUUAGAAUGAAUUUCAAUUAGUCUAUAAUGUUUAUUGAUAUAUCUUGAAUUAAAACAUAGGCAUUCAUGCAUUGAUUGUUUAAACUUUAAGACAUUAGGGAAUCAAGCGUGAUAAGUUGAUUUUUGAAGAAUUAAAAACUUUUAAAUUGUUUCCCCAAGUUUAGGUAUUAUUUUGAGUUGGAAGUCACAAGUUUAAACAUAAAAAAAGCCAUAAUUUUUGUGAGAUAUUGAGCCUUUAGAGCAUCUAUUAUUUCUUUCAUGCUCACUUUCAUUAUGAGUGCGUCAGUAUUGAAUUGUUAUUCUAGAUCUUGCUUGAUUAUGCAUGUCAAGACCACACCAUUUGAUUUGAUAUGUCAAAAUGAUAAAGGCACUUAGGUUUAACCCACUCACUCCAUAAAAGCCUCCCUUCACAAUUAACCCUUUGUGAAACCCCUUAGCCUAACAACUCACUCAUUAAUUUACUCUCAAUAUCAACCUAUAACUCAUUAUUGUUGAAAUCCCCUAAAUUAAUUUGAUCCCUAUUUUUUUGAGAUUUGAGUUGGAAUAGUUGCUUAGUUAUGUUUUAUUCUAUUUUGUAAUUUGACUAGUUUGAUAAUAAAAAAUACAUGUUUACAUAUUAGUAGUAGUGAUCUUCUGAGCUAAAGAAGUUAAAUUCCAUAUUCUGAGAAAAAGCUCUGUUGUACGCAAUUGAUGACUAGUUAUUUUUCUAGUUAGGCAAUUUUUCAAUUCAAUCUCGAUUCUAACCCUUUCUUUCAGCUUGUGACAACACCUCUAACCAAAGCCAUGUUACAACCCUCUAAAGACCUUCUGAUUAAUUUUUCAUCUCAAUUUAUAGUGAUGGAGAUUUGAUUUUCAUGCAAGCCUAUGGUAAUGACUUUUUAUUAUUGACUAUUUAGUGCUUCAUUUAUUGUCCUUAAACACCUCGAGUGAUUUGAGUGAAUCUUUAGCGAGGAUGUGAAACUCUGUGAUAUUUUGCUCAUACUCCGUCACAGUCUUACCACCUUGCUUCAACUCUAGAAAUUCCUUCCUCUUCUAAUCCAAGAACCUCUGGCUAAUAUACUUCUGUCGAAACUCUUCUUGGAAGAAUUCCCAAGUGAUCCUCUCUCUCAGUACAACAAACACGAGUGUUCCACCACUGAUAAGCUGAGUCUCGUAGGAGUGACACGGCACACUUCACGCACUCAUCAAGUGUGCAUGAUAAUUCAUCGAAUACCCUGGUGGUAUUUUCUAGCCAAAGCUCCGCUCUCUCUAGGUCAUCAUCUACACUAGCCCAAAAUUCCUCAACCCCUUACUUCCGAAUCUUGUCUAUUGGAGGCUUUUCUCUCCUGAACAUGUCUGCACCUUGUGGAGCCACCGAGGCAUACUGAGGAAUCGGAGGAGGUGGGGGAGGUGGAGUGUUCAGGUUCGCACGAACGAACUCCGUAUACCAAGCAUCCAUCAUUCGAAGGUAGGCUUCUCUAGCCCCUCCGCCUUGGCCCAUACUUACGGGCUCACUCUCUACCGGCGCGGUACCUUUUGCGAGAGCCAGCGCAUUACUUUCCAUGUCAUCCUCCGUGGUUCUAUCAGGAUCCAUUACUAUAUAAAAACACAAUUCAUAGUUGUCAGGAAUCGUCACACUAUUAAUACAUAUUUAUGGCAUGUAUGGAUAGACUCGUACUUUAACUAUGUUAGUCCUAAAACCAACUAAACCAUGCUCUGAUACCACUAAAUGUAACACCACUCUCCCGUAUCCGAUGCCGGGACAAGGUUCGAGGUGUCACCAGAAUUAACUCAAGCAUAUACAUGUAAAACUAGGCCAUAAAAUUUUGAUCAAUUUAAAACUUUUCAUUUCAUACUCAAUCUAUCCCUUAAUAGGACUUAUAAGACUCAAAACAUACAUUUAAGAUGAUUUAAGUUUAAACUGAGAACUUAAGAAAAACCUGGAAAAAUUCAUGCCUUAGGGUUCCACAUGCCCGUGUGACUCGAGACACGCCCAUGCCCUUAGCCUGUGUGGAACACUGACAUUAGGGCACGGCCAUGACACACGCCCGUGUGGCCUACCUGUGGACAAAACUGACUUAAAAGUUUAAGUGCAGGGGACGCACGGCCAUAACACACCCCCAUAGGGGUGAGUCGUGUGUCACACACGGCUUAGACACACGCCCGUGUGUCUUGCCCGUGUGGAAAAACUAGGCUAUCUUUCAAGCCAUUUUAUCACUCAUUUUACACAACCUAUACAAGAUCAUUUCAAUAUACUAAUUCCAUUCCAAAAGACAUCAAUUCAUUCAUAGAAGAAACAUCAUAUACAUUUACCAAAAUAAAUAAUAGCCAUUAUCUAGGCUUAAUACAAAAUGAAGGGCUUUUAUCUUAUGCCAAUAUACAUAAACAAUUUCUCAAUAACACAAAUUCCUAGUCUAGCCCUAUACAUGCCAUAAUCAAAAAUAUAAAUCCAACUAUACCGAUUAUUACGGCUGAUAGUGUGAUCGAUAUCUCUGACUUCAAGGGAUACUUGAGAAAUUUGGCAGUACUGAAAGAAAAGAGAAAGGAAAGAAAGUAAGCAUAAAUCUUAGUAAGUUGCAUAUAAAUAAAUAUACAAAAACAGUUUCACCAUUUAUCAUCACGCUCAUAGCUCAAAGCUAAGCAUAACUUGACUUACUCAUUAUCGUCAACUCAAGUCACAUUUUCUAAUUGAGAUCAUUACACAUGUAUACCAAAAUAUGUACCUAUAACACUCAAAACAUUAUCAUACUUUCCUUACUAAAUCUAUUUCUUAACUCUUAAAGUUGAACCCUUUGGAAUACUACCGGAUAUUCUACAAGCCUCAAACAUGGGUUAAGUUGCCAAUGCCAUGUCCCAGACAUGGUCUUACACUAGCUAUCUUCAUCGAGGUCGAUGUCAUGUCCCAGACAUGGUCUUACACCAGCUCUCAUGUAUACGUACUGAUACAUGUCCUAGAUAUGUCUUACACUAGCACGAAGCUUAGCUGAUACGUGCCCCAGACACAUCUUACAUUGGCUACCAUCAUUGAGGCUGAUGCAUGUCCCAGACACGUCUUACACUGGCACUCAUCUCUACGCCGAUGCCAUGUCUCAAACAUGGUCUUACACUGGCUAGCGUAAUGUGGCUGAUGCAUGUCCCAGACACGUCUUACACUAGCCCUCGUCUCAAUGUCGAUGCCAUGUCCCAAACAUGGUCUUACCCUAGCUCACACAUAACACAAUGUUAUGGCAUGAACAUCUGGUUUGUUUCCUGGCGUUCUCACUCGAUCUUUCUACUUUCUCAAUUAUAAAUAUGCAUACUCAGUUCUAAAUCUAGAAUUUCAAGCUAUAUCAAAAUCAAUAACAAUUGAAUACAUGCAUUUAACAAUAUAGUUGUAUUAUUUACAUACAACUUACCUCGGUUUACAAAAAGUACAUGACUAGAUGGCUUAAUCGGUUGCUUGCCUUUGCCCCAAUCUAGGCUCAGUUUUGGUAAAUCUUGAUCUAUAAUAGCAAAAAUGUACUCAUUUAGUCAUUAAUUGCAAUUAGGCAUUCAUAAUUUCACAUCUUUGGUAAAAUGACCAUUUUGCCCCUAGGCCUUGGCAAAAUGACCAUUUUACCCCUAUGCUCGAAAUUCAACUUUUAUCGAAUUUCUUUGUAUUUCAAGCAUAGAUAAACUCUUUUUACUCUUAUAGCCACCUCAAAUCCUCACUAUUUUAUACACUUAUUUCCUAUUUUGCAACUUAAGCAAAAUAGUCCCUCUAGGUGUUUUCAAGCUAACACUUUUUUCGAAAGUUGCUUAUAACACAACUAGGAGUCAUAUUCCUCCAUAAAAAAUCAGCAUCUAUUAGAAUUAAAUCCAUGGUAAAAUCCUAAACUCUUGACCAUUUUUUAAGAUAUCACCCUCAUUUGAAAGCUCAUGCUUCAAGGGUCUCAAAAAUGUGAAAAUCUUGAAGAAAACUCAUUAAAAUCACUUACUUGUGAGAGGAAUAAGUUGUUGAAAAAUUUAAGCUUUCAAACCCCCUUUCAUGGCUGAAAAGUUUGGUGGAAAGAGAUAAGAAGAAAAGAAAUUGGCAACCUUUUUCUAUUUUGCUCCUUUUUUGGUCAAAAUAGCUACCAAAUUCUACCUACUCUUAAAAUUUUUCCCCUCUAUGUCUCAUGGCUGGCCAACCCUCUUAAAAAGGGUGUAAUUUCCCUUUAAAGGUCCCCAAAUUUAUUUAUCUAGCUAUUUAAUACAUUUGGGCACUAAAACACAACUUUUGCUUUUUAUGCGAUUUAGCCCUUUUUCGUAAUCGGGCUCACAAACGUUAAAAUUGACACACCAAAUUUUUCAUGCACUAUUAUAAUCAUGCUAUAAUCUCAUAAUUAUAAUAAAAUAAUUUUCCCAACUUUGGAUUUAUGGUCUCGAGACCACUGUUCCAACUAGACCCUAAAUCGGGUUGUUACAUUUCUCCCCCUUAGGGAUUUUUGUCCUCGAAAAUCUUACCUGUGAAUAAGUUCAGAUACUGCUCUCUCAGAGACUCCUCGGGUUCCCAUGUGGCUUCCUCGACUCCAUGUCUAAGCCACAAAACAUUUACAAGCGGUAUACUCUUAUUUCUUAACUGUUUGACCUCUCAAGCUAAGAUCUUGACCGGCUCCUCACCAUAAGUCAUAUCUGGAAGAAUUUCAACUUCAGUUGGCACAAUUACGUGCGAAGGUUCAAAUCUGUAUCGGCGUAACAUGGACACGUGAAACACGUCGUGAAUCUUUUCUAACUCUGGAAGCAAACCCAAACAAUAGGCAACAGGCCCUACUCUCUCAGUAACCUCAUAAGGUCCUAUGAAACGAGGACUCAACUUGCCUUUUCUACCAAAUCUGAGGACUUUCCUCCAUGGAGAAACUUUCAAAAAUAUCUUGUCACCAACCUCAAACUUAAUCUCCUUUCAUUUCAAAUCCGUGUACAAUUUUUUUCUAUCAGAGGCGGCUUUCAAACAGUUGCGAUUCACCUUAACUUUUUACUCAGCCCCUUGGAUCAAAUCAACCCCGUGAAUCUGACUCUCUCUCAACUCAGUCUAGAAUAAGGGUGUUCGGCACUUUCGCCCGUACAAAGCCUCAUAAGGCAUCAUUUUUAGACUCGACUAAUAGUUGUUAUUGUAGGCGAAUUCAACCAAUGGUAAGUAUUUUUCCCAAUUUCCUUGAAAUUCAAGAACACAGCACAUCAACAUAUCUUCUAAGAUCUGUAUUACUUUUUCUGACUGUCCGUCAAUUUGCAGAUGAAAUGCUGUGUUGAAACUCAACUUGGAUCCUAGAGCCUCUUGCAACCUUUUCCAAACCCUCGAGGUGAACCUCGGGUCUCGGUCGGAUACAAUCGAUAACGGCACGCAAUAAAGCCUCACAAUCUCAGAAACAUACAAGUCGGCCAACUUUUCAAGGGAGUAGUCGGCACACACUGGUAUGAAGUGUGUUGAUUUAGUGAGUCUAUCAACAAUAACCCUUACUGCAUCUUUUUUUUUCGGGGUUAGUGGCAAACUGGUCAUGAAGUCCAUGGUGAUACGAUCUCAUUUUCACUCGAAAAUCAUAAUAGGCUGAAGUAAACCCGAAGGCACUUGAUGUUCAGCCUUUACUUGUUGACAUACUAGACACUUGGAAACAAACUCUGAAAUGUCUCUUAUCGUUCCCGACCACCAAUACAUUUUCUUCAGGUUGUUAUACAUUUUUACGCUACCCGGGUGGAUGGACGAACAACCACUGUCUGCCUCUCACAAAAUCUUCUGAACGAGCUCACUAUCUUUGGUUACACAAACUCUAUCUUUGAACAUUAUACAACCAUCAGUACUAAUAUGAAAUUUUGAUUCAAUCUCUGAUUCAUACUGAGUUCUCUUGACUUGCAGUUUCUCGUCAUCUUUCUGAUAUUCAUGAAUUUCAUGAAGAAAAGUCGGUCUGGCCCUCAACUCCGCUAGGACCGAUCCAUCAUUACCUAUGGUCAAUUGAGUGUUCAAUACUCUCAAGGUAAACAAUGACUUUCUGUUUAGGGCAUCUGUAACUACAUUCGCCUUUCCCGGAUGAUAGUCGAUAACUAAUUCAUAAUCCUUUAACAACUCUAACCAUCGACGUUGCCUCAAAUUUAACUCAUUUUGAGUCAUCAAAUACUUUAAGCUCUUAUGGUCGGUGAAUACUCCACAUCUCUCACCAUACAAAUGGUGUCGCCAAAUCUUUAGUGCGAACACCACAACUGCUAGCUCUAAAUCAUGGGUCGGAUAAUUUCUCUCGUGAGGUUUUAGCUGUCUCGAGACAUAGUCUAUAAUCUUGCCUUCUUGUAUGAGCACACACCCUAAAUCGUUUAGGGAGGCGUCACUAAAAACUACAAAUUAUUUUUCUGACUCAGGUUGCACUAAAAUUGGGGCUUAGGUCAAUAAAGCCUUUAAUUUCUUGAAGCUCUAUUGGCACUCUUUUGUCCACUCGAACUUGACAUCUUUCUGCAGUAGCCUUGUUAUCAGUGUAGCUAUCAUGGAGAAUCCGUUUACAAAUCGUCUAUAGUAUCCCGCUAGCCCCAGAAAACUAUGAACCUGUAUUACAUUCUUCGGCGGUUCCCAUUCCACAAUAAUUGAGAUUUUACUUGGGUCGACUCUGAUUCCUUCACCCAACACAAUGUGUGCUAGAAAUCCGAAUUCAUUGAGCCAAAACUCGCUCUUACUAAACUUGGCAUAGAGUUUCUUAUCUCUUAAGGUUUGCAAUACAGUUCUCAAAUGUUCCGCGUUCUCACCCUCGUUACGCGAAUAAACCAAGAUGUCAUCAAUAAAAACGACGACGAACCUAUCCAAAUACGGUCAGAAGAUAUGGUUCAUCAAGUCCAUAAAUACCGUUGGGGCAUUUGUCAAUCCAAAAGGCAUAACAAAAAACUCGUAAUACCCAUAUCUUGUCCAAAAAGCAGUCUUCGGCACAUCUUGUUCCUUGACUCUUAACUGGUAGUAACCCCUCCUCAAAUCUAUUUUAGAAAAUACAGUGGCUCCUUUUAGUUGAUCAAAGAUAUCAUCAAUCAUUGGCAAGGGAUACUUGUUCUUCACUGCUACUUUGUUCAGUUGUCUAUAGUAGAUACGUAACCUCAUCGACCCAUCUUUCUUUUUCACAAAAAGUACUGGAGUACCCCAUGGUGAAUAACUCGGUCUAGCAAAACCCUUAUCUGUUAACUCUUGCAACUGUACUUUCAACUCUUUCAACUCAGUGGAGACCAUUCUAUACGGUGCAAUUGAGAUUGGUGUUGUACCAGGAACUAGCUCGAUACCAAACUCAAUUUCUCUUCCUGGAGGUAAUCCGGGAAACUCUUAUGGAAAAACAUCUAUAAACUCACAAACCACUGGUACUGACUCAAUCUUUGACUCGGACACUUGAGUAUAUAGCACAAAAGCUAGAUAAGCCUCACACCUUUUUCUCAAAUAUUUUUUAGCGUUCAGAGACGAUAUUAUCACAAUCGAUUUAUCCAAGUCACCUGGUCUAACCCGAAGUAUAUUCCUAUCUUCACACUUUAACUCAAUAAUUUUCAUCCCACAGUUCACUACAACAUUAUGAGAAGUCAACCAAUCCAUCCCGAGGAUUACGUCAAACUCAUUGAAUGGAAAUAACAUUAAAUUUGUUAGGAAACAAUGACCUCUAAUUGUCAAAGGACAACUCCUACAUACUUGGUCAACUAGAACAUAUCUACCCAAGGGAUUGGACACUCUUAUUAUAAAUUCAGUAGACUCCACUAUCAUGCUCGUUCGAGGAAUCAGUUCCAUACAAAUAUAGGAGUAGGUAGACCCUGGAUCAAUCAAAGCAACAACAUAAAUAUCACGAAUAGAAAAAGUACCCGUAAUCACGUCGGGAGACUCUGCCUCCUCACGAGCGCAAAUAGCAUAAGUCCUCGCAGGCGCUCUGCCCUCGGACCUCGCCACUACAUCUCUAGUCAUGCCCCUACUAUUAGCUCCACUACCUAGAUUCUUUCGUGAUCUCCCCCUCAACGGAGCACUACUUGCCUUCUUUUGUUGUUUCUUUUCUCUCUCUUCCAUCUCAGGGAAAUCACGAAUAAAGUGGUCUAGUGAUCCACACUUGAAAUUGUCCCUCUCAUUUACUCAACAUUCGCCUAAGUGGCGUCUCCCACAUUGCAGACACUCUUGACUAUCUGGCCGAGUACUACCAACACUAGCGACCCAAGUUGCCUGGGCUUUAGACGUCAUAUUCUGAUGAUUCUUGUUCCUCCUCGAAUAUCCCACCGAAACGUUCGAUAAGGUAAUAAAUUCUUUCGACCUCUUGGAGGAAGACUGAUGCGUCUUCCCCAUCUGUCUUCUCUUUAAAUCUCGCGACUCAAUGGCUGCCUUCCUCCUCUCCUUCACCAGCUCUUUUGCUUUACAUGCUCUCUCAACAAGCACCACAAAUUCUCUUAACUCUAGGAUGCCCACAAACACUCGAAUGUCUUCAUUGAGGCCACCCUCAAACCUCUUACACAUAUUAGCUUCAGUGGAUACGCAUUCUCGCACAUAUUUGCUGAGCUUCACAAACUCACACUCAUACUCCGUCGCAGUCUUACCACCUUGCUUCAACUCUAGAAAUUCCUUCCUCUUCUGAUCCAAGAACCUCUGGCUAAUAAACUUCAUUCAAAACUCUUCUUGGAAGAAUUCCCAAGUGAUCCUCUCUCUCGGUACAAUAGACACGAGAGUGUUCCACCACUGAUAAGCCGAGUCUCGUAGGAGUGACACGGCACACUUUACGCACUAUCAGGUGUGGAUGAUAGUUUAUCGAAUACCCUCAUGGUAUUUUCUAGCCAAAACUCCACUCUUUCCGGGUCAUCAUCUACACUAGCCCAAAAUUCCUCGGCCCCUUACUUCCGGAUCUUGUCUACUGGAGGCUUUUCUCUCCUGAACAUGUCCGCACCUUGCGGAGCCACAGGGGCAUACUGAGGAAUCGGAGGAGGUGGGGGAUGUAGAGUGUUCGGGUUCGAAUAAACGAACUCCGUAUAUCAAGCAUCCAUCAUUCGGAGGUUGGAUUCCUUAGCCCCUUCACCUUGGCCCAUACUUACGGGCUCACUCUCUACCGACGCAGUACCUUCUGCGGGAGCCGGCGUAUUACUUUCCACGUCAUCCGCCGUGGUUCUAUCAGGAUCUAUUACUAUAUAAAAACACAAUUUAUAGCUGUCAGGAAUCAUCACACUAUCAAUACAAAUUUAUGGCAUGUAUGGAUAGACUCGUACUUUAACUAGGUUAGUCCUAGAACCGACUAAACCAUAUCUUGAUACCACUAAAUGUAACACCCCUCGCCCGUAUCCGACACCGGGACAGAGUUCGAGGUGUCACCAGACUUAACUCAAGCAUACGCAUGUAAAACUGGGCCACAAAAUUUUGAUCAAUUUAAAACUUUUCAUUUCAUACCCAAUUUGUCCCUUAAUAGGACUUACGAGACCCAAAACAUACAUUCGAGAUAAUUUAAGUUUAACCUCGGAACUUAAGAAAAACCUAGAAAAAUUCAUGCCUUAAGGUUCCACAUGCCCGUGUGACUCGAGACACGCCCAUGCCCUUAGCUUGUGUGCAACAUUGACUUUAGGGCACGGCCAUGACACACGCCCGUGUGGCCUACCCAUGGACAAAAGAGACUUAAAAUUUUAAGUGCAGGGGACGCACGACCAUAACACACCCCCAUGGGGGUGAGCCGUGUGUCACACACGGCCUAGACACACGCCCGUGUGUCUUGCCUGUGUGGAUAAACUAGGCUAUCUUCCAAGUCAUUUUGUCACUCAUUUUGCACAACCUACACAAGAUCAUUUCAAUAUACUAAUUCCAUUCCAAAAUACAUCAAUUCAUUCAUAGAAUGAACAUUAUAUACGUUUACCAAAAUAAAUAAUAGCCAUUAUCUAGGCUUAAUACAAAAUGAAGGGCUUUUAUCUUAAGGCAAUAUACGUAAACAAUUUCUCAAUAAUACAACUUCCUAGUCUAGCCCUAUACAUGCCAUAAUCAAAAAUAUAAAUCCAACUAUACCGAGUAUUAUGGCUGAUAGUGUGAUCCAUAUCUCUGACUUCAAGGGAUCCUUGAGAAAUUUUGCAGUACUGAAAAAAAAGAGAAAGGAAGGAAAGUAAGCAUAAAGCUUAGGAAGUUGCAUAUAAAUAAAUACACAACAACAGUUUCACCAUUUAUCAUCACGCUCAUAGCUCAAAGGUAAGCAUAACUUGACUUACUCAUUACCGUCCACUCAAGUCACAUUUUCUAAUUGAGAUCAUUAAACAUGUAUACCAAAAUAGGUACCUGUAACACUCAAAACAUUAUCAUACUUUCCUUAUUAAAUCUCUUUCUUAACUCUUAAAGUUGAACCCUUUGGAAUACUACCGGAUAUUCUAUAAGCCUCAAACACGGGUUAAGUUGCCGAUGCUAUGUCCCAGACAUGGUCUUACACUGGCUAUCUUCAUCGAGGCCGAUACCAUGUCCCAGACAUGGUCUUACACUAGCUCUCGUGUAUACCUACUGAUGCAUGUCCCAGACAUGUCUUACACUAACACGAAGCUUAGCCGAUGCGUGUCCCAGACACAUCUUACAUUGGCUGCCAUCAUUGAGGUCGAUGUAUGUCCCAGACACGUCUUCAACUGGCACUCAUCUCUACGCCGAUGCCAUGUCCCAGACAUGGUCUUACAUUGGCAAUCGUAAUGUGGCUGAUGCCCAGGCACGUCUUACACUAGCCCUCGUCUCAAUGCCGAUGCCAUGUCCUAGACAUGGUCUUACACUAGCUCACACAUAACCCAAUGUUAUGGCAUGAACAUCCAGUUUGUUUCAUGGGGUUCUCACGGGAUCUUUCUACUUUUUCAAUUAUAAAUAUGUAUACUCAGUUCAAAAUCUAGAAUUUCAUGCUAUAUCAAAAUAAAUAACAGUCGAAUACAUGGAUUUAACAAUAUAGUUGUAUUAUUUACAUACAACUUACAUCGGUUUACAAAAAGUACUUGACUAGACGGCUUAAUCAGAUUGUUUGGCUUUGCCCUGGUUUAGGCUUGGUUUUGGUAAAUCUUGAUCUAUAAUAGCAAAAAUGUACUCAUUUAGUCAUUAAUUACAAUUAGGCAUUCAUAAUUUCACAUCUUUGGUAAAAUGACCAUUUUGUCUCUAGGCCCUGGCAAAAUGACCAUUUUACCCCUAUGCUCGAAAUUUUAUUUUUAUCGAAUUUCUUUGUAUUUCAAGCCUAGAUAAACUCUUUUUACUCUUAUAACCACCUCAAAUCCUCACUAUUUUAUACACUUAUUACCUAUUUUGCAACUUAUGCAAAAUAGUCCCUUUAGGUGUUUUCAAGCUAACACAUUUUUCAAAAGUUGCUUAUAACACAACUAGGACUCAUAUUCCUCCAUAAAAACUCAGCAUCUAUCAAAAUUACAUCUAUGGAAAAAUCCUAAACUCUUGACCAUUUUUUAAGAUAUCACCCUCAUUUGAAAGCUCAUGCUUCAAUGCUCUCAAAAAUGUGAAAAUCUUGAAGAAAACUCAUUAAAAUCACUUACUUGUGAGAGGAAUAAUUUGCUCAAAAAUUUAAGCUUUCAAACCCCCUUUCAUGGCUGAAAAUUUCGGUGGAAAGAGACAAGAAGAAAUGAAAUUUGCAACCUUUUUCUAUUUUGCUCCUUUUUUGGUCAAAAUAGCUACCAAAUUCUACCUACUCUUAAAAUUUGUCCCCUCUAUGUCUCAUGGCCAGCCAACCCUCUUAAAAAGGGCAUAAUUUCCCUUUAAAGGUCCCAAAAUUUAUUUAUCUAGCUAUUUAACACAUUUGGGUACUAAAACACAACUUUUGCUUUUUAUGUGAUUUAGUCCUUUUUCGUAAUCGAGCACACAAACGUUAAAAUUGACUCACCAAAUUUUUCAUGCACUAUUAUAAUAUGCUAUAAUCUCAUAAUUAUAAUAAAAUAAUUUUCCCAACUUCGAAUUUGUGGUCCUAAGACCACUAUUCCAACUAGGCCCUAAAUCGGGAUGUUACACAAAGACAAUACAAUAUGUCAAACUACUUUUGUGCUUUGCCAUUUUGUCAAGUCUAUUCCUUGAAUUCCAAACCAACCUAAGCCGCAAAAUGUUACAAGCCAAAAAUUCCUAGGUGACCUAGUUAGUACUGUAUACGGAUGGCAGUCGUGCCAAGUUUUGAUAUUUUUACCACAUGUAUUCAUUUGAACAUAAUUGUAUAUUUAUAUAUUUAUUUUGAUAGUUACUUAUACUUAAUAUUUUUUAUUUAUUUGAUUUGCAAUUUAAUGAAAUUAUCUAUCUAAGUUUAGAAAUUGUGAGUCAAUUGUGUAUCAUGCUAGAAUUAUAUGUUUAUUUACAUUAUCUUGUUAAUACGUUUCUGCCCAAUUUCUUCCAUUAAGCUAGUUCAAGUGCACUUUCUUUUCUUGCAUAUUUAUUUUUCAUUUUCAAUUUUUUUUACUUGCUUGAGGACAAGUAAGGACUUAAGUGUGGCGGUAUGAAACCUGGCUUCAAAUAUAGUAUUUAGUUUGAGUCAUUUCUACACUGAGCGAGCUUGUUUUCUAGGCGUCUUAUAAUUAAUUAUUGCAUUUUUAGUAUUACCAGGUUAGGAACUAAAUAUUAAUAAAAAUAAGUAUUUUACACAUUUUUUGCUAUUUCGAUGACUCAUAAGAUCAACUCUGGCCUCAUAAGUGACUAAUGGGCUAAUUAAGUGUGUAGGAUGUCAAUUCAGGUCCAAGAAUACAAGGGAUGAUGAUCGGGUCGCAAGACAAGGCAGUCUGAUAAAGCAACGAAGCUACCAAGGUCGGAAAUACUCUUGACGUCAUGACAAUAAACUUUCUUUAGUAACGACGACGCGAUGAAGAUGGGAAGGAUUUUCAAGGUGGCGACGUCGUGACGAGAAGUCUUCCCACAUCACAAUGAUGUGAUGAUGGCAGGUCAAAAUAUGGUUAAUUCUUUUAGACAACUUUUUUAGGAUAUUUCUUUAUUUGGACCCUAACAUUUAUCAGAAUAUUGUAUUAAUUGGUAUCUAAAUGUAUCUAAGGUUGAGUGGUCACCAAGUAUCCCGUAUCCUAUCUAAGCAACCUUAGAGUCACUGGAAUUGAGGGUGCAAACUUAGACAGUUUUUCUCAUUCAAUUUUCUUAGUCGAAACUUUUCUCUUUUGAUGUAAAGACAAUUGUGAGUGAAUAUUGCUCUGUAUCUACGCUUCAAUAUAUUCAUUCAUGAUCAUUAUCUUAUCUUUCUCUUCUACUCUUUUAUUUAUAUUUUAUUGUUCUGACCAAUUAAUAGUUGUAUAAAUAUUAGAAUAGAUUAUUGUGCUUUAUUCAUAUCUUGCAUGAUUCGUUUAUUCAACUAAUUAAUUCAUCAAGUCGAUUAAUUGACAAAAAAAUAAUGGUUCAUAAUAGGAUUAUUUGGCAUAGAUUGCGCAUUUCUAAACUCUAAGCUUGAUAGCCCUAAGAAGUAAUCAUAGGUUAAACGAGAUCAGGAGAUAAGUUUGACCAUGUAAAUCAUAGUUUAUCUUGGUGGAGAAAGUGAGGUCAAGAGAUAACCGAGUAUUCGUCAAUUAAUUAAUUAGUAGAGUUUGGGAAGUAACACUAGUUAAUUAAUAUCUAAUUCAUAUUAUAACCCAAAUUCUUUAAUUAGUUAAUCUUCUAUUUAUUAAUUAGGGAUUUAAUCGAUCAUAAGCUAGAGGCUCGCAUUGUUGACACUAGGAAUACGAAAUUUCAUUAGGUUAAUUUAGGUUAAGUAAUUUAAUUAGUUUAAUUAAUAUUUUGUUUUGGAUUAGCACUACAAAUUUAGGUCUCGAUUAGAUUAGUAAUUAUUUUUUGUAAUUAAUUUAAUAAUAGUUUCUCAAAUUUGCAAUCCCUUGGAUAUGAUACUUGGAAUACUUUCUGUGUUUCGUUGAACACAUAUAUAUUACAAUUUGACCCGUAUGCUUGCAGGCACCUCCGAUUUACUUUUAUAUAUUUUUGGUGUGAUAUUUAUACUAUAAACGAUAAGACGUUUAUAGAUGGUUAGUAUUCGUGACUUAUAUAUUUGAUGUAACUAAAAGUCUAUGUUUGAAUAGAUAAGGAAUCGAAAGCUAGUACAUUGGGUAUACAACUUUUGCAAUAUGUAGUAUCAUUCACAAUAGUGAAACUCAUAACCCAAGACAUGGGUAAAUAAUAUCCUCUCAUUGGCAUUACAUGAUAGAUGGAAAGUAAACAUGGUCACCGAUCUUUUGUCUUUGUGACGAAUGACUUAUUUACUAUUUGAUAGUAAUUGACAUUUCAUGAAUAAAGAUAUAAUGGUUACAUGAGAUAAGAUAGGAUCAAAUUGGGAGAAUGAAUUUAUCCCAAAUAGAUUGUAACACACUUAUGAUAAUGUCAUUAGACGAGCACUAAUCGAGUAGCUUUCGUAAUCGUAGGUUAUGAGGGAAAGCUCUGUAAUAGCCCUAAUUUGACCCUAGUCGGAAAGUGGUUUCGGGACCACAAAACCAAGUCAUAAAAAAUAAUUAACUUUUAUAUUCUAUGCUUAUAGUAUGUGUACAUGCAAGUGUGAAAGUUUCAUGCUUUAAUUUUGUCAUUUGUAUGUGAAAUUUAUUAAAUAGGACUUAGGUGAGACAAUUGUGAAAUAUGUUAGGUUAAUUUUAAAGUGGCCUAUUAAUGCAUAAAUACAAAAAGAUGGACUUGCAUGUCAAAUAUCUAUUUUGUUGUGUAAUGGUCGAACAUGAUGUGGUUUUAUUUAGAAUAUAUGUAUUGUUUAUUAGUGAAGUGGCUUUAUAUUUUAUAGUAUUAAUGUAUAUAGAAAAAAUAAUAGAAAAAGAGGUGAUGAAAACAAAGCUUCAUUUUUUUUUGGUUCUUCUUGGCCGAAUUGAAGAAAGAAAAAGGGACAAGAUUUUCGGUCACUUUAAGCUUGGGGAAGGUUAGUAAAUUAUGUUAGUUUUUGAAAUUUUAAGCUUGAUUUUAGUUAAUUAGAUAGUUUCAUACAUAGCCCAUGUCAAAAUUUUGAAAUUUGGUGAUGAUUUGAGCAUUCGGUUUUGGUUAUUAAAGGAGGAGAUUGGAUUAUAGUCUUUAUGUUUUAUGAAGAAUUGUUGAAGAGGAAGGUUGGAGUUAGUUAAGUUAUAAAUUUUUAAUACUCAUGAGUACUAUAGCCGAACAUAAAUUUACUUAAUGACUUGAACAAAUACCGUGUGGAUGUUUGAAAUGAAUGAAUUUGAGGUUUGUUCAUAUUAGGGAUUCGGCUUUGUGCAUAACUUUUAAGAGUUUGAUUUUGAAUAAUUUGAGUAUUGGAAUGUAAGUAAUGUUAUGCAUAGGUUAAAUUUUUGUAUUCGGCUUUUGUAGUAUAUAUGUAUGAUCAAUCCAUUUUUUUUCUUUUCUUUUGCAAAUGAUAUAUAUAGGGUGAUAAAUAUUAAGACUAUUGUUGCCUUGUGUUUAGUGAUAUUCAGCUAAGGACUAAAUGUGCUUGCUUAUUCGGUUUAAGUAAAGUAAAUGUGAUUGGUGGAUAUGAUUAGGUUGUGGUUUAUUAUAGACUUGUUUUGAUUGUAUAAAUUAGCUUAUAAAUUGGUUUGGAAAUAAUAAAUAAUGAGCAUGCUUUGUGGCUGUAAGGAUUAUAUGAUAGUGUGUCGUGAUAUUAACUUAGCUAGUCGAAUGGAUGAGGAAUGAAUUUGAUAUAUAUAUAUAGGUAACAUUGACGAGUUGUUUAGCAUAUGGGUUUUGUAUAUUGGUUCGGCAACUAAGCUAGAAAAAUAAUUUUCGGUAACAUGGUAUCUAUGCACAUAUAUAGAUAUAUAUAUAAGGUAUCUUAAGUAUAUUUGUUCAUUUGAUAAGGUUGACUAAUAGUUCAAGUAAGGAUUACUCCAUUCGAUAUGUACAUGAAUUGAAGUAAUAGGUUCGGUAAUCAGCUUAUGACAUACGGGUAAUAUCAUAUGUCCGAUUAUAAGUUAAAUACUCGAUAGUUGUGGUUCAUUGGAUAUAAUGUUUGAAUAUUGUUUUGAAAAAAAUUGAUAUUUGUAUUUAGUAAAGUUGAAUAAGUCAUUAAAUAAAUCUAUUUGUUUUAAUUAAGCUCAAGAGCAAAGAGGGUCUAAAUCAGAUAAGGGAAAGGAAAAAGAAGUCGAGUAGCCUAUCUGCAACUGUUCAAAAUAUCCGAGGUAAGUUUUGUGUAGUUUCCUUUAAUAUAUAAUUGAUGCUGGUUUAUAAGAGUAUAAUAGGUGAAUUGAAAUUCAGUUAGCACUUGUACAAAGUUGUUUAAUAAACAAUGUGUGUAUAUGACUUUGAGGUCGAUGGUAACUUUGAGUUUAAGCUUGAAUGGUGAAAUGAUUGUGUGAUAUUAGGUAUAAUUUUUGAGUUGAAAUGUUAAUGAUGAUGUGCCUAUUGAACUUAUAUCUGAAUGUAUUAAAUGAUUACUAAGUGAUAGGUUGAUUGAGAUGUGUUAAAUAUAUAACUAAGUAUGCAUGGUAUUGGAAAAAUAUCCAGACUUGAAGUCCGCAGACUUUAUGCUGGAAAUAUAUCUGGACUUAAAGUCCGCAGGCUAAGUGCUGGAAAAAUAUCCGGGCUAAGUCCCGAAGGCAUUCAUGCUAGUGUUAUAUCCGGGCUAAGUCCUGAAGGCAUUCGUGCUGAUAUUAUAUCUGGGCUAAGUCCUGAAGGCAUUCGUGCUGGUAUUAUAUCCGGGCUAAGUCCCGAAGGCAUUCGUGCUGGUGCUAUAUCCGGGCUAAGUCCCGAAGGCAUUCAUGCUGGUGUUAUAUCCAGGCUAAGUCCCGAAGGCAUUCGUGCUGGUAUUAUAUCCGGGCUUAAGGUCCCGCAUGCUUUGUGGUGGUGAUUUGAUUUUGGUUUUAAAUCUAGCAGACUUAAUGCUGAUGAUUGGAGUAAGAUUAUGAUUUUGAAUGUUCGUAGUAAACUACCAUUGAAUAUAUAUGUUCAAUACAUUAAGUCGGUCAGGUAUGUAUUAUAUACUUUUAUAUGUUAGAUUGAUCGGAUUUGAAUCAUGAAUGCGAAAUGAGAAGUAUAUGUGACAAUAUCAUAUGUGUAUGUGUGUAUUCGGUUAUGGUGAAAGGUUAUAUGAGAUUGAUUUGGUGAUAUACAUGUUAAAUAAUAUGAAUCCAAAGAAUGGGUAAUAAAUCUGCUUGGGACAGCAGCAGUAACGUGAUUUCGGAAAAUCACCAUAAAUUGUGGAAGUUGAGUUAGAGGCUGAAUGAAUUAUGUCAAUCUUAAUGAGUCUAGUUUUUAUAAAAGAAACCGUGUAAGCAAAAGAGUUGCCAAUAAUGAGAUAUUUGAAGUGGCGUGGAAUAGAGUCAAAAUGACUUCGAGGUCCCCUGUUUUGUUUUCAGAAAAUCAUUAUAAAUGGUACAAAAAUGGUUAUAAGAUAAAAUUUAUAUUCUUAGACUCCCUAAUGAGUCUAGUUUCAAAUGAAAUAAACGAUAACAUAUUUCAAAUUCGUUAUAAUGAGAAAUUUGAUUCGUAGUGAAGAGUGGUCAGAUUAGUCAAACAGUGAAACAGGGGAAACUUCAAUAAAAGCCUGGUAUUGAUUGGUCAAACCAAAAAUUCUGAAAAUUUGAUGGAUGGAAUAUAUAUGAGUCUAUUUUCAGGGAAAAUUAAUGGCACUUGAUUUGGUGUUUCUUAGCUCCAGUUAUAAAUAAUUUAGUGACUGUUGCUCAGGAAGACAGCUUGUAGUGAAUUUGUGAUUUUGUUGCAAACAUGGUUAAAACUUGUUAAUGAGAUGCUUUUCGAGUUCUUAUGAUCUUAUUUGUAAUUUCAAUAUUUGGUUUUAAUUGAGUUCAGAUUCAAGUGAGGUGAAUUUGUUAAAUAUGCAUUAUGUUCAUGGAUACUUGGCCAAAAUGGCAAUUAUCUAGGAAUGAUUUCUUGAAAAUUUGAAUAAUCGAUCUAUAAGUAAAUUAAUUGUUUGCAUUGCUUAAAACUUACUAAGCAUUGAAGCUUACUCCGUGUUCUCUUUUUCAUUUCUUAUAGGUAUAUACUUUAGCUCGAGUUGGAAGGGCCGGAGAUAUCAUCACACUAUCUAGUCAUUAUGUGAGUUGAGAAGAUUGUAUAUCAUCAUGGUUUAAGGCAUGUAUAGGAUAGACUAGGUAGAAUGAUAUUUCGACUUUGUAUACAUUAUAGCCAUGCGAAGAUGGCUUGCUCAUUUUGUUUAGAGAAGCCUUAUAAUUGAACUAAUGUGGUGAAAUGUUUUAGUUAUAACUUGAAAGUAGUUAAUUUGUUAUUAGAUAUUUGGUUAUGUUUUGAUAGUGAGUCAUUUUAGAAAUUUAUAAGAGUUCUUAUGGAAAAUCAAUGAGACAUGUGUGCAUUGUUGAUAAUUUAUGUCUGGUAAGUAUCUUUGACCUUAUAGAAGUUUUGUUUAGUCAAGUAAUACCUCAUAACCUUAUUCCGGCAACGGAUAUAGGUUAGGAGUGUUACAUUUAGUGGUAUUAGAGCUAUGGUUUAGUCGGUUCUCGGACUAACAUAGCAAGUGUAAGAGUCUAACUAGACAUGCCGUAAGUAAAGUGUGAUAGUGUGAGGUCUCUCGGCUCUAAUAAAUUGUUUUGCUCAGGUAAUGAUGUGUUCCAACCGAGUUAUUAUUAAUUGAUCUGAAAUUGAUAUUGAACUUAUUGUAAUAUAUAUGUGAUAUGAUGGAAUUGAAAAGGUAUGAAAAGAAUUUUAUGAUAUGUGUGCAUCAGUGUAAAGAUAUAUAUGAGAUAGUAUAAAGUAAAUGGUAAUGAAAGAUCAAAUUGGGUAGAAUGCAGGGAAUGAGUACGAUCGUUCAAUAAUGAAUUGACGGAAAAGAACAUGGUUGGACCAUGGCAAUACAUGAGACAGAUAAGCUAGUGUAAGACCUAUCGGAAAUAGGCAUCAACAUGGGCAGAGCAAAGUUAGUAUAAGACCAUAGUUGGACUAUGGCAUCAAGAAAGCGACGUACUCAAAACCGUAAGACGUUUUUCAGUGGGAUAAAUAUUGACAAAUGAUCAAGACUAAAUGUGGAAAUUUGAUAAGAAAUUAGUAAUUUGAGUAAUAGAAAUGAAAGUUUGAAUCGUGAUAAUUUCACUUAUGUUUUGUUAAUACUCACAUGAAAUAAAGUUGCAUGUGAAACUGAGAUAUGUGAAAAUGUGUUUGUAAUAAGAUGAAAAAAAAAUUGAAAUGUUUGAAUGAAGUGUUUGAAUCCAAGUGUGUAAUACUAUGAUGAUGAGUGAUGAGUUUAUCUGUGUAUUCGAAUAUGAAACUCCCUUUCGAGGCUUAACGACCUCCCCCCUUACCGGUGAUAUGAUUAUAAGGUUUCAAUGGAACGAAAUAGAACGAGUUUGCAAAGAAAGAUUAAAGAGUUAAAUAGUGAGAUAAUGAUAAAGUAAGUAAAGUUCAAAACGAUUUGGCAAUGAAUUAAGGCUGGAAGGACUUGUACAAUGUCCCAAAGGUUCUUCAGAUUGAAUAUUGUCAUUAGUAAAAGAAAGUUGGUCUGGUAAUUUAAUUCAAUCAGAUAUGAUGUCUAGGUAUGUAUCUGUUGGGAAUUCUUCCUGAGUGGUUUUCAUUAGUGAAUGAAAUAGAAUGGAAUUCGAAAUGACGAAUGAAUAGUAAGAGUGUCUGAAUUGGAUAAUUACAGUCAAGUGAAUUUCGAUGAUUUCUUUUGAAUAUUCUGUAUAUUUCUUAUUCUCAGAGACACAUGUGUGAUUGUUCCUUUUUCUGAUGAAAAUGCUAUAAAGUGAGAAUGUUAUCUGACUCCGAUGUUUAAUAAAAGUAUUGAACGUUAAGCAAGGUCUAUUCUUCUAGUGAAAUUGAGAAGUAUAAAAGUAUAUUGAUAUGUGAUAGUUCAAAAUGAGUUCAGAGUAACAGUUAUUCGAUUAUGGAUGUCUGGACAUAUGAAAUUUCUGUUAAUGUUAUUAUUGUUCUUAUAUGGAAUAAGUAUUUAGAUGGGUUAAAGGAUUUUUAUAUGAGCUCCAACUGUGAAAUUUUGUUUAUCUGAGUUAAAAUAAAUAAUACAGAUAUAUGGAUCAGGUGUAUAAGUGACUGUGUAUUGUAGCGUAUUUCAGAACUAUAUUAAGAUGACAAGUUGCUAUUUGUUAGAGUUGAAAUUUUGUGUAUAUGGAAUAAAAGCAAUCAGUGAUGUAUUAGAAGUGGUUAUGAGACAGAAUUGAUAUCCAAACCGAAUAAAAAUUUUAUUUGUCUUCUGAAAAAGAAAUGUCAUUGGGUCAUGAUCGAUCUUUUAACAAGGAAGAAUCUGUGUCUUCAGUUUAGUAUGUACAAAAUUCUUAUCGACAAAGUUGUUGAGAUAUUCAUAAUAUAGUCUGCCGAUGUGAUCUGUCAGUGUGAAUUAAAGUUUAGAGAUUGUUGGUAAAAGGAGAUAUAUGUGAUGAAUGGAAAUUUGUGAUUCCAAAAUUUUUGAAAACGUUUUUAGAAUGGAAAAUAUUUUUGUUGAUAAGAUUUUCGGGGACGAAAAUCCCUAAGGGGGGAGAGUUGUAAUAGCCCUAAUUUGACCCUAGUCGGAAAGUGGUUUCGGGACCACAAAACCAAGUCAUAAAAAAAUAAUUAACUGUUAUAUUCUAUGCUUAUAGUAUGUGUACAUGCAAGUGUGAAAGUUUCAUGCUUUAAUUUUGUCAUUUGUAUGUGAAAUUUAUUAAAUAGGACUUAGGUGAGACAAUUGUGAAAUAUGUUAGGUUAAUUUUAAAGUGGCCUAUUAAUGCAUAAAUACAAAAAGAUGGACUUGCAUGUCAAAUAUCUAUUUUGUUGUGUAAUGGCCGGCCAUGAUGUGGUUUUAUUUAGAAUAUAUGUAUUGUUUAUUAGUGAAGUGGCUUUAUAUUUUAUAGUAUUAAUGUGUAUAAAAAAUAAUAGAAAAAGAGGUGAUGAAAACAAAGCUUCAUUUUUUUUUGGUUCUUCUUGGCCGAAUUGAAGAAAGAAAAAGGGACAAGAUUUUCGUUCACUUUAAGCUUGGGGAAGGUAAGUAAAUUAUGUUAGUUUUUGAAAUUUUAAGCUUGAUUUUAGUUAAUUAGAUAGUUUCAUACAUAGCCCAUGUCAAAGUUUUGAAAUUUGGUGAUAAUUUGAGCAUUCGGUUUUGGUUAUUAAAGGAGGAGAUUGGAUUAUAGUCUUUAUGUUUUAUGAAGAAUUGUUGAAGAGGAAGGUUGGAGUUAGUUAAGUUAUAAAUUUUUAAUACUCAUGAGUACUAUAGCCGAACAUAAAUUUACUUAAUGACUUGAACAAAUACCGUGUGGAUGUUUGAAAUGAAUGAAUUUGAGGUUUGUUCAUAUUAGGGAUUCGGCUUUGUGCAUAACUUUUAAGAGUUUGAUUUUGAAUAAUUUGAGUAUUGGAAUGUAAGUAAUGUUAUGCAUAGGUUAAAUUUUUGUAUUCGGCUUUUGUAGUAUAUAUGUAUGAUCAAUCCAUUUUUUUCUUUUCUUUUGCAAAUGAUAUAUAUAGGGUGAUAAAUAUUAAGACUAUUGUUGCCUUGUGUUUAGUGAUAUUCAGCCAAGGACUAAAUGUGCUUGCUUAUUCGGUUUAAGUAAAGUAAAUGUGAUUGGUGGAUAUGAUUAGGUUGUGGUUUAUUAUAGACUUGUUUUGAUUGUAUAAAUUAGCUUAUAAAUUGGUUUGGAAAUAAUAAAUAAUGAGCAUGUUUUGUGGCCGUAAGUAUUAUAUGAUAGUGUGUCGUGAUAUUAACUUAGCUAGUUGAAUGGAUGAGGAAUGAAUUUGAUAUAUAUAUAGGUAACAUUGACGAGUUGUUUAGCAUAUGGGUUUUGUAUAUUGGUUCGGCAACUAAGCUAGAAAAAUAAUUUUCGGUAACAUGGUAUCUAUGCACAUAUAUAGAUAUAUAUAUAAGGUAUCUUAAGUAUAUUUGUCCAUUUGAUAAGGUUGACUAAUAGUUCAAGUAAGGAUUACUCCAUUCGAUAUGUACAUGAAUUGAAGUAAUAGGUUCGGUAAUCAGUUUAUGACAUACGGGUAAUAUCAUAAGUCCGAUUAUAAGUUAAAUACUCGAUAGUAGUGGUUCAUUGGAUAUAAUGUUUGAAUAUUGUUUUGAAAAAAAAUUGAUAUUUGUAUUUAGUAAAGUUGAAUAAGUCAUUAAAUAAAUCUAUUUGUUUUAAUUAAGCUCAAGAGCAAAGAGGGUCUAAAUCAGAUAAGGGAAAGGAAAAAGCAGUCGAGUAGCCUAUCUGCAACUGUUCAAAAUAUCCGAGGUAAGUUUUGUGUAGUUUCCUUUAAUAUAUAAUUGAUGCUGGUUUAUAAGAGUAUAAUAGGUGAAUUGAAAUUCAGUUAGCACUUGUACAAAGUUGUUUAAUAAACAAUGCGUGUAUAUGACUUUGAGGUCGAUGGUAACUUUGAGUUUAAGCUUGAAUGGCGAAAUGAUUGUGUGAUAUUAGGUAUAAUUUUUGAGUUGAAAUGUUAAUGAUGAUGUGCCUAUUGAACUUAUAUCUGAAUGUAUUAAAUGAUUACUAAGUGAUAGGUUGAUUGAGAUGUGUUAAAUAUAUAACUAAGUAUGCAUGGUAUUGGAAAAAUAUCCGGACUUGAAGUCCGCAGGCUUUAUGCUGGAAAUAUAUCCGGACUUAAAGUCCGCAGGCUAAGUGCUGGAAAAAUAUCCGGGCUAAGUCCCGAAGGCAUUCAUGCUAGUGUUAUAUCCGGGCUAAGUCUUGAAGGCAUUCGUGCUGAUAUUAUAUCUGGGAUAAGUCCUGAAGGGAUUCGUGCUGGUAUUAUAUCCGGGCUAAAUCCCGAAGGCAUUCGUGCUGGUGCUAUAUCCGGGCUAAGUCCCGAAGGCAUUCAUGCUGGUGUUAUAUCCAGGCUAAGUCCCGAAGGCAUUCGUGCUGGUAUUAUAUCCGGGCUUAAGGUCCCGCAUGCUUUGUGGUGGUGAUUUGAUUUUGGUUUUAAAUCUAGCAGACUUAAUGCCGAUGAUUGGAGUAAGAUUAUGAUUUCGAAUGUUCGUAGUAAACUACCAUUGAAUAUAUUUGUUCAAUACAUUAAGUCGGUCAGGUAUGUAUUAUAUACUUUUAUAUGUUAGAUUGAUCGGAAUUGAAUCAUGAAUGCGAAAUGAGAAGUAUAUGUGACAAUCUCAUAUGUGUAUGUGUGUAUUCGGUUAUGGUGAAAGGUUAUAUGAGAUUGAUUUGGUGAUAUACAUGUUAAAUAAUAUGAAUCCAAAGAAUGGGUAAUAAAUCUGCUUGGGACAGCAGCAGUAACGUGAUUUCGGAAAAUCACCAUAAAUUGUGGAAGUUGAGUUAGAGGCUGAAUAAAUUAUGUCAAUCUUAAUGAGUCUAGUUUUUAUAAAAGAAACCGUGUAAGCAAAAGAGUUGCCAAUAAUGAGAUAUUUGAAGUGGUGUGGAACAGAGUCAAAAUGACUUCGAGGUCCCUGUUCUGUUUUCAGAAAAUCAUUAUAAAUGGUACAAAAAUGGUUAUAAGAUAAAAUUUAUAUUCUUAGACUCCCUAAUGAUUCUAGUUUCAAAUGAAAUAAACGAUAACAUAUUUCGUAUUCUUUAUAAUGAGAAAUUUGAUUCGUAGUGAAGAGUGGUCAGAUUAGUCAAACAGUGAAACAGGGGAAACUUCAAUAAAAACCUGGUAUUGAUUGGUCAAACCAAAAAUUCUGAAAAUUUGAUGGAUGGAAUAUAUAUGAGUCUAUUUUCAGGGAAAAUUAACGGCACUUGAUUUGGUGUUUCUUAGCUCCAGUUAUAAAUAAUUUAGUGACUGUUGCUCAGGAAGACAGCUUGUAGUGAAUUUGUGAUUUUGUUGCAAACAUGGUUAAAACUUGUUAAUGAGAUGCUUUUCGAGUUCUUAUGAUCUUAUUUGUAAUUUCAAUAUUUGAUUUUAAUUGAGUUCAGAUUCGAGUGAGGUGAAUUUGCUAAAUAUGCAUUAUGUUCAUGGAUACUUGGCCAAAAUGGCAAUUAUCUAGGAAUGAUUUCUUGAAAAUUUGAAUAAUCGAUCUAUAAGUAAAUUAAUUGUUUGCAUUGCUUAAAACUUACUAAGCAUUGAAGCUUACUCCGUGUUCUCUUUUCCAUUUCUUAUAGGUAUAUACUUUAGCUCGAGUUGGAAGGGCCGGAGAUAUCAUCACACUAUCUAGUCAUUAUGUGAGUUGAGAAGAUUGUAUAUCAUCAUGAUUUAAGGCAUGUAUAGGAUAGACUAUAGGUAGAAUGAUAUUUCAACUUUGUAUACAUUAUAGCCAUGCAAAGAUGGCUUGCUCAUUUUGUUUAGAGAAGCCUUAUAAUUGAACUAAUGUGGUGAAAUGUUUUAGUUAUAACUUGAAAGUAGUUAAUUUGUUAUUAGAUAUUCGGUUAUGUUUUGAUAGUGAGUCAUUUUAGAAAUUUAUAAGAGCUCUUAUGGAAAAUCAAUGAGACAUGUUUGCAUUGUUGAUAAUUUAUGUCUGGUAAGUAUCUUUGACCUUAUAGAAGUUUUGUUUAGUCAAGUAAUACCUCAUAACCUUAUUCCGGCAACGGAUAUAGGUUAGGAGUGUUUCAAGCUCAGUCACUAUACUAUAGUGAAACAACUUCAUGACUAAAUGAUUUUAUAAUUAACAGGCAAAAAGCUAGAACUUAAUUAUAAAUCAUUUGAGUCUUAAUUGCAUAUAUCCAAUCGGUCCCUCUGCUAGCUUGUUGAAAUCAGAAAUGAAUUGCAUGUUGAAUCAAAUGAAAAUAAUUGGAUAGAAAUGAUAAAGUUAUAGAAAUGAGUUGCAUUUAGAAAUGGAUGUGGUUUCUCACUAAGUAUGAAAAUAAUCUGAAAAUUAAUUUAAGUUUUUCGAAUUAUUAUUUAAUUAAUUGAAGUCUGAAAAUAGAAUUAAAUUAAUUGGUUAAUGUGAAUCCGUUAAAUGUAGAAAUUAAAUAUAAUUUCUCUUAGUCUUUUACCUUAAAAUUGUCAUGAUUUUAACGAAAUUAGAAUUGGAUUGAGAAAAUUAUUUAAUUAAAAAAUUUAUUUAUUUAAUUAAUUCAAUAAACAAUAUUUAUUUUGAGAAAUAGAAAAACAUGUAUUAGGUUGGAUUAAAUUAUAAUGUGUUGGGCUAAAAGUUAAGAAAACACAUACAAUUAGACCUAAUAUAGGAGAGGACUGAAUCCCCAUCACAGUAUAUAUGAGGGGAGGCACACCUAUUAGUCACCCCUCACUCCUAGUUAAAAUAGGGGAUUGGUUUUUCUAUUAAAUAAUUAUUAUCUGUAUUCUACUAAUUCAACUAGAGUUCCCCUUCCUCUCUCUGUAAAUAGAUAGCACUAGUAGGGAUAAAAACACAACUUUAAGAUAUUGUUAUUCUGUCCGAAAAUAGUCAAAAUUUAUUUCUAAGUAUAAUUUUUUUUUUGUGGAAUAACAAUUCUAUUGGCUUCUGUAAGAGUGAGAGAUUUACUUUUUUACUGGAAGUAAAGAAAUUAUUUGUGGUUUUGUGUUUGAUUCAUAAUUGUUCGAGCCCAUACUCGAAGCAGUUCGUGGUUGAGAAUAGCGGAGAAGGUCAUUUGGUUGAAAACUAGGAACAUCAAGAAUCCAUCUUGCACAAAACACAGGUACUUUUCAAAAAAUGUUUAUUGUUAUAAACAUCACAAACCGGCCUGGUUUUCAAAUUUUUAUUUUUCUGUUGUGUAAAAAAAUAAUUUUCGAACUAGAAUUUUUUUUUCAACAAUUGGUAUCAAAGCCAGGUUGUGCUAUAUUUAUAGUAUAAACUAAUACCAAAAUUUUCCCUCUUCUUCAUGUUCGGUUGAGAUUGUCAAGGCAGUUUGGUCUUUCAAACCUAAAAAAUCUCCUGGACCAAAUAGUUUACACCCUUUCUUUUACCAACCUUGUUGACAAAAGGUUCAGCAUAAAGUGAUUAACUUAGUUUUGAAGGUGUUUUAUAACUCUACGAUCCCCGAUUAGCCAAACAAAACUUCAAUCGCGCUUACUCAAAAAUCUAGGGAAGUUGCGUCGAUCUCACAAUUCUGACCAAUUAGCUUAUGCAAUACUUCCUAUAAAAUUAUCACAAAGAUCCUUGUUAUGUGUCUUCAACCCAUCCUCAGUGACAUUAUAUCCUCGGUCCAAGGCAGUUUUCUCCCUAGGUGCUUAUCUUCGGAUAAUACAGUGAUAGUGCAGGAAAUUUGCCAUUCCCUUUCUCGUUUUAAUGGGAAAAAGAUCUUAUGACUAUUGAAUUAGAUCUAGAAAAAUCUUACGAUAAGCUGCAAUAGAGCUUUAUUCAUAAAGUUCUUAUAUUCUUUGGUUUUCCCCCUAGUUGGGUCAAGUUGAUAAUGAGUUGUAUUUCGACGACAUUCACCUCGGAACUGUUGAACAGAUCUAAAUUGAAUAGCUUCAAGCCAUCUAGAGGAAUCCGAUAAGGUGACCCACUCUCCCCUUAUAUAUUUAUUCUAUGUAUGGAAUUCCUUAGCCUGUUAAUUUCAAGAGUGGUGGAUCAACAAGUUUGGUCUCUUAUCCGACCCUCUAGGAGUGUACCUUGGUUCUCUCACUUAUUAUUUGCAUAUGAUAUCAUUUUGUUUGCAAAAAAUUUUGCUACAUCGGUGUCCUCUAUCCAAAGGAUCAUUUAGCUGUUCAUGGCAAAAUCUAGACGAACUAUAAACUUUGAGAAAUCCCAGGUGGCUUUUUCCCCUAAAUGUGCGAACUCUUUAAAGGCAAGCAUAUCCAAUGCUUUAGGGAAAUAUCUUGGGUUCUCUAUGCACAUGAAGAGUCACUAAAAACAUGACUAUGAUUUUAUUGUUGAUAAAAUCCAUAACAAGCUAAGCUAUUGGAAAGCCAAAUUUUCUAUCAGUUGGAAGGUUGGUUCUUAUCCAGUCAACAAUGGCCUCCAUCUAGAACUAUUACAUGCAGUGUUUUUUACUCCCCUCCAGUAUUCAUAGUCAGCUAGACCAAAUCAACAAGAACUUUCUUUGGGGAAGUUAUGAUGACACAAAUCAUAGACAACUUCUAAAGUGGGAUUUAGUCGUACAACCUAAAGCCUAUGGAGGUUUGGGUACAUCAAAAGCAAGAAUUAAAAAUCAAACUUUGCUAGUAAAGCUUGGUUGGAGACUAAUCCAGGAGAAGGCUACCCCUUGGGCUAAAAUCCUUAUAUCAAAAUGCAUCACUGACCCUAGUAAUCCAAACCUUGUACGGAAUACACCCUUUCGAAGAAGAUUAGCCACUUCAUUGAGCUAGGGAUGAGAUGGGCUAUUAUGGUAGAACUAUGAAAUUUUUAGUGAUAAUUGGUCAAGACAAGGCCCUCUCCGCAAUACUGUACAAGGCCCCCUGUCGCCAUUGGAGGAGUUUUGGUCUUUCGAGCAAGUCUGCAAUAGCUAGGAUCGUAGUGGUUUUUAUUCGAUAUUUGUCCAAUUCCCGCAAGAUUUAAUUGAUGUGCUCUUAAGCACUCUAGGGAUCGGAUUUUGUUGGUUGGGGGCUUACGAAAUCUAGAACAUUUACCUUGGCUAAUGCUUAUUCUUUCAUCCUAGCAUUUAGUACUCCCUAAUGACACUUCCCCGGGUAGUCAACUAACUCUCUGGAAUUUGAUUUGGAAAGCUCGUCUUCCUUCAAAGUUAAAGCUCUUCCCUUAGAAAUGUGGGUGGACAGCUCUCCGAACCCAAUAUUUUAUUAUCAGUCGAGGUAUGAACUUAGUGGAUCCUGUUGUUUUCGCAAUGUUGAACAUGAAACUAUUGCUCAUUUGUGCUGGGAAUGUCAUAUUGUCCAGCAAUUAUGAAAUUCUGCUCAUUUUCACUUUUGAGUUAGACCUCAACUGAGUAGUUCGGGGGAAUGGGCCCAAGAAAAUGUCACUUCAGAAGUGUGAGUUCACCACCCGACGAUUCCUUAGUCCAUUGUUUUUACCUUCGCCUUAUGGAAAAUUUGGCUGCGUCAUAAUGCCCUAGUCUUUUCCAUGUCUAGACCUCUAAGAGUAUUGAUCGAAGAACUUGAAAGUUGGGUGGAGCUCCUCGUCGCAAGUACUUAUAAUAGCAUAAAAUGUAAAGUACAGUACACACAAGCUUAGAAAGAAACUUGUAUAUAACGUUAUAAAUAAUGGGUCCUGAAAUAAAAAGAAAAAAGAAAAAAAAAUGAAGUUAACAUCUUCACAUUCCUUGUCUCUACACCAAACACUUACAUCACUUGAUUAAGAAUAAAGGCGGUAGAGUUUUGGGGGGAGGGGAGGGGGAACAUGAACGACAAUGGACCCAAAAAACGAAAGAGAAAAUGAUAUUGUACUUCCCCUAGUCAUUUCUUUUACCAACUCAAUCCUGAAAAUCAUGCAUAUGAUCUAAAAGGUAGUUGGCUGCAAGUUCCUCAUUCUUGUUGCACGCAAAGAACACUUGGAGCACAGUUGCACGAUCAAACCCCAUUGCUUCAAGCUGCAAGAGAUGGGGAAUGAACAAGAGAAUAAGGAGACUUCAAAAGUAUUUGUAGGCACAAGAUCAAUGCAACAAAUUUGAGUUUAUUAAUCAUCUAAAAGUAAAACCAUUUGCCUAAAAUAAAGAUGUGAUGCAUAUUUCAUAACUCAGAUAAAGGCCAAGGAAAUGAAAGCAUUUCCAGAGGCAGUGGGGAAGAUAGCUAAAUAAUCCACGAUAACAGAGAAUAGUGAACACAUCC
rnacentral:lncRNA from 1 species